rnacentral:lncRNA from 1 species
AACUGACAAUUGAAUGGACCAAAAUCGCACAAACAAAGAACCAUGGAUUUUCCGAGUCAGUAAAAAAGCUAACUGCUCUUCAAUCCUUGCGUUUGUAUACUUUAGGAGAGGAAAUGUUAACCUUGCCGCACCUCAUGCCUUUCUCAGACCACACCUACCUUUACCAUCUAAGUUUAAGUGGAAGGCUCGAAAGGUUCCCUGAUGAAAUUGAAUUCUACCCUCCAAACCUCAUCUCCUUGGAAUUGGAAUGUUUGAAUAUAGAGCAAGACCCAAUGGUGACCCUAGAGAAGCUGCCAAACUUGAGAUUUCUCAUGUUAUCCCUUUGUUCCUCUAUGGUAAAGAAGAUGGUCUGUACUUCUGGAGGAUUCCUGCAACUCGAAACCCUUAUGCUCUGGGGUUUGAAAGAAUUAGAAGAAUUGAUUGUGGAGGAAGGGGAAAUGCCUGAUCUGAAGGAUUUAGUAAUUGAUACAUGCCCUAAAAUGAAAAGGCUUUCCCAUGGAUUGCUGCAACGAAAAAAAUUGCAGUAGCUAAGGUUGUAUGAUUUGUCUCCUGAGUUAAUGGAUGAGCUUUCUCGGAUAGAAAGAGGAGAUCCGGAGAAGAUCUGCCUCGCCACCUCAAUAUCCGAUCCGGAGAAGAUCGGAUAGAAGGUGGAGGCAUACGGCAUCAUGAAGGCUCAGGAGAAGUUUCAUAAAGCGCUACCAGGAAACGCUUGGACUGUAUUGAAGAGCAUUUCCAAUGCAACAAAUCUUUCUCUACUUGUCUAAGCUCGUCUUUUUCCUUGUUUUUUCUGCUUUUGUGAAACAUACGUGUUUGUGUAAGAUGCUUCCACGUUUUCAAAUAAAGUGAUCAGUCAGUUUAUAAUUGAACAUCACUGGAGUUUUAAUAAGAGAAAACCAACAGAAUACAUGCAAGAGGAGAAGCCCAUACCCUUCUAAAAGGUUGGGAAGUGUUUUUGAAAUCAGUUUUUAAGAAUAAUUUUUUGAUGUUCUUAUAAACAAAAUUAUGUUUGAAAAUUGAUUACUACUCAAAAAGUGCUAUUUGAUAGCCUGUAAUUAACUUUUUUAAACACUUUUGAGUAGUAGUUAUCACCUUUUAACCCAAUUAACAUAUUAAGGACCCUUGCAAUCAAUUCUAAUCAAAUUGUGUUAAGUUUUGGUGUUUUGAUAGCUUUUUGAUCACCAAAGCAAUCAGAGAUUGAGGAGAGUUCUUUGGAAUCCAUGGCAAAGACGUCCGGACAAGGUGUCCGGACACACCAUUGGAGAGUGGCGGAACGUGGGCUGUAGCAAGGCUUGCUCGCUUUAGUCAAUGUUUUCCAUCCGGACAACAUAUCUGGAUAGGAUAUGCUAUCGUCCGGGUGUGAUGUUCACGAGUGCCGUGUGCUUCUCCCUGAGAGAAUCCGGAUAGCAUUGCGCCGCCUUUCCGCUUGGGGAAUCCGGAUGGAAUUGAUCCGGAUAGCCUGGCGGCGCGGGACAUUUCAUAUCCGGAAUUCCGUGCGUCGACAUUUUUACAUCCGGAUGUGAGCCGUGCGCCGACGUUUUACAUCCGGAUAUCUCACAUCCGGAUGGGAGAGGAGGACGUUUCAACUUUUCCGGAUAGACAUAUCCAGACCUUCUGAUAGCGCUUACCUACAGAGUUUUUCUCUCAGUAUACAGUGCAGUGGUGUUCUCCUGAAGCUUCCUGAUAUUUUCGACCGACAUUUUGAGAUAUUUUGGGAUAUUUUGCUUUAGAUAUUUGAUGUUUAAAUCCCCAAACUCUCCUUGUAAUCCACCUAUCAUAGGAUUUCUUAGUCUUUAAGUAAGUACAAAGGGUGAAUAACCUCAUAUAUAUAGUUUGUAAUUUUCUUUACAAUGAUAUCUAUUAUGUAAUCGACGGAAGAAAGAAAUAUAUUUCACAGAGCACUUGCUUUGUUUUUCCUUCAUAUAAUUGUUUUCUCGUUAGUUUUCUUACUAGCCAAACAAGCUCUGAGGAAGUUUCCUCAGAGAAUGAGUGGCUAGACUUUUAGUUCCUUGGAGUUAAGGUUGCCGGGAAAGGUUCCAAGUGCAAGAAUUAGUAGCUUUGUGGUUUCAGUCAUUAAUGAAGAGAAAGUGUGAUCCUUUAAUGAUUUAUAUGUUUUUAGUUAACUUAAAACACCUUCAAGUCACUUGAGCCAACACUUGGUAAGGCACGUGAUCUCCGUCCAUGGAGAUGCACUUGUUUAUCUCUUGCGAGCUUUUGGGAAGUGACUUGGAGGUAGGAUUUUCUAGAAUUGCCAACACUUAGUAAGCUUUUGGACUUCAAGGAGACAUCCAUUAGUUAUCUCUUGCGAGCUUGAGAAGGGAAGUCCAAAGUUAAAGAUCACCUUGAAUGGCAACUACUAGGUGAGAGGCACGAGCCAUUGCAAGUUGCAUCAGUGAGAGGGAAUUAGAGCUGAAAUCCAUUUAAAGGAUACAUCUGUACAACACCGAUUAGAGAAUUGACUAUAUGUUAAUUCUCUAAUGCGAGGAAAUGAACCAAAUGACCAAAGCUCUGUUUUUGCAUAAGGAACCUCCCCUGUGAACCUAAACCUCCGAGGAAUGUUUUUCUUCAUAAGUAAUUUCCAUUACUUUUUUUUUGGUUAGUUUAAGACCAAACCCUUUUCACUCAAACAUCUUUAUGUUUUCUUUUAAAGCUAACCUUGAAAUGAAAAAGCACCAACUCAGCUUUGAAUUGGUAUCAGUUGUGAGUUGAAAACCUUUCCCAAUGAACGAUCCUAGAGCCACUAUGCUAUAGUAGCUUUGUCUUUGCUACCCUAGUUCAUGGUGUAAUAGGUUAUAAAUUUUGUUGAUUACUACCUCAAUCAAGGAGCACCAGCUGGACAUGAAUCAGCUGAUACACCAAGUGGACACGAAUCAAAAAUUGAAUUCUAAAAAAUAAUUUUUAUUCUUAAAAAAAAAAAAAAAAAACAUGUUUGAUUGAGUUAAUAAAAAUAACUUUUAACAACAAAUAAAACAAAAAAACUUGUUUGGAAGUUGUUAUUGUUGAAUUUUUUUUAAGUUGGGUAUUUUCUUUAAUUAACUUGAUGUUAUAAAUCUAUAAAUAAUUUUUACAUUCACAUUUCAUUAAAAAUAAAAAAGUUCCAUUUUGAAAUUUUUUUUGCAUCAGUUUUAAUUUUUUUAAACAAAAUAUUACUUUAUAAUAUGUUUGAUUUCAAUAAUUAGUAAAUUAUCCAAUUAAAAUAUCAUAAAUUGGUAAAUAUCAAUGAUUGGAUUUUAUGAAGAUAAAAUUUAUGAUAUCAAACAAUAAUGCAUUAUACUUGGAAACUUAUGAUCUAUUUUUUCUAUUUUAAAUAUAAUUAAUAAUAUAAAAAGUUAACUGAAAAUGAUAUAUUUAUGAUAAUUUUUUAAAUAUUUAUAAUUUUAUUUAAAAUUAAAUUUUAUAUUUUAUAUUUAAUUAUUAUAUAAAAGAUAAAAAAUUCUUAAAGUAAAUCAAAUUAAUUUAUUUAUAAAAAUUUAUUAAUCUUUACUAUAUAUAUAACAUAUUGGGACGAAAACCAAGAUCAAUACCUUUUCAUUUCUUUCCCUCCUCUAUAUCUCCCUGUUCUCUUUUCAGUUCUUUGUCUCCUCUUGUUUCUCUUUCAAGAUCCAAACUUUUAUUCAGGUGAACUAUUUUUCUUUUCUAAAAUCAAAACAUUAUUCAUUAAGGCCAAAAUUCAGAUUUGUGGUUGUUGCAGAGAUUCCUGGUAAAGUUUCAUGUUUUUUUUUUUAAUUAUUCUUUUUUAUUUUUUGCAUUCUUAGUCUUUUUUGUGUUCUUGUUUAUGUUUUGUUUGGUUUUUGGGAAAUCCUAAAAUUUAUGGAGGUUUUGGCUUUGAGAUAUGAUAAAAUCCUAAAAUAUAAAAAAAGAAAAAAAAGAAAAAAGAAAAACCGAAUAAUGUUGAAUUUUUGUGAGACCGAUUUUCCCAUUUUCAUACCCAUUUUUUUUUUUUAAAUUUUCCCUCAUAGUGCAAAGAAUUUUGCCUUAGUGCAAAGAAGAGGCGAGAACGCACAAAGAACACACUAGAACACUCAUUGAAAACUUGAAAAGCAUUCUAAUUUUUUUAUUUUUUUGUUCUUAGAACAGUGGCAAAAACACAUAGAAUACCAAUAUUAAUAAUUUUGAUCUAAUAUUAAUAAUUAUAAUAAAUAAUAAGGGAAGUUAUGGUAUGAAAGAGUUUGCUUAUAGGAUAAUUGUUGGAUUUGUUAAAAAAUGGAAAUUUAAUAUUAUUUUCGCAAGCAAACUGGUUAAUGGAUUUUUACUUAUUUAUAAAUUUAUAAAUAUAAAAAUUGACGAUAGAAUAAUGACCAUUAUGGUGGAAAACAAACAAAUUAAAGAAAUAAAAAAGACAUAUAACUUAUUUUAUAUAAAAGGUAAUUCAUUUUUUUAUAAGGGUUUUCUACGUAGAAGAGUUUUAUUUAUAGGGAUAAUUUGGGUAGAAAAAGUUAAAUUUUAUAUGAAGAGUUUUAUUCAUUUUUUAAAUAGUCAUCAUGUUUCAUGAAAAGGCAUAGUUAAAUUUUUCACAUUUAUUAAUUUAUUUAAAUAUUUUUAGUUUUCUAUUUAGUUUGUCAUUGUAGGUAAUUUCUAUGUCAUUAAAGUAUGAUAGCCCUUUGGUUCUUUAGAAUAAUAUAAAAGAAAGUAUACCCACUAAAAGACUACGAUCCUCUUUUAAGUUCUCUAUAACUAGAUGUAAUUGAGAAUAGUGAGUUUUUCAUUAAUAACCACCAGUAUUUUCUAAUCGGAUUGGAAUUGUUCCCCCAAAGUGAAUGCAACCGAUUAGGAAUACGAUCAUAGAAUAGGAUACAAUAAUUUCUUAAUCCAUGAGGGUCAUUGUUUUCCCAAGAAGAAAUUUAGACCAUACCACCAGAAGUGGUGAAAUGAAAUGAAAAAAAAAGGGUUAGGUUUGUAGUAUAAGCCUACCAAAGUUGAACAAAAAAUCAUUGUUGAUGCAUGCUAGUCAUACGAUCAAGCAUUUCAUUGACUUUUACCAAAAUUAAAAGAAAAAAAAUUAGUAAAUAGAAGGUUAACAUAUCUAGAUUAUUAUAACUUUCUUUAGAAAUCCUAAUGAUAAAAUUUACUAAUUGAUUGGUGAUGGAAAAAAUGUUUAUUCUCAUGUAGGAUCUUUACUUUCUUAUGUUGUGUCUUUUUAUCUAAUAUAGUACACAUCAUAUUUGCUAAUAAAUGUUUAUGUUUUAUUUACAUAUAGUAUUGAUUGCUUAAUAAGUAUAUUCUAAGUUGUCUAUCUCAUUAAUUGUACAACAUGUAAUAAUUGAUGUCAUUACCAUAUCAAUUUAUGGAAACUUGAUUGAAAGCUCUUGAAGAGCUUAUAUUAUGUCACUAGUUGAUCAAUGUCAUUACUACAUAUAUGAAUUUAUAAAAAUCCGAUUAAAGGCUCUAGAUGAGCUCAUACUAUGUUACUAAUGGCACACGAAUCCAUAUGAAUGAUACUUGACAUUCUAUCAAAUCUAGAAGAAUUUGAGAUGACCAACUUGGUCCCCCAGGGUGAACAAUGAUGCAUCAACUCCUUGAAAUAUGAAAUGGGGAUUCAUUAAAGAACUAGAAGUUUCUUCAACUAGUGACUAGUAUAUUUGAACCUUUGAAGGAUAUUAUUACGUGUUAUGUAAAUUUCUAGUUUAAAGAGACAAUUUCCCACCAUUAGGGGGAGGCAAGUCAAUUCUAGAAGAAUGGCGAGACAUUACAUGGUCUGUACCCUCUUUGUCUCAUCUACAUCCCCAACAAGGUAGUUUGAACUAGAAGUUCAAAGGAUUAUUCAUUUGUAAGGACUUGCAAAUUAGUUACCUAAUGUUUUCACAAAUAUAAAAAAGUAACAAAGUCACACGUGUCGGCUGUGAAUACCCUGACACAUAUUGAUGUCCCAGAAGGACGAUUGAAAAAUGCCAUAGCAAGUGAAUCUAAUACACACUUAAAGCAUGGUAGACCUGUUGGAUCAAAUGAUUCAGUUCCUAAAAAAAAAAAAAAAAAAGGAACAACAUAUUAAAAGUUUGGUACUCUUGAAGAGCUUACAAAUAUGAAAGGGUCAAAUGAUGAAAACCAACUUGUUAAACAGUUAGCCCCUGAAGAGACACAAAUUGAUCAAAUACCGGUAUCUAGAAUUGAAGAGAUCUCAAUGAGUCACACGAGAGAAACAAGGAACCACAAUGACAUCAUCAUAGACAAUAUAUUUGCAUUCCGAGUAGCUAUAGAUCUCAUGAGAAAUGAUGAAGAUCAAAAACCACAAAUUGUGGGUGAAUGUCAAAAAAGGAAUGAAUGACCAAAAUGGAAAGAAACAAUCAAAAUAGAGCUAAACUCGUUAGCAAAACGAGAGGAAUUUGGACCUGUAGUUCAAACACCUAGAAACAUAAAGCUGAGAUCAAGUACUAGAUCUCAGCGCAAUCGGUGUAAAAUGUACCUUGUAAAUUGUACUAGACUAGGCAUAGCAUUUUCUGUUAACUUGCUUGCAAGAUACAGUUUUGCCCUAACUAGAAGGCAUUGGAACGAGAUUAAACAUAUAUUGCGAUACCUUUGUGGAACAAGUGAUCAUGGCUUAUAUUAUUCAAAAGAAUUAAAAUUGCAAUUGAUUGAGUAUGCUAAUGUAGGAUAUAUUUCAGAUCCCCAUAAAGCUCAAUCCCAAAUGGGAUAUGUCUUUACUUAUGGUAGUACAAAAAUAUAUUGAAGAUCAAUCAAGCAAACAAUGGUAGUCAUCUCUUCAAAUCAUUCAGAAAUUCUUGCAAUUCAUGAAGCAAGUCAUGAAUGUAUAUGACUAAGGUCAAUGAUUCAACAUAUUCAAGAAACAUGUGGACUACCUUCCAUAAGAGGCAAUACAACCAAAUUACAUGAAGAUAUUGUUGCUUGUAUUGUGCAAAUUAAAUGAGGAUUCAUAAAAGGUGACAAAACUAAGCAUAUCUCCCCUAAAUUCUUCUACACCCAAGAGCUCUAGGAGAAAGGUGAGAUUGAUGGUCAGGAGAUUCUGUCAUGUAAUAAUCUAGUAGAUCUAUUCACAAAGGCGUUACCUUCGACCAUUAUGAAAAGGUUAAGGUAUGAUAUUGAAUUGAAAAGAUUAAGAGAUCUACUAAUUGAAGAGUUGAAGAAAUCAUAAUCAUAUGUACAAAAGGGGUAGAAAGUUAAGAUGUAUAUAUUGCACUCUUUUUUCCUUUGUCCACGUUUUGUCCCACAGGGUUUUACUAGCAAGGUUUUUGAUGAGGUAGUUACCAUAUCCUUAUGAUCAUCCAAGGAGGAGUGUUUUAAAAUAUGAGAUUUUGUACCACUAUGGUAACUUGUGGAUGAUCAUCCAUAAAUAUUUUUUGUAACUCCCUAUAAAAUGGAGGAACCCUUAAUGAAAUUCUAUUGAGUUUUCCUGUGCAUUUUAUCAUCUUUUUCUGUUUUCUUCUUCCUCCACUUUUACAACAUUAUCUUAUACAUUAAUUUUAAUUAUUUUAUAUUUUUUAUACAUUUUCUUAUAAAUGAGAUUUAUUUUAUAAUUCAUAUAUUUGUUUUUUUAAUUUAAUUUAGGACUUUUAUUUAUUACUUCAAAUAAAUUUAUAAAAAUUAUGGUAAUUCUAAUCAUAAUAAUUUAAUGUUUGAAAAUUAAUAUAAGGAAUUCUCAAAAAUUAUUUUUAGUUUUUAAUAAUUAAUAAUGAUUAUCAAGAUUUAUGAAUUAUGUUUAUCGUAUUUGAUGAGACAUUUAAAUGAAAAUUCAAGAGUUAUAUAUAUAUAUAUAUAUAUAUAUAUGUUUAUUUCAUAAUCAAUUUUAGAUAUUUUUAAAAUUAAUUAAAAUAAUAUAUAAAGAUGUCAUAUGCAAUUUAUCUUUCCAAGUUCUUCUUCUUUCAUAUUGUUGUUUUUGAAAUCACUCUUUUAAUCUAAAAUAAAAAAUAUUAAAAUAUUAAAAUAAAUCAUCCAAAAAAAUCAUGUCAUUAAUUUGAUUUUUAAUUUAUUCUUACUCUUGUCAAUAAUAAAAAAAUUAAAUAAGAAUAAAAAUAAGUACUAAUAAAUAUUUUAAAAUAAAUUUAAAAUUUAUUUAUUUACAAAAUAAUAUGAAUUAUAGACAAAAUUAAUAUAAUGGAUAUACUACAAUUUUGAAUCCCUAAAAAAAAUCAAUCCUACAAAAUAAUGUUCAUUUGUUUAAUCGAAAUUGAAUGCUUCAUAAGAAUGAUGAAAGAAACGAGAGACACAAUGCUGGAGAAUGUUGAAGAAGGACAUGAAACACAAAUCUGUUAGAGUGAGGCACAACACUGAUGAAUGUUAAAGAAAGACACGAAACACAAAUGAUAAUGGAGCAAGUGUCAAGAUUACUCUUAGGGUUGUAGUAUCUACAAAAAUAAAAUAGCACCAAACAUCAAACUCUUUACUAACUUAUGUCAUUUUGUGAGUAAAUAGUAUCGUAGAAAGACAAAGAGAGAAAAAAAAUAAAAAUAAAAACUCAUAAUGGAAUCAAAUAAUAAGAAAGCAAGAGAAAGAAAAAUAAAUUUCACACCCUAUAGGUUGAGAACAUGGGUUCCAUGACCUUCGGGUUGAAAACAUGAGUCUUAUAAAUAAGAGAUAAAAUUAGAAGACAUUAAACAUGAAGUUGAAAGGAAAUUGAAUUCUUAGGGUUGACAUUGAAAAGACAUCAAAUAUAAAGGGAAAUAUGAAUUGAAAAGAUACCCACAUUUAUUGUCUUUUAACAUUUAUUGAUUUAGUGAGAGAAAAGAUUGAUUUUUUAAAUCUCAUACUUUCAUGGAGGUGUUUUUUUUUUCCACAACUAGUUGUAUUUUUUAAUAAAAUUUUAUAAAAGAAAUAGUUAUCUAUUUAAAGAAAUAAAAUAAUAUUCAAAAUCAUAAUUUAAAAAUACAAUUUUAUUAUAAAUUUAUAAAUUAUAGUGUCUACCCUCCAUUUUGUCCCCUAACACAUAUUUUCUCAUUUUAUUUUCUUUCACACCAUGCUUAUUUUUAGUAUGUGUUUAAGAUCCUUCUUCCUUGAUCAUUCAUUGUCCCUUAUUGGUUUACAUUUAUUUGAUUCAUUGUUUAUUUUUUAGCCACAUUUUGGAGGCCAUUUAGGGGGUAAUUUCGGGUCCUUCCAACUUGAGUUUUAGAGACCCCUUAAGCUUAGAUUUUUUUUUUUGUUUUGUUUAAUCUCAGUCUUAGGAGAGUUUCUAAGGUUUUUUUAGUUUUUAGAGAGGCCUAGUAGCUGGCUUAGGAUGAGGACAUGUGUUCUCAUCUUGACUGCUUCACUUUUAAAACACCCAUUUUUUUUUCCUUCUCUUUUUGCCAUAUUUGGGGGAGACCGUCUAGAAACCUCUCAGGAGAGGAGCUUUUCAACAUGUUUUCUUUUCUUUUUUUUCUUUUAUUUUAGGCGAGUUGCCAAGAUGAAGGAGGAGAGUGAGUUGUUAGUAGUGCUUUUCUGCAGGGGGGAAUAUUCUCUGCAUAAGGGUGGUUAUAAGAGAGAAAAAGACACUUUUUUUUUUUUUGUGAGCUUCAAGAGACGUUUUGAGCAUCAGAGGAUAUUGGGAUUAUCAUGAGGAUUUAGGGAGGUGGGAGUGAGAGUUUGAGGAGAAAGAAAACAAGAGGAAGGGAAUGAAACAAAAAAAAUGAGCUAAUGAAUUUUGUUUGUUUUUUUUUUUUUUUUUCUGGUUUUUAGGAGAGAACGCAACUAGCUUGAAGCCAAAUAGAUUUCUAUUUGAGAAAAUGAUCAUAACAUAAGGUUAAUAUGAGUUUCAGUUCUCUAUUUUCUCCAUUGUUUUAUUCUCCACUUUGUUGGUUCCUUUGCAUUGCCCGGUUUGAGUGUGGAUAUUAGGCUACACAUUUAGUUUCUUUUACUAAUCUUUAAAAUGAUUAUAGAUUUGUUGUUAUAUUGUUUAUCUACUAUUCCUCUUGGUAUUGCUAGAAGGUAAUCUCACUCUGUUUUAAUUCUACUAUGAAAGGUUUGAGAAUCAUGUCCACAUUCAUAUUUGACAUGGUCUCUCCUACCUACUUUGCAAGCUUACUGAUAAUGAAGUGAAACUUUAUUUAAGGGUCUAGUGGCUUGGUUUUUUUUAAUUUUUUUUUAAUUCUUUGUUUUUAUGGUUGUUUUCUUCUUGUUGUUUUCCUCUGUUCUUGUUGUUCAUCUUUGUCCUCUACUAGUGGUUUGUCUAGAGUUUUGUCCAGAGGUUUAGUUAUCAGUAGUCAUGAUUGAUAGAAGAAACAAAUAAGUUGUGUGAAGAAUGCAAUCACGAUUGAUAGGAGAAACAAAUAAGCUAUGUGAAGCAUGGGUUCCAUAAUCCCUUAUUUCUCCUCUUACAAAAGAAAUGCAUUGUCAACCUUCAGUAUUGGAAAGUGUCUUAGGGCCACAUACAAUAAUCAAUGGCAAACAUGAAAACCAAUUUCAUGGCUUUACGGGAUGGUUUUACCAUUAACUAAAAUGCUAGGGUGAUGGUCCUUGUGUUAGACAAGAUAUUUUAGAAGAACAAAAUUAGUUUUAGGUUAGUUUUAGAGUUAGCUGAAAAAUAGAAUUAAUUAGUCUUCAAAAAUUGCUUUGUAAACUCUCCUACAUCUCCUUUGUUCUACUCUGUUUUUGCUUUCACCACAUUUUAUCUCUCAUCCAAACUCCUUAACAUGGUAUCAAAGCCAUAAUAUCCAACUCAGUCACCCAUUAACAACUGAUGAAUCCUUCUUCACCAUUCUCCAACUCUUUUAACUAUACUUUGUCAAUAAAACUAGAUCAAGAAAGUACUUGAUCUAGAAAUCUCAAAUUACACGAAUAAUUCAAGUACAUGAUAUGCUUGGUUCAUUGAUGGAAUGAGUAAAUGUCCUCUAGAAUUCAUUAACGAAGAUCCAAGAGCCUUUGAUUCUUGCAUAGUCACUAACCAAGAUUAUGUGUUAUGUCAUUGACAAGAUCAAAUUUUGUUAAGUUGGUUAUUAUCAUCUAUUUCUGAAGAGGUGGUGGCCCAGGGGAUUAGUUGUUCCAUGUCUUUUGAAAUAUGGUUUAUGCUGGAAAAUUUUUUUGCUUCUUAGUUGAAGGCAAAAGUAUUACAAUUGUGUAUCCAACUCCAAUCAAUCAAGAAAAAUUCAUUGACAACGGUUGAAUAGUUUGCAAAGAUAAAAAGAGUUACUAAGAAUCUUGCAGUUGUUGGGCAACCAGUCUCCAAUGAUGAUAUGAUAAUGUACCUUCUUCCUGGGCUUGUACUAACUAUGAUCCAAUUUUAGUAAGUGUUACCUCCAAACUUGAUUCAUUUUCUCUUCAAAGAAUAUAGGUUAUACUACUCAAUCAAAAAACACGCUUAGAACAACUACAUUUAGAAAACUCACUUGAGUUUCAACAAACUGUUGUCAACAUUGCUUCACAUACUUCUUUCAAAGGUAAUGAUCCAAAAGUUUCAAUAGGUGGUCAUACCACCAUUCCUCAAAAUAUGAGAGGGUUUCAAAGGUGGUCAAAUCGAGGAGAUCGAGGCAAUAGAUACAACUUCUCACAACUAAUUUGUCAAGUUUGUGGCAAACUAAGUUGUAUCGCCCUCACAUGCUACUAUUGAUUUGAUCACAAUUACCAAUCUCAAAACUCUCAGAUUUUUAUCUUAAUUACUUCACUAGAAAUACUGGUUGAUCUUGCCUGGUACAUUGAUAAUGAGGCAAAAAAUCAUGUAACAGAUGAGCUAGGAUGUGUGCAAGCUUCUACUAAAUAUCUUGGAAAUAAGAAGUUGACUAUAGACAAUGGCCAAGGUUUGCCCAUUCAACAUAUUGGUCAUUUCUUUUUAUCUACUUCAGAUAAAACUAUUCUUCUUAAAAAUAUAUUGCAUGUUCCAAGCAUUAUUAAAAAUCUUUUAAGUAUCUCAAAAAUUGUUUGCAAUAAUGAUGUUGUUGGGAUUGAGCCCCUAAAAACAAAAAUAAUGUUAGAAAGCUACACCUAACUAUCUCCUUGUUAUCAUUUUGGUGUAUUGACAUUAAUUUGAGCAUUCAGCCCAUGUCUCUUACAUUGUACAUGACUUGGGUGCACUAGGAGUUGCAUAGAAGAUACAAGUCAUGGGUUCCUUAUAAGUAGAUAAGUUGUCCACAGUUAGUUCAUGGAUUUGGGCAAUCCAGUAGAAACUGUAGUGCACCACCUCCUGAUUGGAGGGAUGACUUUCCUAUGGUGAGUGCACUAGUGUAUGUGAUGCACAUUAGAUAAGACCUAAGAUGAAUCAUGAUGCAAGGUUAUCAAUUGUCAUGAUUCACAUAGCUAUUAUAAUAAAUGAACUUUCAACUUUGAGAGGAUAUUGAGUCUAUGUCAAAAUCAACAGGAGGCUUUGACCUAUGGGUGAGACCCUAAAAUGGUCAUAUAUCUCUAUGGAUUGGGUCACUAUUAAUGGAGGCUGGUGGCAACAAGUAUUCUUAAUAUAGGCACCAUCACAUCUCUUGGGAUUGAGACCGUGUAUCCUCUUGGGUGAUCCAAAGGACAUGUGAUCAUGAAAUUUGUGGUCAUAGUAAUUCCUUUAGCAGAAUUUGACAUAUGGUCCUUAGAGUUAGAGUUUGUUAGUUGAUUACUUAAUAAGUGGGAUUCGUAACUCAAGGAUUUGAGAGGUAAUCUUGAUAGGUGAUAUCACUACCUUGUUAGAUUAUGAACACCAGUUCAUGGGGAGUCUGGAUGUAUUAGAUAGUAAGUGACAAGCCUGAGCACUUAGUGUCUUAUUUUUAUUUACCUAGGAUACUAGAGUUUAGUUAAUUCUUUAUAGUGGGAUGUUGAAUCAACUUCAAAAUUGGAUUCUGAGGGAUCCAAUACUCUUAUGGGUCCCAUUGGUCCUCGCUCUAAGCUCAUAUAUCUUGUUGUCAUAGAUUAUGAGGGUCGGAUUGACUUUACAUUCACUUUUGUGCACAAGGGCUUUUUGAUAAUUAUAUAAGGUUGCACAAAGGUAAGUGAACAAGAUCUUGAGAUUGGGCUAAUUGAUUAAUUAGUAGGCCCUAUUGGGUUAAUUAAUCAAUUAUGACCCAUUUUGGGCUAGAUUAAGUGACCUAAACCCAUAUGAGCUCAAGUCACUUAAGCCCAAUUAGGAUCCCUAUAAUUACCCCUUAGGGAUUAGGGUUUUUAUAACUUUGGUCUUCCACUAUCUAAAGAGAAAGAGAGUCAUAGCCUCCACCCUCCUUUCCUCCUCCACCGGAAGUGUGCCAAGAACAAGGUUGAGUCAUCAAACGGAAGAUCAUGGGUUUACGAGACUUCCAACAACUUUAAGGUUGUCUUCAAUAUUUUAAAUUUAAGGCUUGGGAACAUCCAAACCUAAAGGUUAGUACUUUAAACCUAAAAGAUCAUUUUUUAAAAGAUUGGUAUUGCUUUGAUUCCUUACAUCUAAGAUGCCAAUGGAUGUGUUUUUUGAAUUUCAUGCCAUUCGGUGCUUACUCAAGGACAAAAUCAUGAGGAAAAUUCUACUUCAAGGGAGAAUCAAGAAUGGACUAUAUCAUCUUCAAGGACCUAACUUUAUUACUUCAAAAGAAGUUGAAAAAAAAAUUCAUAUGGAAUAAAUGGUACUACUCAAAUAAAGAGGAAAACAAACUCCCCUCUAGAUCAAUUGAAUUCAUCUUUCAACAAUCUAUUACAUAAUGACCCAAAUUGGUUUUCAAAUGUCAAUGUUCCUCAUAUAACUAUAUUGCAUUGAAUGUUCAAUAUGAAGACUUAAGUACUUGGCAUAAUAGAUUUGGGCAUCCUUCUCAUUGUGUUCUUCAUCAAAUACUCAAGAGAUGUAAUAAAUCACAUAUUAGUGAGAAAGCCGCUAGUAAAUUUUGCUUUGCUUGCCAAUAUAGAAAAUGUCAUGAAUUGAAUUUUCAUUCAUCACCUACAAAGACUAGUGAACCUUUAGAACUUAUUCACUCAAAUGUUUAGGGACCAUCACCUCUUCUCUUUACCGAAGGAUAUAAAUAUUAUGUUAGUUUCAUUGAUGAUUUCACCUAAUAUACGUGGAUUUUCCUCCUUAAAAACAGAUCUGCAAUACCUACUACAUUUCUACAGUCCAAGAAGUUUGUUGAGAAUCUACUUGAAGAAAAUAUCAAAGCUUGUAAAUAGAUAUGGGUGGUGAAUACAAACCAUUGACACAUUUCUCAAUGACAAUGGUAUAAUGUUGCAACAAUUGUGUCCUUCUAUGCAUCAACAAAAUGGUUGUGCGGAAUGAACACACAGGAAUAUUGUUGAACUCGACUUAACAUUGUUGUCCCAAGCCUUCAUGCCACUUAGUUUUUGGUGGGAUGCUUUCAACAUUGUAGUUUACUUAAUCAAUAGGUUACCUACAUUGAUAUUGAAUAAUCAAUCUCCCAUGAGAAAAUUAUUCCAUCAAGAACCUAAUUACUUUUUUCUCUACUACUUUAGAUGUGCCUGUUUUCCACACAUCAGACCAUAUAAUAAAAACAAGUUUGAUUUUCAUAUACUCAAAUGCUUGUUUGUGGGUUAUAGUAAUCUACACAAAGGAUACAAGUGCUAAGUCCCUCCAAGAAAAUUUAUAUAACACACAAUGUGGUAUUUGAUGAACAAACAUUUCAUUUUUUCAUGGGAUUUUCAAUUAUCCUGACUUUUGGAUCUUAUAAAAAAUCUAUGAGUACAACCCAAACGCCAAAUCUUACUGUGAUAUUACCUCAGCUCAACAAACCAAGACCAUCUAUUGUUCAAAAAAGCAGCCUAAAUAUUGAAAAAAAUUCUACAACUACUACUUGCAAAAAUCAGUUUACAUCUUGCACUACCAAUGGAAACUCAAGUGAACCAACUCAGACUCUUACAUUUGACGCUUAAAAAAAUUAGUCUACAUUUCAUCCAAUUCCUCAUUGUGACUUGUAUACAGAUUUGUCUAUUCCUACCUUGAAUACACAUCCAGUGACUACAAAAUCAAAGGUAGGAAUAUUCAAACCAAAGCUAUUCACAGUUGAAAGCACAACAAAACAACUUGAAAGUGAACCCAAUAGUGUUACAAAAGCAUUGCAAUCUAACAAGUGGAAAAAAGUUAUGGAACCAAAGAUUCAGGCAUUAAAUCAAAAUCAAACAUGCUACCUAAUAUCUUGUCUUCCACACUAUAAUGUCUUUGGCUACAAAUGGGUGUAUAAAUUAAAAUAUAACCCAAAUAGAUCAAUUCAACAACUCAAGGCAUGACUUGUGCCAAAGGGAUUUCAUCAAACACUAGGAGUUGAUUUUUCAAAAACAUUCACCCUUGUCAUAAAGCCAAUUACUGUAUGCAUCAUCUUAGCUAUAGUAGUUACAAUGGAUUGGAAGAUUCAACUUUAUGUUAAUAAUGUGUUUUUAAACGGAAGCUGCAAGAAAUUGUUUUCAUGUCUCAACUUGAAGGUUUUAUAAUUCCUAAGAAGCCCGAAUAUGUAUGCAAACUACAUAAAGCAUUGUACGAACUUAAACAAGCACCACAUGCUUGGUUUGAAAAAUUACGAAGUACUCUCUUCAAUUGGGGUUUUAAAGAGUUAGAGGCUGACACAUCAUUGUUUAUAUAUCGUGAAGUUUGCAACUCUAUUUUUUUUUUACUUGUGUAUGUGGAUGAUAUUCUCAUUAUUGGGAAUAACUCCCAACUUAGUCGUAAGACUUAUUCAUGACCUCAACUUCUAAUUUUCACUCGAGGACUUAGGGGAUUUUACAUGGGAUUCUAUAGGACCUUAUCUAACUCAAUCCAAAUAUAUCCUUGACUUGUUAAAAUGAACUAACAUGAAAUAAGUUAAAAGUUGCCCUACACCAACAAGUAUGGGACUACAACUAUCCAAUUCGAAAGAACAUAAAUUGAAUAAUGAGAAGUUGUAUCGCAACACUAUUGAAGCAUCACAAUAUCUCACUAUCACUAAGUGAUAAAUAUCUUACAUUGUAAACAAUUUGAGUAAGAUUUUACAUUGUCUUAUUGGUAUGCAUUGGAAAGCUUGUAAACAGGUUUAGAGAUACUUGCGUGGGAGUAUUAAUCAUGAUUUGCAUAUUCAAACUAUUAAGAUUGAGUACCUAAAAGCAAGACAUGAUGUAAAAAAGUUAAGCUUGACUAUUCCCUUGCUAUCCUUAUGGUGUAUUGACAUUGAUUUGAACAUUUAGUUUAUAACUCUUACAUUGUACAUGACUUGGGUGCAGAAGGAGUUGCAUAAAAGAUACAAGUCAUGGGUUCCUUAUAAGUAGAUAAUUUGUUUAUAAUUGGUUCAUGGAUUUGGGUAAUCCAGUAGAGACUAUAGUGCAUCACAUCCUAAGUAGCUAGUGGCUUUGAAAAGCCACUACUUUUAGGUUAUUAUGAUGGUGGUUGCGGACUUGCAGAUUUAGGCCUUGUGUUAUUGGAGGAUGCCCAUUGCAAGAAAGGCAAGUCACAUUGUUUUGGGACUUUAGUGGCCCAAUGAAGAUGGUUAAAGACUCCAACCCCUUGAUCCAUGACUUUUAUGGAUUGGGCCAGACUCAUUUCACUAAUCCAAGGGGUUUAAAUUGCAGAUUAAGGGAUGUGGGUUGAGCCUAACUGGUAGUGAGGGCUUUGUUAGCCUUGUACCCUUGGAGAGAGAUCAAUCUGAAGGUUGUGAGAAGGGAUUUUGGUUAAACAUUCUGGCAUCCCAAGAGAGGAGAGUCUGUCACAACAUUGCAUAGGCAGGAACCUCUAGAUGCUAUGGAUCAAGAGCUAGCUGUCUUUAGUUGAUCUUGAUGGCCUGAGGAUGGUUUGUGACGAACUAGCUCUCUCUGUGCUUGUUCGCUCCUCUUAGAGCCUAGAGGAGGGAGCACCAUUUGUAGAUGCCACCCUCUUGUUUGGAGUAGAAGGUUUUGCAGGUAAGUUAUCAUCUCCAGUUUGUUGGAUGGGGGAUGGGUCUUCUUCUGCAUCUUCUAUUUCCAAAGAUGAGGGUCCAGCCAAAAGCUUGGUUUUGUGGAGGGAGCAGGACAAGGGGCGGCUUGUAGUAGAAUGCAAGGGUGAUGGUUAUGGGAUGUUAUGUAUGACUUCCAGCAAGGGUUUGGUUGUGGACUUUCCAAAGAAUCACCUUAGAGAUGCCUAGAGUGUGAACCUAGAUUUGGGGAGUGAGGAGGUGGUGGCUUUGGAGAAUGGGGGCUCUAGGAGGGACUCGAUGGGAGAUGAGAGCCUCUACGAUUUGUCUUUUGGGAAAUUCGUCUCCUUUAGCAAGUUUUUUGAUUUGCUAGUGGAAGGUUAUGAGAAGGAAAUUGUGUCCUUAUUGAGAAAGUCGGAAGCUAAAAAGGGUUAUAGAGUAGUGGCUUUGAGUAUAAAAAGGAGGCCUUCCUCUAUGUCCGACUUUGAUAGGGAACUUUGCAAAUUGGAGUGCUUGGUCAAUUACAACAAAUCAAGUGGAAAAGGGGGGAGCCAGAAGUGGGGGUGGGAUAUGGUUUGUGAGUGAUCAUGAAGUUCGAGAUUUUUCUUAAUUCCUAAUUCAAUAUAUUACAUUGUUGUUUCUUAAAAAAAGAAAAAAAGAAAGAAAAGUUUUGAGAUUUUUUGAUCGUCAUUAGUAGGUUUAGAGGCUGGGUGUUUGGCUCUCCUUAGAAAUUGGAAGGAUAUGAGAAAAGGAGAGGGGCCAGAAUUGUAUCACUCAAUCUCAAGGUAAGGGAUUUAGAAAGGUGGGCUGGAAUUGUAAUUUCUAAGGGAGCAGAGGGUAGUCAUUUCAGGCAGUGGCAAGGGAGAGUGGAAUUAUUAACAAUGGGUAGAUGAAGUUUGAAUUUAUCCAAGGAUUCAGUAGGAUUGCAGAAAGUGGAUUUGGUUUGCAAACAUGAAAGGUCGUAUAGGUCUUUAUGUCUUUCUAGGCCUUUAGGGUGAUGUUUUUGUAUCAGGUUACGGUUUGUUGUUUCUAUUUUCCUUUUGCUUGCCUUCUGGCACUGUUUGUAUUCUCUGUGUAGUUUGUGCAACUUUACAAAGUGUUUUUAAUAUCUUAUCAGUUUACCUAAAAAAGAAAAGAAAGAGAGAGAGAGAGAAAGAGAGAGAGAUAUGGAUGGGAGGAAAGAAAAUAUAUCAAUCAGGAAGGCCAAAUUAUACUACUAUGCACCUCUUAUGACUGAUUGAUGGGUUUGUGCAAAUUAUAGGAACAAUACCAACAGUAUUGUCCUUUUGACUUGAGCCUCCAAAUUGCUUGGUUAUCUGAAGAUAGUUUUCAUUGAUGAAUACCUCUUGACCUUAUGAUCCAGAUUUUGGCAUAUGAAGUUAAGCAAGCUAUAACUAAAUUGACUUAUACUGUGAAUUUCUUGGAUUUUGAUAAAAGAGUGAAACCUAAAACUGUUAAUUCAGAUCAGUUUUGAAUGAACAUAAAAUGGUGCCUCUACUGUAAUGCCUGAAAUAUUUGAAAUCCAUUCAAUAGCUUCCCAAUGCUCUUCUUUUCAUAAAGUUAUUGAUGGCUCCCAUUGCUUGAGCUUUUUACCCAAUCUUGUAUGCACCAUGACAUACAUGAAAUUAGAAUUGCAAUUUGAGCCGGUUGAACCCAAUCCAACCUGAAAAUGCAAUUUCUGAUUAAGAAAUCUCUAUCAGACUUGAACCCUAUCCGUAUUUAACUAAUUCUAAGUUGAACAUUUGUCUAAUAAGGUGCCUGUGUCGAAACAAUUUUGUAGGAGAAAAUGGGUGAUCGCUUACCACGAAUGCUUGAGUGCAUUGUUUGAGGACAAUUAUUGUUACUGAGUUGUGUGCAAGCUGCCAUUAUAUUUUAGUCAGCAAUUGUUAUAAGAUGAAUGAUCAUGUUUUGUAUCUAUGGAAAUAAAGAAGAAAGAUCGUGAAAUAAGGAAGAAUUUUGUGAUGCAUCCGUUGGAUUUUGAUUAACAUAUUCUUAAUUUACAUGACACAAAUUAACACAUGCUUGGUUUAAAAGCUCACAUGGGAUAAGGUAUCUAUGGAAAUGGAGAAGAAGAUAACGAUAGAAUUUUGUGAUGCAUCUGUAAGCAGUGACAUUUCAUGGAUCGAUUUUGAUUAACACAUGUUUGAUUUAAAAGCAACGAGUGUUUUUCAAAAUAUUUUCUCAAAAAUACAUGGAUUUCAACAAAAAGGUAAAUAAUUUAACUCAAGAAAAAGUGAAAGUGAAAAUGAGGGACAUGAAGGCAAAAAAGAAUCAUUGAUUAAUAAUAUAUUUUAUUUAAUUUUAUAACCUUUUACAACUUGUUUUUAUGACGUAUAAUUAAUAUUUUAUAGCAUGCUCUUGUUUGUAUGUCUUAAACUCAACCUACUCAAAUCUUAAGCCUUCACCCCAAACCAAAAACCACAUUUCAUCUUCCUUCUUGUUACAUUUUUGUAAAAGUAUGUAGGCUGAAAAUUUCAUUUGAGGCAUACCAAGCAGAUAUUUCAAGCAUGAUGCUUUGAACAUUAAUUCUAUUUGUACCUCAUUUAACUACUUUAUACUUUCAACUGCUAUGGGCUUAGAUAAGUAUGCAACCUUUCAUUAAUUUUAUGACUGAACCAGGAACAAUGGUUAGGAGGGCUAUGGUUCAAUAUGCACUAAAAAAUUCAAAUAUAUAUUUUUUUAAAAUUUUACUAACAAAUUCCAAAGAAUAUUUCAAAAGAAUUAAAAAUUAGCACGAAAUCUGAGUAAGGAAAUUUUCAAUAAUUUAGUAGUUUUUGCAGUUAAAAAAUCACAAAAAGUAAAGACUUCAAUAAUUUCUCUAAUAAAUUUUGGAUUUUUUAAAAUAAUUAAUCAUAAAAUUAAUUAAAAAUGAUGAGAUUUUUUACUUAAAAAAUAUCCAUUAUAUAGUAACAUGAGGAUCACAUGAUUACUAAAACUAUAACUCUAAAGCUAGAUAUAAACUUCCUUAAUUUGAAUAAUUAAAUAGUAUAAUAUAACAUAAUUAUAUAGUUUGGUUAUAAAUAAGUUAUUAUUUAAUUAAAUCUCAAAUUCAAUGUGAUUAAAACACAUAUUUAAAAAAUGUUUAAUAAAAUUUUAAAUAAAAAAUUGAAAAUUGGAAAAAUUUAAUUUGAUUAGAAAAAUUAUAAUGAAAUGAAAAUUUUUACAUACACAAAAAGAAUGAAAAAUAAAUUAAGAUAAUAUAUGUAUGAAGAAAAAAAAAUGAUGAAGCUAAAAUAAAAAAGGAAAAAAAAAACUAGGAGUUUCAAGUAGGCUUUAUAAAAUAUUAUAUAUAUUUUAAAAUUUAUUUAAAAUUUUUAAAAAUUAAAUCCUUGAGAGUUAGUAUUAACUUUUUUUUUCCAAUAACAUUCAAAUGAAAUUAUUUUUUAUUUUUGAAAUUAAAAAUUAAAUUCAUAUUUUUUUCACUACUACCUCCGGGUUAUGUACGCCGUUUUAGUCAAGAUCUUCAUUGCAACCUCUUCAAAUUGAUAAAUGGUAGUUUUUUCAUUCAUACUUUCAUUCGUUCAUGUACAGAGUAUAUAUAGAGGGUAAUCGCCAUUCUAAAAAUGAGAAAGAAUGAUACAAGGAAAUAAUGAUAUAAGGAAAUAACAACUAAUAUCCUAACAUCUCAACUUUCCUAAUAUCUCAACGUUCCUAAUAUCUCAACUUUCCUAAUAUCUAAACAUUCCUAAUAUCUCAACACUGAAUGAUAUAAGGAAAUAAUGAUAUAAGAAAAGCAUUCCUAAUAUCUCAACACUCCCCCUCAAGUUGGUGCAUAGAUGUCACAUAUGCCUAACUUGUCUAAAAAAUUUGAGAACACUUGACUUGAGACAGAUUUGGUGAGAAUAUCGGCCAAUUGAUCUUUUGAUCGAAUCUUAGGCAAUUCCACAAUCUUAUCAUCCAACUUUUCCUUAAUGAAGAAUCUAUCCACCUCGACAUGCUUUGUAUGAUCAUGUUGUACUGGAUUAUGAGCAAUGUCACAUGCGGCUUUAUUGUCACAAAACAAUCGGAUUGGUUGCCUAGAUAGGUAACCUAAAUCCUGUAAGAGGAGUCUUAGCCAUAAUGCCUCACAAAGUCUUAGAGCCAUACCUCUAAAUUCCACUUCUGCACUUGAAUGAGCAACGACAUUUUGCUUCUUACUUUUCCAUGUCACAAGAUUACCACCUACAAAGGUAAAGUAACCAGAUGUAGAUCGCCUAUCAUCCACUGCACCGGCCCAAUCAGCAUUAGUAUAUACUUCUAUACUCUGAUGAUCAACAUUUUUAGGGAACAAAAUUCCCUUCCCAGGAGCAUUUUUCAAAUACCUCAAAAUACGCAUGACUGCAUUCAUAUGUUGCUCUCUAGGAUUAUGCAUGUAUUGACUCACUACACUCAAUGCAUAAGCAAGAUCUGGUCUUGUAUGAGCUAAGUAUAUUAAUCUCCCCACAAGUCUCUGGUAUCUUGUUGUAAACCCCCUCUUUUCAAACCAAAUGUAAUGGUUUGUUAUCAUUAUUUUAUCAUUAUUGUUGCUAUAAUUUGAAAUAAAUGGCACUCCAUAACCACCCGGGAGAGUGGAGUUUAUCCAUUUUUUUUGAAGUGGGGGGGACCUCCUUAUGCAUGAAAGUAGCCGCAUGGGACGUGUGGCAAAGAGGUAUGGCCGGCCAUGGUAGUAGUUGAGGAGGACAUGCUGGCUGAUCGGGGAAUAGGAGAACUGGUAAUGGCUUGCCGCGGAAGAUAGAAACAGGGGGUUGGAUAUAGAGUGACAGAGCAAGGCUUGAACGAGGAGGGAGCUAGAUAUCUGGGGGGAGGCUCGCUGGUGAGGACAGGAAGUAAAGGAUGGGAGCAAGCAGAAAGGAAUCAGAAGAUCCGUUCAACUUGAUUCUCUUGGUCCAGGUAUGGUCUUAGUCUAUUUUGUUUCCCCCGUUUUGAACUGCUCUCCCCUAUUUCUAGUCACGUGUGGAUUCCUUUGACAUUUGAAGACCACUUGUGCAUUUUGUUUUCUGUUUUGGAAUGCUCUGAGUUUGGAUUCAUCAUAGCACCUGAUUUUUGGAGAUCAUGCCCAUGUUUUCUUUUGGUUCCACCUAAACCCCUCCCAUUGACAUCUAUGGAACGGGGUGAGACUUAGAAGUUUAUAUAUAUAUAUAUAUAUAUAUAUAUAUAUAUAUAUAUAUAUAUAUAUGCACAUGCUCUGUUUUCUUCUCAUAUUUGUCUGUCAAGUUUUUUUGAAAUGCUAGGUGCCGCACUUCAUACUAGACAUCUGGGUCAAGGCGCUCAAUGAAAUUGUCACAUCCCUUUUCUCUGAGGAAAGUCCCAAUGAGGUCUUGAAGUCCUUUGAUUCUUUAUAGCCUUUGUUAAUGGAAAAUGUAUUUUCAGAGAGUUUUAGCGCCUCUCUGAAAAUGUAUUAGUUGAAAUAGAAAAAUAAUGUUUCAAAAAAUAUAUAGGCAAAAUAUUUCAACAUAAGCUAAUGGUACAUUACCUUAUAUUAUUUUUUGGGGUUUUUUUUUUUGCUCAUUUUUCUCUCAAUGUUUAUAAAUUUGCAUUGAAGAAAUAAGUUUUAUUAUUUUUAAAUUCAAUUUAGAAAAUGGUAAUAUUGUGAAAGUUACAUUCAUUUAUAAUGAUACCAACAUAUACUUACCUCAAUAAUAUAAAAUUAUUCUCUUUGAUGUUUCUUUUUCCAUAAAUGAGUUGGAAAUAAGAUAAGUUUUGUUUAUAAAAUUUCAAUUUAAUUAUUUUGGGCAAAAGCAUAUAAUAUAUUGAACAUACCUGUUAAGAAAGUUGACAUCCUAUGGUCUUUUUGAUGAGUUUGUUUAAUAAGUUUCACCUAACUGAGAAUAGUAUAAAGAUAAAUUUAUGUGUAAUUCUAUUAAUAUUGUUAUAUUAUCAAUAAAAAGAUACGUACCUGUGGACCUCACAUUUCGGGUCAUGCAUUUUCCACUUGAUGGUGAGCUCGAUUUUUAUUUGAAAAUGAUUUUAUUAUUAAAAAAAAAUGACUUGAAGUCGCCACUUAUUUUUGUUUUAGUUUUAAAAAGGUAAACAAAAUAAGAAAGAAAACCCUAAGUGUGAUUCCUUAUUUUGGAAAAGGUGGUCUAUGAAAAACCGGAUCAGGCUCGGGAGUCGGGUUACUUAUCGGGAAGGUACAGUAAAGACCGUAGCACCCCUCUAAGUCCCUAAAGUCAGGUCUCUACUAAUAAAAUGAAGUUGACGUGGCAAUCAAUAGGAAAAUUACUCAAAUCAGUCAUGCACAUAUAGGAAUCAAAACAUGUAUAGAGAAUGACUAGAAUGGGAGUGGAUGGGUACCUGGGCCACGAACGAGCAAUGCGCUAUCAUAAAAAUGGGGUCAGUGUAUAAUAAAGAGCACAAAACAUAUCACAUGCAUCACCAAACAGAAAUUAAAACUGCUCGAGGGAAAAUUGGAUUUUUUAAAUUUAUUUGAAAAUUGGAGUCUUAGAGAUUAUUUGAAAAUUAGAGUUUUGGAGAUUAUUUGAAAACUGGAUUUUUAGAAAUUAAAUGUAGGAAUGAGAAUUUUAGAAAUUAAAUUUGAAAGAAAUUAGAAUUUUGAAAAUUAUUUGAGAGUUUGGGAUUUUUAAAAAAUUAAAUUACAAAAUUGGGGCUUUUGGAAAUUAAAUUUUGAAAGAAAUCAGGAAAAUCAAUGGAUACUCAAAUCGGUCAUGCACAUAUGGGAAUCAAAACAUGUAUAGAGAAUGACUAGAAUGGGAGUGGAUGGGUACCUGGGCCACGAACGAGCAAUGCGCUAUCAUAAAAAUGGGGUCAGUGUAUAAUAAAGAGCACAAAACAUAUCACAUGCAUCACCAAACAGAAAUUAAAACUGCUCGAGGGAAAAUUGGAUUUUUUAAAUUUAUUUGAAAAUUGGAGUCUUAGAGAUUAUUUGAAAAUUGGAGUUUUGGAGAUUAUUUGAAAAUUGGAUUUUUAGAAAUUAAAUGUAGGAAUGAGAAUUUUAGAAAUUAAAUUUGAAAGAAAUCAGAAUUUUGAAAAUUAUUUCAGAGUUUGGGAUUUUUAAAAAAUUAAAUUACAAAAUUGGGGCUUUUGGAAAUUAAAUUUUGAAAGAAAUCAGGAAAAUCAAUGGAUACUCAAAUCGGUCAUGCACAUAUGGGAAUCAAAACAUGUAUAGAGAAUGACUAGAAUGGGAGUGGAUGGGUACCUAGGCCACGAACGAGUAAUGCGCUAUCAUAAAAAUGAGGUCAGUGUACAAUAAAGAGCACAAAACAUAUCACAUGCAUCAUCAAACAGAAAUUAAAACUGCUCGAGGGAAAAUUGGAUUUUUGAAAUUUAUUUGAAAAUUGGAGUUUUGGAGAUUAUUUGAAAAUUGGAUUUUUAGAAAUUAAAUGUAGGAAUGAGAAUUUUAGAAAUUAAAUUUGAAAGAAAUCGGAAAUUUGAAAAUUAUUUGAGAGUUUGGGAUUUUUUAAAAAUUAAAUUAUGAAAUUGGGGAUUUUGGAAAUUAAAUUUUGAAAGAAAUCAGAAUUGAAAAUUAUUUUAGAAGUAGAAACUAUGAAAAUUGAAUUAUAAAAAUUGGAAAUCUUGGAAAUCGUUCGAAGGCAAAAUUUUUAGAAGUAUAUGAAUAAAAUGAUAAUAAUAAUGAUAAUAAUAAGUAAGUAACGAAAUGAAUGCGAGAAUUAGAAUAUUGGAAAUUGAAAAUUAAGUUCGAAAAUUGGAAAAUUGGAAUUUCAGAAAACUAAAUUUGGAAAUCGGAAUUUUGAAGAAUUAUUUAAGAACAUAAUUUUAAAUAAAUGAAUAAGUGAAUAAAUAAAUGAAUAAAAUAAUAAUAAUGACGAAAUAAUAAUGAUUGGAUGAAUAAUUGCGGAAGUUAGGAUUUCGGAAAUUGGAAAUUGAACUUAGGGAUUGGAAAUUUUAAAAAUUAUUUAGGGAUGAAAUUUUAAAUAUAUGAAUAAGUGAAUAAAUAAAUAAAUGGGAUAAUAAUAACGAAAAUAAUCAUUAAACAACAAAAUGUGAAUAGUGGAAUUUUUUAGAUUAGAAAUUAAAUUUGGAAAACGGAAUUUUGAAAAAUUGAACUUUAAUGAUUGGAAUUUUUAAAAGAAAUAAAUAAAUAAAUAAAUUGAAUAAUAAUAAUAACAACGAAAAAAAUAUUUAAACGAAUGAAUGUGAAUAGUGAAAUUUUUGAAAUUUGAAAAAUUGUUUAAAGAGAGAAUUUUUAGAAUAAAUAAACAAAUAAAUAAAUGGAAUAAUAGUAAUAACGAGAAUAAUAAUUGUGAAAAUUGGAAAGUGAAUUUAGAAAUUGGAAAAUUGAAGAAUUAUUUAGAGGUGGAAUGUCAGAAAAUUAAAUUUCGAAAGUUGGAAACCCGAAAAAUUAUUUUAAGGCUGGAAUGUCGGAAAAUUAAAUUUUGAAAACUGGAAACCCAAAAAAAUUUAUUUUAAGAAUGAAAUGUCAGAAAAUUAAAUCUUGAAAAUUUUGUUUUGAUAUCAAAAUGUGAAGAAAUAAUAAAAAGAAAUAUGAAUUGUGGUGAUCUUCACGUGCACGUCUCCGGUAUAAUGGCCAUAAACCCAUUUUAUAUAUUCUUUUCCACCACCUUAGCAAACAGCUUUUGCAUGAAGAUUGAUGAGUGGGUGUGGAGGUUGGUAUGGCAAUGCAUGCGUGAGGCUUUUAAGGAUGGAAUUAAAUUUCAAAAACUGGAAACCCAAAUUAAAUUUUGAAAGCUGAAAACUCGAAAAAUUAUUUUAAGGACGGAAUGUCAGAAAUAUAAAUUUCAAAAACUAAAAAUUCGAAAAAUUAAUUUAAGGAUGGAAUGUCGAAAAAUUAAAUUUCGAAAACCGGAAACCCGAAAAAUUAUUUUGAGGAUGGAAUGUCGAAAUAUUAAAUUUCGAAAACUGGAAACCCGAAAAAUUAAUUUAAGGAUGGAAUGUCGGAAAUAUAAAUUUCGAAAAUUGGAAGCCCGAAAAAUUAAUUUAAGGAUGGAAUGUCGAAAAAUUAAAUUUCGAAAACUGGAAACCCGAAAAAUUAUUUUAAGGAUAGAAUAUCAGAAAAUUAAAUUUCAAACGCUGGAAACCCGAAAAAAAUUAUUCUAAGGAUGGAAUGUCAGAAAUAUAAAUUUCGAAAACUAGAAACCCGAAAAAUUAUUUUAAGGACGGAAUGUUGGAAAAUUAAAUUUCGAAAACUGGAAACAUGAAAAUUUAUUUUGAGAAUGGAAUGUCAGAAAAUUGAAUCUUGAAAAUUUUGUUUUGAUAUCAAAAUGUGAAGAAAUAAUAAAAAGAAAUAUGGAUUGUGAUGAUCUUCAAGUGCACGUCUCCAGUGUAAUGCCCAUAAACCCAUUUUAUAUAUUCUUUUCCAUCACUUGAGCAAACAGCUUUUGCAUGAAGAUUGCUGAGUGGGUAUUGAAAAAUGAUGACAUGGGCAAAGUAAUGGAGUCAGCCACUAGCAGGAAAUAAAUAAAAAAUAAAAAUCCUACAGACCCAUUUAAUUCGACAUCAAACCAGAAAGCAAAACCAUGCAGUAGAGCUCGCAUCAACUGGAUCACUCUUUCUUAUCAAACUUCUUAUCAAAUAAAAAUCCUCUUUGGAAUUCCCAUUACCUCAGAAGGAAACAAAAUUCUAGAUGAGUUGUGGCCCUAGCAGUAACCAUAUUUAGCUAAAAAAAAAACCCAGAGACAGUCCUUUGGUCUUGGUCCAGAUGAUAUCUUCAAUUCCAAGAAACAAAACUCCCUCGGUUGGUCUGGAUUCCCUUACAAGAACUUGGGAAACAUUCCGACAACAUGGAGAUGACAGUUUGAUAAGGGAUAAUCAAAUUCUCCAUGAUACGUGCUUCCUUCCUUUUCUGUUAGCAUAAUAUCCGCUUGUAUAGCUAUAGGGAUAUGCUCAAUAUUUGUGUUUGAUUCUUUCCUAUUAUGUAGGAGUUUACAACUGUAAUUAUCGUGUAUAUAUUAUGAAGAGUUAUCUCCUCAUCUGGCAAGGAGGAUUUCAGUCAUUUACCGUGUUUAUCAAACAUCUUUAUGGUAUCAGUUUCAAGUUUUCUUUUUUCCGAUUCUGACCAUGGCUAUUUCGUCUUCUUCACCUCCUACUCUUCCGCUCAAUACAAUGGUGCAUAUGCUCACCAUUAAACUGACCUACUCCAAUUAUCUAUUGUGGAGAAAUCAGUUCGUUCCUCUGUUAGCUAAUCAAGAGCUUUUUGGUUAUUUGGACGGUAGCAUCACGACUCCUUCUCCCAUGAUUACUGCCUCUGAUGGCACCACAAAAUCCAAUCCUGCAUAUACCUCUUGGCUGCAUACCAAUCAGACACUGCUCAGUUUACUCUAUUCUUCUCUCAUAGAGGAAUCUAUGAGUGAGGUCUUGGGUUUCUGUCACUCCCACGAGGCCUGGCAUGCGCUUGAAGUCUCAUUUUCGCACCGAUCAAAGACUCGCGAACUGCAACUCAAGGAUGAACUCCAGCUGACGCACCAUGGCUCUCAGUCCAUUGCUAAGUUUUCUCGCACCUUCAAAGGCCUUUACGAUCAACUGGCUGCUAUUGGACGUCCCAUUGACGACACGGAUAAAGUUCACUGGUACCUACGCGCAUUGGGACCCGACUACAAGAUCUUUUCUACCACCAUGAUGUCACAACUCCCUCUACCAUCCUUUGCUGAAAUUGUUUCGAAAGCUUUGAGCCAUGAAAUCUUUGAACGGUCAGUUUCCCAUUCAUCUUCCAACUCUGCUUAUUUUGUGCAGCAAACUUCCAAAGUGGCUGGUCAUAAGCAAGUGAAGCAUCAGUCUUCAGCUUCUCCUACACCAUUUGCCAACUCAAAGUCAUCAUCCAACUCCUUCGUCCACUGUCAGUUGUGCGACAAAGAGGGCCACUCGGCUAAACGUUGCUGGAAUUUCCUGAAACUCAAGAAGAAGCAAUCGGCUAACCUUGCUGAGGCUUUUUCUGCCUGCUCGAUUCAGGAUUUUAAUGACUCUGAAUGGUUCCCUGACUCUGGUGCAGCGUCCCACAUGACUAGUGACACCAAAGGUGUGGAUCAACCGGCUGUCUAUUCUGGUAAUGAACGUGUCAUGGUUGGUAAUGGUCAGUCCUUAGCAAUCUCUCACACUGGUUCCAUUUCAUCUCUUGUUCCGUCUAGUCCUCUUCUUUUAUCUAAUGUCUUAGUUGUUCCUGGAAUUAAGAAAAAUCUUAUUUCUAUUAGUCAACUUACUAAAGACAAUAAUUGUUGUGUUACCUUUUCUUCCUCUGGUUUUACCAUACAGGAUCGGGUCACAAGAGUGGUACUGGGAGUCAGAAGAUGUGAAAAUGGUCUCUACGUGCUGGAUCGUCGUCAUCAUGCCUUAGUGUCCACUACUUCUUCACCGCGAGCAUCUAUUCGUUUAUGGCAUACUCGCCUUGGUCAUCCACAUUAUCGUACUGUUGCUUCUCUUUCUAAAUUAGGAUCUAUUUCUUGUAGUAAUAAAUUGGUGAACAAUGAUUCUGAAAUUUGUGUUGGUUGUAGACUCGACAAAAGCCAACGUUUACCUUUUUCUUUAAAUAAUGAACGUUGUGCUAUGCCUUUUGAUCGUUUACACUGUGACCUAUGGAGUCCGUCACCAGUUUCUUCUUUUAAUGGAUAUAGAUACUAUGCGGUUUUCAUUGAUGAUUGUACUAGAUUUAGUUGGAUAUUUCCUUUAAAACACAAAUCUGAUUUCUUUGAUAAUUUCAUCAAUUAACAAAGUUUUAUUGAGACACAGUUUUCCGCCAAAAUCAAAUCAUUUCAGUGUGAUGGUGGAACUGAGUUUACUAAUAAUAAGUUUCGCUCUCAUUUGCAUUCGUGUGGCAUUAAUCUUCGUCUGGCAUGUCCUUACACUCCUAGUCAAAAUGGAAUUGCCGAACGUAAGCAUCGUCAUGUCACAGAAACAGGUCUUACUCUUAUGUUUCAUGCUCGUGUGCCGCUCUCCUCAUGGGUUAAGGCCUUCUCUACUGCCAUCUUUCUCAUUAACCGACUCCCGUCACCAUCUCUUGCUGGCAAAACACCUUAUGAGCUCCUGUUUGGUAAGCAACCCGAUUAUUCUAUGCUUCGUACUUUUGGGUGUCUUUGCUUCCCUUAUUUGAGAGAUUACUCACCUAAUAAAUUGUCUCCAAAAUCUACUCCUUGUGUCUUUUUAGGUUACAAUACCCUUCAUAAAGGAUUUCGGUGCUUAGAUCGUAAGACACAUCGUGUCUAUGUUUCUCGACAUGUGCAGUUUUAUGAACAUACCUUUCCCUAUAAUGGUGAUUCUGUGCAAAAUCUACCAUCUAACAUUGACUAUAUUCAUUUUUCUGAGUCUCAGGAAUGUGUUUCUAGUUCUUCUAACGUUAGUACUUCAGAUUCUUUGCCUUCACCAUCUUUCUCGAAUUCACUGUGUUUGCCUUGCAAUGAUAUUCCACACUUGUCUUCGACUUCUUCUCCUGGUCCGCAAGUUCCUCUUGAUGAGGACUCUCUCUUGGAUUCUGUUGUUACAGAUUCGACCACUCCUUCACUAGUUUCGUCUUCUCCUCGUGUGACCACUUCCAGCCAUUCGAUGAUUACUAGAGGGAAAACUGGUAUAUUCAAACCACGAUUGUAUCAUGCUAUGAAUAUCUCAUCUUCUUCUCAGUUGUUUCAGGCUCUUCUUGCUCUCAAAGAGCCACGAGGCUUCACGUCUGCUGCAAAACACCCUGAAUGGCUCUCGGCUAUGGAUGAUGAAAUUCACGCACUGAAGAAAAAUGAUACGUGGGUUCUUGUACCUCGUCCUCAACAUCAUAAUGUGGUUGGCUGUCGCUGGAUUUUCAAAACAAAGCUUCACUCUGAUGGGUCUAUUGAGCGUCAUAAGGCAUGUCUUGUGGCUCAAGGAUUUUCUCAAGUUCAUGGUCUUGAUUUUGGUGACACCUUUAGCCCUGUGGUGUGUCCUGCUACAGUCAGAAUCAUUCUAUCCUUGGCUGUUACUUCUGGAUGGCGUUUACAUCAGCUAGAUGUUAAAAAUGCCUUUCUUCAUGGCUUUCUCAACGAAGAGGUGUAAAUGGAACAACCGCCUGGCUACACUGAUCCACAGUUUCCUCAGCAUGUUUGUCGUCUAAAACGUGCUCUUUAUGGCUUGAAACAAGCUCCUCGAGCUUGGUUUCAUCGAUUUAGCUCAUUUUUGCUCAAACUUGGUUUUCACUCUAGUCAGGCUGAUUUUUCAUUGUUUGUCUAUCACUCCUCGCUUGGUACUGUUUACUUACUUCUUUAUGUUGAUGACAUGAUCAUCACUGGAAGUACUCCUUCUCUGGUUCACACCUUUAUUACUCGGCUUUCCAACGAAUUCUCCAUGAAGGAUUUGGGUGAUCUUCAUUAUUUUCUCGGAGUUGAAGUCCAAGCUAAUGAGAAGGGUCUAUUUCUCAGUCAAACGAAGUAUGCUCUUGAUCUCUUGCAACGUGCUUCAAUGAUUGAUGCCAAGCCUAUUUCUACACCUUUUGUUGUUGGACAGCAUCUAUCCGCCGAAGGGACUCUAUUCUCCGACCCUACUCUGUUUCGUUCUCUUGCCGGUGCUCUUCAAUACCUCACGAUCACCAGGCCUGAUUUGUCCUUCAGUGUCAACUCCAUUUGCCAGUUCAUGCAUGCUCCCACCGAGGAUCAUUUUCGUGCUCUCAAGCGUAUCUUGCGCUAUGUUAAAGGCACUGCUCAUCAUGGUCUUCAACUUCACAAACAGUCUACUCAUGAUCUUCUUGGCUACUCUGAUGUGGACUGGGCUGGAUGUCCUGAUACACGUCGUUCUACCACCGGCUAUGCUAUCUUUUUUGGAGCUAAUUUAAUCUCUUGGUCUUCUAAGAAACAAAGCACUGUCUCUCGUUCAAGUGCAGAAGCCGAAUAUCGCUCCUUAGUUGUUGCUACUGCUGAUAUUGCAUGGAUUAUUCAGUUGCUUCGGGACCUUCAUGUUACACUCUCAGUGCCACCUAAAAUUCUUUGUGACAAUCAAAGUGCAAUUUUUAUGGCAGUCAAUCCGGUUACUCAUCCUCGAUCCAAACAUAUUGCAAUCGACUACCAUUUUGUUCGUGAACUUGUUGAUAAAGGCACUUUGAAAAUUGAUUUUGUUCCUUCACAUCUACAGCUUGCUGAUUCACUGACCAAAGGAGUUACCAAGCCACAGUUCUAUCUCUUUCGAAGCAAGCUCAGCGUUCUCCCUUCUACCACGCUCACCUUGCAGGGAGGUGAUAAGGGAGAAUCAAAUUCUCCAUGAUACGUGCUUCCUUCCUUUUCUGUUAGCAUAAUAUCCGCUUGUAUAGCUGUAGGGAUAUGCUCAAUAUUUGUAUUUGAUUCUUUCCUAUUAUGUAGGAGUUUACAACUGUAAUUAUCGUGUAUAUAUAAUGAAGAGUUAUCUCCUCAUCUGGCAAGGAGGAUUUCAGUCAUUUACCGUGUUUAUCAAAACAUCUUUACAGUUGUUCAGUUAUACCAUUAUUUGUCACCUUGUUUUUUUUUUUUUUUUUUUUCAGCAAGCUUAACGUCUUUUCCAGUUCACUAACAUGUCUAGGAUGAUAUACUGCUAUUAGACAAUUCGAUAUAUCCGAAAUGACCUUCACGUUGUCCAGGUUCGAUGCAAUACUAAUUUCCUGUCUCAUAGGCAACCCAAACAUGAUACCCAACAUUCCAAAAGUGCACGAAACAGAGGAAGUGAAGAAAAACAGAGCAUAUACAAAUGAAAAAGAUACGAUUGAACUCAGCUCCAUUUCAUAACGAUCAAUGGGCUGGAUACAGGUGCCAUAGGAAGGAAGCAAAAAAAAAAAAAAAAUGAUUUUGAUACAUCAAGCUCGGGGGAGGAAACAAAGCAUCAGGCAUUGACAAGAAAGAUAGAAAAAAAAAAACACCAGAAACAAAACCAAAACAGAGCAUGCAUACAAAGGAUAGAUCCCUCAAAGCAAACAAGUGGCCUAGUAGUCAUACCUGGAUGUUUUCCUCAAGCCAAAAGUUUCCUGGCCACCCGCUCUGCUCUCCUCCCUUCCCUCUCCUGCUUCAGCCAAAGAACCCCUCUUUUAGAAAGAAUCCCCUCACCUCCAAAUCUCCCCCGUUUCCCCAUCUUCCUUAGCAAGCCACUACCUGAUCUCAUGUGCACCAUUCCGCCAAUGCGUCAUCCUCACCCACCACCAUGGGCAAGCCGUGCUCUUGGCCACCUGUCCAUGCAGCUUCUUCAUGGCAGAAAAUGGGUCCCUCCUCAUCUAAAAAAAAUGAAUGGAAAAUGCCCCCCCCCCCCCGGUGGUCCAAUAUGAAAUUAGAGUUAUUAUAAAUGACAUGAUGAUAAAAUUAAUUAAUUUGUAGAAGUUGAGAAAAUGAACCAUUGUUUCUUUUGUUUUGUCAAAAUGUUUUUGACCAUCAUCCAUAAAGUUGGCGAAUCAACUUUGACUGUAGCACCCCAUUUUGGACUAUAGAGUUGUAGCUUCAACUAAGAUUAGUUUGAUUAGGUUAGUAAUUAUAAUAUGAAUUAAAAACUUAAUAUUUGAAUAUUAUGUGUAAGAUGUAAUACCUUGUUUUUAGUCAUUGAUGGUACUUGUCCUUUUAUUGCAUGAAAACAAAUCUGAAUUGGAAAUGUUAAAGUGAAGUGUAAAUAAAUAGAAAUAUGAUCAUAAUUUAUGUUGUUGAACAUAGAUAACAUGGCGACACCGUUAAGUAGAUAAACUAAAAGAUAACAAUAUAAUAAGAAAUCUAACAUUAUUCGUUAUCAAAUAUUUUUUAUGAUUUUCUAUCCCUUGAUUUUGAAAAUAAAAACGUAGAUAAGGUAAAAAGCAACAAAUAGUAAAAAAAUAUAAAAGCAAGAAAAUGAUAAACAAUGAAAUAAAUAAGUUAAAAAUGACAAACCGUGAAAUACAUAAGUUAGUUAUAGUAAAAUUCUUUGACAAAUGAUUUAUAAAAUAUGUAUUUUUGUUUUUGGGUUAUCGCAUGAAAAAAUUAUUUAAAUUAUAUGUUAUUUUACUGAUAAAAGGUAAUUUCAUUAAAUAUUUACCAUUUCAUCGAAUUCUUUUAUUGAAUUAUUUUGUAUUGGGUUCUUUAAAUGUUGUUUCAUACAUAGAUAUGUGGUUAUUCAUGCCCAGGUUGUUUUCUAAAGUGUUUGAUUUUUAAUUAUAAGUGUAUAUUAAUUUUCGUGGAAUAAUCUUUAAAAAUUAAAUAAAAAUAAAAAUAUAUAAUAAAAAACAUAUUAUUUUAUAUUUUUAAGAAUUAUAGAAACAAUCCUUUAUUUCCUAUUGUUAAAAUUGCUUUCAAACGUAGCCUCACUACCGCAAAUUUUUUACACCACACAACGUUGUAAAUAACAGAGGGAACACAGUUUAGUUUAGUUGGUGUAGACACAUACUUUGUUGUAGCUUAUGAACUUGAAUAUUCUCAAGUUCUAACAAUUGUUAAAUUUAAAAUUAUGUUUUAAUAUAUUUAGAAGUCAACAUUGUGAAAAUAUUAUGAAAGAUAAUACUAUCGUUGUAAAUUUUUUAUUAAAUUUUGAAAAAAUGUAAUGCAAUUUGAAUUUUUUUUAAAAAAAUUAUAGUUUAAUAAAAAUAUCUAUGCACAUGUAUAAGUAAUCUUGUUAAGGUAAUUUAUGAAUUUUAAAAAAUAUCCUAUUUAAAAACUAAUCUAAUUAUACUAACAGACAAUAGAUGAAUUAUCCAAAAUAAUAAAAAAAAAUAAAAAAUAAAAACUAACAUUUUGUUUGUUAAUGCAUAAUAAUAAUAAAAAAAGAUAUUAUCAACAAAUAAAUACCUUGAUAUGUUUAAAAUGAGCGGGAAAUUAUUUCUUUAACCAUAAUUGGUCAUCAUUUUUUAUCUCUGAAAUAUGAAAAUAGAAACAUAGAUAAGUUAAAAACCAAUAUAUGAUAAAUAAAAAAAACUUGAUGAUAAGAAAAUGAUAGAGGGUAAAUUAGAUAAGUUCAUUACCUAAGAUGAAAGGCCAGUUUAGUAUCAAAUUCCAUGGGAGGUUGUUAUAAGAUAUGUAUAUAUAUAUAAUAUCAAAUGACUUAAAGUAGGAGAUAUUUAUUGAGGUUUAAUAUUAAUAUCAUGAAAAUAAAUGAAAGUCAUUAAUUUAAAAUUGAAUCAUUUUUUAAGGGAAAGUUUUGUUUGCAGGCUGCUAUUAGGAAGAUAUAUGGUUUUGGAAACCCAUGUAAAUGAAAUAUGAAAUGUCCUUGUUAAUGGAGAAAAUAUUAUCUUUCUCAUGCACUCUUUGCUGACUCCAAUUUAUAUUCCUAGAUUGCCCCUCCAUGCCUCCAUAUCAGCUACAACCUUGUCUCCAUAUCAGCAAGAAGCCCUCCAUGCCAAUGAGAGAGUGAAAAUUUUUAAAACAAAAAUCUAAAUUUGAAACCUAUGAAAAAUGACCCGACCUGACAACCAUCUCUAAUUUCCUUAAUCUGAAAUUUUCUUCUCUCUGAUUUGAGAGCAUUUCUCUUUCUCUCUCUCUCUCUCUCUCUCUCUCUCUCUCUCUCUCUCUCUCUCUCUCUCUCUCUUUUCCUCUCUCUCUCUCUCGGCUUCAUCACCCACAUAAUCCCAAGACCCAUGUAAAAUUUCCCAAAAAUUGUCUUAUUUAAGAGAAAAAAACCAUUAAUCCAAAACUCUAACUUGCAUGUUUCUUUCUUGUCCACAUAAAAGUGCAACGAAAUGGAGCAUUCCAUCCUAAGAAUGUCCAGUUAAAAGACGACUUCAAGAGGCACAUCUGUGAUUGUGAAUCUACUACAGCAGCGCGUACCAAAACGGAAAGGUGGAAUCCAAAAUAUUGGCUUUGUAAACAAGAUAUCUCUUUCUAUCAUUGAGUGACAUUUUGCCCUAACCCUAAACCGAAAUCUGAAGGUAAAUUAUUUUCAUUUAUUGUUCUUUAGUUCAUUUAUUUGAAAUAGAGCACAUCAACGUUUUGGAGUCGUUUGUGGACAUGAACUUUUGUGUUGGGUUGUGGGAACCAUAUUAUUCCUAAAUAAUCAUAUGACCCACAAGUCAUAUUGAACCAAGAUGGAACUUACAACAUAUAUGGUUGUAAGUCGCAUUGUUAUUUUGCGGACUGUACCUUAGGUACUACCUUAAUAGCCCUUAGGUACCACCUUAACCUACCUUAGGUACCACCUUAACCUACCUUAGGUACUACCUUAAGCCACCUUAGGCACUACUUUAGUUAAAGUUAGGUUGUACCUACCUAAAGCAUCGAACCUUCCUUUGUCACCCUUAGAGCAUGCCAUUAUGUGAUUCUUUUAUGUGGUCAAGUGGUUCGCCUUUGGUUUUUUGUGGAUUAUACCUUAGGUGCUACCUUAAUAGUCCUUAGGUACCACCUUAUUCUACCUUAGGUACUACCUUAAGGGACCUUAGGUACUACCUUAGUUAAAGUUGGGUUUUACCUAUUCGAUGCCUUGGACCUUCCUUUGUGACCCUUAGAUCAUGUCAUUAUGUUAUCUUUUGUGUGGGCCAGUGGUUCACCUUUGAUUUUUUAGGGACAGUACCUUAGGUACUACCUUAAUAGCCCUUAGGUACCACCUUAAUCUACCUUAGGUACUACCUUAACCGACCUUAGGUACUACCUUAGUUAAAAUUGGGUUUUACCGAUCCGAAGCCUCUAACCUUCAUUUGUCACCCUUAGACCAUGCCUUUAUGUGAUUCUUUUGUGUGGUCAAGUGGUUCACCUUUGGUUUUUUGCAGACUGUACCUUAAGUACUACCUUAAUAGCCCUUAGGUACCACUUUAAUCUACCUUAGGUACUACCUUAAGGGACCUUAGGUACUACCUUAGUUAAAGUUGGGUUCUACCUAUCCGAAGUCUUGGACCUUCCUUUAUGACCCUUAAACCAUGCCAUUAUGUGAUUCUUUUGUGUGGGCAAGUGGUUCACCUUUGGUUUUUUGGGUACUGUACCUAAGGUACUACCUUAAUAGCCCUUAGGUACCAUCUUAAUCUACCUUAGGUACUAACUUAGUUAAAGUUGGGUUCUACCUAUCCAAAGCCUCAGACCUUCUUUUGUGACCCUUAGACCAUGCCAUUAUUUGAUUAUUUUGUGUGGGCAAGUGGUUCACCUUUGGUUUUUUGGGGAUUGUACCUUAGACACUACCUUAAUAGCCCUUAGGUACCACCUUAACCUACUUUAGGUACUACCUUAACCGACCAUAGGUACUACUUUAGUUAAAGUUGGGUUCUACCUAUCCAAAGCCUCUGACCUUCCUUUGUGACCCUUAGACCAUGCCAUUAUUUGAUUUUUUUGUGUGGGCAAGUGGUUCACCUUUAGUUUUUUGGGGACUGUACCUUAGGCACUACCUUAAUAGCCCUUAGGUACCACUUUAAUCUACCUUAGGUACUACCUUAACCGACCAUAGGUACUACUUUAGUUAAAGUUGGGUUCUACCUAUCCGAAGCCUCUGACCUUCCUUUGUGACCCUUAGACCAUGCCAAGUGGUUCACCUUUGGUUUUUUGGGGACUGUACCUUAGGUACUAUCUUCAUAGCCCUUAGGUACCACCUUAAUCUACCUUAGGAACUACCUUAACCGACCUUAGGUACUACCUUAGUUAAAGUUGGGUACUACCUAUCCGAAGCCUUUGACCUUCCUUUGUGACCCUUAGACCAUGCCAUUAUGUGAUUCUUUUGUGUGGUCAAGUGGUUCACCUUUGGUUUUUUUAGGACUGUAUCUUAGGUACUACCUUGAUAGCCCUAAGGUACCACCUUAAUAUACCUUAGGUACUACCUUAACCGACCUUAGGUACCAUCUUAGUUAAAGUUUGGUUCUACCUAUCCGUAGCCUCUAACCUUCCUUUGUCACCCUUAAACUGAAAAUGCUCACUCAAACGUUUGGAGCAUAAGACAAUUUGUUCAUUAAAGGUCACAACAUUAAAGAAAUUGAGAAUUUUUGACACAUCAUAAGAUUUUGAAUAAAUUCUAGUUGAGAUGUAAAGCUAACAACUAUAUCUAUGGAAAUUACAUUUUAGCAUUUUCCAAAUUUAAAUUUAAGCUAAUAUGUACAAAUUUUGUCAAUAUAAGCUAAUACCUUGAUUCUAGUACAUUUAAGCUAAUAUGUACAAAUUUUAGCAUUUCCCAAAUUUACAUUUUGUCACUUAAACAUUUUGCCAUUUUGCACAAACUUAUUUAACCCAUCUUCUUCAUUCUAGUACCUUGAUUUUCAUUAAUCCUUGGAUCAACUCAUUUGACCAAAAAUAAUUUUGUGAAAAGACAUUUCAAACAAACUUUUAAUUUAAGUAUAUUAUAUAAAUCUUAUUUAAAAUUUUUGAAUGAUUUAAUUUUUCAUUUAAAAAUAUAGUUACAAAUUUUAUUAAAAUUAAUAUUUUCAUUUGUGGGUUUAUGGACAAAAAUUUAAGAUAAUUUUAAUAGCAAGUUAGAUAAAUAUAUGUAUUGACUAAUAAGAAUUUAAGUAUUAUUUGUUUUAUUGUUUAGGGUUGAAUGUAACAUCAGAUAAAAGAAGAAAAGGGACAAUAUAUCAUAUCCCAUGUUUGGUUAGUGAUAGAAGAAGAUAAGUUAACCUUACAACUUGUCAUAUCUUAUAUUCAACCAAACAUGGAAUAGGGUAACUCGAUAUUAUCAAUUGUUUAUAUAUAUAUAUUACUUAUCUUGCAAAAUAUUUUUUUUCGUUAAAAAGGAAAAUUAAAAAAAAUUAUAAAAUAUAUUAUUAAAUAAUAUUAAUAUAUUUAUUAUUCAAUAUAUACAAAAUAUUUUUAUAUAUUGAAUAUCAUAAUAUAUAUAAUAAAUUUUAAUUUAUAAAGUUUAAAUAUUUUAAUUAUGAAUAUUAUUAAAUGUAAAACAUAAAAAAUAUUGAAAUGUAAUAUAAUUUUUAAUUUAAACAUUGAAAAAUAAUAUAUACUAUAUCUUAUUUUUAUUCAUUUACAAAUUAAAUAUAAACAUAAUAUAAUAGACCCACUGAAUAUAAUAUUCAAUAACAUCAUAUCUUAUUAAAAAUCAUAUAUUUAAAUUUCCUAAUAUACAUAUAUAUUCUAUCCUACUAACCAAACAUAACCUUAAAAUAUUUUCAAACAUUUUCAUAACUUCUAUCAAUUUGCGUUCCACCCAAAUUUUGUUUUCUUUUGUUUCACAUUUUUCAUCCCAUAUUUUUCAUAUUUAUAUAAAUUCAAGUACCAACUUUUAAUACCUUCAUCAUUUUCAACAUUGUUGUAGAGAGUCAUAAAAAACUUAUUUAUUUUUAAUUAAAUGAGAUUCUGUCAACAUAUUUUUAAAAUGAGAAAUUAACACUGAUAUAAUAAUCUUAUUUUUUGUAGUGUGGCAUCUCAAAAUAUUGAAAAUUUUCUAGCAUUCGUUGUAAAAUGACUAAAAUCAUCAAAAAUAUUUUUCUUCACUUACAUAAUUAUUAAAUAAGUUUUUAUCUUUUAUUUUUAAAAGUAAAAAAAAAAAUUGAAUACCAAAAAUAUUUAGCAUUUAUAGAAAUUAGAAACAACAUUUAUAUUUUCUAUCUAAAAAGAGAAAAAUUAAAAGUCUCAUAUUGACUUACCUACAACAAAAAGGAUCCUAAAAUCAACCUAACAAACUUCAAACAAGCAAUAAUCAGCAUAAACCAAACCAUCUCACACUUCAACUUGCACUGCACUUACAAUUAACAAAACAGACCCAUAAGAAAACAAAAGAGCAGGAUGAGUUUUUUCAUAUUCUUGUUUGCCAACUGCGCUUUCAGGUGUUUUCUAAUAACAUAUUUGGUGGGGUGCUCAUGCAAUCUCCUUCUGUACAUGAUUUUGAUCAAAGAGAAAUGUUUUGCUUCUACCUUUUCCCUAGAAGUAACAUCAAUGGGAAGGUUCACUAGCUUUGCUUUAGAACUAGCUUUAUUUUAACUUUUCAUUUAUAAAAUCAUCCCCCAUAUUGGAAGUACUUCAUUUCUAUGCCUUCAAAUGGAUCUACCAAUAUAUGCCAUUUCUUUCAAAUUCAUUCUUUGAUCAUGUUGCAUUCAGGUUGUACAUUAAUAUCCUGUACUGAUGACCUUCUGAAGUGAUGUUGACAUUGAUCUUGACAAUGUCAACAAAUCACUAAAGAGAAGCGCAUGUACAAGUGCAAAAGAUAGGCACAAAUACUUUGCAAGGGCACACAAACACAAUAAUUUACAUGAGAGUUUGAUUUCAUUUGCCUGCAAAAUCAACCCAUUUUUACAGUUAUAGGCUUGCCUUAUACAUGUCCAAAAAGCAUACAAGACCAAUAAUCCGUUGAUUCAGACUUUGUCUAGGAUGACUACGUAUGGAAUAAAUAUGAGGAGUCACAAUACUGUCUGUUCAAACUCAUAAUAUUCAAAUAAUGUCUGUAUUAGACCCUAUUGGCACUUUAAAGAUUUCAAUGACUACGUAUCGGUCAAACUAGUGAACUAUGAAUUAGUAAUUUUUUUUUAUUCAAUGACUGAUCUUAUUCUAAAAACAUUGAUUUAAAAGAUUUCAAAUUAACACUACCUAAAGGCAUUGAUAUAUAUGUAGAGGCUUUGGGUGUCAAUUAAGCCUAAAUAUUUAAUUACAUCGCUUCUAGUAUUUAAGCGUGCACACGUGAUGCAACUUUUUGUUUGAAUGAUAUUACAUGGACAAUUACUUGUUGAAUAUUUAAAUGUUAAAAAUAAUAUUAUUAUUAAAGAAAACUUAGAAAUAAACAUUUAAUGACUCAAAUUUUCUUUAUUUCUAAAAUUAAAUUAUACUUCUCUCUUCUUUAAACAAUUUUUUCAUAAAUGAAUGUGUUCAAACAUUUUUCAAGAUCUAUUUAUCUCGAUAAACAUAACUUUCAGAAUUUUCUUUUAUCUUCUCUUCAUUUAUAUUCAUAAUUGUUUUGAAUUAAUUUUGAUUUAUCUAUUAAAAAUUAGUUGUGGUUUGCAUUCUUUGUAUAAUAUUUAUUAUUAUCAUCAUUAUUAUAAUAACAAAGAAAUGAUUAAAAAUAUUUGCUGAAAAAUAAGGUUAAAAAAUUUUAUAUAAGAAAAAUAAAAUGUGGUAAACUUGUUUUUAGGCAAACCCUUAAAUAUUUUCAUUAAUUAAUAUAUUUUUUUUUUUUACAAUUUUUCCAAAUUCAUGUGGUAUAAUUUGAGUGAAAAUUUAUUAAAAACUAGAAAAAUAAAUAUUUGAUAUAUUUAAUAAUCUUGUUUUCCAGGCAAUAAAAUCUUCUUGUCUGUUGAAGUCUCGCGUCACCCGGGGUUCUCGCAGUAGCCAGAUGGACGCUCCCUUUCAACUGAUGAUGAUUCAUGCCUCAAUCAACCUGCAAAAGACGUCCGGACAGGUUGUCCGGACAUACCCUCCGAUGGUUUUGUUAGUUUUCUCUCUAAUAAUCAAUCUUCCCUUUUUACUGAGUAAGAAAGCUUACCUUCUCUCCUCGCAUGAAGGCUCUUUUAUAGUGUCAGAAGUUCUGUCCCCUUUAAUGGUGGGAAGACUUUUUGGCUUGUCAUGAUGGCGCUGAGGUAGUGGCAGAGCCAUCAUGGUCCUGCAGGCGCAUGUCAGAUAUUGUGGAGGGGAUGGCUUACCGUUAUUCCUGUCAUUUUGCUCUGCAGGCGGUGGAAUGCGGGCUGUGACAGGUUGUCUGAGGUGACUUAGUAUGGUCCUGUCGAAAGUGCUUCUGCCAGUGUAGGCCAGGAUGGCCUACGUUUCACGGGCAAGGCUUUUGAUUAAGUUGCUAACGCUGGUUCCGAACAACAUAUCCAGACAAGAGAAGGAGUCGUUCGGACCGUGGGUUUGAGAGUGUCGUACGCCCCCCCAGAGGGAAUCCGGAUAGAAAGUUGAUGUGCCAUGUGUCCCCUGGAGGGGUGCUAUGCGGGGUUGCCACGUGGGCGUUUGGGGGUGGUCCCUACAAUGCCUCCCUUUUAACAUGGCUAUUUUGCCCGGGCAGAAAAGACGGGUUAAAAAUGAUGCUUUUAAACCCUUCGUUUCUUUUUUGGGGUUUAUCUGCCACGUGGUAUUGCGGAAGGGGGGGUAUUUAUGGCGAGCCGCCGUUCUUGGGGGGAUUUCUAGGCGGCAUGUCGUUUCGAUAGUGGUGCGGUUAGGCGCCUGGUUAUUUGGAGGACUAAGAAGUCGCAUCCCUUAAAUAGGAAUCCAGCCCCCGCGACUACAUUUUUCGUUCUACGUUUUUUUCUCAUCUGUAUUUUCCCUUUGCCUCUCUGUUCAUCUUCGCCUAUGACCGAGGGUCGCUUUCUAGGGCUUCUGUUAGCGGCAUUCUUGUCACAAGGGCGACUGUAUCGCGACCUUCGUUCCAGUUGCAAGCUUGCGCCAGGUAUGUUCUGUAUUUCUAUCUCCUCAUCUUAAGCUUCCUGUUUCUUCGAUUUUUGCUGGCUUGUUGGGUAUUUUGUUUGCAAUUGAGGGUCAGAGGUAAUGUUUAGGGUUUUUCAAGGGGUUUUGAUUUUGCUUUUGGCCCAUUGUGGCUUUUGUUGCCCUCCUAUUGCCUUUGCGGAUGACUGAACCGCAUUUGGGGUAGAGUUAGGGGUUAGGCUUGGGGUUUUGGCUAUUUUAGGCCUUCUGGGUCAUUUGUUCUCAGGGUUGUGGGGCGGGGUACCUCUAUUUUAACUGUUGGCAUUUUGCCAUGCAGGUUUUGUCUCGGCCCCACGCUUUAACAUGCCUGCGAAAAAGGAUGUGGCUUCGUCUAGUACGGCUGGGCUUAGUGGAAAAAGUGUAUACGGACAGACCUACUUGGGGAAGCCUACUGACAAGUUGAACGAGAGGGAGUUUUGUGAGCGUUUCUGAAUCCCGAAUGAUGUCUCUGUUCAGCUAGUGGACGGGGAUGCUAUGUCCACUGAGAAAGCUGUCAACCACGCCAUUUACUUUUCCAAGGAGCAAUUCAAUGCGGGGCUCCGGUUUCCUUUUUUGUCUCUCUUCAAAGAGUUCCUCCACUUCACUCAGAUUCCUGUAGCUUAUGUCCAUCCCAAUAUUGUCCGGGUGUUGAUGGGGUGCAGUAUCCUAAAUAUGCUGUUCAAUUUGGAUCUUUCCUUGCUGGAGGUCCUCUUUGUUUACACCAUCAAGAAGGAGAAGACAGACCUCUUCAGCUUGUUUGCCCAUAUCCCAUCCCUUCAAUUGGUGACCAACCUUCCGGAUUCGAACAAGGGGGGAGCCAAAGGGCAUGUACUGGUCAGGGGUCACUGGGCUGGUCUGUCGGAGCCUUCAGAAAGGGAGUUUACCCCCAACCGUUCGUGGACGCUUCCGUGUAGGGUAGCUCUUGGUGUCUGUUCGGUGUUGGUUUUUGACUCUUGAUUCAGUGUUAUCAGAUGACUAACCUCUUUUGUUUUGGGUAACACAGGUACACACAAGAGGGGUCGCUUGGUCGAGUGGGUGGAGAAGGCCUCUUUCGAUCGUUUGAACAGGUUGUUUGAGAUCACUUCCAUCGAGAGGCACUAGCAGACACUUCUUUCUACCCGGAACCUGUUGGUGGUCGUCCGGGAACCUCAGCCGUACGUCCUCGAUAUUCUCUCCAGGCGACUACCCAAGGUUGUAGUGCCCGGGGAACACUUUGUGCUGAAGGAUCUGCCUUUUUACGAAAGGGCUAGCGAGGCUAACGCAAAGGCGCGCUAGGAGUGCCUUGACCAGCGGGAGGAGAAGAGGCAGGAGGGGACACUGAGGAAAACACCUGUAAGAGAAAGGGCCUGGCGAGAAGGGACACGGCUCUUCUCUCGCGGUCUGUCUUCCGACUGCAAAGAAGAAGAAAAAGAAAACCAUUGCGUAUGCUCUCCAAGUAGUGUCUCCGGCUCCUGAUCUUUCGUCUUCAUCCUCCGACUCUAUGUCCAGUCGACCGAAUAACCCUACCCCGAAGCCUGAGGAUACUUCUAGCUUCCCACAGCUUGAGACUUUCCGUUCGGGGCUUAGCUCUUUCCAGCCUCAGUUGGACUUCGUUGGCUUGAGAGUCGUGCAUGAGCCGGAGGAAGUGAGAGACAUGAACGACCUCAGAACCGGGUUUUUACAAAGGCAUCGUAAGUGGCUGUAUGAUCCCAUAGAUCUUGCACCUCCUCCAGCCAAGAAGGAUUGCCCAGAGAGAGAUGGGGAGGAUCCGACGGCAGAAGUUCCUUUGUUAGCUAUGGCCCAUCCGGACGAGGCGAGUUCUAGCGCGGCUACAGCGGUUCAGCCAGACACUGCAGGAUCUGAUGCAGCGGCAACGACUCGGCCCGAAGUUCCAGGGCUUAGCGCAGCGACCGUUGCUCAACCAGGCUUAACUGCUCACAGCAAUGCCCCGACUACAAUGGAGACCCGUGGGACAGAGGGGGUUCCGGAGGCAGCGAUUGACGAGAAGGCUUCGGACAAGAAGAGUAGUCCAGCUACCACGGUUCCUCUAAGAUGGGAGGAAAUGAUGGAGAUGCUGAAGGGAGUGCCAUGUUUCACGGAUGCGGAGGCUCAUUCCACAAGGAUGUCUGACUUCUUUUCGCUUGCCAAACGGGUCUCUGUGAACAUGGGUGGUGAUCCUCCUGCCUUUGUCAAGGCCCGACUUCUUUUUGGCACCCCUGAGCCCGCCGUUUCUUGUAUUCAACAUCUGUAGAAGUGGACGAUCCCUGAGACUGCAGAAGUGGUAAUCAUUUCUUUGCUACUUUUUCCUUCUUCCUUAACAACUGUUACUCCUUUGCACUACAUUAGCUUUUGUUUUGAUGUUGUUCUGCACAGGUCAUGGCUGGCAUCCGCUACAUGAUGCAUAUGCGCGAACAACUCUUCAAGCAGCUGGAAGUGGCGGAGGCUAUGCGCGCCUUCAUCUCUCACCAUCUAGGCGACGUUGAGGAGAUGCGCUCGAGGUUAAAGAAGGUGGAGGCUGAGUUGGCCACUGCUCAGAAGGUCGUAGCGGAUGGGGCGGAGAAGCUGAGCCAGGCUGAGGAGGAGAAGGGGGCUGUCCGGGCUAAGGUGAACUUGCUGAAAAGGGAAAAAGGGGCCCUGGAGGGUCAAAUCAAGGGGGUGGAGCAAGAGAAUUCUCAGCUUAAGAAUGAGGUAGAUGAACUUCGGGCUAGCCUCGCAGCUCAGAAGAAGGAGACAGAGAGGUUGCAGGUAGGCCUAGUUGCUCAGAGGGAGGAGAUGGAGGCCGGGAUUGCCGCUCAGAAGAAGGAGUUGGAGACGGAGUAUCAAAGGCAGGUAGAUGAGAUGUACUUCUUCGACUACCGUUGCUGCAUGAAGAAGAACGGCAUUAUGCAUGAUGUUCUGUCUCUUCCUUGUGACGAUGAGGAUGUGAUACCCGGAGGCCCUCCUUGCUGAGAUUUCUUUGUGUGCAGUCCUCCUUAUACUUUUUCUCUUUGUUUUGCUGCUUUUGGGGCAGCAGAUUUUGUAAAGACAAAUUUUCAGUCCUUUAUAAAUGCUUUAGACUUCUUUGUUUUUCUCUACCUUUUGCUUCUCUUUAUUGGUAAUAUUGCUUAAGGUUAGAUACAUUUCAUGGACAGAGCAACGGGGUUCCGUCUAACUUUUGUAGGUGAUAGGCUCCGCUUUCACUUGCCUUAGUUACAAUAUAAGGACCUUCCCAAUUCGCUUGGAAUUUCUCGACUCCUCUUUCAGCGGUGUUUUCGAAAACCUUUCUAAGGACCAGCGUUCCGAUCUUGAAGACCCGGGGUCAUGCCUUGCGGUUAUAGUGAGUGGCCGCUCUUUGCUGGUAGUCAGCCAUCCGAAUGGACGCGUUUUCUCUCACUUCAUCCGCCCAGUCUAGGUUCCUUCCUAGUUCCAUACUUUCAUCACUCUAUCCUCGUGCAUCAGUCCGAAUAAUGGGCAAGCCUAUUUCUGUGGGGAUGACUGCAUCCAUGCCGUAUGCAAGGGCGAAUGGAGUGUUUCCCGUGGGUUGGCCGGGUGUGGUUCGGUAGGCCCAUAGGAUGCCGGGCAGUUCCUCUACCCACUUUCCUUUGGCCUGCUCAAGCCUCUUCUUUAAGGCAGUCACCAAGGUUUUAUUUGUCGCUUCUGCCUACCCAUUGCUUUGAGGGUAAGGCGGUGUGGAGUACAAAUUGUGGAUUUUGAGCUCCGAGCAGAAAUUCCGGAAGGCAAUGUUGUCAAACUGUGGACCAUUGUCGGCUGUGAUUGCUUGAGGGAUCCCAAAGCGGCAAAUGAUGUUCUUCCACACAAAUUUGGUGACAUCCUUGUCCUUGAUUCUGGCAUAUGCCACUACUUCUACCCAUUUGCUGAAGUAGUCAGUGGCAACGAGUAGGAAUUUCUUCUGAGCAGCCGCGGUUGGUAAAGGUCCUACUAUGUCCAUCCCCCAUUGUGCAAAAGACCAAGGGCUGGAAAUUGGCUUCAACGUUUCAGACGGUGCAUGCGGUAUGGGGCAUGUCUUUGGCAUUUGUCACACUUCUUGACAUAAGCCGCCGCGUCUCUCUUCAUAGUUGGCCAAUAGUAGCCCUGCGAGUGUGCUCGAUGCGCCAAAGAUCGUCCUCCGGGGUGAUUGCCGCAUACACCCUCAUGUAACUCAGCUAAUAUGUAUUGAGCCUCUGAGCAGUCUAGGCACUAGAUGUAGGGGCCUGUAAAAGAUCGUUUGUAAAGGUGCUCCCCGAUCAGAGCGAAACGGGCAGCUUGUACCCGGAUCUUGUGCGCUUGCUUGGGUUCAUCAGGUAAAGAUCCUAUUCGGAGGUAUCAUGUUAUGACUUCCGUCCACUCCUGGCCCUCUUCCUGGCUCUCCUCAAUAGUAUUGCAAGUGGAUGCUUUUGUGAUGGAAGGAUCAGUCUACACAUAUAUAGGCAAUAAUAUGGCCUCUUUGAUGGGCAGGAAAACAGCUAUUCUUUCCAGGGCAUCAGCACGUACGUUAUCACCUCGUGGGAUUUUUUCUAUGGUCCAUUCGCCUAACCGUUGUAGGGUGUCUCUCACUUUUGUUAGAUGUCGUGCCAUGCGUUCGUCCUUGGCUCCGUAUUCCUCCUACACGUGUCUUACCACGAGUUGAGAAUCGCUGUAGACUCGAAGCUUGGAGACAGAUAGUGCGAGGGCGAGAUCUAGUCCAGAUAGGAUGCCCUUGUAUUCUGCUUCAUUGUUUGAUGCGGGGAACCCCAGCCCGAUAGCUUGCUCCAGUUGUUCACCCAUUGGGGAUUGCAAUAAAAGUCCUAUUCCGGACCCCGAUGAUCGAGAGACUCCGUCAACCCAUAAGGUCCACCACUCUUCUUUGUGCGGUUCCUCGUCUCGAACAGGUUUUUGGGAGGACUCUACCACAAAGUCGACCAUUACCUGCCUUUUCAUGGACAAUCUCGGUUGGUAUUCGAUCCCAUACUCACUUAAUUCUAUGGCCCAUUGGAGCAUUCUUCCGGACAGAUCCGGCUUGUGCAGGAUGUUGCGAAGGGGCUGGUCGGUAAGUAUGACUACCGAGUGGGCUUGGAAGUAGGGGCAGAGUUUCUGGGCGGCACUUCGCAAGGCUAAGGUUGUUUGCUCUAUCUUUGAAUACCUUGUUUCUGCAUCGGCCAAUGCUCUGCUGACAUAAUAAAUAGGUUUCUACUCCCUAUGUGUAGGGCAGCGAAACAGAACAGCGCUAACUGCCUAAUCUGACAUAGCCAAAUACAUAUACAACUUUUCUCCGGGAAGGGGGCUGCUCAAGAUGGGUGGUUGCGUUAGGUAGUGUUUGAUUUUCUUGAAAGCUCUUUGACAUUUGUUCGUCCAUCCAGUCGUGCCGGCUUUCCAUAAUACUAAGAAGAAGGGUCCCAAUUCGUCAGUGAAUCGGGCUAUGAAAUGUCCUAAUGCGACGAGCUUGCCUGUGAGGCGCUGCAACUCCUUUUUGUUCUUGGGGGGUGGUGUUUCCAUGACUGCCUUAAUUUGGUCAGGGUUGACUUCUAUCCCUCUUUGGCUGACCAUGAACCCCAAGAAUUUCCCAGCACUCACGUCGAAAGCGCAUUUGGAUGGAUUCAGCUUCAUGUCGUACCUCCUUAGUAGGUGGAAAACUUCUUGUAAGUGGUGCGCAUGCUCUUCUCGAGUUUUACUUUUAACCACUAUAUCAUCAAUGUAUACCUCCACUGUGCGGCCAACCAAGGGUUUGAAGAUCUUUGUCAUCAUUUUCUGAUAAGUGGCACCGACAUUUUUGAGUUCGAAUGGCAUGACUUUAUAACAAUAAAGCCCAUGUGGAGUUAUAAAGGCUUUCUUUUCUUCGUCGGUAAGGGCCAUGGGGAUUUAGUGGUACCCGGAGAAGACAUCUAGGAAGGAGAGCAUUCCUUGCCCGACAGUGGAGUCCACGAUUUGAUCUAUCCGCGGUAGAAGAAAACUGUCUUUUGGGCAUGCAUUGUUGAGGUUGGUAUAAUCGACGCAUACUCGCCAUUUUCCCUUCUUUUUGGGUACCACCACUACAUUCGCCAGCCAAUCCGGAUACUCCACUUCUCUAAUAAAUCCGGCUUCUAACAAUUUGUCAACCUCGUCCCGAAUAAUUUUUUGCCUAUCCGGGUGAAACCGCCUAACCUUCUGCCGGAUGGGUCUUGAUGAAGGCAAGAGUUAAGCCGAUGGGAGGCGAUUGAAGGAUGGAUUCUCGUCAUGUCGGAAUGCGUCCACGCAAAGGCGUCGUGGCUUUGUCGGAGGGUGUCUUGGAUAUCCCAGGCCUCUUCAGGUGUCAAGAGGGAGCUGAUAUGUGUGAGAUGAGUGUUUUCCUUCGAGAUUUGGAUUGGCCGCAAGGGAUUUGCUGCUGGGGGAUCUUUAUCCGUCGGGUUCAAUAAUUGCUAUUGGUUUGGCACGUUGGUGGGUUCGGGGAGGGGCUAGCCAUCUUUGCUGGAUCCAACUUCUCGCGUUAUCUGAUAGCACUGGCGAGCAGCCAGCUGGCUGCCAUAUAGAUCGAUUUGUCCGUCCUCAGUGAGAAAGCUUACCAUCUAAUGGUAUGUGGAAGGGAUGACUUUCAUGUAGUGCAGCCACAUGCGUCUCAAGAUGGCGUUAAAGGGGGACAAAUCUUCUACCACUGAAAAUUGUAUGUUAAGAGUGACUGGGCCUGCUUGGACUGGUAGCACAACGUCUCCAAGAGAGGUGGUUGUCGCUCCAUUGAAUCCGGACAAGAUCCGCCCAGGAUUUUCUAAGCCGGAUAGCUCGAGUCCCAUCUGCUUGAUUACUGAUGCUUGUAAGAGAUCGGCCGAGCUACCUGGGUCAAUUAGGAUCCGUCUCACAUCAAAGUCCCCAAUCCCCAGGGAUAGGAUGAGGGCGUCACGAUGUGGUUGUAAUAUUAGUGUGGGAUCUACUAGGGGAAAACGAUUGUCCCGUCUAUCGAGUGGGUACUCCCGCCAGUUAAACCGGGCCGGAUGGAAUUGACGCGCUCACGCACCGACACUGCUCGUAGCAACCUCUGCCUCUUUCGUUUGGAGUUGUACUCCUCAUCCAGUGGUCCUCCGUGGAUGUAAUUGAUGACGGUCUUAGGGGCGAUUGGGGCCUGAAGGUCCUAGAAUCGCGGCUUCGGGAAGUAUCUUUAACCCUAGCUUCUGAGCGGAGGUAUUGCUUCAAAUGUCCUGCUUUUAUGAGCCUUUCUACCAAGUAAUGGAGACUCCUACAUCGCUCUGUAGUAUGACCAUGCUCUUUGUGGUAAACACACUUCUUGAUAUGAUAUCUCUUGGCUGGGUCCAUUCUGAUGGGUCCAGGCCACCUGAAGUCGGACAGGUAUUGUAUCAUAGGAAGAAGCUUCCAUAUGACACAGUAAGGGGAGUGAGAGGCGGCAGCUCCUGGCGACUUUGCUCCCCCUGCCUUCGAUCACACGUCCUAGGCUGGUUCGGAGGUCUGGAACUUCUUUCUGCGUCGCUUUUGGAUGUCUAUCCGGUGACCAAAAUUUGCUGGGUGGCUGCAUGCACAUCAUCUUCCAGCAUUGAGUAUUUGCUUGCGCGUCGGAACAAGUCAUCCAUCGUCGUGGGAGGCUUUUUAACGAGUGAUUCAAAGAAUGGGGUACCUAGGCAUAUACUUUUUUUGAAGAUUUGGAGGACAGCAUCCAUGCUGUAGGCCUCUACUUGCAACACAGUCUGACCAAACCGUUUCACGAAUUCUCUCAAGGACUCAUUCUCCUGCAUUUUUAUGUUUUGCAGGGUGCUGAUGUUCUGUUUAUGCCGGGCGGAGCAUAGGUAUCGUCCCAAAAAGCUUCCGAUAGGUCCCAAAAGUUAUCAAUAGAGUUCGAGGGGAGUUGGUGAAACCACAAAAGAGCUUGGUCUUGUAAGCUGGCAGGGAAUACUUUGCACAACAACACAUCAUUCCCUAUGUCGAGAGUCAUGAGUUGUCGGUAAUGCAUGAUAUGGUCGAAUGGAUCACUAGACCCGUCAUACGCAGAAAAUUUUGGCACAAGGAAUCCCCUUGGGGGAUCAUAAUGGAUAAUACGUGAGCUAAAAGGCAUGGAGAACAUGUCAUCCAACCUCUUGCUAAUGGAACCUGGGGGUGGUUCAUUUGAUGAGUUCCUUCCGACUUGUCGUACCGCUUGGUGCAGGGAUUGUUCUGAACAGUGGAUGCGACUGGGGGGUCAGGAUAUGCUUCCCAGGUUGCGGCCACCAGCGGCCUCUCCUUACCAGGUUCCUGCGGCCUUAACCUCGCGCGCAUUACGUCUAACAACUAGGGUCUUUUAUCACGUUGUCUCUUUGAUGAGAGACGGGUAGAGUCCGAGCUUUCAUCUUGGGGAGCAGAAUACGUGGGCAUGGGUCGUUCCCGAGAUCGUUCAUUGCGCAUAUCAAGGACGACCCCUGCAAUUCCGAGAUAUACCGAUUCUAGAUCAGGCCUAGAGUUUGCCCCCUGGCCUCUUGGGCAUUGGUCAUGAGGAGGCCCCGAGGACGAAACCUGGAUGUGUAACACCGCGUUUUCUUCUCUUAGUCUCGUCGUUUCCCGGAGGAGAGCUUGCAUUUGUCGUUCGCUCUCCAACUGUCACCUUUCCAUGGUCUCGCGCCAUUCGAAAUAGCCUUCAUCUCCUCUGGCUGACGAACGGCUCUUGGAAGGUGUGGAGGGGAUGGCUUGCUGUCAUUCUUGUCCUUUCGCUCUGUAGGCGGUGGAAUGCGGGUUGUGACAGGUUGUCUGAGGUGACUCAGUAUGGUCCCGUCGAAAGUGCUUCUGGCAGUGUAGGCCAGGAUGGCCCGCGUUUCACGGCCAAGGCUUUUGAUUAAGUUGCUAAUGCUAGGUCCGGACAACAUAUUCAGACAAGAGAGGGGGUCAUCCGGACCGUGGGUUUGAGAGUGUCGUACGCCCCUCGGAGGGAAUCCGGAUAGAGAGUUGAUGUGCCACGUGUCCCCUGGAGGGGUGCUGUGCGGGGUUGCCACGUGGGCAUUUGGGGGUGGUCCCUACAUUGUCCAACUCACGUUAAUGUAUUAAAUUAAUAAUCUCACUAAAUAUAUAAGAUAAUAGUUUUUUAGAAAUUCUUCAGAGUCUAAUAAAAUAUAAAUUAAUAACUAAUGAAAUAUUUGGAAAAAAACAAAAGAAUUCAUAAUACAAACUUUCUCAAAAUAUACAUUGAAAUUUAUUUAUUUUCUUUGCACCUAAACUAACUCAAUUUUAUCUUUAUUUUUUUGUAAUAUAUAUACACUAAAUUAAUAAAUUAUUGAUUUAUUGAUAAAUUAAUAAUUCCUUUUGAUUCAAGAAUAAUAUUUUAUUUUAUAGGGUUUUUCCUAUAGCUAGGAGUGGCGCAAAGGAGAUAGCAAAUAAUUAUCCAUCAAUGAGUUACUGGCUUACUACUGCUUCCGGGUUAUGUACGCCGCUUUAGUCAAGAUCUUCAUUGCAACCUAUAACAAGCUAAGCUCUAAGUCAAGUCAAUUGGUCCCCCAUCGUAAUUACCCAAAUGAGAUUGUAUGGAAUCACACUUUCAUCUUUGAGUGAAAGAAGGAGCCUUCCUUGACCGAUUCACUUCUUCAGCAAAUGAAUUGCAUGGAAAGGAGAUAAAUGUCUUUGAUGCAAAGUAAGGUAAAAAAAAAUAGAGGUAGAGUUAGGUGGAGUUUGUUUGUUUUGACUUUUUAUUAAAAGUAAUUUAUUUUCAAAAUUUAGGUAGUUUAUUUUUUUUAAAUUUUUUAUCACUUAUUAUACAUUUUUUAUUGAAUAGAAAAAAUUAAAAUAUUUAAUUUUUUUUAAAUAGAAAAAAUAAUAUAUUGAUUUUUUAUUACUUUUUAAUAUUUAAUAGAAAUAAAAUAUUAUUAAAAAAGCAACCUAAUAUUUAAUACUAUUAAGUAUUAAGUUUCUAUUUAGAAUUAAGCAAAAAAACAAACACCGCCUUAGAAUUUUAAGUGUCUGCUAAAAAAGCAAUGAAAUCCCAAUUUUAGCGAAAAAGAAGAAAUGUGAAUCCUAGGUUUUGAACUUCAAAACUGAAGAAAAGAAUGUACAAUUUAUUCAAAACUUUUAGGCCCCACUUAAAAACAUGGAAAAUUUGACAAAAAUAAAUAGGAUAGACGGUCAGCAAGCGGUUAAGUUGAGGCUGCCCAACAUAAUUGACAAAAUGAAACCGUAUGGAAAAUGGAGACUUUUGGGCCAAAAUGGCCCAUUUUUGAAACUUAACAUUGAAAGUGGGCUCAUUUCCAAACUAUUGUUCAAAAUGGCCCCUUGAAGCCACAUCAACCCAUAAAUCAAUAUUUUAUACUGUUUUUACUUUACCAUUUCCAUCCCCGUGCUCUGUUAUCUCCCGUGCUGUUGUUCUCUCUUCUGUGUGAUUUUUUUUUCUAAACCCUAGCCCCACUAGUGGGCCACUAAAAAAGACGGUGGAGCUACAAAGCAUAAAGUUUAAGGUGAGUCAUAAUCUUCUUUUUGGCUUAUAUAAGUUUUUGGCACUUUCCAAUUUUUUUUCCCAUCUCAAAAUCUCAGUUUUUAGAAAUUUUUUUUUUCCAUUGUUGUGAAUGAUUGGUUAGGGAGUGUGGUUAUGGUGAAUUAAUGGCUGUUAGUAUCAGAUUUUGGGGCAGUCGUUGGGGAGGAUUAGGCUUGCGGUGUCGGCAUUGAGGAGCUACUCAGUCUACGGAAAAACAGGUGAGAUGGGCUGUGUUGAUUGUGUUUUGUUGCUCUGUUUGGUUGGUGAGAAUUGGCUACAAGGAGAGUAAAUUAUUGUCACAAAAAACCGAGGCCCUCCCAUUGCAGCUGUUGGGCUUAAUUAAAAUGAGUUUUUAAUGUUCUGAAAAACAGAACAAGAAAAGGAAAUGAGCAUGAAAAAGAUGGUUGUUGCUUAAAAAAAAUGGAGGUUUUGGGUUUGUUUUUUUUUUUGUAUUUAAGUCCAUGUUUGCAAUAACCUUUUGUUUCAAUAAGCAGCUGACCACCAAAAAAUUAUCCAAUUUCUAUUUCAAUAAUUUAAAAUUUGUAUUAUAUUUUAAAUAUUUUUUUAGGUAUCCCAGGAUUAAUAUUUGUGUGUGCAUGAGUCAUGACUCUCAAUCAAAUUAAUUUUAUAUAAUAUUUGAAUAGUAAUAGGAUUUAUGAUAAUAUUAUUUAUAUACUAAAUCCAUCUCCAUAAUUUUUCAAAGAUGAAAGAAAAAAAUAGGGUUAAUUAUGUAAAUUUGUAGUGUGAAACAGUUGCUUGAAACGGAUUAGGAGAGGUUCAAAUUGGUUUGGACUUUGGGUAGAAAAUGCAUUACACAUAGAGAUUAGAAUGCAUUUUUAAUUUAAAUUUGAAAAUAACAAAAAUAUAAUAUUCUAUAAUAUUUAAAUAAUAAAAGGAUUUAUGAGGAUAUUAUCAUAUAUAUGAAAUUAACUUAUAAGAUUUUGUAGUUAAGGGGAAAAAAUUAGGAUUAAUUGAAAAGAUUUUUUUGAAAUUAUUAUGGGCCAUUAAUUAAUAAUAUUAAUAGCCAUAGAUAACAGAUUUAAAAAAAAAAUGAAAGUUGUAAAUAAUGAUAAAUAUAUUUGGAUGGAAUAAUUUUUAAUUCUUUUUUCUUUUUUUAGAAUUUGAGUGAAAUAGGGAAUGUGUUUGCUAAGAAUUUCAACCGACUCAAUAGAUAAUGUGAGUCUCCAAGCCAUGUUUAAGAAAUCUGGCGAUAUUCUGUUUUGUAAAGUGGUUGUGACCUUGGCUGAACCGAUGAUAUGUUGGAUUGAAUCUGUUCUUAAAGAUGUCUCCAACUUCUACUAGUUCUGAAUGUGAGACAACACAUUAUCAUUAAUAUGAUUGAAUUUAGGAUGUUUUAUUUCUGUAUCAGUCUACCCAUGCAUUCACUUACACUCAUUCCUUGUCUUUAAAGGAGGAAAGACCUCAACAUUCAAAAUAUUUUAUUUUUCCCAAACUGAAGUGAAGUAUUUGAUAGAAGUUCUACUAUUAUGGAAGUAUUGUUAUGAAUUUCUCAUCUAUUUGAGGUUAUAAUAUAAAAUACUAGCUUUUUAAAAGUAACGAAUUAAGGUCUGGGAAACGUGUUCUGUUAACUGUAGAAAUAUUUUUAUAUAUUUUAUGGUUAUUUAAAUAUGUUUUUUGGUUAUCUAAAUUUAAUGUUUCUAUCAUAAACUGGAUGUAUCUUACAUGAAUAUAUAUAUAUAUAUAUAUAUAUAUAUAUAUAUAUAUAACAUGUUUGCUAGGAAAAAAAUGAUUUUGGAUAUAAACAAUUUCAAAGUAAAAAAUGAAUAAAUAAUUUUUUUCUGAUCAAGAGAUCUUGAAUAAUUUUAUCUCAACAACUCUUAAAUAUAAAAUACUCAUCUAGAAUUUUUUUGCCUUGAUAUCAAGAAAACUUCUCAAAUAUGAGUAAACACUUUUUUUUUAAAAAAAAAAAAGCCAGAUUCUUAAAGUACAGAUAUUUUCUCUUUAAAAAGACUUUUGUAUUUGGUUAUAUCCAAAAAUUUAAUUUUUAUUUAAUUAUAUUUUUUAAAGAUAUCAAAAUUACCCAUACUUUUAAUAAAAAUAUUAUUAAAACAAAAUAGUAAAAGUAUAAAAUGAAUGGUCCAACUCUAAAAAAACCUAUUAUAAAAUAGACCAUAUACCUCAUGUUUGAUGACUCCACUUAGACUACUAGAUUGUGGAUGUGAUGGGAGUGGAGGAGGAUGAAAGGGAGGCCAAAAGUGAACCCAUCUGGAAAAACUUUGAUUAUGGGUUGGAGAAAUUGAAUGUGGGUAGGGACCAUAUUGUUUAUGUGAUCCUUUGUCAAUUGGGUUGUACUUCAUUUUCGUGAGUGCACACUAGACAGUAUUACAAAUGGUGUGGCCCUUGGACACGUCUAGAUGUUCAAGUAGGGUGUGAUGCCAGGGAAUAUAAAAAAAAAUUGCCAAGAAAGCAUUUUUAUUAUUAUACUAGAAUUUAGAAUCACAAUCUACAUGCUAUCUACAUUUUGCAGUGCAAGCAUAAUAGCAAGGAAGGUUAUCAAAUAUGAUUUUCAAGAUCUAAUUUUUAAAAUAAUUCCAAAUAGAAGAUCAAAGUUUUUAAUUUAUGUUCCAUAUAUAAAACAAUAUAAUAACCUUAGGAUAUGGUUUUUAUUUAUCAGAUAUUGAAAAUUAUUUUUUUACAAGGUUCUUUAGAAAAUCUCAUUUUUUUAUUUAAAAUAACAUAUUUAUUUUUAAAAAUAUAUUUAACAGAUAAUUUUGAGUUGUAAAAGAAUUAACAUAAUUAACACAUAUUUAUUUUAAAAUUUAAUUUUGAAUAUAAAAAUAUUAAUUUCAUUUUAUCAAAAAAAUAUUAAAAGUUAAUCUCAUCCUAAUUAUGAAAUUAGAAAAAUAAACUAAACAUGUUUGUAACCCAAACACAUGUAAAACAUUUUAUUGGACCACAAAAAUAAUAUUAAUUCAUAAUAUCAUCCUACUCUUUACUUAAACACUUAUUUGCUUAUACAUUGCUUUCAUUUGAGUUGAACUUGGUAUUUAGACAUGAAGCUUUGUUACAUUCCAAUAUUUAUUAGGUUUAUUAUUGUAUUUUAUGAAUCAUUGACCAUAAAGUAUUAUUUUUUACUUAAAUAAAUAUUAUUUUUUUUAUGUAAUAACCUUUUGUUAUUAUUUAUGGGAAGACAAUUAUGACUGAUUCCACAGUAGAAGUGCUAUGUUAUUGGAAUGGAACAAUUUUGAGGACAUAAAUGGAUUUGAGAUAUAUUGGAAAUAAUGUAGAGAUUGAGCCUAUAGAUGUACCAAUUCAUAUGACCUUUGUGGAGUUGUUGAAGAUGAUAUAUGAUAUCAUUGGUGUUGACAGAGACUAUCAGUUAGUCUUGAAAUGUCGUCAUCCAACUGAAAUGAACAAAUUUCAACCAUUAGUGGUGAGAAAUGAUCGGAUAGUUGCACGUAUGCUACUGGUGCCAUCGAAGUAUGGAAUGUCUUCAGUUCAAUUUUCAUAGAGCAAACUCCCAACCAUUAUCAUUUGAGUAAUGAAAUGGGUCAUUUGACACUAUUAUCAACAGGUGAUACUGAUGUUGAUGACGAAAAUGAGAGAGAUGAGGAAGAUGAUGCAAUCAACACAGAUGAGAUUCAUUUACCUAAUGAUGAUGAAAAUUGUUGUCAAAUAGAAAAUAUUGAUUUGGUGAUGGUCCAACAAGUUGUGGAAUGUGAAAGCACAAGAUUUGUGAACCUUGAAGUUGGUGAUAGGUCUAAUAAUCCUGAGGUUGAGUUUGAGGUUGAAAACAUAUCACUAGUUGCCUCCCCACAUGUACCCAAUUUAAUAUCUCUAAUGACAACCUAGAGGAAACAUUUGUACCCGUUUCAUACCAUAUGCCACCUACACCACAAUUUUUAAAUAUGGACGAGGCAAUUAAUUGUGUUGUAAGUGAUUGGACUCCAUGGAAAAAACCAACUUUAGGAAAUGUUGAUGGAGAAUUAUCAAUUGGCCAAAUAUUUUCCUCAAAAUCAGAUUUGCAACAUGCUGUGAAGAUGUUUUCCAUAAAGGCGUACCAAGAGUUUACUGUUUAUAGAUCAAAUGCAAGUGUGUUAGUUCUUCAAUGUAAAAAAGCACCAGAGUGCCAAUGGCGACUAAGGGCAAUGACAGUGAAAGAUACGGGUAUGUUUAGAAUCACAAAAUACAAAGUUCCUCAUACAUGUGUCAAUCCAUGUAUUAAUCAAGAUCAUUCACAGUUGGAUUCUAGCUUUGUAUCUAAGUAUAUUGAAACAUUGGUGAAGGCAGAAAUGACCAUUACAGUUGCUGCAAUUCAAGCUGUUGUUGCGGAACAAUUUGGUUACCAAAUUUCUUAUAAAAAAACAAUGAAGGCAAAAAGGAAAGCAAUGACUCGAUUAUUUGGUGAUUGGUACAAGUCUUAUGUAGAGUUACCCCGUUUCUUCCUUGCCUUGGAGCAAUCAAAUCCUGGAUGCAUUAUGUAUUCCAAAAUGGUUCCUGGAAACAAUCCGAAUGAAGAAAUUUUUCAGCGUGUUUUUUGGGCAUUCGCUCCAUCUAUUAAAGGGUUUGCACACUGUCGACCAGUUCUCAGUAUUGAUGGGACACAUUUGUAUGGAAAAUAUAAAGGGACUUUGCUGAUUGCUAUGGGAUGUGAUGGUAAUAACCAAUUGUUUCCACUUGCAUUUUCCAUUACAGAAGAAGAAAAUACAGAUAGUUGGAGUUGGUUUUUGGCAUGUAUCAGAGUUGGAGUAACACAAAGGAAAGGGUUGUGUCUGAUUUCUGAUCGUCAUCCUGGCAUUAUAGCUGCUGUCAAUGAAACAUAUUCGAGAUGGACUCAGCCAGAUGCUUGUCAUAGAUUUUGCAUGCGUCAUUUAUCAAGUAAUUUCAACACAAAGUUCAAAGAUAAGACUUUAAAGGAUCUCAUGUGUAGGGCUGCUAUGGAGAGUAAAGUUAAAAAAUUUAUUUCUCACAUGGAUACAAUUGGCCAGAUAAAUGCCGAGGCUAGAAAUUGGUUGGAGCAAAUUCCUUUUGAAAAAUGGGCACUCUCAUAUGAUGGUGAGCGGAGAUAUGGGAUUAUGACAACUAACAUGUCUGAAGUUUUUAAUGGUGUCCUUAAGGGUGCUCGUAACUUACCAACAAUAGCUUUAGUCCAGUUAACUUUCUAUCUGGUUAACAGUUACUUCACAGUCAGGCGGGAGCAUGGUGCCAGUCGACUCGCUUCAGGUGAAGAAUUCACUCCACAUAUUGACGCCAAGAUAAAGGCUAAAGUUGUUAAGGUGGGUGCACAUGAGGUUCUUUUGUAUGAUCAUGUGGCGGGACGUUUUCAUGUUAAAACUAGACACUCUGUUGGAAGCAGUAAUAGGAAACCUUGCACAUAUCAUGUUACCCUUCAAACGGGGUCUUGCACAUGUAACAAAACACUUUUGUUACGAUUCCCAUGUUCGCACAUUCUUGCUACUUGUCAUUGUCAAGCAAUUGAUUUUCGAUAAUUUGUACAAGGUUAUUACACCACACGUGCUUACCUAUCAACAUGGGCUCCCUUGUUUUAUCCCAUAUUUGAUGAGUUGGAGUGGCCUCAAUAUAAUGGACCGAUAAUUGUGCCUUCAAACUCAAUGAAACGGCUAACUUCUGGUCGAUCAAAAUCAAGUCGUUUGCAUAAUGAGAUGGAUGCAGGGGAAACUAGGACUCCACAAACAUGUGGACUUUGCAAACAAUCGGGUCACAAUCGAUGUUCUUGUCCUAAUAGAGAAACCAAUGAUAGGAGGAGUUGAUGUACUUCAUGAACAUCUUAUUGUACUGUUUUUUUUUUUUUUUUUGAAUUUACUAAUAUUGACCUUAAUCGUUUUAAGAUAUAUGUAGAAACUAGCUUAUUGAACAUCUUAUUAACGUUUGUUUGUUUGAAAUUAUUAUUUUUUGUCAAUUCAUUCUUAUUUUGCUUAUAUCAGGUUACAUGAAAAAAAUAUUAAUCUCCAUUAUUUAGGGGAGAUGCUGUUCAAAUUUUUAAAAUUUUAAUAAUGAAAUUCAUGUUGUUAGAAAUUGUUGUUUUUUUGUCAAUUCAUUCAUAUUUUACUUAUAUCAGGUUACAUUGAAAAAUUUUGAAUCUCUACUGUUUAGGGGAAAUGCUAUUCAAAUUUUUACAAUUUUAAUAAUGAAAUUCAUGUUGUUAGAAAUUGUUGUUUUUUUUUUCAAUUCAUUCAUAUUUUACUUAUAUCAGGUUACAUUGAAAAAAUUUGAAUCUCUACUGUUUAGGGGAAAUGCUGUUCAAAUUUUUACAAUUUUAAUAAUGAAAUUCAUGUUGUUAGAAAUUGUUGUUUUUUUGUCAAUUCAUUCAUAUUUUACUUAUAUCAGGUUACAUUGAAAAAAUUUGAAUCUCUACCGUUUAGGGGAAAUGCUGUUCAAAUUUUUACAAUUUUAAUAAUGAAAUUUAUGUUGUUAGAAAUUGUUGUUUUUUUGUCAAUUCAUUCAUAUUUUACUUAUAUCAGGUUACAUUGAAAAAUUUUGAAUCUCUACUGUUUAGGAGAAAUGUUGUUCAAUUUUUUACAAUUUUAAUAAUGAAAUUCAUGUUGUUAGAUAUUAUUGUUUCUUGUCAAUUCAUUCAUAUUUUGUUUAUAUCAUGUAUUGAUGUACAUGCAGACAUGGAUACUUCGUUGUUUCGUGCUCGUCUUGACCCUGAGGAUACAUCUGUGCUUACUCUUCAGCAUCAACAUCGAUCAUCCACCAUUCGUGUUGAUCCAGAUAUGGGUAGUGUUUUGACUUGCUGACACAGGAUGCUUCGAGAGUGGGUUUUGGAUGAUCGUGUUCGGCCAUACAUUAUACAGUCAGGAUUUUAUGUCUUUCAUCGAGUGGGCCAUGUUAAGGUUGAUUGGCCUUUGAUUACUGCACUGGUAGAGAGAUGGCGCCCAGAGACACACACAUUCCACAUGCCAGUUGGUGAGAUGACCAUCACAUUGCAGGACGUAGCCAUCUUAUUUGGAUUACGUGUACAUGGCCAUCUUGUCACUGGUUCUACAGAUAUUGAUUGGCAUGCACUUUGUGAGGAGUUAUUAGGUGUUCGACCGACAGAGACUGAUAUUCGUGGAGCAUCCCUUACAGUUCGUUUUAUUACUACCCAUUUCUCCCACUUACCACCAGGGGUUGUAGAUGAGGUUACUUUACAACGCCAUGCUAGAGCUUAUCUUUUAUUGUUAGUUAGUGGUUCAUUAUUUACAGAUAAGAAGGGGGUUUACAUCCAAUUAGCAAUUCUACCCAUGUUAAGAGAUUUUGGUGAGACUGCACAGUAUAGUUGGGGGAGUGCGACACUAGCACAUCUUUAUCGGGAGUUAUGUCGAGCUAGCUUAGAUAGCGCAGAAUCUAUUGUAGGACCAUUACAUUUGUUGCAGGUAUAACUACUAGUCUUAUUAAUUAUGUAAUUUUGUCAUAAUUAUGUGCAUUUAAACAUAAUUUUAUUUCAUUUUUAGCUAUGGUCAUGGGAGCGAUUACAUGUGGGUCUUCCUAGUAGAUCACUUCCCCAUGCACCAGUGCCUGUAGAUGAGAGAUUCCCACCAGAUGCACUAGGGAGUAGGUGGAGUGUUACCUUAUCUCAUACAGACAUUCCUCAUCAUGUGUUGGUCACAUACAGAGAUGAGUUUGAUAAACAGCGAUCUGAUCAGGUUUGGGCUAAAUAUUAGUAUUCUUUAACAUGAACAUCUUAAUAUUAAUAAUAUAAUUUAUACUUUAUUAAAUACAUACUCAUCUAUGAAUAUAUUAGGUAUUAUGGCAGCCUUACACAGAUGAUAUACUAGCGCUACUUCCAGACAUUUGUUUAGCUGAUCAGGAUAUUUGGCAGACGAUGUCACCACUUUUUUUUUUUUUAUAUUGUUGAGUGGCAUCGUCCUGAGCGUGUGUUGCGACAGUUUGGACUCAUAUAGGGUAUUCCUUCGACACCCCCUAUAGAUUCUGACCUUCACUCCAUAGAUCGACGUGGUCGACCUCAGUUUGAUUAGAGGUUGUAUCAUGAGCACUACGUGGCAUUAUGGGAGGCUAGAGGGGACCACAUUGUCACUGCGGAGCCUAUAAGGCCUCAUAUGGACUACCAUGCUCUGUACAUGACAUGGUAUCGUCGUAUUACACGUCGUUUUAUUACACCUAUGAAUGAUUUUGGACCUAUGCGGUACCAGACUACUGCUUUAUUUGUCCACUUAUUGGUUUGUAUCACUUUAAUAUUAUAUACAUAUUCUGUAUAAUAUUUAUUCCAAUAAAUAAUUAUAUAUCAUUUUAUGUGACAGAUUGAGACUAUGACAUCAAUCAUAUCUCGAGGAGGUCAUGCAUUGGAGGACUCUGAUACUGAUGCUUGCCGCACUGGUAUUGUUGAUAUUAUUCGUAUGGCCACUGAUGUUAUGUGCAUUAUUCGGGAGGAUUAUCGUUCCCACAAGUAGAGCAUGGAGGAGAUAGGUCACUAGCUCAGUCAACAGUUGCUCGACCACCACUUGUUCGAGGUCGGUCGACAUCUCGAGGGAGAGGUAGAUAUAGUAGUUGUCAGCCCAUCACAUUGUCAGUAUCAACAUCAUUACAACCCCCUACCUUUUUAUCCUCACAAUUAGUACAGUCACCCAUUUCUUCAGACGUACCAUCAGUGCAGCACCCUACUUCUUCAGACCCACCAUCAGCCUAACCCCUUACUUCUUCAGACCCACCAUCAGUACAACCCUCUACCUCUUUAGACCUACCUCCAUUACAACCUCCUAUCUCUUCAAACCCACCAUUAGUGCAGAUUGACACAUCUACUCAGCUAGAUUUACCGCCAGCCAUUCCGAGGGGUAGGCGGGGCCUACGUCGACCUAGAUUGCUACCUCCACCACCACCUCUAUUUCCAACUCUAGCCCCAUAACAGACAGAUGUUCUUCAUGUGUCACAUGCAGUACCUGCUACAGUUAGAGAGGAGCGUCCAAAAAAGAAGAGAGUAUCAGUUACACAUAGGUUCUCUCCUUGUGGAGGCAUGUGAGAUUAUAUAUGUUUUUUAUUUUCCACUAUAUUAAUGUUUAGUGGAUAUUUUUUGUGACUUUAAUUAAACUAUUAAAAAUUACAUUUUGUAGUAGACUUUUUGUAAUUAAUUUCAUUAACUAAUUUUGUAAAAAAAUCUAUAUAUGACAACUACGGCUUAAGAGUAUGUUAUUAUUUUGUUAAAGAUAAAUUUGUCAUAAUAGAAAUAAAUUAAUAUCUUAAAAAUUAACAAAUUAAAUAUCUUAAAUUAAUAAAUUAUACAAUUUUAUAUAUUAUUUAUAUGUUAUAUAAAUUUAUUAUUUUAAGAUUAUUAAUUUAUUAAUAAAUAAAACACUCAUUUAUAAUAUCUUCUAUUUAUUAAUUUAUGUUUGUUGAAGUAAUACUAGAUUUUUAAGUUUAAAUAUAAAUAAUUUAUUAUUUAAGUAUAUUUUUUAAAUUUCAAUCAUAAAUUGUGAUUUAAUAGUUUUUAAUUAAAUUUGAAAGUAAAAAAAAAUAUUAUAAUUGAAAUCUCAGUUAUCAACUACUAUACUAUUAUUUCGAUAAAGAUAAAUUUAUCAUAAUAUAAAUAAAUUAAUAUAUUAAAAAUUAACAAAUUAAAUAUCUUAAAUUAAUAAAUUAUACAAUUUUAUAUAAUAUUUAUAUGUUAUAUAAGUUUAUUAUUUUAAGAUUAUUAAUUUAUUAAUAAAUCAAAUAUUAAUUUAUAAUAUCUUCUAUUUAUUAAUUUAUGUUUGUUGAAAUAAUACUAGAUUUUUAAGUUUAAAUAUAAAUAAUUUUUUAUUUAAGUAUAUUUUUCAUGAAUUUUAUUUUAUAUUUAUAAUAUUAAAAAUAAAAUAGAAUUAACAAAAAUAAGUUAAAAUUAUUUUAUUAAUAUAUAUUGACAAAUAAAAGAUAAAAAUUAUAUAUAUAUAUAUAUAUAUAUAUAUUUAGAAAAAUUAAAAUGAAAAAAGAGAGACAAUUGUCACACAAUGGUCUCCCUUUGUCACACAAUGGAGAGACCUUGUCAAUCGGGAAUGAAGUUACACUUUUAAAAAUUACUAGUAGAAAGCACGUGCGAGGCGCAUGAAGAUGUACGUAGGUAUAUGAUUGUGAAUGUGCAGAUAAAUGGAAUGAAAGAUAUAAUGUUUGAAAAGGUAAUUAGUAAGUGAAUUAUCUUUUAAUAUAGAUAUAAUAAUUUAAAUUUCUUUACUUUUAAUAAUCUAUAAAUAAUUUUAAAUUGAUUAACAUAAUAUAUAAAAUGACAUAAUAUACCUAUAAUUUAAUUAAUCCAUAAAUAAUAAUUAUAAAUAGAAAUAUCAAAAUAUUAUCAUAUUUGAUUAUAGUAAUAGAUACUAUAUAGUAAUAUAUUAUUAUAAUAUAAGAUGAUAUUUUACCUUUCUUUAAAUUCUUUAUAUUUUUAUAAUUUAGUAAUUAAGUUAGUUAUUAAACUUAUCUUAAAGAUCAUAUAUAUUUUUUUUUAAAUUUUAGUUUCUUGUUCAUCAAUAUUUCAAAUAAAUUAUUUAAAUUAAAAUUUAUUAUUGUAACUCAAGGAUGUACUUAAAGAAAAAUGGAUAGAACAUAAAAAAAAUAUGUUAUUAUAGUCACGAUUUAGGUAAAAUCACAACCAAACAAAUAUGUGUCAUAAUUUACAAGUUUUGUAAUCCACCAUUGUUGUAAUGUACUCUUUUAACAAAUUUACUUAAUUGGCUUCUUCCAUAAGUUUGAAGCAAUACCUGUUUAUCUUUAUAAUUGCUUGAGUUAAAUUCUUUUCUUUUCUCUCUUGCAAAAAAGUUAUAUAUAUUUUAAAAGGUAUUAGGUGAAAUAGAAAAAUGAUGCUUUAACCAUCGGUCAAACUAAUGAACCAUGAAUUAGUAAUUUUUUUUUAUUCAAUGACUGAUUUUAUUCUAAAAACAUUGAUUUAAAAGAUUUCAAAUUAACACUACCUAAAGGCAUUGAUAUAUAUGUAGAGGCUUUGGGUGUCAAUUAAGCCUAAAUAUUUAAUUACAUCUCUUCUAGUAUUUAGGCAUGCACACAUGAUACAACUUUUUGUUUGAAUUAUAUUACAUGGACAAUUACUUGUUGAAUAUUUAAAUGUUAAAAAUAAUAAUAUUAUUAAAGAAAACUUAGAAAUAAACAUUUAAUGACUCAAAUUUUCUUUAUUUCUGAAAUUAAAUUAUACUUCUCUUCUUUAAACAAUUUUUUCAUAAAUAAAUGUGUUUAGACAUUUUUCAAGAUCUUCGAUAAACAUAACUUUCAAAAUUUUCUUUUAACUUCUCUUCAUUUAUAUUCAUAUUUGUUUUGAAUUAAUUUUGAUUUAUCUAUUGAAAAUUAGUUGUAGUUUACAUUCUUUGUAUAAUAUUUAUUAUCAUCAUCAUUAUAAUAACAAAGAAAUGAUUAAAAAUAUUUGUUCAAAAAUGAGGUUAAAAAAUUUUAUAUAAGAAAAAUAAAAUGUGGUAAACUUGUUUUUAGGCAAACCCUUAAAUAUUUUCAUUAAUUAAUAAUAAUUUUUUUUUUUUUUUACAAAUUUUCCAAAUUCAUGUGAUAUAAUUUGAGUGAAAAUUUAUUAAAAACUCGAAAGAAAAAUAAAUAUUUGAUAUAUUAAUAAUUUAUACUUCUAGGUAAUAAAAUCUUCUUGUCCAACUCACGUAUUCAAUUAAUAAUCCUAAAUAUAUAAGAUAAUAAUUUUUUUAGAAAUUCUUAAGAGUCCAAUAAAAUAUAAAUUAAUAACUAAUGAAAUAUGUAAAGAAAAAAAAAUCAUAAUGCAAACUUUCUCAAAAUAUACAUUGAAAUUUAUUUCUUUUAAUCACUUUCAUCUUGAGUGAAAGGAGCCUUCCUUGAGCAAAUCAAUUGCAUGGAAACGAGAUAAAUGUCUUUCAUGCAAAGUAGGGUAAAAAAAAAUAGAGGUAGACUUAGAAUUUUAAGUGUCUGCUCAGAAAAAAACAAUGAAAUCCCAAAUCCCAAUUUUAGCGAAGAAGAAGAAAUGUGAAUCCCAGGCUUUCAACUUCAAAACGGGAGAAAAGAAUGUACAAUUUAUUCAAAACUUUUAGGCCCCACUUAAAAACAUGGAAAAUUUGACAAUAAUGAAACCGCAUGGAAAACGGAGGUAAGUCAUGUCAAGUGGGCCCAUCUGACCUACUACAUUAAAUUGUUUGGAAAGGGGGAAUUCAAACUGAAAUUGCCUGGAAGUGAUUUCCCAUUUGCCCGGAAAUUGCCUUGAAACUGGGAACUUAGCUGGAUUUAAAAUCAACAAACCUGGUUGUCAGUUGAUCAGCAACAACUGUGAAAACAAGUAAUGGCUGAAAGUAUUGUCACCGUUUUUCUAGAGAAGUUAACUGACCUGCUUUCCCAGGAAGCAUUUCUACUCAGCAGAGUGGAAGAGCAGGUGAAUCUGUUGAGUAUUGACCUCGAAUGGAUGCGCCAGUUUCUCAAAGACGCGGAUGCGAAGCGCAGAUAUGAUCCAAGAAUCAAGCUCUGGGUGAGUCAGAUCAGGGACGUAACCUAUGACGCCGAAGAUGUCAUCGACAGGUUCAUGUUCGAGAUGAAUCACCAACAGCAAGGAAGUCUCAAAUGCCUCAAGUUCCUUAAGUUACGAUUGGUUCACAAGCUCGAGUCUCGAAUCAGAGAGAUCAAUACCAAGAUUGAGAAGAUCAAGGCUGCCAAAUCAACGUUCAUUGUCGAAACCUUACCAGCUGCAAGCUGGCCCAACGAAGUUGUGCCACAUAGAGAGAGGAGGGCUCCGAUUGUGGAAGAAGUCAACGUGGUGGGAAUUCAAGAGGAUGCAAAAAGCGUCAAGCAAAAGCUGCUUAAUGGAGAGAUGCGGAGAGCUGUGGUGUCCAUCGUGGGCAUGGGUGGCUUGGGAAAGACUACCCUGGCUAAGAAAGUCUACAAUGAUAAUGAUGUCCAGCAAUGCUUUGAUUGUCAUGCUUGGAUUUAUGUCUCUCAAGAGUAUACAAUCAGGGAGCUUUUGCUAGGCGUUGCUGUUCGUGUUGGGAUUCUCUCCGAAGAGGAAAGGAGUAAAAUGAACGAGAGCGAUUUGGGGAAUAGUCUUCGUGAUUACCUGACUACCAAGAAGUACUUGAUAGUUAUGGAUGAUAUGUGGAGAAAUGAAGCUUGGGAUAGGUUGGGCUUGUAUUUUCCUGACUCGGUGAAUGGCAGCAGAGUGUUGAUCACCUCACGCAAUAAACAGAUUGGUCUUUAUGCUGAUCCACAAACCAUUCCCCAUGAACUUUCUUUUCUGACUGAAGAAGAGAGCUGGGAGCUCUUUCUCAAGAAAAUUUUUCUGGCUGGGAGUGCAAAUGCUGUUUGCCCCAGAGAAUUGGAAGAGUUGGGAAAGAAAAUUGUAGCAAAUUGUGGGGGUUUGCCCCUUGCAAUUGUGGUCUUGGGAGGCCUUCUAUCAAGAAAAGAAAAGACACCGCUCUCCUGGCAAAAAGUACUGGACAGCCUAACUUGGCACCUAAAUCAAGGUCCAGACUCAUGUUUGGGGGUCCUUGCUUUAAGCUACAAUGAUAUGCCGUAUUACUUGAAGUCCUGUUUCCUUUACUGUGGCCUUUUCCCAGAAGACUCAGAAAUCAGGACAGAUAAGUUGAUCCGCUUGUGGGUUGCAGAAGGGUUUAUACAAAGAAGAGGAGAAGAAAUAGCGGAAGACGUCGCGGAAGAUCACUUACAGGAAUUGGUACAUAGAAGCAUGAUUCAAGUGGCUGCCAGGAGUUUCGAUGGAAGAGUGAUGUCCUGUCGCAUGCACGAUCUGCUUCGAGACCUUGCCAUUUCUGAGGCCAAAGAUACAAAAUUUUUCGAGGGAUAUGAAAGCAUUGAUUCUACAUCCCCUGUUAGUGUUCGUCGACUAACCAUUCAUCAGGGUAAGAAGACUAAUUCUAAACACUUGCAUACUUCACGUAGUCUCCGAUCUUUCAUUUGUUUUUCUGUAUGCUUCCAAGAAAACAUUUUGAGAUCUUUACACAGGCGUGUCAAAUUGCUCACUGUACUGGACCUAGAACGCAUGCCUAUCAAUACCAUCCCAGAAGGCAUAGGAGAACUUAUCCACCUUAAGUACCUGUGCUUAAGGAGAACCCGCAUAAAAAGGCUUCCAUCGUCCAUAGGUCGUCUUACAAAUCUACAAACCCUAGACUUUCAAAGCACUUUCAUUGAAAUAAUUCCUUCUACCAUUUGGAAAUUGCACCAUUUGAGACAUCUAUACGGUCGUGGUGUGGUUUCAAGCCAGUCAGUGAUAGAUAAGUGCAGGAAUGGCCCUUUGAGUGUUGACCACCUAACAAACCUCCAAUCGUUAGGUUUAAGAGCAGGCAGUUGGUGCUGUGGUGAAGGCUUGGGAAAAUUAACUGAGCUUAGAGAACUGAUAAUUGAAUGGACCAAAAUGGCACAAACAAAGAACCAUGGAUUUUCCGAGUCAGUAAAAAAGCUAACUGCUCUUCAAUCCUUGCGUUUGUAUACUUUAGGAGCGGAAAUGUUUACCUUGCCGCACCUCAUGCCUUUCUCAGACCACACCUACCUUUACCAUCUAAGUUUAAGAGGAAGGCUCGAAAGGUUCCCUGAUGAAAUUGAAUUCUACCCUCCAAACCUCAUCUCCUUGGAAUUGGAAUGUUGGAAUAUAGAGCAAGACCCAAUGGUGACCCUAGAGAAGCUGCCAAACUUGAGAUUUCUCAUAUUAUCCCUUUGUUACUCUAUGGUAAAGAAGAUGGUCUGUACUUCUGGAGGAUUCCAGCAACUCGAAACCCUUACGCUCUGGGGUUUGAAAGAAUUAGAAGAAUUGAUUGUGGAGGAAGGGGCAAUGCCUGAUCCGAAGGAUUUAGUAAUUGAGACUUGCCCUAAAAUGAAAAGGCUUUCCCAUGGAUUGCUGCAACGAAAAAAUUUGCAGCACCUAAAGUUGUAUGAUUUGUCUCCUGAGUUAAUGGAUGAGCUUUCUCUGAUAGAAGGAGAAGAUCGGGAGAAGAUCUGCCUCGCCACCUCAAUACACGGGUGGAGGCGUACGGCAUCAUGAAGGCUCAGGAGAAGUUUCAUAAAGCGCUACCAGGAAAUGCUUGGACUGUAUUGAAGAGCAUUUCCAAUGCAACAAAUCUUUCUCUACUUGUCUAAGCUCGUCUUUUUCCUUGUUUUUUCUGCUUUUGUGAAACAUACGUGUUUGUGUAAGAUGCUUCCACGUUUUCAAAUAAAGUGAUCAGUCAGUUUAUAAUUGAACCUCAAUGGAGUUCUAAUAAGAGAAAACCAACAUAAUACAUGCAAGAGUAGAAGCCCGUACACUUCUAAAAGCUUGGGAAGUGUUUUUGAAAUCAGUUUUUAAAAAUAAUUUUUUAAUGUUCUCAUAAACAAAAUUAUGUUUGAAAAUUGAAUUCUAAAAAAUAAUUUUUAUUCUCAAAAACAAAAAAAAACAUGUUUGAUUGAGUUAAUAAAAAUAACUUUUAACAACAAAUAAAACAAAAAAAACUUGUUUGGAAGUUGUUAUUGUUGUAUUUUUUUUUGAAGUUGGAUAUUUUCUUUAAUUAACUUGAUGUUAUAAAUCUAUAAAUAAUUUUUACAUUCACAUUUCAUUAAAAAUAAAAAAUGUUCCAUUUUGAAAUUUUUUUGCAUUAGUUUUAAUUUUUUAAACAAAAUAUUACUUUAUAAUAUGUUUGAUUUCAAUAAUUAGUAAAUUAUCCUAUUAAAAUAUCAUAAAUUGGUAAAUAUCAAUGAUUGGAUUUUAUGAAGAUAAAAUUUAUGAUAUCAAACAAUAAUGCAUUAUACUUGGAAACUUAUGAUCUAUUUUUUCUAUUUUGAAUAUAAUUAAUAAUAUAAAAAUUUAGUUAAUAAUGAUAUAUUUAUGAUAAUUUUUUAAAUAUUAUAAUUUUAUUUAAAAUUAAAUUUUAUAUUUAAUUAUUAUAUAAAAGAUAAAAAUUGUUAAAGUAAAUCAAAUUAAUUUAUUUAUAAAAAUUUAUUAAUCUUUACUAUAUAUAUAUAUAACAUAUUGGGAUGAAAACCAAGAUCAAUACCUUUUCAUUUUUUUCCCUCCUCUGUAUCUCCCUGUUCUCUUUUCAGUUCUUUGUCUCCUCUUGUUCUUCUUCCAAGAUCCAAACUUUUAUUCAGGUGAACUAUUUCUCUCUUCUAAAAUCAAAACAUUAUUCAUUAAGGCCAAAAUUCAGAUAUGUGGUUGUUGCAGAGAUUCCUGGUAAGGUUUCAGGUUUUUUUUUUUUUAAUUAUUCUUUUUUAUUUUUUGCAUUCUUAGUCUUUUUUGUGUUCUUGUUUAUGUUUUGUUUUAGUUUUUGGGAAAUCCUAGAAUUUAUGGAGGUUUUGGCUUUGAAAUAUGAUAAAAUCCUGAAAUAUCAAUAUAUAUAUAUAUAUAUAUUGAAACGGAAAUGACCAAAAAAAAAGAAAACCGGAUAAUGUUGAAUUUUUGUGAGACCGAUUUUCCCAUUUUCAUCCCCAAUUUUUUUUUUUUAAUUUUCCCUCAUAGUGCAAAGAAUUUUGCCUUAGUGCAAAGAAGAGGUGAGAACGCACAAAGAACACACUAGAACACUCAUUGAAAACAUGAAAAGCAUUCUAAUUUUUUUAUUUUUUUUGUUCUUAGAACAGUGGCAAAAACACAGUGAUUACCAUUUUUUUUUUUUUUUUGUUAUCUAAAAACCAAGCUUUAGAAAACAUGAAGAACACUUGAGAACAGAAAACAUUCUCUUAUCAAACUUUUUUUUGUUUUUGUUUUUUUUUUUUUUUGUGAUUUUUUGUUCUCAAAAACAAAAAACAAAUUUUGAAAACACUAACCGCACAUGCCCAAACAUUAAGGUUAUGUUUGGUUCCAGAAAAAUACUAAGGAAAGAAAAUAACUGUAAAGGAAAAUGAUUUUUUUAUGUUUGAUUGUCCUAUAAAAAUAUAAAAGAAAAUCAAAUAUAAUUAAAAUUAAUUAAAAUUUUAUGUAUUUUAAAAUUAUUUAAUAUUUAUAUUGAUAAGUUAAAAUAAAUAAAAUGAGUUUGAAGUAACAAAAAUAAUAAUUUAUCAAUUUUUAAUUUAUUUUUUUAUUUUCCUUUUCUUUUUCUUUUCUUUUACUUUUCCUUUGUAUUUUCUUUCCCCUAAAUUUUCCUUCAAAUUUUCUGGAACCAAACAUAGCAUAAAAGCAUUGCAAGAUAAAUAGUUCAAACUCAAAUCAACUCUGAAAAUUUAAACAAUGACAAUUCGUAGCAUGCAACUUAAAAAUGAAGAACAAAAAUUUAUGUAAGUGAAUGGAUUCAAUCUUGUAAUUUAAUUUAAUUUUUUAAUAUUCAAACAAUAGGAACAAUUUAGAAUAACUUAAUGAUAACUUAUAGAUAAAAGAUUGGAAGGUGAAUGGUUAGAUAAGAUAAACUUGGAAGCAUAAUGAUUUUGAUCUAAUAUUAAUAAUUAUAGUAAAUAAUAAGGGAAGUUAUGGUAUGAAAGAGUUUGCUUAUAGGAUAAUUGUUGGAUUUGUUAAAAAAUGGAAAUUUAAUAUUAUUUUUGCAAGCAAACUGGUUAAUGGAUUUUUACUUAUUUAUAAAUUUAUAAAUAUAAAAAUUGAAGACAGAAUAAUGACCAUUAGGGUGGAAAACAAACAAAUUAAAGAAAUAAAAAAGACAAAUAUAAAUUUAUUAUUAACUUAUUUAUUAUAAUAAUAUGUUAAUAUAAAUUUAUUUAUGAUCAUGAAUAUGAAUUUAUUAUUAAACUUUUAUUAUUCAUUUAUUAAUGUAGAGAAUUACUCUUUUAAUGUAAACUCUUUUAUUUAAAUUUUUUUUCUACUAUUUUUUUAAAAUAUUUCAAAAAAAAUUAUGUUUAAAAUUUUUUCUAUUAUAUUUUUGUAAAAUAUUUGAGGUGGGUUGAAAUAAAUUACAAUUCAUGAGUGAUUAUGAAAAUUUUAAAUGCAUUUAUUUAAAAAAUGGUUGUUUGAUGAUAAAUUAUUUUCUUUAAAUAACCAUUACAUAAUUUCAAAUCAAUUAAAAUAAUAUAUAUAAAAUGACAUCAUACAUAAUUUUAUUAAAAUAUGAUAUUGUGGACCCGUAUUUCGGCUCAUGUGUUUUUCACUCAACGACGAACUCGAUUUUUAUUUAAAAAUAAUUUUAUUUAUAAAAAAAAUGAGUUGGAGUAGCUUGUAGACCCCUUCCAAAGACCAAGGGUUUUUCAUUCGUUCUAGGACCAUCUGGGAGGGAAAUUUUUUUCCCUUUUUUUGGGAGUGGGGACCUCUUUCUGGAGGAAAACCGGUUGCAUAGACGGGUGGCAAAGGGCAUGGCUGGCCAUGGUGGUGGUUGAGGAUGACAUCUUCCCUGGGUGAGGCGCAGUGAAGUGAGGAGGGGCUUACGGGGGAAGAUAGAAAACAGAGGGAAGGAAAAAUUUGAGAUGGGGGGUGGGGGGGGGGGGGGGGGGAAAAAAAAUUUCCCAAAAAAACCAAAAAAAAAAACCUGGAACCCCGCCAACCUUUUUUUUAAAAGAAGCCUUUCCAGGAAGGACCCCCGUUUCCCCCCUUUUUCCGUUCCCUAUCCUCCCCCCCCUAUUUUUGGAAAAUAAUGUUUUUUUUUAGUAAGGAAAACCCGGUCCCUCUUUAACCUUCCCUCAACCCCGGAAAAUCCAUAGGAUUUUUGUCCUUGUUUUCCCCCCCCCUUUAAAACCCCAAAAUUACCCCCCCGUUUUUCUAACAAACUAUAGACCCCCCACCCCCCUGCCCCCCCNNNNNNNNNNNNNNNNNNNNNNNNNNNNNNNNNNNNNNNNNNNNNNNNNNNNNNNNNNNNNNNNNNNNNNNNNNNNNNNNNNNNNNNNNNNNNNNNNNNNAAAAAAAAGGGGGGGGGGGGUGGGUGGUGGUUUUUAAAAAAAAAAGGUUUUUUAUUUUUUUUUUGGGAAUUUUGGGGGGAAAAUUUUUUUUUUUUUUUUGGGGAGGGGGGGUUUUUUUUGGGGGAAAAAAGGGUAAAUUAAAGGGGUGGAAAAGGGAAGGGUGGUAAAGGGUGGGGGUAGGAAAUAAAAUUUUUAUUGGGGAGGGGAGAUAAAAGAGAGGAGGGGUUAUGGGGGAAAAAAAAAAAAAAGGGGAAAGAAAAAAUUUGGGGGGGGGGGGGGGGGGGGGGGGGGGGGAUAGAAGAUUUUCUAGAGAGAGCAGAAAAAGAGAGCUUGGAGUCAGGCGAGCUUUUGUUUGAGAGGAGGCUUUUCAGGUAAGGACCCUGUAUUCACCAUUGUUUCUGUUCAUUAUCUUCUCCAUCUUAUUUUUGGAUAUUAUUGUUUGUUUUGAGUAUGGAUAUCAGGUUACAUGUUUAGCUUUCAUUGAUCUCUGGAAUAUCUAUGGAUUUGUUGUCAUUGUUUUAUCAUCUCUUUGAUAUCUCAAAAUUUACACCCCUGUUUUUGUAUGAACUUAUGGUCCCUCAACCCGCUUGCAAGCCCGUGGAUGGAACAAAUAAAUAGGGCUUUUUUUUUUUCUUUCUCUAUACUCUGUUUUAGUAAAAGUUCCUUUCAUGUUUUCUUCUGUCCUUAAUGGAAUUGUUCUUAAGCGUGGUGCAGUUUGGGUUGGACUGAUGGGUUUGGUUCUUUGAACUGUUCAUGGCAUUAUCCGCAUUUGGACCAAGUUACGACUGUUGAGACACAAUGAAGGGAUCCCUGAAGAAGGCAUUACGGUUGAAAAAGUCGAGAAUCCUCCUCUUAUGGAUAUUCCCACUGAAACUGGUUCAAAAGCAGUUGGAAAUUACGCCCUUGAACACGUCAGUGAGCAUGAGGACCAUACCCACAUUCUCAUUACCCUCCAUCCUCUAUUCCACCAUACCCAUUUUUCACCUCCAUCACGCAUGGCACGAGACUUCUUUUUUGCAAAAAACACCCAACAUACCCAUUACCCUAUGUAUCUUUCCACCUCUCAAUACCCACAAAAACCAUUCCCCCAACCGUGCCCAUCACCACUUCCUUAACUGCACCACCAAUCCCCUUUCUCUCUCUAAGUCUUCAUCUCCCAACACCCACUAAACUCAUUUUCUUACUGAUAAUGGAGACACAUCCCUACACCAGCUUAAGAACCUUUGCAUUCGCUGCACCCAAAACGGAGCAGUAUGGUGUUCGUUUGCUGAAAUUCCACAUUUUGGAAAGACAUCAUUACCGGCAUCGAUGGAAUGUGUAUCAUCAAUGAGCUCAUUGCAACUGCCAUUGCCUGUGGCUUUGAUAAGGAGGCCACCAAUGUUGGUGAGAAGAAUGCCACCAGCCACAUGUUGAUUUAUAUGAGGACUAUGCAAUAGGCUAUAUUUCUAGGUCAACCUACCAUGCAUUUUAUAUAUAUAUUGGUUUUCUAAGUGGUAUUUUCCAAGGAAAGUUGUUUGGCAGCCCAUGCACGGCCACUUUUGCAUGCCCCAUUCCUUUCAUUUUAUUUUAUUAUCCUACAUGUCAGAAUCAAGACUCUCAAAGUUUUAGUUUUCAAUUUUUUUUUACUCUAUUUUUUUUAGUUCUUCAAAACUCCGACUCUUGGACGUAAUUUUAAAAAAAAAUUCAAUCUUUAAAUAAUUUUUUCAAAAAUUGGACUUCUGAAUUUAAUUUUCAAUUUAAAAAAUUCCAAGUUUUACAUUCAUUUCUUUAAUCUUUAUUGUUUACAUCAUUAUUAUUAUCUUAUUUACUUACUUACUUAUUUAUUUAUUUAUUUAUUUCCCAAAUUCCAUCUUAAAAAAAAAAAAAGAAAUCUCAAAAUUAUAACUUCCAAAUUUAAUUUUCGAAUCUAAAAAAUUCCACUAUUCAUGUUCAUUCAUUUAAGUAUUAUUUUCGUUAUUAUUAUUAUUAUUUCAUUUAUUUAUUUAUUUCUUUUAAAAAUUUCAAUCAUUAAAGUUCAAUUCUUAAAAAAUAUGACUUCCAAAUUUAAUUUUCAAUCUAAAAAAUUUCACUAUUCACGUUCAUUUGUUUAAAUAUUAUUGUUAUUAUUAUUAUAAUUAUUAUUAUUAUUAUUCCAUAUUUAUUUAUUUAUUUCUUUUAAAAAUUUCAAUUAUUAAAGUUUAAUUCUUCAAAAAUCUGACUUUCAAAUUUAAUUUUAAAUCUAAAAAAUUUCACUAUUCACAUUCAUUCGUUUAAAUAUUAUUUUUGUUAUUAUUAUUAUUAUUAUUCCAUAUUUAUUUAUUUAUUUCUUUAAAAAAAAUUUCCCAUCAUUAAAGUUCUAUUCUUAAAAAAUCUGACUUCCAAAUUUAAUUUUCAACCUAAAAAAUUCCACUAUUCACGUUCAUUCAUUUAAAUAUUAUUUUCGUUGUUAUUAUCAUUAUUUCAUUUAUUUAUUUGUUUAUUUUCUUUAAAAAUUCCAAUCAUUAAAGUUCAAUUCUUCAUAAAUCUGACUUCCAAAUUUAAUUUUCAAUUUAAAAAAUUCCACUAUUCACGUUCAUUCGUUUAAAUAUUAUUUUUGUUAUUAUUAUUAUUAUUUCAUAUUUAUUUAUUUAUUUAUUUUAAAAUUUUCGUAUUUAAACAAUUCUUAAAAAAUAUGACUUCCAAAUCUAAUUUCCAAUCUCAAAAAAUUCCACUAUUUACAUUAAUUUGUUUAAUGAUUAUUUUCGUUAUUAUUAUUAUUCCAUUCAUUUACUUAUUCACUUAUUCAUAUAUUUAAAAUUCCAUCUCUAAAUGAUUUUUCGAAUUUCCAAUCUCUAAAUUCAAUUUCCAAUUUCCAAAAUUCUAACUUUCGUAAUUAUUUAUUCAAUCAUUAUUAUUUUGUCAUUAUUAUUAUUCCAUUCAUUUAUUUAUUCACUUAUUCAUUUAUUUAAAAUUUCGUCUUUAAAUAAUUAUUCAAAAUUCCGAUUUCCAAAUUUAGUUCUCUAAAAUUCCAAUUUUCCUAUCUCCGAACUUCAUUUUCAGUUUCCAAUAUUCUAAUUCUCGCAUUUAUUCAGUUACUCAUUUAUUAUUAUCAUUAUUACUAUUAUCAUUUUAUUCAUUUAUUUCUAAAAAUUCCACUUUCGAAUGAUUUCCAAGAUUUCCAAUUUUUAUAAUUCAAUUUUCAUAGUUUUUACUUCUCAAAUAAUUUUCAAUUAUGAUUUCUUUCAAAAUUUAUCCAAAGUCCCAAUUUUCGUAAUUUAUUUAUUUAUUUUUAAAUCCUAAACUCUCAAAUAAUUGCCAAAAUUUCAAUUUCUUUCAAAUUUAAUUUCCAAAAUUUUCAUUCUUACAUUUAAUUCCUAAAAAUCCAAUUUUCAAAUAAUCUCUAAGAUUUCAAUUUUCAAAUGAAUUUCAAAAAUCCAGUUUUUCCUCGAACAGUUUUAAUUUUUGUUUGGUGAUGCAUGUGAUAUGUGUUGUGUUCUUUAUUGUACACUAACCCCAUUUUUAUGAUAGCACAUUGCUCGUUCAUGGCCUAGGUAUGCAUCCACUCUCAUUCUAGUCAUUUUCUAUGCAUGUUUUGAUUCUCAUACGUACAUGAUCGAUUUGAGUAUCCAUUGAUUUUCCUAUUGAUUGCCACGUCAGCUUCAUUUUAUUAGUAGAGACUCGACUUUAGGGACUUAGAGGGGUGCUACAGUCUUUACCGUACCUUCCUGAUAAGUAAUCUGGCCCUCGAGCCCAAUCCGAUUUUUCACAGACCACAUUUUCCAAAAUAAGGAGUCACACUUAGAGUUUUCUUUCUUAUUUUGUUUACCCUUUUAAAAAUAAAACAAAAUAAUGAUUGGAUAAAUAAUUGUGAAAGUUAGAAUUUUGGAAAUUGGAAAUUGAACUUAGGGAUUGGAAAUUUAAAGAACUAUUUAGAGAUGAAAUUUUAAAUAAACGAACAAAUGAAUAAAUAAAUAAAUAGAAUAACGAAAAUAAUAACGAUUGGAUAAAUAAUUGCGAAAUUUGGAAUUUUAGAAAUUGGAAAAUGAAUUUAAAGAUUGGAAAUUCGAAGGAUUAUUUAGAGAUGAGAUUUUAAAUAUAUGAAUAAGUGAAUAAGUAAAUGAAUGGAAUAAUGAUAAUAACGAAAAUAAUCAUUAAACAAAUGAAUGUGAAUAGUGGAAUUUUUUAAAUUGGAAAUUAGAUUUGGAAGUCAGAUUUUUUAAGAAUUGUUUAAAGACGGAUUUUUUUUAAAAAGAAAUAAAUAAAUGGAAUAAUAAUAAUAAUAACGAAAAUAAUACUUAAACGAAUGAACGUGAAUAGUAAAAUUUUUGAGAUUGAAAAUUAAAUUUGGAAAACGGAAUUUUGAAAAAUUGAACUUCAAUGAUUGGAAUUUUUAAAGGAAAUAAACAAAUAAAUAAAUGAAAUAAUGGUAAUAAUAACAAAAAUAAUAUUUAAACGAAUGAACGUGAAUAGUGAAAUUUUUUAGAUUGAAAAUUAAAUUUGGAAGUCAGAUUUUUUAAGAAUUGAACUUUAAUGAUUGGAAUUUUAAAAAGAAAUAAAUAAAUAAAUAUGGAAUAAUAAUAACAAUAACAAAAAUAAUAUUUAAAUGAAUGAACAUGAAUAGUGGAAUUUUUUAUAUUGAAAGUUAAAUUUGGAAGUCAAAUUUUUGAAGAAUUAAACUUUAAUGAGUGGAAAAUUUAAAAUAAAUAAAUAAAUAUGGAAUAAUAAUAAUAAUAACGAAAAUAAUAUUUAAACGAAUGAAUGUGAAUAGUGGAAUUUUUUAGAUUGAAAAUUAAAUUUAGAAGUUAGAUUUUUGAAGAAUUGAAUUUUAAUGAUUGAAAUUUUUAAAAGAAAGAAAGAAAUAAAUAAAUAGAAUUAUAAUAAUAAUAAUAAAAAUAAUAUUUAAACGAAUGAACGUGAAUAGUGAAAUUUUUGAGAUUGAAAAUUAAAUUUUGAAGUCAGAUUUUUAAAAAAUUGAACUUUAAUGAUUUGAAUUUUUAAAAGAAAUAAUUAAAUAAAUAAAUGGAAUUAUAAUAAUAAUAACGAAAAUAAUAUUUAAACGAAUGAAUGUGAAUUGUGAAAUUUUUAAAAUUGAAAAUUAAAUUCGGAAAUCGGAAUUUUAAGAAUUACUUAAAGGUAGAAUUUUAAAAGUGAAUAAAUAAAAUAAUAAUAAUAACAAAAAGAAUAAUGAGUAAAUAAAUAAAUAUGGAAAUGGGAAAGCUUUAAAAAUUAUUUGAGAGGUGGAAUCAUGAAAGGAAUUUUGGAAAACUGGAGUUAGGAAAACUGUUAAAAUAAUAAGAAAAUAAAUAAAAAGUCAAAAACUUACUGGGCCAUGUGCCAAAGUGACCACACUUAGAGGUGGCCAAAGUGGAAAAAGGUUUUCAAAUGAUGUUUGAACAUCCUGGCAGCCCAAAGAAAAAUAAAACGAAGUGUUGCAACGUGCACAUCAUGAAUUUACAUCUGUGGCCCCACCAUCAACUACAAGAUAUUUCCAAUUGUAAUGCCUUAGAUACUUUCUAGCAUCAUUUAAUGCAACCUCAUAAGAAGUCAAAAUUAUAGGAAAUUUGGGGCUAAUUUUUCUUGGCAUAUACUUCAUUCGUAUUUGAUCUCUUUCUUUCCUAUUGCCGUGGUAGAUUAUUGCAUUUAUUGAGGGCACAAACCUUGCUAUUUCAUUUGCCCAGUUUGAGAGAGUAGGAAGAGGAGCAAUGACCAAUUAGGGGCCAUCUAACCCCUUUCCUAUUUUCCCCACACCGAUCAAAGAGAUAUUUCUGGGCAUUCAAACUCAAUGCUGCAUAAAUGGGAUGAGAACCACAUAGCUAAAAUGCCGCUCAAUAGAAACAGACCAAUAACAAUUUGCCAUUUCACAAAUUCUUCACUCUUUCUUCUCCACAGGAAGAAAGAAAAAAAUAAAAAUAAAAAUACACAAACACUUAUCCCCCUUUUGAGGUUUUCACUGUAAAAAUGCCUCAAUUAAGGUACCUGACAAUUUAGAGACACAGAUGAGCCACAAAUUUCACUGGCACAAUCAAAUCUUCAGGCAAAAACGCAUACAGUUGAAGGAACAUAUAAAGAAAGCAUCAGAUGGAAUAAAAAUAUAGGAAAUUGAGUGCACAAAAGGGGUUACGAAUGUAAAAUUCACAGGCAAGGCAAUCGAUGCAGCGAAGCGAAAUAAAAUAUCAGGAUGAAUUCCGCUGGAAAAGUCGUCAAAUUCAACAAAAACUGAUCUCACCUAAAAGACCACUUUUCAAAGGAAAGCUCGCCUGACUCUGAGCUCUGUUUUUUGCUCCUUCCCGGAAAUCCUCUAUCCCCAAGCUAUCCACCCUCAAACUAGUUUCUUCUCAAGCUCCUCAAAUUUUCCUCCAGGCAAGAUCGCUCCUCCAACCAAGCCCCCGAAAUUUUUUUUGGAAUCCUCUUAAACGCCAGAAAAACCUCCUAUCCUUUCUUCUUUCUUCUUUCUUCUCUCACAAGUCUUCACCUGCUCCCUACUACCACCAUGCUGUCUUUGCCACAUGUCCCAUGCGGCUUGCCCCCUCCAGAAAGAGGUCCCCCCACUUCCAAAAAUGAAAAAAUUUCAAUUCCCAGGUCGUCUGCAAAAGGGGUCUACAGAUAUUAAUUAAUAAAUAAUAUUUAUAAAUAGAUAUAUUAAAUAUGUUAUCUUAUAAUAUGAUUAUAUUAAUAGAAAAUAUGUUGUAAUAUAUUACAAUAGCAUAUUAUCUGUUAUAAAAUAUGAGAUUUUGUACCAUUAUGGUAACUUGUAGAUGAUCAUCCAUAUAUAUAUAUAUUGUAAUUCCCUGUAAAAUGGAAGGACCCAUAAUGAAAUUCUAUUGAGUUUUCUCGUGCAUUUUCAUUAUUUCUUUAUAUAUAUAUUUAUAUUUAUUGUAACUCCCUGUAAAAUGGAGGGACCCCUAAUGAAAUUCUAUUGAGUUUUCUCGUGCAUUUUAUCAUUUCUUUCUAUCUUCUUUUUUCACUUUUAUAACACGUUAUUAGCACGAUAGUCUCUACAAAAGAAAUAGAAAGAUUUUUCUCUCUUCAGAGAAAUAAAAAGACUGUCAUCUUUUUUAUCCCACAAAAAGGUAUGUCAUAAACUUAUAUAAUAAUUUUCUAUUUUAUUUAUAUAUGUGAUAAAAUUACCUUUUGAUUUUCUAUUUCACUUAUUUUAUUUGAAUACAUAAAUAUGUGCAAUCCCUAUAACCAGAAGUUAUGGGGUAAAUUACAAAAUUACAAAAACAUGGCCAGAAGUUAUGUAUAUGAUCCCUAAUUAUCUAUUUUUAAUUAUACGAUAUAACUGGAAGUUAUACCAAACAAUAUUAUAUAGCCAGAAGCUAUAAAAGUAAAUAGUUCAUAACCUGAAGCUAUAUACAAAUCUACAUAGUGAAAAUUCAUAGCCUGAAGCUAUGAAUGAUAUUAUCUUUUGAUUUCUUUUAAUUAUAUUGUAUAACCGAAUGUUAUAAAAAAAAAAAAAAAAUUAUAGCCAAAGGCUAUACAAUAAAUAUUUCAUGACUUGAAGUUAUGUAUAAAUUUAUACAUUUUUGUUACGAUAAAAUAGAAUGUUUAUUAGAAACUACAUUAAAAAUGUUUUCAUGGUCAAAAGCUAUAUAAGCCAUACUUUUUGUACUUAAGGCAGAAAUUUGAAAAUAUUGAUAUUUUAAUUUUGUAUAGCCGGAAGCUAUAUAGAGAAUUUCUAACUACGGUAUAACUAGAAGUUAUACGAACUAAAUUGUCAAUUAAUAAUUUUAUAAAAUUUUAUAGCUAGAAGCUAUAUAGAGAAUAUUUUAUAGUAAUAAAAUUAUGGCUAGAAGUUUUGACAAAUUUAUUCUUUAGAUAAUAUUGCAUUGUUAGCUAAUUUCUUGAAUUCAUAGUAAUUAUUUUACUUUAUGAUAAUAUGAAAAAUGUUUAUCAUGAUCAAUCUAUGUAGAGAAGGAAAGUAUAUAUUCAUAUACAUUCUUAUAAUUAGAAGUUAUAUAAUAAUUUGUAUUUGAUGGCUUGAAGCAACAUGAAAAAUAAUUUGUAUAUUGUUAUAGCCUAAAACUACAUGAAUAAUUAAUUUGCAUAUUUUUAUAGCCCGAAGUUAUAUGAAAAACUUUUAUAUAUUCUUGUAGGCCAAAACUUGAAGCUAUAUGGAAAUUUUUUUGUGUAUAUUUUAUAUCUUGAAAAAAAAAUGUAAAAUAUUUUCAUAGCCUAAAGUUCUAUGAAAGAAAAUAGGUAUUUCAUAUAAAUGAAAACUAUAGAGAUUAUUAUUUUAUAUGUUAUUACAGCUAAAAGCUAUAAAAAAAAACAAAGUUAAUAUUAUAUAAUUUCUCAUAACUAAGAUCUAUGUUGAAUAAUUAAUUUUAUAAUCUUCCAUGGCUAGAAGCCAUAUAGAAAAUUUAUGAUUUGAAGUCAUAUAUGUAAAACAAAAUAUAUGUUAUACAUAAAUAGAGAUUAUUAUAAGUAUUAUGAUAUAAACAUUGUUGUUUCGCUUAUAGCCUAGAUUUACAAGAAUUUUAUAUAUUUUUAUAACUUGAAGUUAUGAAAUAUGAAUUCUUCUUUUUUUAAGAAUUCAAUUAUUGACAUCCUUAAUUUUCUAUGUUUUGCAUUUGAAUGUAUCAUUAGUAUUCUUUCUAUUAGAUAUGAAGGUUUAAAUAUUUAGAUCUAUAAUUUUCAUACUUCAUUUUUUAGUUAAAUUUUUCACAUUCUUUCUAUUAUGAAACAUGAAUACUCAUCAUGUUUCAUGAAAAGGCAUAGUUAAAAUUUUCACAUUUAUUAAUUUAUUUAAAUAUUUUUAGUUUUCUAUUUAGUUUGUUAUUGUAGGUAAUUUCUAUGUCAUUAAAGUAUGAUAGUCCUUUAGUUCUUUAGAAUAAUAUAGAAGAAAGUAUACCCACUAAAAGACUACGAUCCUCUUUUAAGUUCUCUAUAACUAGAUGUAAUUGAGAAUAGUGAGUUUUUCAUUAAUAACCACCAAUAUUUUCUAAUCGGAUUGGAAUUGUUCCCCAAAGUGAAAUCCAACCGAUUAGGAAUACGAUCAUAGAAUAGGAUAUGAUCUAAAUCUAGUAUACAAUAACUUCUUAAUCCAUGAGGGUCAUUGUUUCCCCAAGAAGAAAUUUAGACCAUACCACCAGAAGUGGUGAAAUGAAAUGAAAAAAAAGGGUUAGGUUUGUAGUAUAAGCCUACCAAAGUUGAACAAAAAAUCAUUGUUGAUGCAUACUAGUCAUACGAUCAAGCAUUUCAUUGACUUUUACCAAAAUUAAAAGAAAAAAAAAAAUAGUAAAUAGAAGGUUAACAUAUCUAGAUUAUUAUAACUUUCUUAAGAAAUCCUAAUGAUAAAAUUUACUAAUUGAUUGGUGAUGGAAAAAAUGUUUAUUCUUAUGUAGGAUCUUUACUUUCUCAUGUUGUGUCUUUUUUAUCUAAUAUAGUACAUAUCAUAUUUGCUAAUAAAUGUUUAUGUUUUAUUUACAUAUAGUAUUGAUUGCUUAAUAAGUAUAUUCUAAGAUGUAUAUCUCAUUAUUUGUACAAUAUGUAAUAAUUGAUGUCAUUACCAUAUCAAUUUAUGGAAACUUGAUUGAAAGCUCUUGAAGAGCUUAUAUUAUGUCACUAGUUGAUUGAUGUCAUUACUACAUAUAUGAAUUUAUAAAAACCCGAUUAAAGGCUCUAGACGAGCUCAUACUAUGUUACUAAUGGCACACGAAUCCAUAUGAAUGGUACUUGACAUUCUAUCAAAUCUAGAAGAAUUUGAGAUGACCAACUUGGUCCCCCCAGGGUGAACAAUGAUGCAUCAACUCCUUGAAAUAUCAAAUGGGGAUUCAUUAAAGAACUAGAAGUUUCUUCAACUAGUGACUAGUAUAUUUGAACCUUUGAAGGAUAUUAUUACAUGUUAUGUAAAUUUAUAGUUUAAAGAGACAAUUUCCCACCAUUGGGGGGNNNNNNNNNNNNNNNNNNNNNNNNNNNNNNNNNNNNNNNNNNNNNNNNNNNNNNNNNNNNNNNNNNNNNNNNNNNNNNNNNNNNNNNNNNNNNNNNNNNNNNNNNNNNNNNNNNNNNNNNNNNNNNNNNNNNNNNNNNNNNNNNNNNNNNNNNNNNNNNNNNNNNNNNNNNNNNNNNNNNNNNNNNNNNNNNNNNNNNNNNNNNNNNNNNNNNNNNNNNNNNNNNNNNNNNNNNNNNNNNNNNNNNNNNNNNNNNNNNNNNNNNNNNNNNNNNNNNNNNNNNNNNNNNNNNNNNGGGGGGGGGGGGGCAAGUCAAUUCUAGAAGAAUGGCGAGACAUUACAUGGUAUGUACCUUCUUUGUCUCAUCUGCAUCCCUGUACAAGGUAGUGUGAACUAGAAGUUCAAAGGAUUAUUCAUUUGUAAGGACUUGCAAAUUAGUUACCUAAUGUUUUCACAAAUAUAAAAAAAAGUAACAAAGUCACACAUGUCGACUAUGAAUACCCUGACACAUAUUGAUGUCUCUAAAGGACAAUUGAAAAAUGCCAUAGCAAGUGAAUUAAUACACACUUAAAGCGUGGUAGACCUGUUGGAUCAAAGGAUUUAGUUCCUAAAAAAAAAAAAAAAAAAGGAACAACAUAAGAAAAGUUUGGUACUCUUGAAGAGCUUACAAAUAUGAAAUGGUCAAAUGAUGAAAACCAACUUGGUAAAUAGUUAGCCCUUGAAGAGACACAAAUUGAUCAAAUACCGGCUAAACUCGUUAGCAAAACAAGAGGAAUUUGGACUUGUAGUUCAAACACCUAGAAACAUAAAGCCUAUUGCAUAUAAAUGGAUCUUUGUGAGAAAGUGAAAUGAGAAUAAUAAAAUAGUAAGAUAUAAAGCACAACUUGUUGCUUAAGGUUUCUCUCAAAGACUUGGUAUAAACUAUAAGGAAACUUAUUCCCCUAUAAUGGAUGUAAUCACAUUUUGAUACUUGAUAAGUUUAAUGGUCUUUGAAGGGCUAGAUAUGUGUCUCAUGGAUGUUGCUACAGCUUAUUUAUAUAGGUUUAUAUAUAUAUAUAUAUAUAUAUAUAUAUAUGAAAGUCCUUAAAUGAUUUAAAUUACCUAAAGAAACUAAUCCAAAGCCUCAAAACAUGUACUCAAUCAAACUAAUCUCUAUACAGAUUAAAGCAAUCUAGACGCAUGUGGUAUAAUGGUUUGAGUGAGUAUUUGUUAAAAGAAGGAUAUGUGAAUAAUCCAAUUUGACCAUGUGUUUUUAUCAAGAAAUUGAAAAUUGGGCUUACAAUAAUUGCAGUAUAUGUGGAUGAUUUGAACCUUAUAGGGACUCCUAAAGAGCUCACAAAAACAUCCAAUCAUUUAAAGAAGGGAUUUGAAAUUAAAGAUUUAGGAAAACAAAACAUUGUCUCGGCUUGCAGAUCAAACAUUGUUCAAAUAACAUAUAAGUCCAUCAAUUGACAUAUAUAGAGAAAGUAUUAAAAUGAUUUUAUAUGGAAAAAUCACGUCCACUUGAUUCUCCCAUGGUUGGUCAUUCACUUGAAGUGAAUAAAGACCUGUUUCGUCAUAGAGAAGAAAAUGAAGAAUUGUUUGGUCCAAAAGUACCAUAUCUCAGCGCAAUCGGUGCAAAAUGUAUCUUGCAAAUUGUACUAGACUAGACAUAGCAUUUUCUGUUAACUUGCUUGCAAGAUACAUUUUUGCCCCAACUAGAAGGCAUUGGAACGGGAUUAAACAUAUAUUGCGAUACCUUUGUGGAACAAGUGAUCAUGGCUUAUGUUAUUCAAAAGAAUUAAAAUCGCAAUUGAUUGAGUAUGCUAAUGUAGGAUAUCUUUCAGAUCCCCAUAAAGCUCAAUCCCAAAUGGGAUAUGUCUUUACUUAUGGUGGUACAACAAUAUCUUGAAGAUCAAUCAAGCAAACGAUGGUAGUCAUCUUUUCAAAUCAUUCAGAAAUUCUUGCAAUUCAUGAAGCAAGUCAUGAAUGUAUAUGACUAAGGUCAAUGAUUCAACAUAUUCAAGAAACAUGUGGACUACCUUCCAUAAGAGGCAAUACAACUAAAUUACAUGAAGAUAUUGUUGCUUGUAUUGUAAAAAUUAAAGGAGGAUUCUGAUUACUACUCAAAAAGUGCUAUUUGAUAGCCUUUAAUUAAUCCUUUUUAACACUUUUGAGUAGUAGUUUAGGCCUUUUAACUCAAUUGGCAUGUUAAGGAUCCUUUAAAGCAAUUUUGAUCACUUUGUGUAAGUUUUGGUGCUUUUGAUAGUAUAUUGAUCACCAAAGCAAGUCAAGACUGAGGAGAGCUAUGAGGAAUCUUGGGCAAAGUUUAGAAUUCAUUUGCCAAGAGUGAAUCCGGAUUGCAAGGAGAAAAAGCAAAGAGGAUCAGUCAUGGAGCAUAUUAUUGAUGAUAGUCGUAGCAGCCACUUUUGAAGCACUUUCUGAAGUCCAAAUGAUGCAUGCUAUAUACCAUUUCAAAGCUCAGGAAGUCAACAAUCCAAUACUUCAAACGGUGCGUGAUUCGGAGUUGAAACGAAGAAGUUGCAGCCAUUACAAGUCAAUCACUCUAAAGUGUUGCGGAAUCAGCCUUUUGUUGCGAGAAUUUCGCAGCACUUUUGUACAGUAAGGUGUUUCUCCUUCUGACGAUUCACGAACCAUGCCGCGAGAAGGGAGCUGGGAACCUCAAGGUGGAAGCCAACUUCGCAGCCUGGUGAAGAUAGCUCGGUGUUGCGAAAUAAUUUCGCAGCCCUCUUGGGUGUCUGCGAAAUUUCGCAGACACCAUUUUUCUCCUGCGAAAUGGUUCCUGAAGCCUCCCGACGCUUGCUACCGACAUUGGGAGAUAUUUUCCAUUAGAUUUUUGUUGUCUAAAUCCCAAAAUACUCCUUGUAAACCACCAAUUACAUGAUUCCUUAGUUUUUAAGUUAGUAAAAAGACCAAAUAUCUUUGUAACAAUUAGUUUUAUAUUGGUUUGAUAUAUAUACCUCUCGAGAGCCUGUACUCGGGGAGGAGUUCCUUCUGUAAGAGUUUAGGAAGCAAGUAAAAGGUCUUUUCUUUCUACUGCCUUACCUUCUCACUUUGUAUUUUCAUUUUAUUUCUAAGUUAUGAAUUCUCUGAGGAGUUUUCCCCAGAGAAUGAGUAACUAAACCUCCAAUUCCUUGGAGCUAAGGUUGUCGGGGAAGGUUCCAAGUGCAAGAAUGCAAAGCUCUGUGGUUUUAGCUAGUAAUGAAGAGGAAGUGAAAUCCUUUAGUGAUUUCAAUGUUUUUAGUUAACUUAAAACACCUUGGAGUCACCUGGGCCAACACUUGGUAAGGCAAGUGAUUUCCAACCAUGGAAAUGCACUAGUUUACCCCUUGCGAGCCUCUGGUAGGUGUCUUCAAGGUAGGAUUCUGGAAUUACCAACACUUGGUAAGCUUUUGGACUCCUAGGAGACAUCCAUUAGUUAUCUCUUGCGAGUUUGUGAAGGGAAGUCCAAGGUUAAAGAUCACCUUGAAUGGUAAGUGCUCGUGAGAGGCAUGAACCAUUGCAAGUUGUAUCAGUGAGAGAAUUAAAGUGAAAUCUAAUUGAAGGAGUCUCUGUACAUCACCGGUUAGAGAAUUGACUAUAAGUUGAAUCUCUAAUGCGAGGAAAUGAACCAACUGACCGGAGCUAUGUCUUUUGCAUGAGGAACCACCCCAGUGAACCUAAAUCUCCAAGGAAUGUUUUUUUUCCUAAAUUAUUCCAAACUUCUGUUAAGUUAGUUAGUUUAAGUCUCAACCUUUACCAAUCAAAGUUUGUGUUUUAUUUCUUAAGUUAACCGUGAAAUGAAGCAAGACCAAUUCACUUGGAAUUGGUAUCCUUGAUUGCUUGUUCAUCAUUCCCAGUGAACGAUCCUAGAGCCACUAUACUAUAGUAGCUUUUUAUUUGCUACCCUAGUGUAUGGUGUUAUAGGUAUAAAUUUUGUUGAUCACUUCCUCAAUCAAGGAGCACCAGCUGAACACAAAUCAGCUGAGACACCAAUUGGACAUGAGUCAAAUGGCGCCGUUGCCGGGGAAUGAGUGUCAAGUUCAUUGUGAUACCAUUUUUGAGCACUUGUGAUUUUCAUCACAAGUUGGUAAAGUUUCUUUCACUUUACUAAUUUUCAUUCUUUCUUUGUUUAUUCAUAAUCUAAGUUUAUCUUUUUAAAAUUUAGUCUAGUUUAAUUUUGCUAUUGUAGCCCUGUUUCUCUUGUUGUCCUUUGUUCUUGUUGUCCUCUGUUUUCAUUUUUAGUUGCAGGUAGAUACUAGUUGUGUAUGCCAAAGUGGAUACGAGACAUUGGAGGUAGGCUUAUUAAGUGUGAUACACCUCAGAGAGGAGAAUUUGAAGUAAUCUUGAAUAUCAUGGAGGCUGCACCUGAAGAUCAGCAUAGUCACCAAGGUCGUCAAGACAAUCUCAAUGAAUUCCGAUCAAUGAGGGACCAUAUGCAUCCACCUCGUAUGAGUGCACCAUCAUGUAUAGUGCCCCCUACAGAGCAGCUAGUGAUCAGACCGUAUCUUGUUCCACUUCUACCAACUUUCCAUGGGAUGGAAAGUGAGAAUCCGUAUGCACACAUCAAGGAAUUUGAAGAUGUUUGUAAUACAUUCCAAGAGGGAGGAGCUUCAAUUGAUUUGAUGAGGCUUAAGUUAUUUCCUUUCACUUUAAAGGAUAAGGCCAAAAUUUGGCUUAAUUCUUUAAGGCCAAGGAGUAUCCGCUCUUGGACUGAUUUACAAGCUGAAUUCCUCAAGAAAUUUUUUCCUACUCAUAGAACAAAUGGCUUGAAAAGGCAAAUUUCAAACUUCUCAGCUAAAGAGAAUGAGAAAUUCUAUGAGUGUUGGGAAAGAUACAUGGAAGCUAUAAAUGCUUGUCCUCACCAUGGCUUUGAUACUUGGCUAUUGGUGAGCUAUUUUUAUGAUGGUAUGUCAUCCUCAAUGAAGCAACUCCUCGAGACAAUGUGUGGAGGAGAUUUCAUGAGCAAAAAUCCAGAGGAAGCUAUGGAUUUCUUGAGCUAUGUAGCUGAUGUUUCAAGGGGAUGGGAUGAACCAACUAAAGGAGAAGUGGGAAAGAUGAAGUCUCAGUUGAAUGCUUACAAUGCAAAAGCUGGGAUGUAUAAUUUAAAAGAAGAUGAUGACAUGAAAGCAAAGUUGGCAGCUAUGACAAGAAGAUUGGAGGAGCUGGAGCUGAAAAAAAUACAUGAAGUGCAAGCUGUUGCUGAAGCACCAGUGCAAGUGAAGCUGUGUCCCAAUUGUCAAUCAUUUGAACAUUUGGUUGAGGAGUGCCCUGCAAUUUCAGCUGAAAGGGAAAUGUAUAGAGAUCAAGCAAAUGUUGUUGGACAAUUUAGGCCCAAUAACAAUGCUCCUUAUGGAAAUACCUACAAUUCAAGUUGGAGGAAUCAUCCAAAUUUCUCAUGGAAGGCCAGAGCAACUCAAUACCAACAGCCGGAUCCACCAUCUCAGCAAUCUUCAAGUAUUGAACAAGCAAUAGCCAAUCUCAGCAAGGUAAUGGGAGAUUUUAUUGAAAAGCAAGAAGCCACUAAUGCUCAACUCGAUCAAAGGAUUGACAGGGUGGAGAGUAUGUUGAAUAAAAGAAUGGAUGGAAUGCAAAAUGAUAUGAACCAAAAGUUUGAUAACAUCCAAUAUUCAAUUUCAAGGCUUACAAAUUUGAAUACACUGCAAGAAAAAGGAAGAUUUCCUUCUCAACCUCACCAAAAUCCCAAAGGUGUCCAUGAAGUGGAAAGCCAUGAGGGAGAAUCAUCACAGGUGAAAGAUGUGAAAGCUUUGAUCACUCUAAGGAGUGGUAAAAAGAUUGAGCAGCCAACACCCAAGCCACAUGUUGAAAAAGAAGAAGAGAUAAAGAAAGGGAAGGAAAUGGAAGAUAAAGAGAGUGAGAUCAGUGAAGAAAAGAAGGACUCUGAUUCAACAAUCAAAGCAAUUCCAGAGAAAGAGCUUCUGAAGGAAGAAAUGCUGAAGAAAUCAACUUCUCCACCUUUUCCUCAAGCAUUACAGGGGAAAAAGGGGGUUAGAAAUGCAGCUGAAAUCCUUGAAGUCUUGAGGCAAGUGAAAGUUAAUAUUCCACUGCUGGAUAUGAUCAAACAAGUUCCAACGUAUGCAAAAUUCCUUAAGGACUUGUGUACUAUCAAAAGAGGGUUGACUGUAAAUAAGAAAGCCUUCUUGACUGAGCAAGUAAGUGCAAUCUUACAGUGUAAGUCUCCUUUGAAGUACAAAGACCCUGGAAGUCCCACCAUUUCAGUCAUGAUUGGAGGAAAGGUAGUGGAGAAAGCCUUGCUAGACUUGGGAGCAAGUGUGAAUUUGCUUCCAUACUCUGUCUACAAGCAACUGGGACUUGGAGAGUUGAAGCCAACAGCAAUCACUUUAUCUCUGGCAGAUAGAUCAGUGAAAAUUCCAAGAGGGGUAAUUGAGGAUGUAUUGGUUCAAGUAGAUAAUUUCUACUAUCCAGUCGAUUUUAUUGUUCUUGAUACAGAUCCUACUGUAAAGGAAGCUAAUUUAGUUCCUAUCAUCCUUGGAAGGCCAUUUCUUGCAACUUCAAAUGCAAUCAUUAAUUGUAGAAAUGGGCUUAUGCAACUCACUUUUGGUAAUAUGACACUGGAUCUAAAUAUUUUCUAUAUGUCUAAAAAGCAUAUCACUCCGGAAGAAGAAGAAGGUCCAGAAGAGCUAUGUAUUAUUGACACUUUGGUGGAGGAGCACUGCAAUCAACAUAUGCAAGACAAGUUGAAUGAAAGUCUUGAGGAUAUUGAGGAAGGAUUUUCUGAAUCUCCUAUUGGGCUUGCUACUCUACAAAGUUGGAAAAAGGUAGAAGAGAUUCUACCUUUGUUCAAUAAGGAAGAGGAGGCAGCUGUUGAAAAAGAAAUUCCAAAACUCAAUCUGAAGCCUUUACCUGUGGAGCUGAAAUAUACAUAUCUUGAAGAAAAUAAUCAAUGUCCUGUUGUGAUAUCUUCAUCUCUGACCAGUCAUCAAGAGAAUUGUUUAAUGGAAGUUCUCAAGAGGUGUAAGAAAGCAAUAGGAUGGCAAAUAUCUGACUUGAAAGGCAUUAGUCCUUUAGUUUGUACUCAUCAUAUAUAUAUGGAGGAGGAAGCAAAGCCAAUUCGUCAAUUUCAAAGAAGGUUGAAUCCUCAUCUACAAGAGGUGGUGCGAGCUGAGGUGCUGAAGCUACUUCAAGCAGGAAUCAUUUACCCUAUUUCUGAUAGCCCUUGGGUGAGUCCUACUCAAGUGGUACCAAAGAAGUCAGGGAUCACAGUGGUUCAGAAUGAAAAAGGAGAAGAAAUUACUACACGCCUCACUUCAGGUUGGAGGGUGUGUAUUGAUUAUAGGAAGCUGAAUGCUGUCACCAGGAAGGAUCAUUUUCCAUUGCCAUUUAUUGAUCAAGUGCUGGAGAGAGUCUCUGGACAUCCAUUCUAUUGUUUCUUGGAUGGGUAUUCAGGGUAUUUUCAGAUUGAAAUUGAUUUGGCAGAUCAGGAAAAGACCACCUUUACAUGUCCAUUUGGAACAUAUGCUUACAGAAGAAUGCCUUUUGGUUUAUGCAAUGCACCUGCUACAUUUCAAAGAUGCAUGUUGAGUAUUUUCAGUGAUAUGGUGGAGCGAAUUAUGGAGGUUUUCAUGGAUGACAUCACCGUAUAUGGAGGUACAUUUGAGGAAUGCUUGGUUAAUUUGGAAGCAGUUCUUCAUAGAUGCAUUGAAAAAGAUCUGGUGCUCAACUGGGAAAAAUGCCAUUUUAUGGUACGUCAAGGAAUUGUCCUUGGUCAUAUCAUCUCUGAAAGAGGCAUUGAAGUUGAUAAAGCAAAGGUGGAGCUUAUUGCCAAAUUACCAUCUCCAACAAUUGUGAAAGGAGUAAGACAGUUCCUUGGCCAUGCAGGCUUCUAUAGGAGGUUUAUAAAAGGUUUUUCAAGUCUUUCAAAACCUCUUUGUGAGCUGUUAGCUAAGGAUGCUAAGUUUAUAUGGGAUGAAAGGUGUCAGCAUAGCUUUGAUCAACUGAAGAAGUUUUUAACAACAACUCCAAUAGUGAGAGCCCCUAACUGGCAAUUACCUUUUGAAUUGAUGUGUGAUGCCAGUGACUUUGCUAUAGGAGCUGUGCUUGGCCAAAGAGAAGAUGGGAAGCCUUAUGUGAUUUACUAUGCAAGUAAAACACUAAACGAAGCUCAGAGGAACUACACAACUACAGAGAAAGAAUUGUUAGCUGUGGUAUUUGCUUUGGACAAAUUUCGAGCUUAUUUAGUGGGGUCUUUCAUCAUAGUGUUCACUGACCAUUCAGCCUUGAAGUAUUUAUUGACAAAGCAAGAUGCAAAAACAAGGUUGAUUAGAUGGAUUCUUUUGUUACAAGAAUUCGAUCUUCAAAUCAAAGAUAAGAAAGGAGUGGAGAAUGUAGUAGCUGACCACUUGUCAAGGUUAGUUAUAGCACAUAAUUCCCAUCCCUUGCCUAUCAAUGAUGAUUUUCCUGAAGAAUCACUCAUGUUCCUAGUGAAAACUCCUUGGUAUGCUCAUAUUGCUAAUUAUUUAGUAACUGGAGAAAUUCCAAGUGAGUGGAAUGCACAGGACAGGAAGCACUUCUUUGCCAAAAUUCAUUCUUAUUAUUGGGAAAAGCCCUUUCUCUUUAAGUAUUGUGCAGAUCAGAUUAUUAGGAAGUGUGUCCCUGAAGAUGAGCAGCAAGGGAUUCUAUCUCAUUGUCAUGAGAAUGCAUGUGGAGGCCACUUUGCCUCUCAGAAAACAGCCAUGAAGGUAUUGCAAUCAGGGUUUACUUGGCCAUCUCUUUUUAAAGAUGCCCACAUCAUGUGUAGGAAUUGUGAUAGAUGCCAAAGGCUUGGAAAGCUAACAAAAAGAAAUCAAAUGCCUAUGAACCCCAUUCUGAUAGUUGAAUUAUUUGAUGUAUGGGGCAUUGACUUCAUGGGACCUUUCCCAAUGUUUUUUGGUAAUUCUUACAUCUUGGUGGGGGUGGAUUAUGUUUCUAAAUGGGUUGAGGCAAUCCCCUGUAAGCAAAAUGAUCACAGGGUGGUUCUCAAGUUUCUUAAAGAGAACAUUUUCUCUAGAUUUGGGGUGCCCAAAGCCAUAAUCAGUGAUGGAGGUGCUCAUUUUUGCACCAAACCUUUUGAAGCUCUCUUAUCCAAGUAUGGAGUGAAGCAUAAGGUAGCCACACCUUAUCAUCCUCAGACUUCCGGGCAAGUUGAGCUAGCUAACAGGGAAAUAAAGAACAUCUUGAUGAAAGUGGUGAAUUCCAACAGAAAAGAUUGGUCUAUUAGGCUUCAUGAUUCAUUGUGGGCAUAUAGAACAGCUUAUAAGACUAUUCUUGGGAUGUCUCCCUAUCGUCUUGUCUAUGGCAAAGCAUGCCAUCUCCCUGUGGAAGUUGAAUACAAGGCUUGGUGGGCAAUAAAGAAGCUGAACAUGGAUUUGAUCAAGGCAGGAGAAAAGAGAUUUCUAGACCUUAAUGAGAUGGAGGAAUUAAGAAAUAAUGCUUAUAUCAACUCCAAAGUUGCAAAACAAAGGAUGAAGAAGUGGCAUGAUCAACUCAUCUCCAACAAGGAAUUUCAGGAAGGGCAAAGAGUUUUGAUGUAUGACACCAGACUCCAUAUCUUUCCUGGGAAGCUCAAGUCAAGGUGGAUUGGUCCAUUUGUUAUUCACCGAGUGUGGUCCAAUGGAGUGGUGGAAUUAUUGAAUUCCAAUGGCAAGGACAACUUUAGAGUCAAUGGAUAUCGUCUCAAGCCAUUCAUGGAGCCAUUCAAAUUAGAAAAGGAGGCAAUCAACCUCCUUGAACCUCAAAAAGCCUAAGUGAAAUGGGUUUGCUGGACGUGGUUUACCACAUUCCAAAAUUUUUGUAAAUUUUGUAAAUUUUCAAGUUAUUUCCAUACUUUUGAUCUUAGUUUUUGAUCUUAAAUCAUGUUUUUAGGUGUGUUUUAAUCGUUUUGAAUGAUCCCAGGUGGAAGAAAUUUCAAGGAGAUUGAAAGAAAAAAAAAAUCGGGUCGAAAUCAGAGCUAAAACAGAGCAAAAACAGGGGAAAAACAGAGCUCUGCGAAAUUUCGCAGAGUGAAGGAAACUUCUGCGAAAUUGGCAUUUUGUUGCCAAACCAUUCCGCAACACUGUAGAAGUCUCUGCGAGGGUAUUUCGCAGCUGCGAAAGUGAAUUUGGCACACGAGUGCCACUUCGCAGUACAGUAGCAUCCAUUUGGCAGCUGCGAAACCCAUUGCGAAGUGGAAAAGCAUGAUUUCGCACCAAAAGUCCCAUUCCGCAGGGCAUUUCGCAAUUGCGAAAGUGGUUUUGGCACACGAGUGCCACUUCGCAGCACAGUGACAUCAAUUUCGCAGCUGCGAAACUCACUGCGAAGUUGCUGCGAAAAUGGCAAGUUGCUGCGAAAUUGGCGUUUUGUUGCGAAACUUAAACUGACCCUUAGACUUCCGUUUUUCCUAUUUAUACCGGUCAUUUGUGCUGCGAAAAGGGUUUCAAAAAUCAGAGUACCAUUCUCGCAGCCUCUUCGUCUCCUUCACCAAGCCACGCCGUCUGUGCCUCCGGCCAUCUUCUCCGUUCAGCAACGCCGGCCAACGAUCGAUAUCCCAAAAUGGCGCGAACACGAGGGGCAAAGUCUUCAUCCCCUUCGAAUCGCAAAAAGAUGCUGCGAAAGGAGCCACCUUCAGAUUCUGCUCCAAAGCCUUCGCCGUCGAGACCAAUUCCACCUCCAGUGAAGCCGGCGCCACCAAAGCCGCCGGCAAAACGAUAUUUAACCAGGUCCGGAGGUCGGCCAUUGAAGAAGAAACCCAGGGUAGAGAGCUCAGAACCCAUUGAUUUGACUGAGCAAUCCCCUGAGCAAUCCCCAAAUCCAUCACCGGUUCAAUCUCCGGUAUCUUCACCAAAUCCUUCACCGGUUCAAACUCCAGUGCCGUCGCCGGUUCCCUCGCCGAGUCCCCUGCCAGUUCCAUCGCCGGUACCAUCUCCGGCACCCCAAGAAAAAGCUCAGGAGCCUCAAGCGCCAAUUCCAGAGCCUCAAAUUGCAGCUGAAGCACCUCUGGAAGAAGUAAUCCGAAGGCCAAUGCUGCCCCAGCCCCCAAUCGAAGGAAACUUGGAUUGUCGAACUCGGGCAUUCCAUUCUGAGCUUUGCUUCGACUUAGCAGCAUUCAGAGUGAGGCCAGAGCUAGCCCAAUCAUUCCAGCUGCUGAGGAGGUACCAUAUGGAGCAUCUGCUAGCUCCAAGGGACUUUUUCUAUCCUCGGAUAGCCACGGAUUUCUACCAGUCCAUGACAACCAAAGAGGUAAGAAAUCCAACUCUGAUCCAUUUCACAAUUGAUGGGAGACAUGGUAUUUUGGGAGCAAGACAUAUUGCUGAAGCCCUGCAAAUUCCUUUUGAGCCAACCCAAUUCGACAAUUUUAAAGCUUGGGCAAAUCCUACUGAGCUAGAGAUGGUUCGCACCCUUUCCAGAGGAGCUGCAAAUCGAUCACAUCUGCUGAGGGGGGAGCUACCUCCAGUUAUGUUUUUGAUUGAUGCCUUUUUGAGGCAUAAUAUCUAUCCCCUGCAGCAUUGGACCCAAAGAAGGGGAGUUCUCCUGGAAGCCCUGUACAAGAUGUCAGAAGGAUUCUUCUUUGGGCCUCAUCAUCUGAUCAUGGCAGUCCUUCUCUACUUUGAGGAGAAGGUUCACAAGAAGAAGCUUCAAAGAGCAGAUUGCAUUCCCCUCCUCUUCCCACGGCUGCUAUGCCAAAUUUUGGAACAUCUCGGAUACCCCUCUGAGCCUCAGCAGGAGAAAAAGAGAAUUUGCCGUGAGCCAUUCACUCUUGAUAAAUGGAAUAAUAUGACGGCCUACAAAAUUGAUCAGCCUGGGCAGCCUCAGCCAGCAGCAAGGAGAGCCUCCCCAAGACAUAUACCUGAAGGUAUAACACUUGCUACUCCUGCCAUUCCUAGAGCUCCACCAGCUACACCUGCUCCAUCACAGCCAUCCACAUCAGCUGAGCCGAGGAUGGCCAUCCCUAUAUCUGAAUAUCGAGAGCUGUGUCGUGCAUUGGAGACUCUUACAGCUUCCCAGAGCAAUCUUGCUCAGGAAUUGGCAGCCAUCAAAGCAUGCCAGGAGCAGAUGUUAGCCUCGCAGGCUCAACAAGCUGCCAUCCUAAGGCAGCUUCAAGUCCAUUUCGAUCUGCCACAAGCUGUAGAGCCCUCCAUUCCUACUCCACCAGAGCCACACUCUCAGCCUUCAGAGUCUCAUCCUCCAGAGCCAGAAGCCCCAGCUGAUCCACCUACUGAGGAGGCAGAUCCUUCUGCCUAGCACCAUCACCCCACUCAUCAGACAUUAUAUAUAUUUGCUAUUUAUGUUUUUAUGCAUGUUUGUUUUGUUUUAGUUGAAAUGAAGUCCCAGUAUUUUGGUACUAUAUAUGGGAUUCCUUGUGAUUACUUGUCUUUUGCAUUGUAAUCAAAUGAACUCAAAGUAAUACAAGUUGAAUUUUUCUUGUUAAAAGUUAGCAUUAAGUUCUCCUUAUUCCCUUUUCUCACAUAUUCUAUUCUUUUUGAAACAUGUGGUUUUCCCCAAUCAAUAUUCGAAUUUGAUAUCAGCAAGGAGGUACCACUUCCUCCCUUUUAUUACAGUCACUCAUAUCACAUUGAGGACAAUGCUCAGUUCGGUUGGGGGGUAUGAGGAAGGAAGUAUGCUAAAUCUUUUUGGUAUUGCAAUUAUAUUGGUUAAUUAGUUGUAGAUUUUACUUUUUACUCUUGUUACUCUAUUCUCCAUGAAUUUUGAAGAAAAUUUUCAAAAUUAAAUCAAGAGAAAUUGAACUGUUUUUUUUCACUUGACUUAGAGUAUGGAUUAUGCUUACUAAAGUGGUUCAAUUGUUGAAACUUCUACUGUAAUUGAAUUGAAUUCUUCCACUUUAAGCUAUCCACACACUGUGCACAUUAGUUUCCGAUUAUAACAUGAAAAGCUAUUUCCCUCUUGACUUAGGAUAAUUUUGGGACUUGGUAUAUUUGACCUCAUUUGAUAAAAAUUGAAACACCCUGCAAAAGGCCAAUGAGCCUUUGAAAUAAAGAAAGUUGUUUGCUUGCCUUGAAACCCGAGCAAGGUCUGAGGGGUAUAUGGUGAAAGCCUUUAAAGCCUGGUGCCCUAAACCUUAAUUGGUUGGGAGUCACCGACCUCAAUGCUCGUUACAAGGGUGAAUAGGUAGAGUUAGCAUAUGGUAGAUGCUUGGGUAUUAGAAAUUCAUUCUUAAAAGUCCGGGGAGAAAUCCGAGGAGUUAGUGGUUGAAAGAUCCUUAAAACUUGGUGCCCUAAACCUUAAUUGGUUGGGAGUCAUCGAUGGACCCCCAUUACAUGGACAAGUCAGAAAGAGUACCCCAUAAAGCUACCUUGAAAAAAAAAAAAAAAAAAAAAAAAAAAAAAAAAGAAAGAUGAAAGUGUGUUCUUUUCUUAUUGAUUUUGGUCAGUUUGCUAAAGUGUUGAAAAGAGAUAGGUUGGGGGGUGAGACUAGUUUAGCAUAUUAUUCUCGGAAUCUAUGGAACCAAUACACAUAGAUUUUUGUGGAAGAUUGAAGUUUAGUUCUUAGAAAGUGAAAUGAUUUUAAAACUUCAGUUUACAUAAUGCACUCCCUUGAUUGACAGUGUUUAGCAUAGUUGUUAUGACUCUUGUUGAGAUUUGGGUUUGUAUUUCUUCAAUGCUUCAUGUGAGAAUUAGAUCAUCAUGCCACUUGAGAAUUAUUUCCUUUCAGCAUGAUGUUGUAAAUUUUAGAUUAGUUUGUUAUUUAUUUUUAUUUUUCUCUCCUAUAUUGCUAAGGGACUAGCAAUAUGUCGGUUGGGGGGAGUGAUUACUACUCAAAAAGUGCUAUUUGAUAGCCUUUAAUUAAUCCUUUUUAACACUUUUGAGUAGUAGUUUAGGCCUUUUAACUCAAUUGGCAUGUUAAGGAUCCUUUAAAGCAAUUUUGAUCACUUUGUGUAAGUUUUGGUGCUUUUGAUAGUAUAUUGAUCACCAAAGCAAGUCAAGACUGAGGAGAGCUAUGAGGAAUCUUGGGCAAAGUUUAGAAUUCAUUUGCCAAGAGUGAAUCCGGAUUGCAAGGAGAAAAAGCAAAGAGGAUCGGUCAUGGAGCAUAUUAUUGAUGACAGUCGUAGCAGCCACUUUUGGAGCACUUUCUGAAGUCCAAAUGAUGCAUGCUAUAUACCUUUUCAAAGCUCAGGAAGUCAACAAUCCAAUGCUUCAAACGGUGCGCGAUUCGGAGUUGAAACGAAGAAGUUGCAGCCAUUACAAGUCAAUCACUCUAAAGUGUUGCGGAAUCAACCUUUUGUUGCGAGAAUUUCACAGCACUUUUGUACAGUAAGGUGUUUCUCCUUCUGACGAUUCACGAACCAUGCCGCGAGAAGGGAGCUGGGAACCUCAAGGUGGAAGCCAAAUUCGCAGCCUGGUGAAGAUAGCUCGGUGUUGCGAAAUAAUUUCGCAGCCCUCUUGGGUGUCUGCGAAAUUUCGCAGACACCAUUUUUCUCCUGCGAAAUGGUUCCUGAAGCCUCCCGACGCUUGCUACCGACAUUGGGAGAUAUUUUCCAUUAGAUUUUUGUUGUCUAAAUCCCAAAAUACUCCUUGUAAACCACCAAAUUACAUGAUUCCUUAGUUUUUAAGUUAGUAAAAGAGACCAAAUAUCUUUGUAACAAAUAAUUUUAUAUUGGGUUUGAUAUAUAAAACCUCUGGAAAGCCUGUUUCUCGGGGGAUGAAUUUCUUUCUGUUUGAAGUUUAGGAAACCAGGUAAAGGUCUUUUCAUGUACCUUCUUACUUUGUAUUUUCAUUUUAUUUCUAAGUUAUGAAUUCUCUGAGGAGUUUUCCCCAGAGAAUGAGUAACUAAACCUCCAAUUCCUUGGAGCUAAGGUUGCCGGGGAAGGUUCCAAGUGCAAGAAUGCAAAGCUCUGUGGUUUUAGCUAGUAAUGAAGAGGAAGUGAAAUCCUUUAGUGAUUUCAAUGUUUUUAGUUAACUUAAAACACCUUGGAGUCACCUGGGCCAACACUUGGUAAGGCAAGUGAUUUCCAACCAUGGAAAUGCACUAGUUUACCCCUUGCGAGCCUCUGGUAGGUGUCUUCAAGGUAGGAUUUUCUGGAAUUACCAACACUUGGUAAGCUUUUGGACUCCUAGGAGACAUCCAUUAGUUAUCUCUUGCGAGUUUGUGAAGGGAAGUCCAAGGUUAAAGAUCACCUUGAAUGGUAAGUGCUCGUGAGAGGCAUGAACCAUUGCAAGUUGUAUCAGUGAGAGAAUUAAAGUGAAAUCUAAUUGAAGGAGUCUCUGUACAUCACCGGUUAGAGAAUUGACUAUAAGNNNNNNNNNNNNNNNNNNNNNNNNNNNNNNNNNNNNNNNNNNNNNNNNNNNNNNNNNNNNNNNNNNNNNNNNNNNNNNNNNNNNNNNNNNNNNNNNNNNNNNNNNNNNNNNNNNNNNNNNNNNNNNNNNNNNNNNNNNNNNNNNNNNNNNNNNNNNNNNNNNNNNNNNNNNNNNNNNNNNNNNNNNNNNNNNNNNNNNNNNNNNNNNNNNNNNNNNNNNNNNNNNNNNNNNNNNNNNNNNNNNNNNNNNNNNNNNNNNNNNNNNNNNNNNNNNNNNNNNNNNNNNNNNNNNNNNNNNNNNNNNNNNNNNNNNNNNNNNNNNNNNNNNNNNNNNNNNNNNNNNNNNNNNNNNNNNNNNNNNNNNNNNNNNNNNNNNNNNNNNNNNNNNNNNNNNNNNNNNNNNNNNNNNNNNNNNNNNNNNNNNNNNNNNNNNNNNNNNNNNNNNNNNNNNNNNNNNNNNNNNNNNNNNNNNNNNNNNNNNNNNNNNNNNNNNNNNNNNNNNNNNNNNNNNNNNNNNNNNNNNNNNNNNNNNNNNNNNNNNNNNNNNNNNNNNNNNNNNNNNNNNNNNNNNNNNNNNNNNNNNNNNNNNNNNNNNNNNNNNNNNNNNNNNNNNNNNNNNNNNNNNNNNNNNNNNNNNNNNNNNNNNNNNNNNNNNNNNNNNNNNNNNNNNNNNNNNNNNNNNNNNNNNNNNNNNNNNNNNNNNNNNNNNNNNNNNNNNNNNNNNNNNNNNNNNNNNNNNNNNNNNNNNNNNNNNNNNNNNNNNNNNNNNNNNNNNNNNNNNNNNNNNNNNNNNNNNNNNNNNNNNNNNNNNNNNNNNNNNNNNNNNNNNNNNNNNNNNNNNNNNNNNNNNNNNNNNNNNNNNNNNNNNNNNNNNNNNNNNNNNNNNNNNNNNNNNNNNNNNNNNNNNNNNNNNNNNNNNNNNNNNNNNNNNNNNNNNNNNNNNNNNNNNNNNNNNNNNNNNNNNNNNNNNNNNNNNNNNNNNNNNNNNNNNNNNNNNNNNNNNNNNNNNNNNNNNNNNNNNNNNNNNNNNNNNNNNNNNNNNNNNNNNNNNNNNNNNNNNNNNNNNNNNNNNNNNNNNNNNNNNNNNNNNNNNNNNNNNNNNNNNNNNNNNNNNNNNNNNNNNNNNNNNNNNNNNNNNNNNNNNNNNNNNNNNNNNNNNNNNNNNNNAUUUUCUGGAAUUACCAACACUUGGUAAGCUUUUGGACUCCUAGGAGACAUCCAUUAGUUAUCUCUUGCGAGUUUGUGAAGGGAAGUCCAAGGUUAAAGAUCACCUUGAAUGGUAAGUGCUCGUGAGAGGCAUGAACCAUUGCAAGUUGUAUCAGUGAGAGAAUUAAAGUGAAAUCUAAUUGAAGGAGUCUCUGUACAUCACCGGUUAGAGAAUUGACUAUAAGUUGAAUCUCUAAUGCGAGGAAAUGAACCAACUGACCGGAGCUAUGUCUUUUGCAUGAGGAACCACCCCAGUGAACCUAAAUCUCCAAGGAAUGUUUUUCUUCCUAAAUUAUUCCAAACUUCUGUUAAGUUAGUUAGUUUAAGUCUCAACCUUUACCAAUCAAAGUUUGUGUUUUAUUUCUUAAGUUAACCGUGAAAUGAAGCAAGACCAAUUCACUUGGAAUUGGUAUCCUUGAUUGCUUGUUCAUUAUUCCCAGUGAACGAUCCUAGAGCCACUAUACUAUAGUAGCUUUUUAUUUGCUACCCUAGUGUAUGGUGUUAUAGGUAUAAAUUUUGUUGAUCACUUCCUCAAUCAAGGAGCACCAGCUGAACACAAAUCAGCUGAGACACCAAUUGGGCAUGAGUCAGAUUCAUAAAAGGUGACAAAACUAAGCAUAUCUCCCCUAAAUUCUUCUACACCCAAGAGCUUCAGGAGAAAGGUGAGAUUGAUGGUUAGGAGAUUCGGUCAUGUAAUAAUCUAGCAGAUCUAUUCACAAAGGCAUUACCUUCGACCACUAUGAAAAGGUUAAGGUAUGAUAUUGAAAUGAAAAGAUUAAGAGAUCUACCAAUUGAAGAAUUGAAGAAAUCAUAAUCAUAUGUACAAAAGGGGUAGAAAGUUAAGAUGUAUAUACUGCACUCUUUUUUCCUUUGUCCACGUUUUGUCCCAUAGGGUUUUACUGGCAAGGUUUUUGAUGAGGCAGUUACCAUAUCCUUAUGAUCAUCCAAGGAGGAGUGUUUUAAAAUAUGAAAUUUUAUACCACUAUGGUAACUUGUGGAUGAUCAUCCAUAAAUAUUUUUUGUAACUCCCUAUAAAAUGGAGGGACCCUUAAUGAAAUUCUAUUGAGUUUUCCUGUGCAUUUUAUCCUCUUUUUCUGUUUUCUUCUUCCUCCACUUUUACAACAUUAUCUUAUACAUUUAUUUUAAUUAUUUUAUAUUUUUUUAUACAUUUUCUUAUAAAUGAGAUUUAUUUUAUAAUUCAUAUAUUUGUUUUUUUUUUAAAAAAUUUAGGACUUUUAUUUAUUACUUCAAAUAAAUUUAUAAAAAUUAUGGUAAUUUUAAUCAUAAUAAUUUAAUGUUUGAAAAUUAAUAUCAAGAAUUCUCAAAAAUUAUUUUUAGUUUUAAUAAUUAAUAAUGAUUAUGGAGAUUUAUGAAUUAUUUUUAUCGUAUUUGAUGAGACAUUUAAAUGAAAAUUCAAGAUUUAUAUAUAUAUAUAUAUGUUUCUUUCAUAAUAAAUUUUAGAUAUUUUUAAAAUUAAUUAAAAUAAUAUAUAAAGAUGUCAUAUGCAAUUUAUCUUUCCAAUUUCUUCUUCUUUCAUAUUGUUGUUUUUGAAAUCACUCUUUUAAUCUAAAAUAAAAAAUAUUAAAAUAUUAAAAUAAAUCAUCCAAAAAAUUAUGACAUUAAUUUGAUUUUUAAUUUAUUCUUACUCUUUUCAAUAAUAAGAAAUUAAAUAAGAAUAAAAAUAACUACUAAUAAAUAUUUUAAAAUAAAUUUAAAAUUUAUUUAUUUACAAAAUAAUAUGAAUUACAGCCAAAUUAAUAUAAUGGAUAUACUACAAUUCUGAAUCCCUCAAAAAAAUCAAUCCUACAAAAUAAUGUUCAUUUGUUUAAUCGAAAUUGAAUGCUUCAUAAGAAUGAUGAAAUAAACAAGAGACACAAUGCUGGAGAAUGUUGAAGAGGGACAUGAAACACAAAUAUGUUAGAGUGAGGCACAACACUGAUGAAUGUUAAAGAAAGACACGAAACACAAAUGAUAAUGGAGCAAGUGUCAAGAUUACUCUUAGGGUUGUAGUAUCUACAAAAAUAAAAUAGCACCAAACAUCAAACUCUUUACUAACUUAUGUCAUUUUGUGAGCAAAUAGUAUCGUAGAAAGACAAAGAGAGACAAAAAAUAAAAAUAAAAACUCAUAAUGGAAUCCAAUAAUAAGAAAGCAAGAGAAAAAAAGAGAAAUUUCACACCCUAUAGGUUGAGAACAUGGGUUCCAUGACCUUCGGGUUGAAAACAUGAGUCUUGUAAAUAAGAGAUAAAAUUAAAAGACAUUAAACAUGAAGUUGAAAGGAAAUUGAAUUCUUAGGGUUGACAUUGAAAAUACAUCAAAUAUAAAGGGGAAUAUGAAUUGAAAAGAUACCCACAUUUAUUUUCUUUUAACAUUUAUUGAUUUAGUGAGAGAAAAGACUGAUUUUUUAAAUCUCAUACUUUCAUGGAGGUGUUUUUUUUUUUUUCCAUAACUAGUUGUAUUUUUUAAUAAAAUUUUAUAAAAGAAAUAGUUAUUUAUUUAAAGAAAUAAAAUAAUAUUCAAAAUCAUAAUUUAAAAAUACAAUUUUAUUAUAAAUUUAUAAAUUAUAGUGUACACCCUCCAUUUUGUCCCUAACACAUAUUUUCUCAUUUUAUUUUCUUUCACACCAUGCUUAUUUUUAGUAUGUGUUUAAGAUCCUUAUUACUUGAUCAUUCAUUGUCCCUUAUUGGUUUACAUUUAUUUGAUUCAUUGUUUAUUUUUUAGACACAUUUUGGAGGCCAUUUAGGGGGUAAUUUCGGGUCCUUCCAACUUGAGUUUUAGAGACCCCCUAAGCUUAGAAUUUUUUUUUUGUUUGUUUAAUCUCAGUCUUAGGAGAGUUUCUAAGGUUUUUUUAAUUUUUAGAGAGGCCUAGUAGCUGGCUUAGGAUGAGGACAUGUGUUCUCAUCUUGACUGCUUCACUUUUAAAACACCCAUUUUUUUUCCUUCUUUUUUUGCCAUAUUUGGGGGAGACCGUCUAGAAACCUCUCAGGAGAGGAGCUUUUCAACAUGUUUUUUUUUUCUUUUUUUCUUUUAUUUUAGGUGAGUUGUCAAGAUGAAGGAGGAGAGUGAGUUGUUAGUGGUGCUUUUCUGUAGGGGGGAAUAUUCUCUGCAUAAGGGUGGUUAUAAGAGAGAGAAAAAGACACUUUUUUUUUUUUGUGAGCUUCAAGAGACGUUUUGAGCAUCAGAGGAUAUUGGGAUUAUCAUGAGGAUUUAGGGAGGUGGGAGUGAGAGUUUGAGGAGAAAGAAAACAAGAGGAUGGUUUUACCAUUAACUAAAAUGCUAGGGUGAUGGUCCUUGUGUUAGACAAGAUAUUUUAGAAGAACAAAAUUAGUUUUAGGUUAGUUUUAGAGUUAGCUGAAAAAUAGAAUUAAUUAGUCUUCAAAAAUUGCUUUGUAAACUCUCUUACAUCUCCUUUGUUCUACUCUGUUUUUGCUUUCACCACGUUUUAUCUCUCAUCCAAACUCCUUAACAUGGUAUCAAAGCCAUAAUAUCCAACUCAGUCACCCAUUAACAACUGAUGAAUCCUUCUUCACCAUUCUCCAACUUUUUAAACUAUACUUUGUCAAUAAAACUAGAUCAAGAAAAGUACUUGAUCUAGAAAUCUCAAAUUACACCAACAAUUCAAGUACAUGAUAUGCUUGGUUCAUUGAUGGAAUGAGUAAAUGUCCUCUAGAAUUCAUUAACGAAGAUCCAAGAGCCUCUGAUUCUUGCAUAGUCACUAACCAAGAUUAUGUGUUAUGUCAUUGACAAGAUCAAAUUUUGUUAAGUUGGUUAUUAUCAUCUAUUUCUGAAGAGGUGGUGGCCCAGGGGAUUAGUUGUUCCAUGUCUUUUGAAUUAUGGUUUAUGCUGGAAAAAUUUUUUGCUUCUUAGUUGAAGGCAAAAGUAUUACAAUUGUGUAUCCAACUCCAAUCAAUCAAGAAAAAUUCAUUGACAAUGGUUGAAUAGUUUGCAAAGAUAAAAAGAGUUACUAAGAAUCUUGCAGUUGUUGGGCAACCAGUCUCCAAUGAUGAUAUGAUAAUGUACCUUCUUCCUGGGCUUGGAUCUAACUAUGAUCCAAUUUUAGUAAGUGUUACCUCCAAACUUGAUUCAUUUUCUCUUCAAAGAAUAUAGGCUAUACUACUCAAUCAAAAAGCACGCUUAGAACAACUACAUUUAGAAAACUCACUUGAGUUUCAACAAACUGUUGUCAACAUUGCUUCACAUACUUCUUUCAAAGGUAAUGAUCCAAAAGUUACAGUAGGUGGUCAUACCACCAUUCCUCAAAAUAUGAGAGGGUUUCAAAGCUAGUCAAAUCAAGGAGAUCGAGGCAAUAGAUACAACUUCUCACAACUAAUUUGUCAAGUUUGUGGCAAACUAAGUUGUAUCGCCCUCACAUGCUACUAUUGAUUUGAUCACAAUUAUCAAUCUCAAAACUCUCAGAUUGUUAUCUUAAUUACUUCACUAGAAAUACUGGUUGAUCUUGCCUGGUACAUUGAUAAUGAGGCAAAAAAUCAUGUAACAGAUGAGCUAGGAUGUGUGCAGGCUUCUACUAAAUAUCUUGGAAAUAAGAAGUUGACUAUAGACAAUGGCCAAGGUUUGCCCAUUUAACAUAUUGGUCAUUUCUUUUUAUCUACUUCAGAUAAAACUAUUCUUCUUAAAAAUAUAUUUCAUGUUCCAAGCAUUAUUAAAAAUCUUUUAAGCAUCUCAAAAAUUGUUUGUAAUAAUGAUGUUGUUGGGAUUGAGCCCCUAAAAACAAAAAUAAUGUUAGAAACCUACACCUAACUAUCCCCUUGCUAUCAUUUUGGUGUAUUGACAUUAAUUUGAGCAUUCAACCCAUGUCUCUUACAUUGUACAUGACUUGGGUGCACUAGGAGUUGCAUAGAAGAUACAAGUCAUGGGUUCCUUAUAAGUAGAUAAGUUGUCCACAGUUAGUUCAUGGAUUUGGGCAAUCCAGUAGAAACUGUAGUGCACCACCUCCUGAUUGGAGGGAUGACUUUCCCAUGGUGAGUGCAUAGGACCUAAGAUGAAUCAUGAUGCAAGGUUAUCAAUUGUCAUGAUUCACAUAACUAUUAUAAUGAAUGAACUUUCAACUUUGAGAGGAUAUUGAGUCUAUGUCAAAAUCAACAGGAGGCUUUGACCUAUGGGUGAGACCCUAAAAUGGUCAUAUAUCUCUAUGGAUUGGGUCACUAUUAAUGGAGGCUGGUGGCAACAAGUAUUCUUAAUAUAGGCACCAUCACAUCUCUUGGGAUUGAGACCGUGUAUCCCCUUGGGUGAUCCAAAGGACAUGUGAUCAUGAAAUUUGUGGUCAUAGUAAUUCCUUUAACAGAAUUUGACAUAUGGUCCUUAGAGUUAGAGUUUGUUAGUUGAUUACUUAAUAAGUGAGAUUCGUAACUCAAGGAUUUGAGAGGUAAUCUUGAUAGGUGAUAUCACUACCUUGUUAGAUUAUGAACACCAGUUCAUGGGGAGUCUGGAUGUAUUAGAUAGUAAGUGACAAACCUGAGCACUUAGUGUCUUAUUGUUAUUUACCUAAGAUACUAGAGUUUAGUUAAUUCUUUAUAGUGGGAUGUUGAAUCAACUUCAGAAUUGGAUUCCGAGGGAUCCAAUACUCUUAUGGGUCCCAUUGGUCCUUGCUCUAAGCUCAUAUAUCUUGUUGUCAUAGAUUAUGAGGGUCGGAUUGACUUUACGUACACUUUUGUGCACAAGGGCGUUUUGAUAAUUAUAUAAGGUUGCACAGAGGUAAGUGAACAAGAUCUUGAGAUUGGGCUAAUUGAUUAAUUAGUAGGCCCGAUUGGGUUAAUUAAUCAAUUAUGACCCAUUUUAGGCUAGAUUAAGUGACCUAAGCCUAUAUAAGCUCAAGUCACUUAAGCCCAAUUAGGAUCCCUAUAAUUACCUCUUAGGGAUUAGGGUUUUUAUAACUUUGGUCCUCCACUAUCUAAAGAGAAAGAGAGUCAUAGCCUCCACCCUCCUUUCCUCCUCCACCGGAAGUGUGCCAAGAACAAGGUUGAGUCAUCAAACAGAAGAUCAUGGGUUUACGAGACUUCCAACAACUUUAAGGUUGUCUUCAAUACUUUAAAUUUAAGGCUUGGGAACAUCCAAACCUAAAGGUUAGUACUUUAAACCUAAAAGAUCAUUUUUUUAAAAGAUUGGUAUUGCUUUGAUUCCUUACAUCUAAGAUGCCAAUGGAUGUGUUUUUUGAAUUUCAUGCCAUUCGGUGCUUAGUCAAUGACAAAAUCAUGAGGAAAAUUCUACUUCAAGGGAGAAUCAAGAAUGGACUAUAUCAACUUCAAGGACCUAACUUUAUUACUGCAAAAGAAGUUGAAAAAAAAAUUCAUAUGGAAUAAAUAGUACUACUCAAAUAAGGAGGAAAACAAACUCCCCUCUAGAUCAAUUGAAUUCAUCUUUCAACAAUCUAUUACAUAAUGACCCAAAUUGGUUUUCAAAUGUCAAUGUUCCUUAUAUAACUAUAUUGCAUUGAAUGUUCAAUAUGAAGACUUAAGUACUUGGCAUAAUAGAUUUGGGCAUCCUUCUCAUUGUGUUCUUCAUCAAAUACUCAAGAGAUGUAAUAAAUCACAUAUUAGUGAGAAAGCCGCUAGUAAAUUUUGCUUUGCUUGCCAAUAUAGAAAAUGUCAUGACUUGAAUUUUCAUUCAUCACCUACAAAGACUAGUGAACCUUUAGAACUUAUUCACUCAAAUGUUUAGGGACCAUCACCUCUUCUCUUUACCGAAGGAUAUAAAUAUUAUGUUAGUUUCAUUGAUGAUUUCACGUAAUAUACGUGGAUUUUCCUCCUUAAAAACAAAUCUGCAAUACCUACUACAUUUCUACAGUCCAAGAAGUUUGUUAAGAAUCUACUUGAAGAAAAUAUCAAAGCUUGUAAAUAGAUAUGGGUGGUGAAUACAAACCAUUGACACAUUUCUCAAUGACAAUGAUAUAAUGUUGCAACAAUUGUGUCCUUCUAUGCAUCAACAAAAUGGUUGUGCGGAAUGAACACACAGGAAUAUUAUUGAACUCGACUUAACAUUGUUGUCCCAAGCCUUCAUGCCACUUAGUUUUUGGUGGGAUGCUUUCAACAUUGUAGUUUACUUAAUCAAUAGGUUACCUACAUUGAUAUUGAAUAAUCAAUCUCCCAUGAGAAAAUUAUUCCAUCAAGAACCUAGCUACUUUUUUCUCUACUACUUUAGAUGUGCCUGUUUUCCACACAUCAGACCAUAUAAUAAAAACAAGUUUGAUUUUCAUAUACUCAAAUGCUUGUUUGUGGGUUAUAGUAAUCUACACAAAGGAUACAAGUGCUAAGUCCCUCCAAGAAAAUUUAUAUAGCACACAAUGUGGUAUUUGAUGAACAAACAUUUCAUUUUUUCAUGGGAUUUUCAAUUAUCCCGACUUUUGGAUCUUAUAAAAAAUCUAUGAGUACAACCCAAACUCCAAAUCUUACUGUGAUAUUACCUCAACUCAACAAACCAAGACCGUCUAUUGUUAAAAAAAGCAGCCUAAAUAUUGAAAAAAAUUCUUCAACUACUACUUGCAAAAAUCAGUUUACAUCUUGCACUACCAAUGGAAACUCAAGUGAACCAACUCAGACUCUUACAAUUGAUGCUUCAAAAAAUUAGUCUACAUUUCAUCCAAUUCCUCAUUGUGACUUGUAUACAGAUUUGUCUAUUCCUACCUUGAAUACACAUCCAGUGACUACAAGGUCAAAGGUAGGAAUAUUCAAACCAAAGUUAUUCACAGUUGAAAGCACAACAAAACAACUUGAAAGUGAACCCAAUAGUGUUACAAAAGCAUUGCAAUCUAACAAGUGGAAAAAAGUUAUGGAACCAAAGAUUCAGGCAUUAAAUCAAAAUCAAACAUGCUACCUAAUAUCUUGUCUUCCACACUAUAAUGUCUUUGGCUACAAAUGGGUGUAUAAAUUAAAAUAUAACCCAAAUAGAUCAAUUCAACAUCUCAAGGCAUGACUUGUGCCAAAGGGAUUUCAUCAAACACUAGGAGUUGAUUUUUCAAAAACAUUCAGCCUUGUCAUAAAGCCAAUUACUGUAUGCAUCAUCUUAGCUAUAGUAGUUACAAUGGAUUGGAAGAUUCAACUUUAUGUUAAUAAUGUGUUUUUAAACAGAAGCUGCAAGAAAUUGUUUUCAUGUCUCAACUUGAAGGAUUUAUAAUUCCUAAGAAGCCCGAAUAUGUAUGCAAACUACAUAAAGCAUUGUACGAACUUAAACAAGCACCACAUGCUUGGUUUGAAAAAUUACGACGUGCUCUCUUCAAUUGGGGUUUUAAAGAGUUAGAGGUUGACACAUCAUUGUUUAUAUAUCGUGAAGUUUGCAACUCUAUUUUUUUUUUACUUGUGUAUGUGGAUGAUAUUCUCAUUAUUGGGAAUAACUCCCAACUUAGUCGUAAGACUUAUUCAUGACCUCAACUUCUAAUUUUCACUCGAGGACUUAGGGGAUUUUACAUGGGAUUCUAUAGGACCUUAUCUAACUCAAUCCAAAUAUAUCCUUGACUUGUUAAAAUGAACUAACAUGAAAUAAGUUAAAAGUUGCCCUACACCAACAAGUAUGGGACUACAACUAUCCAAUUCGAAAGAACAUAAAUUGAAUAAUGAGAAGUUGUAUCGCAACACUAUUGAAGCAUCACAAUAUCUCACUAUCACUAAGUGAUAAAUAUCUUACAUUGUAAACAAUUUGAGUAAGAUUUUACAUUGUCCUAUUGGUAUGCAUUGGAAAGCUUGUAAACAGGUUUAGAGAUACUUGCGUGGGAGUAUUGAUCAUGAUUUGCAUAUUCAAACUAUUGAGAUUGAGUACCUAAAAGCAAGACAUGAUGUAAAAAAGUUAAGCUUGACUAUCCCCUUGCUAUCCUUAUGGUGUAUUGACAUUGAUUUGAACAUUUAGUCUAUAACUCUUACAUUGUACAUGACUUGGGUGCAGAAGGAGUUGCAUAAAAGAUACAAGUCAUGGGUUCCUUAUAAGUAAAUAAUUUGUUUAUAAUUGGUUCAUGGAUUUGGGUAAUCCAGUAGAGACUCUAGUGCACCACAUCCUAAGUAGCUGGUGGCUUUGAAAAGCCACUACUUUUAAGUUAUUAUGAUGGUGCUUGUAGACUUGCAGAUUUAGGCCUUGUGUUAUUGGAGGAUGCCCAUUGCAAGAAAGGCAAGUCACAUUGUUUUGGGACUUUAGUGGCCCAAUGAAGAUGGUUAAAGACUCCAACCCCUUGAUCCAUGACUUUUAUGGAUUGGGCUAGACUCAUUUCACUAAUCCAAGGGGUUUAAAUUGUAGAUUAAGGGAUGUGGGUGAGCCUUAACUGGUAGUGAGGGCUUUCAUAGCCUUGUACCCUUGGAGAGAGAUCAAUCUGAAGGUUGUGAGAAGGGAUUUUGGUUAAACAUUCUGGCAUCCCAAGAGAGGAGAGUCUGUCACAACAUUGCAUAGGUAGGAACCUCUAGAUGCUAUGGAUCAAGAGCUAGCUGUCUUUAGUUGAUCUUGAUGGCCUGAGGAUGGUUUGUGACGAAUUAGCUCUCUCUUUGCUUGUUCGCUCCUCUUAGAGCCUAGAGGAGGGAGCACCAUUUGUAGAUGCCACCCUCUUGUUUGGAGUAGAAGGUUUUGCAGGUAAGUUAUCAUCUCCAGUUUGUUGGAUGGGGGAUGGGUCUUCUUCUGCAUCUUCUAUUUCCAAAGAUGAGGGUCCAACCAAACGCUUGGUUUUGUGGAGGGAGCAGGACAAGGGGCGGCUUGUAGUAGAAUGCAAGGGUGAUGGUUAUGGGAUGUUAUGUAUGACUUCCAGCAAGGGUUUGGUUGUGGACUUUCCAAAGAAUCACCUUAGAGAUGCUUAGAGUGUGAACCUAGAUGUGGGGAGUGAGGAGGUGGUGGCUUUGGAGAAUGGGGGCUCUAGGAGGGACUCGAUGGGAGAUGAGAGCCUCUACGAUUUGUCUUUUGGGAAAUUCGUCUCCUUUAGCAAGUUUUUGGAUUUGCUAGUGGAAGGUUAUGAGAAGGAAAUUGUGUCCUUAUUGAGAAAGUCGGAAGCUAAAAAGGGUUAUAGAGUAGUGGCUUUGAGUAUAAAAAGGAGGCCUUCCUCUAUGUUCGACUUUGAUAGGGAGCUUUGCAAAUUGGAGUGCUUGGUCAAUUACAACAAAUCAAGUGGAAAAAGGGGGAGCCAGAAGUGGGGGUGGGAUAUGGUUUGUGAGUGAUCAUGAAGUUCGAGAUUUUUCUUAAUUCCUAAUUCAAUAUAUUACAUUGUUGUUUCUCAAAAAAAGUACAAAAGAAAAAAAGAAAAAAAAAAGAAAAUAAAAAUAAAGAAGUUUUGAGAUUUUUUUAUCGUCAUUAGUAGGUUUAGAGGCUGGGUGUUUGGCUCUCCUUAGAAAUUGGAAGGACUUGAGAAAAGGAGAGGGGCCAGAAUUGUAUCACUCAAUCUCAAGGUAAGGGAUUUAGAAAAGUGGGCUGGAAUUGUAAUUUAUAAGGGAGCAGAGGGUAGUCAUUUCAGGCAGUGGCAAGGGAGAGUGGAAUUAUUAACAAUGGGUAGAUGAAGUUUGAAUUUAUCCAAGGAUUCAGUAAGAUUGCAGAAAGUGGAUUUGGUUUGCAAGCAUGAAAGGUCGUAUAGGUCUUUAUGUCUUUCUAGGCCUUUAGGGUGAUGUUUUUGUAUCAGGUUACGGUUUGUUGUUUUUUUUUUCCUUUUGCUUGCCUUCUGGCACUGUUUGUAUUCUCUAUGUAGUUUGUGCAACUUUACAAAGUGUUUUUAAUAUCUUAUCAGUUUACCUAAAAAAGAAAAGAAAAAGAGAGAGAGAGAGAAAGAGAUAUAUGGAUGGGAGGAAAUAAAAUAUAUCAAUCAGGAAGGCCAAAUUAUACUACUAUGCACCUCUUAUGACUGAUUGAUGGGUUUGUGCAAAUUAUAGGAACAAUACCAACAGUAUUGUCCUUUUGACUUGAGCCUCCAAAUUGCUUGGUUAUCUGAAGAUAGUUUUCAUUGAUGAAUACCUCUUGACCUUAUGAUCCAGAUUUUGGCAUAUGAAGUUAAGCAAGUUAUAACUAAAUAGACUUAUACUGUGAAUUUCUUGGAUUUUGAUAAAAGAGUGAAACCUAAAAUUGUUAAUUCAGAUCAGUUUUGAAUGAACAUAAAAUGGUGCCUCUACUGUAAUGCCUGAAAUAUUUGAUAUCCAUUCAAUAGCUUCCCAAUGCUCUUCUUUUCGUAAAGCUAUUGAUGGCUCCCAUUGCUUGAGCUUUUUACCCAAUCUUGUAUGCACCAUGUGAUGAGCCAAGAAGAUCGCAACGUGUUCCUAAGAAAAACCCAAGGUUCAUAACAUGAUAAACAUGCAGAGCAAGUAGGAUGAUCGUGCAAGGAGCUGUUAGAGAUUAAUUGCUGGCAUAGUUCUGUUAGAAGACUUGGUCUGAUGUCUGUUAGCUAUUAUUAUGCUAUUUGAAUAAGUAUUAGCUAUUUAUUUGCUAAUAAUGGUUGAGUCCUUAUUUUCAGUAGUUAUGGUCGUGAGAGUAAGAGAAUGUGGGUUUUUCCUUGUAUAUUUAAACUAUUUCAGUAUGCAGCAAUAAAGGGGAGUUCAUUCAAAAUCCAAAUAUUGUGGCUCGUUCUUGCCCUAAGAAGAAUUUUGUUUACUGAUUAUAUUAGCUUUGAUUGGGACCUAUCAUUGGUAUCAGAGCCAGGUUACACUGAUGGCAACUAACAAGGAAAAAAUAGAACAAUUAGAGGCUGGGCUAGGAGGACUUCAAGACGAAAUGAGUCGAAUGGAACUUGGUCUGACUGACAAGUUGCAUCAAAUGGAGGAAACCAUCCACAGGCUAUCAGAAGCUUUGCUUUCCAACAAAGAAGGAUCCAGUAGCAACACCAACGAUCGUAAUGGUCAUGUCCGCAAUAAUAGAGACAACUCUAAGGGAUAAAUGGAAGGGGGACAACAAAUGUUCUUAUCCAAGUUGGCAAAGCUUGAAUUUCCAAGGUACUCUGGCAACGAUCCAACUGAAUGGUUCAACAAAGUGGACCAAUUCUUUGAAUAUCAAGGCAUCCCAGUAGCGCAAAAGGUGUCAUUAGCGUCAUUUCAUCUUGAGGGUGAAGCUAAUCAGUGGUGGCAGUGGUUACGCCGCUCCUACAGUGAAGAAGGGAAAGAAGUGGUGUGGGCAGAUUUUGAAGAGGAACUCUGGGCUCGUUUUGGACCUACAGAGUGUGAAGAUUUUGAUGAGGCUUUGUCAAGGGUGAAACAGAUGGGCUCACUACGAGACUAUCAAAGGGAGUUUGAAAAGCUAGGAAAUCGGGUGCAAGGAUGGACACAAAAGGCAUUGGUUGGAACGUUUAUGGGUGGUCUUAAGUCGGAAAUUGCCGACGACAUUCGGAUGUUCAAACCCAAAUCAUUGAAAGAAGCAAUCAGCCUGGCACGAAUGAGAGACGACCAGCUAACUCGCCAAUGAAGAUUCACACGACCUUUGCAACCCAACUGGCCGCAGCCUAACUUUUCUACUCAAAUGAAAUCCAAGCCAACACCAACCAUGAAACGUCUCACUUGGGAAGAAAUGCAGAAAAGGCGAGCAUAAGGCCUCUAUUUCAAUUGUGAUGACAAAUUCACCGUGGGUCAUAAGUGCCGAGGACCGCAACUCUUGUUGUUGGAAGGGAACUCCAGUCCAAAUAAGGAAGAUGAUAUAGAUGAGGAGAUCGAAGAACCCGCUAUCAAUGAACAAACUGAACCCGAAAUUUCCUUCCAUGCUCUAACUGGAUGGUCAACCCCCAAAACCAUGCGGAUUACAGCUAAGAUUGGGCAGCAUGAGGUGGUUGUCCUCAUUGAUAGUGGUUCCACACACAACUUUAUUAGUGAGAAAGUAGCCGACAUGUUGCACUUAUCUGUGGUUCCAACCAAGCCAUUCACUGUCAAGGUGGCAAACGGAACACCAUUGAAGUGCCAAGGGAGGUUUGAGCACGUGCAUGUGAUACUUCAGGGUAUUCCUUUCUCUCUUACUCUCUACUCUUUACCACUAACCGGGUUGGACUUGGUGCUAGGCGUACAAUGGUUAGAACAAUUGGGAACAGUUGUAUGCAAUUGGAAGAAACUGACAAUGGAGUUUCAAUGGGAAAAUCAAACACAUAAGCUACAAGGGACAAAUACACAAACCAUUCAAGUUGCAUCAUUGAAAGCUGUUUCAAAAGAAUUACGACAAGGAAGUUCUAUGUUCACAAUUUGCCUGCAAUCAACAUCAAAUGAAGUACAACAAGCUAUCCAUCUAGACAUGCAACAAUUGAUUAAAGCAUUCGAGGACAUUUUUCAAAAGCCAAAUCAACUACCUCCAGCAAGAGAGAUUGACCACCGAAUUACUUUGAAAGAAGGAACCGAGCCCGUCAACGUGAGACCCUACAGGUAUGCCUAUUUUCAAAAAGCUGAAAUUGAAAAACAAGUUUGUGACAUGUUAAAAUUGGGGCUUAUAAAAGCAAGCACUAGUCUUUUUUCAUCUCCUGUUUUAUUGGUUAAAAAGAAAGAUGGAACGUGGCGUUUUUGUACUGACUAUAGAGCACUUAAUGCCGUAACCAUCAAAGACCGAUUUCCAAUUCCUACAGUUGAUGAUAUGCUAGAUGAGCUCCAUGGGGCAACUUACUUUACUAAACUCGAUCUCAGAGCUGGCUACCAUUAUGUACGGGUACAUCCUCCAGAUAUUCCUAAAACUGCUUUCCGUACUCACAAUGGUCAUUACGAAUAUUUGGUCAUGCCUUUUGGUCUUUCUAAUGCACCAUCUACCUUUCAAGCAAUUAUGAAUUCUAUAUUCCGCCCAUAUCUCGGCAAAUUUGUGUUAGUAUUUUUUGAUGACAUUUUGAUUUAUAGCCCCAAUUGGAACAUGCAUCUUGAACAUGUUAAACAAGCUUUUGAAAUAUUAAGGCAACACCAAUUCUUUGUUAAAAUCAGCAAGUGUGCAUUCGGCCAGCUAGAGUUGGAGUAUUUAGGUCAUAUUGUGACUCUGUAAGGCGUACAAGUAGAUUAAGGAAAAAUUAAAGCAAUGCUAAAUUGGCCAAGGCCUACUAAUAUUUCUGAAUUGCGUGGGUUCUUAGGCCUAACAGGUUACUAUAGGAAGUUUGUUAGUAACUAUGACAUCAUUGCUCGGGCCUUUACCAAUUUGUUGAAGAAAGGAAAAUUCGCGUGGACAAAGGAUGCCGAAACAGCCUUCCAAGAACUCAAACAGGCUAUGACUUCAACCCCUACACUUGCUAUGCCUAAUUUUAAUGAACCUUUUGUCAUUGAAUUUGAUGCUUCAGGAGAUGGGAUUGGUGUCGUUCUAACCCAGCAAGGAAAACCAAUAGCCUUCAUGAGCCGCGCCUUAGGAGUGUCCAAACGAUCAUGGUCCAUCUAUGCUCGCGAAAUGUUGGCCAUUGUUCACGCCAUCCAAACUUGGCGACCAUAUUUGUUAGGACGAAAGUUCUAUAUCCAAACAGAUCAAAGAAGCCUCAAAUACUUGCUAGAGCAACGAAUAACAACACCGUAGCAGCAAGAAUGGGUGGCAAAAUUGCUGGGAUAUGACUAUGAAAUCACUUAUAAACCAGGACGGGAGAACUCAGCAGCAGAUGCACUAUCAAGAGUGGUAAGCAGUCCUAGUCUUAAUGCUUUAUUUGUUCCACAAGCUCCUUUAUGGGAUGAAAUCAAAGCAGAGGCUAUCAAACAUCCAUACAUGGACAAAAUUGACAAAUUGGCAAAUUGGCAACGGACAGUCCAGGUGCUCCUUACACAUGGCGAAAUGGGCUAGUGUGCUAUAAAAAUCGAGUGGUGAUACCCCCAAACUCUCCGAUAAUCAAGCAAUUAUUGCGAGAAUUCCAUGAUUCUCCAAUCGGGGGCCAUUCAGGGGUGUUACGGACAUAUAAAAGGCUUGCACAACAAUUCUAUUGGCCAUCAAUGUUUCAAAUAGUGCAGGACUAUGUCUCUUCUUAUGAUGUAUGCCAACGAAUUAAAUCUGAAACUCUUGCGCGAGCGGGACUCUUACAACCAUUGCCCAUUCCAUGUCUAGUAUGGGAUGACAUUACAAUGGAUUUUAUAGAGGGGCUGCCAACUUCCAACGGCAAGAAUACAAUCCUUGUGGUGGUAGAUCGCUUGAGUAAAUCAGCACAUUUUUUGGCCUUAGCCCAUCCUUUCACCGCAAAAAUGGUAGUUGAAAAAUUCGUUGAGGGAGUAGUCAAACUUCACGGCAUGCCCAAAUCCAUCAUUAGUGAUCGGGAUCCAGUGUUUAUGAGCCAAUUUUGGCAAGAGUUCUUCAAGUUAUCAGGCACACAAUUGAAAAUGAGUUCUUCCUACCACCCGCAAACGGAUGGGCAGUCCGAAGUCGUCAACCGAUGUGUCGAACAAUAUCUUCGCUGCUAUGCCCAUCACCACCCACGGAAAUGGAGCUUCUUUCUUCCAUGGGCAGAAUUUUGGUACAACACAACUUACCACGCAUCAACAGGAAUGACACCAUUUCAAGCUUUGUAUGGGCGUCUACCCCCAACCAUUCCACACUAUCUGAUGGGCACAACUCCAGUUCAUGCAGUCGACCAAAAUCUCACCUCCAGAGAUGCAAUAUUACGCCAACUCAAGACCAAUUUACAUGCUGCUACCAAUCGCAUGAAACAGGUGGCUGACUCCAAACGGCGAAAUAUUGAGUAUCAAGUAGGCGACAUGGUCUUCCUUAAGCUACAACCGUAUCGGCAGCAAUCGGUAUUUUGUAGAGCUUCUCAGAAAUUGGCAAGUCGAUUCUAUGGUCCUUAUCAAAUAGAACAAUGAAUUGGCAAGGUAGCAUAUAAAUUAAACCUCCCAGAAGGAUCCAAAAUUCAUCCCAUUUUCCAUGUUUCACUGCUUAAAAAGAAAUUGGGUGAGCCUAACAAUACUACGGUUGAAUUGCCUCUUACUGAUGAUGAAGGAGAAAUUGUCCUAGAACCUGAAGGAAUCUUAGAUACACACUGGGUUAAGAAAGGAUCACGCAUUUUUGAAGAAAGUCUGGUUAAAUGGAAACGACUACCACUAGACGAUGCUACGUGGGAGGAUACUAAAAUGUUGCGGGAUCGAUUCAUUAAUGUGAACCUUGAGGACAAGGUUCCAGUGCAAGACAGGGGUAUUGAUGAGCCAAGAAGAUCGCAACGUGUUCCUAAGAAAAACCCAAGGUUCAUAACAUGAUAAACAUGUAGAGCAAGUAGGAUGAUCGUGCAAGGAGCUGUUAGAGAUUAAUUGUUGGCAUAGUUCUGUUAGAAGACUUGGUCUGAUGUCUGUUAGCUAUUAUUAUGCUAUUUGAAUAAGUAUUAGCUAUUUAUUUGCUAAUAAUGGUUGAGUCCUUAUUUUCAGUAGUUAUGGUCAUGAGAGUAGGAGAAGGUGGGUUUUUCCUUGUAUAUUUAAACUAUUUCAGUAUGCAGCAAUAAAGGGGAGUUCAUUCAAAAUCCAAAUAUUAUGGCUCGUUCUUGCCCUAAGAAGAAUUUUGUUUGCUGAUUAUAUUAGCUUUGAUUGGGACCUAUCACCAUGACAUACAUGAAAUUAGAAUUGCAAUUUGAGCAAGUUGAACCCAAUCCAACCUGAAAAUGCAAUUUCUGAUUAAGAAAUCUCAAUCAGACUUGAACCCUAUCCGUAUUUAACUAAUUCUAAGUUGAACAUUUGUCUAAUAAGGUGCCUGUGUCGAAACAAUUUUGUAGGAGAAAAUGGGUGAUCGCUUACCAUGAAUGCUUGAGUGCAUUGUUUGAGGACAAUUAUUGUUACUGAGUUGUGUGCAGGCUGCCAUUAUAUUGUAGUCAGCAAUUGUUAUAAGAUGAAUGAUCAUGUUUUGUUUAUGCAUGUGAUGGUCUUCAAAAUGCAGGAUAAGCAUUCCCGGAAGGGUCUUCAAGCGAUGGUCCAGAGGAGAAAGAAGUUAUUGAAGUAUCUCCGUAGAACUGACUGGGAUUCCUACUGCCUUGUUCUUUCUAAGCUUGGUCUCCGAGACAAUCCGAAUUACAAAAACUAGAUGAAAUGUAUUCAUCUCUGUUUUGACAUGCUAAUGAUGCUUUAUUUAGUGAUAUAUCAGGUUUUUUGUUUUGUAUCUGGUACUCACAAUUUUUCAACUAGAUGUCACUUCUGAUUCUCCUUUAAUUUAAAGUCAUAAUAAUAACAGCUCCUUGGUACUAUUUGCUAGAAGGAAAGACAAUCUGUCUGUUUCUUAGUUGAAUGGGGCACAACACAGGACCUUUGUUACAUAGUCCUGAUAACUGAUGGAUCCGAUUUAACUUUUUUGUGGAGUUACGACCCUGACAGCCCAAGAGGAGGGAGGAGGGAGGAGGGAGGAGGGAGGAGACAGAGGGGAAGUGUGAACUGUGCUGUUGCACCUUAUUUGUGUUCCUUCUACUUCCAGGUGUUGUCAUGAAAUGGAAUCAGAAGUUGGAAUUCAAGAAGACUUGGUUAAAUGGUAAAAAAAACAGGCUGCUGUUGAGCAUCGUGCUUGAAGCUUGGAGAAUAGAGGAACCUUCUCUUGCUCUUCCAUCUCCUACUUCACACAUUUAUUCCAAGAAUAUAUCAUCUGCUGCUUGCCAAUCCUAACCAGGAAAAAACGAAAGAUUUUUAUCCUUAUGUUUUAAUAUUGAUGUCACUACAUUAUUCUUCUUCAUAUCUUUGUUGAACAACUUUUGAAACCAAUUGAGCAUACCCUUGAUCGGUUGAAACUUUUUUUGCUCAAAAGCCCUUCUUCUUUAAAUUCAAACCUUUUUAAUACUUACGCAACAACGUUAAAUUCUUUUAUAAAACAAGUUUGAGAGGUUUUUGCCUAAGUGUUGGAUUAGAACUUGAAUUAAGAAAACAUAAUCUUUAGAGUUCAAAAUAAGUAUAUGAUUAAAUGAUGCAUGAAUAGAUUUAAAGACCUAAGUGCACCCAAGUAUUUACCUUACAUAAUGUUCCUAAGCUUAAAAGGUCUUCAUGCUCACUUGAUCUUACACACCUUUGAUCCUUUGAUGAACAACUUGAUUUUCCAAUUGAAUUUUGCAAAUACUACUUGAAAAUCAUCUUAAUUUUAAACUCAAUAGUGAAAAACAUGAUUUGUUAUCAUCAAAACUCAUUUAGGAGAUCCCUUUGACUAACAGAAGUUAAUAGUGAAAUAAAUUUAUCGAGUCAUAAAGAUGAGAAAUGAAUAUAAUUAAUUCAUACUUGAAUAGAAACCGUGAGUGAACUCAUGUUAAGAAUGAGUCAAAAUAAGUAUGACCAAAUAUGAGAGAGAUUAUUUUUACAAAUUUAAGGUUAUUUCAUCCAUUUUAAUCAAAUCAUCCUUUAAUAAAUAUGACUCCAAGACUAAAAAACAAAGGAACCUGGCAAACCCCAAAUUAUUGGAAAGACAAUUGCACCCAAUUGGGCAUAAAAGAUAAAUAAUUUAACUCAAGAAAAAGUGAAAGUGAAAAUGAGGGACAUGAAGGCAAAAAAGAAUCAUUGAUUAAUAAUAUAUUUUAUUUAAUUUUAUAACCUUUUACAACUUGUUUUUAUGACGUAUAAUUAAUAUUUUAUAGCAUGCUCUUGUUUGUAUGUCUUAAACUCAACCUACUCAAAUCUUAAGCCUUCACCCCCAAACCAAAAAUUAAUUAAAAAUGAUGAGAUUUUUUACUAAAAAUUAUCCAUUAUAUAGUAACAUGAGGAUCACAUGUUUACUAAAACUAUAACUCUAAAGCUAGAUAUAAACUUCCUUAAUUUGACUAAUUAAAUAGUAUAAUAUAACAUAAUUAUAUAGUUUAGUUAUAAAUAAGUUAUUAUUUAAUUAAAUCUCAAAUUCAAUGUGAUUAUAACACAUAUUAAAAAAAAUGUUUAAUAAAAUUUUAAAUAAAAAAUUGAAAAUUGAAAAAAAUUUAAUUUGAUUAGAAAAAUUAUAGUGAAAUGAAAAUUUUUACAUACACAAAAAGAAUGAAAAAUAAAUUAAGAUAAUAUAGGUAUGAAGAAAAAAAAAUGAUGAAGCUAAAAUAAAAAAGGAAAAAAAAAAGUAGGAGUUUCAAGUAGGCUUUAUAAAAUAUUAUAUAUUUUUAAAAUUUAUUUAAAAUUUUAAAAAAAUAAAUCCUUGAGAGUUAGUAUUAACUUUUUUUUUCAAUAACAUUCAAAUGAAAUUAUUUUUUAUUUUUGAAAUUAAAAAUUAAAUUCAUAUUUUUUUCACUGCUACCUCCGGGUUAUGUACGCCGCUUUAGUCAAGAUCUCAUUGCAACCUAUAACAAGCUAAGCACUGAGUCAAGUCAAUUGGGUCCCCCAUCGCAAUUACCCAAAUGAGAUUGUAUGGAAUCACACUUUCAUCUUGAGUGAAAGAAGAAGCCUUCCUUGACCGAUUCACUCCUUCAGCAAAUGAAUUGCAUGGAAACGGGAUAAAUGUCUGAUGCAAAGUAAGGUAAAAUAUAGAGCUAGACUUAGAAUUUUAGGUGUCUGCUCAGAAAAAAACCAAUGAAAUCCCAGGUUUUGAACUUCAAAACUGAAGAAAAGAAAGUACAAUUUAUUCAAAACUUUUAGGCUCCACUCAUAACAUGGAAAAUUUGACAAAAAGAAAUAGGAUAGACGGUCAGCAAGCGGCUAAGUUGAGGCCGCCCACCAUAAUUGACAAAAUGAAACCAUAUGGAAAACGGAGGUAAGUCAGCAGGUCAAGUGGGCCCACCUAGUCUACUACAUUCAAUUGUAUGGUAAGUGGAAAUUCAAACUGAAAUUUCCCGGAAAGUGAUUUCCCAUUUGCCCGGAAAUUGCCUUGAAACUGGGAACUUAGCUGGAUUUAAAAGCAACAAACCUGGUUGUCAGUUGAUCAGCAACAACUGUGAAAACAAUUAAUGGCUGAAAGUAUUGUCACGUUUUUUCUAGAGAAGUUAACUGACCUGCUUUCCCAGGAAGCAUUUCUACUCAGCAGAGUAGAAGAGCAGGUGAAGCUGUUGAGUAACGAGCUCGAAUGGAUGCGCCUUUUUCUCAAAGACGCGGAUGCGAAGCGCAGAUAUGAUCCAAGAAUCAAGCUCUGGGUGAGUCAGAUCAGGGACGUAACCUAUGACGCCGAAGAUGUCAUCGACAGGUUCAUGUUCGAGAUGAAUCACCAACAGCAAGGAAGUCUCAAAUGCCUCAAGUUCCUUAAGUUACGAUUUGUUCACAAGCUCGAGUCUCGAAUCAGAGAGAUCAAUAUCAAGAUUGAGAAGAUCAUGGCUAACAAAUCAAGGUACGGUGUCGAAACCUUACCAGCUGCAAGCUCGUCCAACGAAGUUGUGCCACAUAAAGAGAGGAGGGCUCCGAUUGUGGAAGAAGUAAACGUGGUGGGAAUUCAAGAGGAUGCAAAAAGCGUUAAGCAAAAUCUGCUUAAUGGAGAGAUGCGGAGAGCUGUGGUGUCCAUCGUGGGCAUGGGUGGCUUGGGAAAGACUACCCUGGCUAAGAAAGUCUAUAAUGAUAAUGAUGUCCGGCAAUGCUUUGAUUGUCAUGCUUGGAUUUAUGUCUCUCAAGAGUAUACAAUCAGGGAGCUUUUGCUAGGCGUUGCUGUUUGUGUUAGGAUUCUCUCCGAAGAGGAAAGGAGUAAAAUGAACGAGAGCGAUUUGGGGAAUAGUCUUCGUGAUUACCUGACUACCAGGAAGUACUUGAUAGUUAUGGAUGAUAUGUGGAGAAAUGAAGCUUGGGAUAGGUUGGGCUUGUAUUUUCCUGACUCGGUGAAUGGCAGCAGAGUGUUGAUCACCUCACGCAAUAAAGAGAUUGGUCUUUAUGCUGAUCCACAAACCAUUCCCCAUGAACUUUCUUUUCUGACUGAAGAAGAGAGUUGGGAGCUCUUUCUCAAGAAAAUUUUUCUGGCUGGGAGUGCAAAUGCUGUUUGCCCAGAGAAUUGGAAGAGUUGGGAAAGAAAAUUGUAGCAAAUUGUGGGGGUUUGCCCCUUGCAAUUGUGGUCUUGGGAGGCCUUCUAUCAAGAAAAGAAAAGACACCGCUCUCCUGGCAAAAAGUACUGGACAGCCUAACUUGGCACCUAAAUCAAGGUCCAGACUCAUGUUUGGGGGUCCUUGCUUUAAGCUACAAUGAUAUGCCGUAUUACUUGAAGUCCUGUUUCCUUUACUGUGGUCUUUUCCCAGAAGACUCAGAAAUCAGGACAGAUAAGUUGAUCCGCUUGUGGGUUGCAGAAGGGUUUAUACAAAGAAGAGGAGAAGAAAUAGCGGAAGACGUCACGGAAGAUCACUUACAGGAAUUGGUACAUAGAAGCAUGAUUCAAGUGGCUGCCAGGAGUUUCGAUGGAAGAGUGAUGUCCUGUCGCAUGCACGAUCUGCUUCGAGACCUUGCCAUUUCUGAGGCCAAAGAUACAAAUUUUUUUGAGGGAUAUGAAAGCAUUGAUUCUACAUCCCCUGUUAGUGUUCGUCGACUAACCAUUCAUCAAGGUAAGAAGACUAAUUCUAAACACUUGCAUACUUCACGUAGUCUCCGAUCUUUCAUUUGUUUUUCUGUAUGCUUCCAAGAAAACAUUUUGAGAUCUUUACACAGGCGUGUCAAAUUGCUCACUGUACUGGACCUAGAACGCAUGCCUAUCAGUACCUUCCCAGAAGCCAUAGGAGAACUUAUCCACCUUAAGUACUUGUGCUUAAGGGGAACCUGCAUAAAAAGUCUUCCAUCGUCCAUAGGUCGUCUUACUAAUCUACAAACCCUAGACUUUCGAGGCACUUUAAUUGAAAUAAUUCCCUCUACCAUUUGGAAAUUGCACCAUUUGAGACAUCUAUACGGUCAUGGUGUGGUUUCAAGCCAGUCAGUGAUAGAUAAGUGCAGGAAUGGUCCUUUGAGUGUUGGCCACCUAACAAACCUCCAAUCGUUAGGUUUAAGAGCAGGCAGUUGGUGCUGUGGUGAAGGCUUGGGAAAAUUAAUUGAGCUUAGAGAACUGACAAUUGCAUGGACCGAAAUCGCACAAACAAAGAACCAGGGAUUUUCCGAGUCAGUAAAAAAGCUAACUGCUCUUCAAUCCUUGUGUUUGUAUCCUCGUAUAGGAGAGAAUUUUAACCAUGCCGCACCUCAUGCCUUUCUCAGACCACACUUACCUUUACCAUCUAAGUUUAAGAGGAAGGCUCGAAAGGUUCCCUGAUGAAAUUGAAUUCUACCCUCCAAACCUCGUCUCCUUGGAAUUGGAAUGUUGGAAUAUAGAGCAAGACCCAAUGGUGACCCUAGAGAAGCUGCCAAACUUGAGAUUUCUCAGAUUAUUCCAUUGUUCCUCUAUGUUAAAGAAGAUGGUCUGUACUUCUGGAGGAUUCCAGCAACUCGAAACCCUUAAGCUCUGGAAUUUGAAAGAAUUAAAAGAAUUGAUUGCGGAGGAAGGGGCAAUGCCUGAUCUGAAGGAUUUAGUAAUUGAUACUUGCCCUAAAAUGAAAAGGCUUUCCCAUGGAUUGCUGCAACGAAAAAAUUUGCAGAACCUAAGUUUGUAUGAUUUGUCUCCUGAGUUAAUGGAUGAGCUUUCUCGGAUAGAAGGAGAUCUGGAGAAGAUCUGCCUCGCCACCUCAAUACACGGGUGGAGGCGUACGGCAUCUUGAAGGCUCAGGAGAAGUUUCAUAAAGCGCUACCAGGAAAUGCUUGGACUGUACUGAAGAGCAUUUCCAAUGCAACAAAUCUUUCUAAGCUCGUCUUUUUCCUUGUUUUUUCUGCUUUUGGACUGUAAGAUGCUUCCACGUUUUCAAAUAAAGUGAUCAGUCAGUUUAUAAUUGAACCUCACUGGAGUUUUAAUAAGAGAAAACCAACAGAAUACAUGCAAGAGUAGAAGCCCGUACACUUCUAAAAGCUGAGGCAUGCUUAGGAAGUGUUUUUAAAAAACAGUUUUUAAAAAUAAAUUUAUAAUAUUUUCAUAAAUAAAAUUAUAUUUGAAAAUUGAAUUAUAAAAAACAGUUUUCGUUCUAAAAAAACAUGUAUAAUUAGUUAAUAAAAACGACUAUUAACAAUAAAUAAAAUGAAAACUUGUUUGGAAGUUGUUAUUGUUGGUUUUUAUUUAUUUAUUUAAAGUUGGGUAUUUUCUUUAAUUAACUUGAUAUUGUAAAAUUAUAAAUAAUUUUUACAUUCACACUUCAUUAAAAAUAAAAAAUAUUCCAUUUUCAAUUUUUUUUUGCAUCAAUUUUAAUUUUUUAAAAUAAAAUAUUACUUUGUAAACAUGUCUAAGUAUGUUUGAUUUCAAUAAUUGGUAAAUUAUUUGAGCAAAAUAUCAUAAAUUGGUAAAUAUUAAUAAUUGGAUUUUAUUGGAUAAAAUUUAUGAUAUCAAACAAUAAUGCAUUUGUAGACCCCCAUAUGGGGCUUGUUUUUUUUCAUUUGCUAUAGGUCACACUUCUUGCCAAGUGGAGGGCUCUUAAAGAGCCAGAUGCUGCUUUCUGGUUGGGUGGUCAGUGAAUCAGGUAGUAGGUUGGAAAUGCAGUGAGGUGUAGACACCUAUUGGAGGAUAUUCAGAAGAGCUUUUGGGCUGUUAGAGUGGAGUUGGGUGAUUUUUUUUGAAGUGUGAGGGGGACCCCCCUCUCUUACCAUGAAUCCUGGCCAGAUGGGACGGGUAAGCCAUACUGGCUGAUGCAUGAACAGGAGGAGGCAGGUGGUGACUUGCUAAGGAAGGUGAUUCCAAGAAGGGGGAAACAGAGAAGAAGAGAGAGGGGAGUUUAGCUUGAGAGGAGAGUUUGGCUGGAGAGGACUGGUGGGAAGGAGGCAUUCCUUGGUUGGUUGCUUGAGAGGAAGGAGAGCUGUCCGAUUUCUUGCCCACCUAGCUGGAGAGAGUUAUUUUGAGGUACGUUUAUUGUGUAUUCUUCGUCAGCUUCUAUUAGUGUGCUUUUCUACUUUGUUUUUGCUGAUUCUCGGAUGAUGAUUGUUGAUUGGGAGUGAAUACGUUCAUAUUUUUGCUAAUGGUUUUGUAGUGGUUUAGUUUGCUCUGGUUUUGAUUUCUCCAUGAGAUAUUUUUGUAACCACGUUUUACCUUUCAUUUGACACUCGUUUAAUCUUACCCACCAUCAUCUAAGCCUGUUGGUAUGAUAUGAAGCAUAGUUUGUCGGGCUCAUUUUCUUGUAUCUACUCUUUGUGCUCUGUUUUGUUAUCCUCCUUUGCUCUUGAUAUCCGUCCAUGGUACGCAUCCAUUUUCUCAUCCCUGCUUGAAGGAGAUCCUAGAAAAUCUGGAGUAGUUGUCAUGGCAGCAAAACUCAUCUCAUCAGCAUUCCCAUACCCAUUCUCGUUUAUUAUUCAUCAUUUUAUCCAACAUGCCUACGUCCCCAUCCAUCACUCCACUCCUAUUCCCGUUUAUCUUCAUCAUGCGUAAACCCCCACACAUCUCAUACCGGGAGGUGAUGUCUCAAGAUGAUAUAGGAAGCUAGUAUUUGAAUUUGUGGAAAGAAGGGCGGAUUUAGUGGUCUCAUGGGAAUACUAUGGCAUGAAGGUGGUGGUUCUAUGCUGAAGAGAUGGUGGACAAUGGUGGAUGUUUCUGGUCUGUCUGUGUUACAAAUCAAGACUUUGGUCUGACAGUGAGGAGAACCAGAAGGACGCAGCGCAUGGAUGAUAUUAAAGAGACUGAUGAUCUUUUCAGACCGCUGAAAGAGCCAAGGAAUUCAUAUGAUAUGGUACAUUCGGGCAAUGUAAGCUUUGGAGUAGAUGCAGUCCGUGUUACUAAGUCAAUUUCGUCACCUCUCAAGGACCCAUUGAUAGAAGUGCACCUAACUUAUAAGUCUCAGGCCUUCCCAUUCGAAAAUCAUGUUGUAGCCAAUAACAGGGCAUCGGGUCAGAUUUCUGAGAAGCUGAAUGUUUAAAUAUCCGGUGUUAAUGAUAUUAUCAUAUGGGUAAAUCACUCUUCAACUCAAUAUCCGGAUGCCAACUAUGAUGCUGUCAAGACCCCUAACUAGUAAAAAGCCUGUGUGAAGGCCUGUGAAUGGUAGAAUGAAGAAUUAAUCACUACCAUAUUCUCACCCUUCAUGCCCGUUUAACUCAUCAUCAAUACCCAUGUGUACACCCGUUUAAUCAUACCACCAAACCCGUUUAUCUCUCUAAACCUUCACUUACCUGUGGGAUCCUCCCUAAAAAAAUGUCACGUGGCUCUCUCUCCCUUGCGCAUGCAGACGGUCCCCCUUGCGACGUGCGGCAUAGCUCAUUCCACCCGGGGAAGAAUUCUUUCCGACCGACAUUCAACCUUCUCCGGAUGUCUCACAUCCAGAAUUCUGUCCGGCCGACGUUCCACCUUCUCCGGAUGUCUCACAUCCGGAAUCCUGUCCGGCCGACGUUCCACCUUCUCCCGAUGUCUCACAUCUGGAAUUCUGUCCAGCCAACGUUCUAUCUUACUUGGAUGUCUCACAUCCGGAAUUCUUCUCCACCGACAUUCCACCCGGGUAUCUCACAUCCAAAAUUCUUCUCCACCGACAUUCCACCCGGAUGUCUCACAUCCGAAAUUCUUCUCCGCCGACAUUCCACUCGGAUAUCUCACAUCCGGAAUUCUGUCCGGCCGACGUUCCACCUUCUCCGGAUAUUUCGCAGCUGGAGCUUGUUGCCGGGUGAGAGAGGAGGACGAUUCAACUUCCCUGGACAGACAUGUCCGGAUCCUCUAGUGACGUUUACCCGGGCAGCUUGGCUCGUCAGACACUCGCGAUUCACCGGAUCCAUUUCUGCCCACAAUCAAAAGGCAAACUCCGAUAAUACCGACGACCAAGUCUCCUGAACUGUCACUCAUCUUUAAUGCAAGAUAGAUUGGGCUUUGGUGGGGGCCCCACAAGCGUGAUUUUAUGAUUGAUUGGUGGAUUGAUUGAUUUGAUUGCUAUAUGUGAUUGAUUUACACUAUUCUAUGAUACACACACGAUUAUCCUGUGUUUAAUUGCUAACAUUUGUUUUCAUCGAAGUAAAUCGGUUCAUCACCCAGGUACAUUCUUUGUCUCUCCUAUUCAUUCAGUUAUUUUGUUUCGGGUGAUAUUCAUUUGGUAUCCAUGCUCGAUUAAUCAAUUGCCAUGAUUGCUUCAUUUUAUUAGUAGAGACCCGUUUUAGGGACUUAGAAGGGUGCUACGGUCUUUACCGUACCUUCCCGAUAAGUAACCUGACCCCCGAACCCGAUCCGGUUUUUCGUAGACCACCUUUUCCAAACUAAGGAGUCACACUUAAGGUUUUUUUCUUUCUUAUUUUGUUUACCCUUUAAAAAUAAAACAAAAAUAAGUGGCGACUCCAAGUCAUUUUUUUUAACCGAUUAAAUCAUUUUUCAAAAUAAAAAUCGAGCUCGCCAUCGAGUAGGGAACGCAUGAGCCGAAAUGCGGGGUCCACAAAAUGGCGACUCUGCUGGGGACACUUUUAGAGGGUCAAGCUUGAACUUAGGAUGAAGCAAAUGUGGCGUUUGAUGAUUCGGUCAGUGGAUACCUAUCUCUUGAUUGCACAUUGAGAGUUCCCGAUACUAUUGGAUGCAUGCUUGGGUGUUUGUUUUUACUUGGGACAUUGACAUGUUGACUAUGAUGAUUAUUUAUCUUGAUUGUGCAUUCUGAUUGUGGCGUUUUUUUUUCGUGCUUCAUAGCUAUAUAUGUUUGGGACAUUGAUAUGUUGAUUAUGUUAAUUGAUCAUCUUACCUUACUUAGCAUAGUGACUCUGAUUUUGCCAUGUUUGCUCUGAUUACCUCACAUAUAUAGACUCACCAUUGUAUAUCAUUUGAUUUGACAUGAUUGAUUCUCUCAGUUAUAUAUUAUCUUGUUUAUCAUAGAGCAUGCUAUCAUUUGUCAGAUAUUCUUCUUGAUUAGCUUGUGUGUAGAUUUGGAUGAUAUAUACCUGUUUUGCAUGACUGUCUGUUGCAUGACUCUUCUCAUCCUGAUGCGACUGCAUGAGUUGUGUGUCUAUGUGGAACACACACUUAUCCCCUUAUUUCCAAGUCCCUAGUCUCGGUCGACAUUGUUUUCCUUGCUCUCAUAUUUGAUAUGAGACUUGUUUGCUUUGUUUGCUCUUCGACCGAGCUAGUGAUUAGGAGUAGGGUUUAGCGAUGGGCUAUAUCUAUGAUUGGGAGCGUUCUGGAGGUGGUCAACAUAUUGAUGCUGAUUGGAGUCUGAACUUUGAAGACUUGUAUAGCCCAAAGCUAGAUUUCAGGAUAUUUGUGUGACCAGUGUGUCUUAUUUUAGUUUCAUAGGAUUUUCAGAUGCACCCACACCUUUCACUGUGCACUCUAGUUGACCAUUGAGCGUUGAGAGUUAGGAGAACUUUCACCAUAGGAGCCCCCUGGGAUGCGAGAUAGUGCAUGUGUGGAGGUGAUGACCCCCUUGGAUAGAAGUGCCCCGUCUCUUUGGAGGCGUGCAGAGGGUUGCAUACGCCGGAGGGUACGAUCGCUUCUGCUAGGGAUCCUUUAAAGUCCACCAUUUUUCUUUUUAGAGCCACCUUGACCUCGUAGGUUGAGCUGUAGAUCCUUCGAUUAGGACUUCCUUCCCUACACGUGAGUGCAUCUGAGGGCCUUCAAAGCCUCUUUAGUUACAGUUCGGAUCCAAUACUUCCUCAUUUGGUCUUCAGUUGAGAGUGCUUAGAGAUCAGUGCGAGUUUGAGAAUCAGUUGGACCACCCCUUAUUGUAUGGUUUUGGUUUCUUCUUGUCGCUCAUUGAGUUUAGCACACUUUCUUCCUAGGACUUUAGAUAGUCUUCUUUUCUUAGGCUGACACAUUCUUUCAGUUUGUUGUCACUUUCUACUUAAUGUUUUGAGAUAUGUUCAUUGAUUAUGCUCACUUUUUUAUAUUCUUCACCUACCAUGGGCUUGAUACUUCAUUCUUUGGUUGAGUCGCCUGAUUCUAUUUUCAACCAGAUUUUCAUUACAAAAAGGUGAAAGGCAGGUUUUCACAUUCACACCAUUUUUUUUGAGAUGUUCGCCUUUACCACCUAAUCAUUUUUCUUUAUUGAGUUUGUGUUGAAAGUGAAUCAGAGAUAUUGUGUUAUAGAUGGAGUAUCGAUCUCAUGACAGUGUUGUUUUUCACACCUCAUUCAUUUUUUGGAUCAUUGAUAGAAAUUCUUUAGUCACAUUUGUAGCCAUUUCACAGUGGACACCUUUAUGACCUUAGAGUUUCUGUCAUAUUUCCAGUUAUAGAUUGCCAUCACAGGACCAUAUAUCAAAUGAUGUGUUGUACUUUUGACUUAGGACAUCUAUUCAUUUGCGCGUCAUGAUCACUCUAGUCUGACCUAUCAUGGAGGAUAUUGAGCCUUUUGACCUAGGAUUAGGAGAUUGACCUAGGGAGUUCGAGACUGUGACCCAUUUCACCUUCCGCUUAGAGCAGUACCAUAUCCAUAUCCAUACCCUGACUCUGUGGACUUGUUGACCUACCCAUUUUGAGCCUGACAUGACACCACCCCUUGGCACCAUUACAUGACUUUACUACCCUUGUUCGCCUUAUCAUGCUACAAUACCAUUGCCUUUCCUUUCCAUCAUUUCCUUGAUCUGACUAGGUAGAGUCCGAGAUGGUUAGACCCGAGGUGAGCUUUACAUGAUGAUAGAUGGAUCGUGAUGAGAGAGUGGCUUGACUGUUUGACGAUAUUGUUGAGAUGGAGGGGUUAUCAUGGAGCAUCCAGAUUCGAGCCAUUGCACAUGACUUCAGAGAGUCGGGAUGAUUAGACAUGGUGAUUUUAUGAGAUGAUGGUGAGUGGCUUGUGAUGAUAGAGUGAGUUGAUUUUCAGAGUACAUUGAUGGUUGUCAUAGAGCAUCGGUGGGAGCUUUCGCACAAUUUCAGAGGAGUCGCCAUGACUAUGUUGGAUGGAUGCCAGUCUUUAGUAUUGGCCAUGUGAGAUCUCGAAAGCACGAUGUUCGAGGUUUUGGUCAAAGGAUGGGUGGCCAUCAUUUCAUGAGCCUACUUACUUUAUUACCCUCACAUAUAAAGUUACCCGUUGCUAGCCCUUUGAGCCUCACACGAGCACAUAGCCUUUUCUUUCAUCACCUCAUUUACCUAUUACACCGGGUUGGAGACCCUAUAGUGCUUGCAUGCUAUGUUUGGAUACAUCAUGAGUUCCAGACCUGACAUACAUAUUCAGGCAUCAUUCCUCACUCUUCAUUGUGAUAUUUUCCGUUUGGACAUCAUUUCAUCACUAUUUUCCGAUAUCACAUACCACCACUUGUGAUAUUUGUUCUUUGUCUUUUCCUUUCCUCAUUGAUUACUCGACAUUAUUCGUGUUUCACCUUGAGUGGUGGUUUUUCACACGUCACUGCAUGGAGGAUUGUCACAUUCUUUCCUAUCAUUCACCCCAUGGGCAGUGGUUCAGAGAUGUUAUUUUGAGAGGUUGUCUUGUUAGUGAGGAUUCAUGUUACAUUCGUAUGUGGAGAGGGUUUGAUCAUUUGGGUAUGUAUUUUCAUGGGAGUUCAUUCAUUAUUGAUUAGAGUAUGCGCAAAAAAAAAAAAAAAAAGAGGCGCAUUCUUCAUUGUAUCAUUCUCCAUUGGGCAUGUGUAUGGACGUGCCGGUUUGCUUCAUUCAGUUUAUGUGUCAGAGAGAGUUCGUAUGAGAGCUUAUUUAUGAGAUUCUAUCUUGGUGUAUAUUUCGAGUGAGAGUAUGAGUCAUCCAUUCGAUUUUUGUGAGAGAGACGAGCGACUUUUCUUUAGUAUCUCUGGAUCCUUGUUCUAUCCAUCAUUCCAUCUAUUUCGGAUGUGACUACUUUCUAUGCUUUGAUGCAGGAUGACCAUCACUCAUUUUUCUACCUCUUUGUUUUCUUGUAUCUUUGUUUUGUUCCUCCAUUCCACUCUACCUCAUCUGAUUUCUUUCUUUUCUCAUCCUUCUUGAUGUUUGACUUGAGUUCAGCAUCUACACUUUAUUCUUGCUUAUUCGAUAUGUUCAUCCCUUUAUCAUCACUUUUGGUGUAGGGACCCCUAGAUUCGGGACUCAUGACGUUUUCUAUGCAUUGCAUUUCAUGCACGAGGGGGUAUGGGGAUUAUAUCAUUGGGAUCUUUGAGCCUAGUUUCCUUUCAUUUCUUUCACUCUAUUACCUUAGCCUACGUUACGUCCCGUGUCCGAAGACCACCCUGAGGCCAUUACUUUACAUCGUGUUUGACAGCUCCCAUGUGGGCAAUACUCGAGCUUGGUCGGAGAUUAUUUCUCAGAGCAUGAUGGAUGGGGAGUUGAGAUGAUGAUUUACAUUGGGCCAUACCCCUCUUAUCAGUGAUGGAUUUUCAGAGGUGACAUUAUCUACACUGGGGCAUACCCCGCUCAUCGAUGACAGUUUCUUAGUGGGAUGACGUUUUGCACUGAGGCAUAGUCAGUUGGUUUUUUCACUCGGUUUAUGAUGGAUUGGGAGUUGUGGGAUGACCCUACACUGGGGCAUAGCCAUUUCAGAGGGUGUUUUUAUUGGAGAUACAGUCACUCUACUUGGUAUUCUGCAUUGGGACACACUCCUCUCAUUGAUGAUGGAUUUUUCGAGAUGAUGGCUUAUUUUGAGACAUGAUUGCUUCAGAGAUUGUGCGUGCAUUGAGGGAUGACAUUGACCUUGUUCUGAGGACACAUACUGAGGCAUAGUUGUCUCAUUGGUGAUGGACUUUGAUUGUUCAUUGGAGCAUAAUCACUUCAGUUGGUUUAUAUCGGGGCAUAGCCACCACAUUCACAUUCAUGGAGCCCGGGGAUUCUGAUUCAUAUGGAUUACGUUGAGAUGUUUCCGUUUUGGCACCAGGGGUAGAGGUUGAUUGAUUUGUUGACUCGGAUACACUAUUUUACAUUAGGGCGUAGCCGGGAUGGAGAGCAUUUUUCAUUGGAGCAUAGCCACCCUAUUUGGAUCCUUUACAUUGGGGCAUGUCCAUCUUUUGGAGGGAGAUCAGAUUGGUUCUUGACAUUGGAGCAUCUGGCGAGUGAUAUGGAGAUCAUUGGAUUAUUUCAUGUUGUUCCCAUUGCAUACUGGGGCAUAGCCGCCUAGUUGGAUGUUUUGACAUCGAGAUUUGACUUCCUAUUUGUGAUUACUGCUUUUCGAUGGAUUAUGGAGCUGUUGAUACCUCGGGUUUAGUCUUCUUGUCAUACUUGGACGAUCUCGGAUACAUACCUUUCAUCUCGUACUCAGUUAUUUCACCUUGGAUACUUUCAUGCCUUCCAUCAUACUAGAGCCUGAUCAUCACCUUAUUUUAUCCUACACAUCCCACCGUGACGCAUGACCUCACCCUUUUCUCAAUUAGGAGGAGACGUGGAUCAGUCCUCGAUCACCUUGGUUGUGUUGUCAUACAUCUUUUGGACUUUAGGUUCAACAUCUUCCAUGAUGGUAGGGCCUGACAGAUUGCCGAUUUAUUAGUGAUGAUGCUUUCAUUUUGACAGUUGGCACGAUGAGUGUUGAUUUUUGUUUGCUCUUUGCAUUUCGAGCAUUGGUCAUCAUUGUUUUAUUCAUCAGUUAGUUUUGUAGUGUCAGCAUGGUGUCACGAUGCAUGGUCCUAUUUGGCAUUACCUAUUUGAGGUUGGGCAUUUCCGUUACUUGAUGGAUGAGCAUAUUUCAGAGCACAGUAGUUUUGAGACAUUGUAUAUCUUAGUCUGUUUACUGUCACAUACUGGGGCAUACCCUCCUUCCCUGGAUCACUAGACCUUCCACAUGUUUCAUUCACUUUUCGAUCUAGUUGUUGACCCCUAAGAGUUGCAUAUUGAGGCAUACCCUCAUUCCCUAGGAUCAUUGGACCUUUCAUAGGCUUCAUUAUCUUUUGACCUAGUUGUCGAUCCUCAUGAGUUGUCAUACUAGGGCAAAUCCCCUCCAACCGAGUCUACUUGUAUCUUCCUCUUAGUAUCCUCUGACUUUGGGCCACUUGAUCAGAUCAUUGUCCUUUUCAGUUUACGUUUUCGGGACCGCACCUAUAUUGAUCGGUCAUCUUCUUGUCAGUUUGGGUUUUUGUCUUCGGGACCGCACCUAUAUCGAUCGGUCAUCUUCUUGUCAGUUUGAGUUUGCGUUUUCGGGACCGCACCUAUAUCGAUCGGUCAUCUUCUUGUCAGUUUGAGUUUGUGUUUUCGGGACCGCACCUAUAUCGAUCAGUCAUCAUCUUGUCAGUUUGGGUUUUUAUCUUUAGGACCGCACCUAUAUCGAUCGGUCAUCUUCUUGUCAGUUUGGGUUUUUGUUUUCGGGACCGCACUUAUAUCGAUCGGUCAUCUUCUUGUCAGUUUGGGUUUUUGUCUUCAGGAUCGCACCUAUAUCGAUCGGUCAUCUUUUUGUUAGUUUGGGUUUUUAUUUUCGGGGCCGCACCUAUAUCGAUCUGUCAUUUUCCAUGUCAGUUUGUGUUUGGGGCCGCACCUAUAUCGAUCGGUCAUCAUCUUAUUAGUUCGAGUUCAGUUUGAGUCGGGGCCGCACCUAUAUCGAUCGACCGUGUUCCUAUCACUUUCAUGUUCAGUUCGAGUCGGGACCGCACCUAUAUCGAUCGGUCAUUUUCUAUGUCAGUUUGUGUUUUCGGGCCCGCACCUAUAUCGAUCGGUCAUUUUCCAUGUCAGUUUGAGUUUGAGUCGGGGCCGCACCUAUAUCGAUCGGCCAUCUCCUUGUCAUGUUAGUUCAGUUUCAAUCGGUCAUCAUCUUAUCAGUUUGAGUUUGAGUCGGGGUUGCACCUAUAUCGAUCGGUCAUCUCCUUAUCAUGUUAGUUCAGUUUUUUUCGAGACCGCACCUAUAUCUAUCGGUCAUUGUUUUAUCAGUUUGUGUUGGGUCUUGUUCGCCUCCGAGUUGCGCCUACGUAGUUGAGUCUUGUUUUAUAGUUAGUGAUUCGAGUCGUACCCUGUGUUUGGAGAGUAGACCUUAUUAUCUUAUUUUUCGCAUGAUGUACUCUCAUUUCACUUAGUGAUAUUGUUGUUUUCUUGGGUAUGUGUUUUUGUCUUCUUUUUAUUAUUAUCAUUGUUUCGUAUCAUGCAUUUUAUGUGUUGUUAUUUUGAGUAGCAUCGUGUGUCACUUUGUUUUUGUCUCGUGCAUGUGUUUGCCUUAGAGUCUUGGACAAUUUUAGUGUCGUGACUGGUCCCCGAGCAGAUAUUGAUGGUAUGAUGGUUAUGAUACAGAGCACAUUGAGAUUAGACUUCUUUAGUUGAGGUUCACCAUGUCAGACGAGAUCGCACCCAUUACUCUUACUACUCUUUAUGAGAUGAUGGUGGAUUUGACACAGAGGGUUGAAAGGAUUGAGCUUAUUUUGUCAGAGCAUCCAUCGUCAUCGAGAGGAGCUCCAGGAGUAGCGAUGCCUUCAUCGCCACAUUUAACUUCACCGACAUUUGUUACUUUGGGUGCCUCGCAUCCACGACCUCGCCCGCAUUCAGUGCUCCAGCAGCAUUCCUCGUCCAUUUCAUUGGCUACGUCGACAUGACCUCCAUCCCGGCUUCGGGGCCCUCUAGUUAUUACAGUUCCUCAGGAGCGACUUUACCCUCGUCGACGAUGUCGGAGACACUAUUCAGACUUGAGCACACCCCUGAGCAAAGUUUUUGAGACGUUCCAGGCCAUGGGAUUUUUGGCUCCUCUGGCUCCUAGGGCACUUCCAGAUCCUGUGCCUUCCCAGUUUCGACUUGAUUUAUAUUGUACGUACCAUCAGUCAGCAGGGCAUCACACUGAUCGUUGCACUGCUCUACGACAUGCCAUAUAGGACAUUGUUGAUUUUAGGACGUUUGGGCAUCCUCAGUCCGAUAUGUUUCCUAUUCCUACCUCAGCUCAGGCCAUGCAUGCAGACUCCCCUUUACCAACAGUCCCUGAUCUUAUUGAUUUGGGCGAUUGACUCAUGAUUGGCUUACCUUGGUACAGUGGUGCUCAGUUUUUGUUCCUUCUAUGGCCAGAGAUGUGAUGACAGGACCAGUCACUGUUUUUGUUUUUGUUUGUUUGGUCUUGUUUUGCUUUUGACUUUUAGAGACUGUAACUCGAUUCUUGAGUAUUGUCUUUGUUAUCCUUCUUUUGCAUGAUGUACUCAUCGGUUAUCUGAUGCGACUCAUGGUAGCUUAGCUUUAAAGGCAUAUCAACAAAAUUUAUACCUUAAAUACUAUUACUAAAGUAGCCAAGCUACUAUAGCAUAGUGGUUCUAGGAUCGUUCACUGGGAAGGGUUUUCGCAAACACAAGUGAUAUUCAAUUUAGGAAAAUAGGUGAUUUUCUUAUGGAUGUUAGCUUUAAAAGAAAAUGUAAAUGUUUUAGAAAGAUUUAAACUAAUUUAAGCUAACAUUAAAGACUAAAAUGAAAGGGUGUAAAAACAAGUUUCUCAAAGAUAGGAUAGCUAUGCUCUGGCUCUUAUGCAAAUUGGAAAUCUCAGGAUAGGCUCCUCGCGUUGGGGUUGCAACUAUGGUGAUGUUUGCUUCCCGAACCGGUAUGGAUUUAGCAAAUCAAGUUUUAAUCCUUUAAAAUGGCAAACAGAUGGCAGUGAAUUUCAUCAGUGGUUAUUCACCUUAGACUUCCUUUGAAUGGCUCGUAAGAGAUAACUAGUAGUCUAAAGCUAAAAGCUUACCAAAUAUUGGCAACUCAAAGUCAUUCUAGGUGAUAAACUCACCUUUCAAUGGCCAUUGAAAUUGGUUCUAAUGGAUUAAUCCAAAACUUGGAAUUGAAAACCUCACCUUCCAAUAGCUCGUAGGAGAUAACUAAUGGAUAGAAAUCCAAAAGCUUAUCAAGUAUUGGCCGUUGGAAGUUGUCCAAAGGAAAUAAAAAACCAAACUUUGCAUUAAUGAACCAUUAAUGAAAAACGACUACCUUACCUUCCGGGUGCGAGAAAUUUCCAUGGGAUUGCAUCCAAGCCAUCACAUAACAUCCAUACUUUGAGAAACUUAAAAGGUUUUAGCCUCUCAUCCUUGGGGAUUUCAUCCACCAAGGAUGUUUGGCUACUAAGAAAAUAGAAAUGGGGAAGAACCGGAGAAGAGAGAAAAAAAAGAACUUUAUAUAUUUCUAUAUCUAUAUAUCAAUAUUUGUUACAACGGAUGCAAGGGGAUAUAAAUAGAGAAGUUUUUCCAACCUUCCUAGCUAAUAAAUCUUAUGAUUGGUGGAUUACAAGGAGAAGAAUGGAAAUUUAUACAAAAAUAUCUAAAAGAAAAGAUCUAAAGUGGAGUCGGCAGAAACAGGGGAAAAUUCGCACCACGCAUGGGGUGUGCGAAUGGUGUGCGAGUUUCGCACACCGUUCGCACAGCUGAGGGGGUGUGCGAGUUUCGCACAAGCCUGGAGCAGUUUUUUUCGAAGGCCAUAUCUUUCUCGUUUCAGCUCCAAAUCAUACACGGUUUGAAGCGUUGGAUUCUUGACUUCCUGAGCUUUGAAAUGGUAUAUAGCAUGUAGAAAAUGGACUUCGGGAAGUGCUCAAAAAGUGCCAAAGAAGACUGCAGCUGCUGUCCUCUAUUUUCCUCUUUGCUUCUUUUUGCUUCUCUUUGCUUCUCUUUGCUUUUCUCCUUUUGUUGGCUUGCUUUGGUGUAGCUAAAAGCUUGCUUUAACUUUUCCAAGUAGCUCCUCCAUCAUUUGGCAUGCUUGAAUUGAUUCAUAAGCUGAUAUAAACAUGUAAACUUGCCACAAAAUGGUUAAAACCAAUUACUAAGGACCUUAAUGAAUUAAUUGGGUUAAAUGAGUAUGAUUACUACUCAAAGGUGCUUAAAACCAUUAUAAUUAGGUCUACAAAAUAGCACUUUUUGGUAGUAAUCAUUAUCCCAUUGGCUGUCUUUUUCUUUAUGGACAUAUGCUUGUGUUUUGUGAUAUGAUGUGUUGUUCUUUUUACUUGAGGCAUCUCUUCACUUGCACAUUGUGGUCUUGAGGCUUGACCUGUCAUGGAGGAUAUUGAGCCUAUUAGCCUAGGAUCAGAGAUUUGACUUAGGGAGUUCGAGACUGUGACACAUCUUCUUAUGAUCAGAGCAGUACCUUUCUCACUUCCCGCACCUUGUCUUUGUUUUGAUCUACAUUCAUCCAUCCAUUGUGAGCUUUGCACAGCAUCACCCUUGUGACCAUUAUAUGACCUUUCCAUCCUCGGUUUUCCUAGCUUUACACAUCCCUUCUCUGAUUCGACCAGGUAGAGUGUGAGGAGUUUGAGCCCAUGGUUGAUCUGGCAUGGCGAGAGUUGGCUUAUGAUCUUUGGGUGGCUUAUGAUAAGUGGAUUGGUCGAUUGCUUGAUGAGACUGUCACUUAUUUUGUCGUGAGUAUAGAGAUUGAUAUUGUAUGAUGAGAGUUGGCUUGUGAUGGGCAGUAUUGCUUGAUGAGAUCACCGUUUACUUUGCCUGAUGAGUACGGUUGAUACAUGAUUCUAGAGGGUUGAUGUGGUUAUAUCAGAUGGACAUCGAUCUUUAGUAUUGAUCAUUUGAGGGCUUGAUAGCACGAUGUUUGAGACCGUGGUCGCAGGAUGGGUGGCCUUCAUUUCGGUUAGCUCACACCCUAUUACCUUUAUUGACAUCUAGACCAUUGCUAGCCCUUUGAGCCUCGCAUGAGCAUCAUAGCCUUUUAUUUCUUAUAGCCUUGCUCACCUUCUACAUCGGGAUAGGGGCCCUUCAGUGUAUGCAUGCAUUGUUUAGGAGUUUCAUGAGCCUUGGACCGAGGGGCACAUCUUUCUCAUUAUCUUUUCCUAUCAUUGCGUCAUUACAUUUCAUCACAUCUCGUUGGUUCUUCAUCCUCUUCUUUAUUAUAUCUAUCAUUUGUUCCGCUUCAUUUUCUUCCACCCCGAGUGGUAAUCCUCCUCAGUUCAUUACAUGGAGGGUAGUCAUGUCAUUUUCCACCAUCUAUCCUACGGACGUUGAUCCGGGGAUCUUAGUUUGAGAAGGUCACAUCAUCAGAGAGAGUUUAUGUUACAUUGACGUUUGAGAGCAUGUUUAUCCAUUUUUUACCUCAUCUUUGUGGCUUAUUGGUUUGCGUUCAGAGCAUGUAUAUUUGUAUGUAUGUAAAAAAAAAAAAAAAAAAAAAAAAAAAAUGAAAAAGAAAAAAAAUGAAUGAAAAAUAAAUAGGUGCAUGGGUGUAUAUUAUUCUCUAUCAUUGAGAGUGUAUAUCAGUGUUCGAGAGUCGCUUUGUUGGAUAUGUCUAUUGAUGGGAGUUUGUAUGUGAGCUCCCUAAGACCUUUCAUUCUUCGUAUUCAUUUUGUUGUACAUUUUGAGAGUGAGAUGAGUGGCCUUCUCUUAGGAGCUUUGGGUCAUUGUCCAUUCCAUCAUUGCAUUCAUUAUUGACAUGACCUCCUUUCAUAUUUGAUUUGAGCAGAUCAUCACUUGUUCUCGUAUUCUAUGCUUCAUUAUCAUCCUCGUUUUCAUUUCUGAUUCAUCAUUUUUAUUUAACCUCUUAUUCCGUUCUUACAGUGACCUCAUUUUCGGGUUUGAUACCCUCUUCGCAUCAUCAUUAUACAUCUCGUCAUCAGUUCGGUUUUUUCUUCAUUGCAUCAUCAUUGUUACCAUGUUCACAGUAGGCAUUUUCAGGUCCAUGGCUCACGAUAUUUUCUAUACAUGUUGCAUUUUAUACAUGAGGGCAUGAGUUUUGAUCAUUGGGUAUUUGGGCUUAGUUUCCCUUCAUUUCUAUCACCCUAACCUUCGUUACGUCCUGAGUCUUAAGACCACCCUGAGGCCAUGACAUCACACAUUGUGUUUGAUAGCUCUUAUGUGAGCGAUACUUGGGAUUGAUUCAAGAGCAUUUUGAUUGUGAUGGACCAGGAGUUAUGGUAUGGCCUUACACUGGGGCAUAGCUAUCUUAGAGAGUUUUUUUUUUUUUAUCGGAUGACCAUUAUGUCGAGGCAUACUCUUCUUAGUCGAUGGCGGAUUUUUGAGCCAUGUCCAUUCCUUGGAGGAUAUCGGAUGCCCUUUUUCACAUUGGAACAUGAGACAUGAUUGACGCAUUUCAUCUGGUGUACUUUACACAGGGGCAUACCCCCCUUUUAGUCGAUGAUGGUUUUGAGGCGUAGCUGUUCCUUGGAGGUGGUCAGAUUUCUUUCACAUUGGAGCAUGAGACAUGAUUGGCGCAUUUCAUCUGGUGUACUUUACACAGGGGCAUACCCUUUUUCGGUCGAUGAUGGUUUUUAGGCAUAGUUGUUCUUUCAAGACGAUUAGAUUCAUUUCACAUUGGAGUACGGGAUAUGAUUGGUUGAUAUCUUUGACGUGAUCACAGGAGCAUAGCCUUCUCAUCAUUGUUGACAUUUUUUGAGAUGAUUGGAUCGGGACACGGGCGCUUAUGAGAGCAUGCAGCGGAGUUUAGUCAUUUCAGGGUUUGCCCUAUACAGGGGCAUAAGCCUUUCAUUGGCGGUUGAUCUUAGAGAUACCAGUUCACAUUGGGACAUGUUUUUUUAGAGGAGGUCAGAUACUCUCUUCACGUUACCAUGAUGACUUUGAAGAGGAGAGAUCCAUUUUGAUCAGAUGAUGUAUAUUGGUUGUACUCCUCUCAUUGAUGUUUGAUUCAGAGAUGCUUGCACUGGGGCAUAGCCCACUCAUCGAUGAUGAUUUUGUGAGAUGACAGUUUAUGCCAGACACAUACUUCCUAAAUUUUAUCUUGCACUGAGGGCUUACCCAUUUUGGGAUGAUGCAUUCAUACUGGGGCAUAGCCACCUUGUUGAUUUUGACAUUGAGACUCCACUUUCUAUUUAUGAUUACAGCUUUCGAUGGAUCAUAGAGUCAUUGACACCUUGGGUUCAGUCUUCUCAACAUAUUUGGUCCGAUUUGGAUAUUCACUUUCCUUUGUUACACACCCAUACAUCCUACAUUGGACACCAUUAUACCUGCACCCAUCUUAUCAGAGCCUUACAUCUUUUGAGCCCACAUAUUUCAUCGUCUUACAUGACCUUAUCCCAUUCUCUUUAUCAGAGGAAGAUACAGACUAGUCUUGAGCUUUCUGGUUGAGUUUUCACAUGCCUUUGGACAUUAGGUUCAACAUCUCCCAUGAUGGUAGGGCCUAUUAGAUUGUUGAUGCACUUGUGAUGAUGUACUCAUAUUGAUAGUUGACAUGUCGUGUUUUGAUUUGCUUACAUUUCAGACCUAGAGUUUUGGUCAGCAUUUGUUUAAUCCAUUAUUUUAGUUUUGCUUUGUCAGCAUAGUUUCGAUGAUGCUUGGACUUGUUUUAGCAUUUGUUCAUUGAGGCUCUGUAUAUGUUUUUUCAUUGCAUCAUCAUUGGGCAUAUCCCAGAGUGUCUUGUUUGGUGACAUUCUAUGUCUUAUGUUGGUUACUAUCUUACAUUGGGGCAUACCCCCAUCCUUGAGUUCAUCAGACCUUUUGAGGACUUUCUCACUACUCAGUCUAUUUCUUGAUCUUUAUGGGUCGUCACACUGGGGCAUACCCCCAUCCUUGAGUUCAUCAGACCUUUUGAGGACUUUCUCACUACUCAGUCUAUUUCUUGAUCUUUGCGAGUCGUCAUACUAGGGCAUACCCCUUUAGCGCUUUUCUACUGGGGCAUUCCCCCAUCUUUGGGUUUAACACAUCUCGUGUAGGUUUCAUAGUUGUCUGACUCAUUUGUCGAUCUUUAUGAGUUAUCACAUAGGGCAUCCCCCUACUGUCAGUUUGUUUAGGGCAUCCCCCUACUGUCAUCUUGUUUAGGGCAUCCCCCUAUUGUCAUCUUGUUUAGGGCAUCCCCCUACUGUCAAUUUGUUUAGGGCAUUCCCCUACCGUCAAUUUGUUUAGGGCAUCCCCCUUCUUUCAGUUCUCACCACCGUAGAUCAGACAUCUAUGGGCUCGUUUCAGUUUUCACCACCAUAGAUUUUCGUCUGUGGGCUUUGAUUAGUUAUAUCACCACCAUAGAUCGGACAUCUAUGGGCAUUUCAGAUUUAUCACCACCAUGAACUAGCUAUCUAUGGGCAUUUCAAAUUUAUCACCACCAUGGAUUAGCUAUCUAUGGGCAUUUCAGUUAUUUCACCACCAUGGAUUUUCAUCCUUGGGCUUUCGAGAUUAUCACCACCAUGGAUCAGCUAUCUAUGGGCAUUUCAGUUAUUUUACCACCAUGGAUUUUCAUCCUUGGGCUUUCGAGAUUAUCACCACCCUAGAUUUUUAUCUGUGGGCCUUUGAGAGUUUCACCACCAUAGAUUGGCAUCUAUGGGCAUUUUUAUUGUAUCACCACCGUAGGUCUUCACCUAUAGGCUUUCUAGUUUAGUGUUUAGGUUUAGUUUUUUUGGUUUAGCUUCCAGAGCUAUUAUUUUUCUUAGUUUAGUGUUUAGAGUCAGUCUUGUCAUUCAGAGUCACAGCUCCUAGCGUUCAUAUUCACUGGCAUUGCACAUCUUACCCUCAUGGUUUUGCAUUCGUCAUCGGUUUUUCUCACUUCGUUACCCGGUGCUUAUCGCAUAUUCAUCUCGGAGUCCACAUAGGGCAAUCUCCUUUGGACACAUUCUUGUUCGUACUCCAGGGCGGUUCGACCGUUACUCAUAUUUAACAUCGAUCUUCGAGUCACUUUUGGAGACAUCUUAGAGGGAGCAUGGAUCCUUAGUGUGGCUUCAGAGGCAUUUUGAGACAUCUUUCUCUUUUAGGAUUAGAGACUUUGUGUUCGUCUACUAGCCUGAGUGAGUUUGCAUUUCACUAGUAUCCCUAUGGGGGUCUCCUUGGUUCUUCGGUAGAAUUCACUUCAUUCCACUCACUAUUCACACUUGCUUUUCACUCCAGUGUUCAUAUUCCUUACACUCGUGAGCUCUACCGAAGAGGGACAUAUUUGUAGACCCCCAUAUGGGGCUUGUUUUUUUUCAUUUGCUGCAGGUCACACUUCUUGCCAAGUGGAGGGCUCUUAAAGAGCCAGAUGCUGCUUCCUGGUUGGGUGGUCAGUGAAUCAGGUAGUAGGUUGGAAAUGCAAUGGGGUGUAGACACCUGUUGGAGGAUAUUCAGAAGAGCUUUUGGGCUGUUAGAGUGGAGUUGGAUGAUAGGAAGGUGAUCCAAGAAGGGGGAAACAGAGAAGAAGAGAGAGGGGAGUUUAGCUUGAGAGGAGAGUUUGGCUGGAGAGGACUGGUGGGAAGGAGGCAUUCCUUGGUUGGUUGCUUGAGAGGAAGGAGAGCUGUCCGAUUUCUUGCCCACCUAGCUGGAAAGAGUUAUUUUGAGGUACGUUUAUUGUGUAUUCUUCGUCAGCUUCUAUUGGUGUGCUUUUCUACUUUGUUUUUGCUGAUUCUCGGAUGAUGAUUGUUGAUUGGGAGUGAAUACGUUCAUAUUUUUACUAAUGGUUUUGUAGUGGUUUAGUUUGCUCUGGUUUUGAUUUCUCCAUGAGAUAUUUUUGUAACCACGUUUUACCUUUCAUUUGACACUCGUUUAAUCUUACCCACCAUCAUCUAAGCCUGUUGGUAUGAUAUGAAGCAUAGCUUGUCGGGCUCAUUUUCUUGUAUCUACUCUUUGUGCUCUGUUUUGUUAUCCUCCUCUGCUUUUGAUAUCCAUCCAUGGUAUGCAUCCAUUUUCUCAUCCUUACUUGAAGGAGAUCCUAGAAAAUCUGGAGUAGUUGUCAUGGCAGCAAAGCUCACCUCAUCAGCAUCCCCAUACCCAUUCUCGUUUAUUAUUCAUCGUUUUAUCCAACAUGCCUACGUCCCCAUCCAUCACUCCACUCAUAUUCCCGUUUAUCUUCAUCAUGCAUAAACCCCCACGCAUCUCAUACCGGGAGGUGAUGUCUCAAGAUGAUAUAGGAAGCUAGUAUUUGAAUUUGUGGAAAGAAGGGCGGAUUUAGUGGUCUCAUGGGAAUACUAUGGCAUGAGGGUGGUGGUUCUAUGCUGAAGAGAUGGUGGACAAUGGUGGAUGUUUCUGGUCUGUCUGUGUUACAAAUCAAGACUUUGGUCUAACAGUGAGGAGAACCAGAGGGACGCAGUGCAUGGAUGAUAUUAAAGAGACUGAUGAUCUUUUUAGACAGCUGAAAGAGCCAGGGAAUUCAUAUGAUAUGGUACAUUCGGGCAAUGUAAGCUUUAGAGUAGAUGCAGUCCGUGUUACUAAGUCAAUUUCGUCACCUCUCAAGGACCCAUUGAUAGAAGUGCACCUAACUUAUAAGUCUCAGGCCUUCCCAUUCGAAAAUCAUGUUGUAGCCAAUAACAGGGCAUCGGGUCAGAUUUCUAAGAAGCUGAAUGUUUAAAUAUCCGGUGUUAAUGAUAUUAUCAUAUGGGUAAAUCACUCUUCAACUCAAUAUCCGGAUGCCAACUAUGAUGCUGUCAAGACCCCUAACUGGUAAAAAGCCUGUGUGAAGGCUUGUGAAUGGUAGAAUGAAGAAUUAAUCACUACCAUAUUCUCACCCUUCAUGCCCGUUUAACCAUACCACCAAACCCGUUUCUCUCUCUAAACCUUCACCUACCUGUAGGAUCCUCCCUAAAAAAAUGCCACGUGGCUCUCUCUCCCUUGCGCAUGCAGACGGUCCCCUUUGCGACGCGCGGCAUAGCUCAUUCCAACCUGGGAAGAAUUCUGUCCGGCCGACAUUCAACCUUCUUUGGAUGUCUCACAUCCGAAAUUCUGUCCGGCUGACGUUCCACCUUCUCCGGAUGUAUCACAUUCGGAAUCCUGUCUGGCCGACGUUCCACCUUCUCCUGAUGUCUCACAUCCGAAAUUUUGUCCGGCCAACGUUCUACCUUACUCGGAUGUCUCACAUCUGGAAUUCUUCUCUACCGACAUUCCACCCAGGUAUCUCACAUUCGGAAUUCUUCUCCGCCGACAUUCCACCCGGAUGUCUCACAUCCAGAAUUUUUCUCCGUCGACAUUCCACCCGGAUAUCUCACAUUCGGAAUUCUGUCCGGCCGACGUUCCACCUUCUCCGGAUAUUUCGCAGCCGGCGCCUGUUGCCGGGUGAGAGAGGAGGACGAUUCAACUUCACCGGACAGACAUGUCCGGAUCCUCUAGUGACGCUUACCCGGACAGCUUGGCUCGUCAGACACUCGCGAUUCACCGAAUCUAUUUCCGCCCACAAUCAAAAGGCAAACUCCGAUAAUACCGACGACCAAGUCUCCUGAACUGUCACUCAUCUUUAAUGCAAGAUAGAUUGGGCUUUGGUGGGGCCCCACACGCGUGAUUUUAUGAUCGAUUGGUGGAUUGAUUGAUUUGAUUGCUAUAUGUGAUUGAUUUACACUAUUCUAUGAUACACACACGAUUAUCCUGUGUUUAAUUGCUAACAUUUGUUUUCAUCGAAGUAAAUCGGUUCAUCACCUAAGUACAUUCUUUGUCUCUCCUAUUCAUUCAGUUAUUUUGUUUCUGGUGAUAUUCAUUUGGUAUCCAUGCUCGAUUAAUCAAUUGCCAUGAUUGCUUCAUUUUAUUAGUAGAGACCCGUUUUAGGGACUUAGAGGGUUGCUACGGUCUUUACCGUACCUUCCCGAUAAGUAACCUAACCCCCGAACCCGAUCCGAUUUUUCGUAGACCACCUUUUCCAAACUAAGGAGUCACACUUAGGGUUUUUUUCUUUCUUAUUUUGUUUACCCUUUAAAAAUAAAACAAAAAUAAGUGGUGACUCCAAGUCAUUUUUUUUAACCGAUUAAAUCAUUUUUCAAAAUAAAAAUCGAGCUCGCCAUCGAGUGGGGAACGCAUGAGCCGAAAUGCAGGGUCCACAACAUUAUACUUGGAAACUUAUGAUCUAUUUUUUCUAUUUUAAAUGUAAUUAAUAAUAUAAAAAUUUAAUAUAUUUAUGAUAACUUUAACAAAAUUAAUUUAUUUGUAAAAAUUUAUUAAUUUUUACUAUUUUACAUAUAUAUAUAUAUACACACUAGUAGAAAGCACAUGUGUUGCACGUGAAGAUUUAUGUAGGUAUGCGAUUGUUGAUAUAUGAAAUUAAUGAAAUUACAUUGUACUUGUAGGAAAAUAGAUCAAAUAUAAUAUUAUUGUAGACAUAUUUGUGUCAUAAUCUAUACAUUUUGUAAUCCAUCAUUAUUGUGAUGUAUCAUUUAAGAAAAUUAACUUAGUUGUUUUCUUACAAAAGUUUGGAGGAAUUAUGAUCAUUAACUACUUGUUUGUCUUUGCAGUAGUCUGCACUAUAGUCUUUUUUUUUUCCUCAUGCAGAAAAGUUACACAUAUUUGAAAAUGUAUUAGUUGAAAUAGAAAAAUAAUGUUUCAAAAAAAUAUAUGGGCAAAAUAUUUCAACAUAAGCUAAUGGUACAUUACCUUAUAUUAUUUUUUGGGGUUUUUUUUUUUUUUUGCUCAUUUUUCUCUCAAUGUUUAUAAAUUUGCAUUGAAGAAAUAAGUUUUAUUAUUUUUAAAUUCAAUUUAGAAAAUGGUAAUAUUGUGAAAGUUACAUUCAUUUAUAAUGAUACCAACAUAUACUUACCUCAAUAAUAUAAAAUUAUUCUCUUUGAUGUUUCUUUUUCCAGAAAUGAGUUGGAAAUAAGAUAAGUUUUGUUUAUAAAAUUUCAAUUUAAUUAUUUUGGGCAAAAGUAUAUAAUAUAUUGGACAUACCUGUUAAGAAAGUUGACAUCCUAUGGUCUUUUUGAUGAGUUUGUUUAAUAAGUUUCACCUAACUAAGAAUAGUAUAAAGAUAAAUUUAUGUGUAAUUCUAUUAAUAUUGUUAUAUUAUCGAUAAAAAGAUACGUACCUGUGGACCCCACAUUUCGGGUCAUGCAUUUUCCACUCGAUGGCGAGCUCGAUUUUUAUUUGAAAAUGAUUUUAUUAUUUAAAAAAAAUGACUUGGAGUCGCCACUUAUUUUUGUUUUAGUUUUAAAAGGGUAAACAAAAUAAGAAAGAAACCCUAAGUAUGACUCCUUAUUUUGGAAAAGGUGGUCUAUGAAAAAUCAGAUUAGGCUCGGGGGUCGGGUUACUUAUCGGGAAGGUACGGUAAAGACCAUAACACCCCUCUAAGUCCCUAAAGUCGAGUCUCUACUAAUAAAAUGAAACUGACGUGACAAUCAAUAGCAAAAUUAAUGGAUACUCAAAUCGGUCAUGCACAUAUGGGAAUCAAAACAUGUAUAGAGAAUGACUAGAAUGGGAGUGGAUGGGUACCUGGGCCAUGAACGAGCAAUGCGCUAUCAUAAAAAUGGGGUCAAUGUACAAUAAAUAGCACAAAACAUAUCACAUGCAUCACCAAACAUAAAUUAAAACUGCUCGAGGGAAAAUUGGAUUUUUGAAAUUUAUUUGAAAAUUGGAGUUUUAGAGAUUAUUUGAAAAUUUGAGUUUUGGAGAUUAUUUGAAAAUUGGAUUUUUAGAAAUUAAAUGUAGGAAUGAGAAUUUUAGAAAUUAAAUUUGAAAGAAAUCAGAAUUUUGAAAAUUAUUUGAGAGUUUGGGAUUUUUUAAAAAUUAAAUUAUGAAAUUGGGGUUUUUGGAAAUUAAAUUUUAAAAGAAAUCAGAAUUGAAAAUUAUUUUAGAAGUAGAAACUAUGAAAAUUGAAUUAUAAAAAUUGGAAAUCUUAGAAAUCAUUCGAAGGUAGAAUUUUUAGAAGUAAAUUAAUAAAAUGAUAAUAAUAAUGAUAAUAAUAAGUAAGUAAUGAAAUAAAUGCGAGAAUUAGAAUAUUAGAAAUUGAAAAUUAAGUUCGGAAAUUGAAAAAUUGGAAUUUCAAAAAACUAAAUUUGGAAAUCGGAAUUUUGAAGAAUUAUUUAAGGACAUAAUUUUAAAUAAAUGAAUAAGUGAAUAAAUAAAUGAAUGGAAUAAUAAUAAUGACGAAGUAAUAAUGAUUGGAUGAAUAAUUGAGGAAGUUAGGAUUUCGGAAAUUGAAAAUUGAACUUAGGGAUUGGAAAUUUAAAGAAUUAUUUAGGGAUGAAAUUUUAAAUAUAUGAAUAAGUGAAUAAAUAAAUGAAUGAGAUAAUAAUAACGAAAAUAAUCAUUAAACAACAAAAUGUGAAUAGUGGAAUUUUUUAAAUUGAAAAUUAAAUUUGGAAAAUGGAAUUUUGAAAAUUUGAACUUUAAUGAUUGGAAUUUUUAAAAGAAAUAAAUAGAAUAAUAAUAAUAACAACGAAAGCAAUAUUUAAACGAAUGAACGCGAAUAGUGGAUUUUUUGAAAUUUGAAAAAUUCUUUAAAGAGGGAAUUUUUAGAAUAAACAAACAAAUAAAUAAAUGGAAUAAUAGUAAUAACGAGAAUAAUAAUGAUUAGAUAUAAUAAUUGUGAAAAUUGGAAAGUGAAUUUAGAAAUUGGAAAAUUGAAGAAUUAUUUAAAGAUGGAAUGUCGGAAAAUUAAAUAUUGAAAGCUGGAAACCCGAAAAAUUAUUUUAAGGCUAGAAUGUUGGAAAAUUAAAAUUUGAAAACUGGAAACCCAAAAAAAAUUAUUUUAAGGAUGGAAUGUCGGAAAAUUAAAUUUCAAAAACUAGAAACCCGAAAAAUUAUUUUGAGGAUGGAAUGUCGAAAAAUUAAAUCUUGAAAAUUUUGUUUUGAUAUCAAAAUGUGAAGAAAUAAUAAAAAGAAAUAUGAAUUAUGGUGAUCUUCACGUGCACGUCUCCAGUAUAAUGGCCAUAAACCCAUUUUAUAUAUUCUUUUCCACCACCUGAGCAAACAGCUUUUGCAUGAAGAUUGACGAGUGGGUGUGGAGGUUGGUAUGGCCAUGCAUGCGUGAGGAUGUGUUGGACGGAUAUGAAGGUUGGUGUGGCCAUGCAUGCGUGAGGAUUUUAAGGAUGGAAUUAAAUUUCGAAAACUGGAAACCCGAAAAAUUAAUUUUAAGGAUGGAAUGUCGGAAAAUUAAAUUUUGAAAACUGGAAACCCGAAAAAAUUUAUUUUAAGGAUGGAAUAUCGGAAAAUUAAAUUUCGAAAGCUGAAAACCCGAAAAAUUAUUUCAAGGAUGGAAUGUCGGAAAUAUAAAUUUCGAAAACUGGAAACCCAAAAAAUUAAUUUAAGGAUGGAAUGUCGGAAAAUUAAAUUUCGAAAACCGGAAACCCGAAAAAUUAUUUUGAGGAUGGAACGUCGAAAAAUUAAAUUUCAAAAACUGGAAACCCGAAAAAUUAAUUUAAGGAUGGAAUGUCAGAAAUAUAAAUUUCGAAAACUGGAAGCCCGAAAAAUUAAUUUAAGGAUGGAAUGUCGAAAAAUUAAAUUUCGAAAACUGGAUGGAAUAUCAGAAAAUUAAAUUUCGAACGCUGGAAACCCGAAAAAAUUAUUUUAAGGAUGGAAUGUGGGAAAUAUAAAUUUCGAAAACUAGAAACCCGAAAAAUUAUUUUAAGGACGGAAUGUCGGAAAAUUAAAUUUCGAAAACUGGAAAGCUGAAAAAUUAUUUUGAGGAUGGAAUGUCGAAAAAUUGAAUCUUGAAAAUUUUGUUUUAUAUCAAAAUGUGAAUAAAUAAUAAAAAGAAAUAUGGAUUGUGAUGAUCUUCAAGUGCACGUCUCCAGUGUAAUGGCCAUAAACCCAUUUUAUAUAUUCUUUUCCACCACCUGAACAAACAGCUUUUGCAUGAAGAUUGAUGAGUGGGUAUUGAAAAAUGAUGACAUGGGCAAGGUAAUGGAGUCAGCCACUAGCAGGAAAUAAAUAAAAAAUAAAAAUCCUACAGACCCAUUUAAUUCGACAUCAAACCAGAAAGCAAAACCAUGCAGUGGAGCUCACAUCAACUGUAUCACUCUUUCUUAUCAAACUUCUUUCGAAUAUAUCUAGGAAUUCUCUUUGGAAUUCCCAUUACCUCAGAAGGAAACAGAAUUCUAGAUGAGUUGUGACCCUAGUAGUAACCAUAUCUGGCUAAAAAAAAACCCAAAGACCGUUCUUUGGUCUUGGUCCAGAUGAUAUCUUCAAUUCCAAGAAACAAAACUCCCUCGGUUGGUCUGGAUUCCCUUACAGGAACUUGGGAAGCAUUCCGACAACAUGGAGAUGACAGUUGUUCAGUUAUACCAUUAUUUGUCACCUUGUUUUUUUUUUUUUUUUUUUUCAGCAAGCUUAACGUCUUUUCCAGUUCACUAACAUGUCUAGGAUGAUAUACUGGUAUUAGACAAUUUGAUAUAUCCGAAAUGACCUUCACAUUGUCCAGGUUCGAUGCAAUACUAAUUUCCUGUCUCAUAGCCAACCCAAACAUGAUACCCAACAUUCCAAAAGUGCACGAAACAGAGGAAGUGAAGAAAAACAGAGCAUAUACAAACGAAAAAGAUAGGAUUGAACUCGGCUCCAUUUCAUAAAGAUCAAUGGGCUGGAUACAGGUGCCAUAGGAAGGAAGCAAAAAAAAAAUGAUUUUGAUACAUCAAGCUCAGGGGAGAAAACAAAGCAUCAGGCAUUGACAAGAAAGAUAGAAAAAAAAAACACCAGAAACAAAACCAAAACAGAGAAUGCAUACAAAGGAUAGAUCCCUCAAAGCAAACAAGUGGCCUAGUAGUCAUACCUGUUGAGAAAAUUUGGAUACAAUGGAGAAAGGAAACACUCUCACACACUCACUUUGAUACAAUAAAACUCUCAAAGAUACAAAAUAAGAACAAGAAGAAGAAGAACACAAGAAAGGCUCAAACAAGUUCUUGGAACUUUGUCCAAAGACUCUAUUUCCUCCCACCUCUAGAAAUCUUUUUGGGAACUAAAAGGAAAUAGUCUUGGGAUUGAUCAAGCCUUUUCACUUUUCUGCAUAAGAUUUCAAAAAGAAGAAAAGUCAUAUAUAUAGCACUCUUAGGGUUGAAAAAAGGUUACAAGGAUGAGAAAAAACCCAUUGUCUUCCUCAAUCUCUUCAUCUUUGUAACAUUCAAAAUUAAAUCAUAUGUUUAAUUCACACAUUAAACAUGAUUUAAUCUCAAAUGUGUAACUCUCUUACACUUAACCUCUUAAGUUUAUAAAGUUACAAAGAUGAGAAGACUCAUUGUCUUCCUCAACCUUUCAAGUUUUGUAACAUUUCAAAACUUAAUCAUGUGUUUAAUUCACACAUUAAAAGUGUAACCCUUCUUACACUUUAUUUUCCAAAAGUUAUUUUCAAAAGUGUAACUCUUCUUACACUUUAUUUUUAACCAACAAUAUAUAUAUAUUUAUAUAAAUAUAACAAUCCCCCACUUGGUUAAAAAUAAACAUAAACCCUUAUAACCUUAACAGUGAAAAUGCAUAAAAUAAAAUAUCUUUCAAUUUGAAUUUUACCUUAGUGUAAUUGUCACAAAGCUCCGUUGAAAUCCCAGGUUGCUUGUAGCAUUGAACCAGUUAUUCCUUGUAACGAAACCGGUAACAACACACACACUUCCACUAACCACACGAGUGCCCAUUAUUUUCUUGCUUAGCACUUUUAUGGCCAUGUGCUCAAUCCAUUCAUGAACUUUCUUGAAAGAAACUCCAACUCUCAUGAGAGGCGGCACCACCCCUAAGUUCACAUAGGUGAAAUUUUUCCAGCAUUCUUGUUACUUUUAAGAUGCUUGUCACACAUAGACUGAAUUUCAUUAAAAGCUUUAAGCUUAACCCUCCAACGGUAACAACCAGCAUUAAUCAUCACAGAUGGAACUCACAUGUUCUAAUGCUGUCACAACCCACUUAUCAAUGACUUGUUUUUACCCAUUGAACUUAAGACUAGUCAUUUCGUAGUAUUAAGUUGGGUUACCAUCAUUGGUGAGUUUUAUUUAAGGAGUUUUAGUCCCAUCCCUCUAGAUGUUAUCCUUACUAAAUCUCUUGUAAGAGGUUUAGUAAAAGGAUCCGCCAAGUUUCCACUUGACCUCACAAAUGAGAUUGAGAUGAUUCCAUUUUGAAUCAAUUGUCUUACAUACUCAUGUCUAAUGCUUAUAUGUCUAGACUUCCCAUUGUACACUCCACUGUACGCACGAGCUAGAGUGGCUUGACUGUCACAAUGUAUCGACACUGUUGACACAUUAUUUGCAGUAAAAGGGAUGUCCAUCAUGAGAUCCCUAAGCCACUCAAGUUCUAUUCCAGUUGCAGCUAGAGCUAUAAACUCUGCCUCCAUGGCUGAGUGUGAUAUGCAAGUUUGUUUCUUGGAUCCCCAAGAGACAGCCCCACCACCAAGUGUAAACACCCAACCUGUGGUAGAUAAAUUAUCUCCCACACUCGAUAUCCAGCUUGCAUCUGAAUACCCUUCAAUUAUAGCAGGAAACUUUGAAUAUUGGAGGCUUAGUUCUUUGGUAUUCUUUAGGUAACCAAGAACUCUACCAAUAGCUUUCCAAUGUUCCACACUUGGAUUGCUAGUAAACCUACUUAGUUUACUAACUGCAAAUGAAAUGUCAGCCCUAGUACACUGAGCAGCAUACAUAAGACUUCCAAUUGCACUUGCAUACUCAAGUUGAGCCACCGAUCUACCAUCAUUCUUUUCAAGUUUUAUACUUGAAUCAAAUGGAGUAUUAGCAUCUUUAAUCUUGAGAUGACUAAAUUUGCUAACUACUUUCUCAAUAUAGUGGGUUUGGUUCAAAGCAUAACCCCCACUAUUUCUUUUCACUUUGAUACCCAAUAUAGUAUCAACUUCUCCAAGAUCUUUCAUCUUGAAGGUUGGGGAUAGAAACCUUUUCAUUUCUAUUAUUCCUUUCAUGUCAUCACUCAAGAUUAACAUGUCAUCCACAUAUAGACACACUAUGACCAUAUAGUCAUCACAAGUCUUAGAAUAUAAGCACUUGUUCACAUUGUUGUGUCUAAAUCCAUCCGAAAGAAUAGCAUGAUCAAAUUUUUCGUGCCAUUGUUUGGGAGCUUGUUUUAAACCAUAUAAUGAUUUGACAAGCUUACACACUUUGUUUUCAUUCCCCAGUAGAAUAAAACCUUCAGGUUGUUCCAUGUAGACCUCCUCAUUGAGAUCCCCAUUCAAGAAUGCCGUUUUGACAUCCAUUUGAUGAACAAAUAGAUCAUGAAUUGAUGCCAAAGCAAACAAUAUCCUAAUCGAUGUUGUUCUAGCCACCGGCGCAUAGGUAUCAAAAUAAUCAAUACCUUCUCUUUGUUUAAACCCCUUAGCUACUAAUCUAGCCUUAAAGGUUUGAAUCAUGCCAUCGGUGUGAUAUUUCCUUCAAAAUACCCACUUGCACCCUAUUGGUUUAGAUCCUGGUGGAAGGUCUACCAAUUCCCAUGUUUGGUUGGACAUAAUUGAAUCCAUUUCAUCAUUGAUAGCCUCUUUCCAAAAAGCAACAUCUCUAGAAGCCAUAGCUUCUUUGUAUGUUUUGGGAUCCUCCUCUAUUUGAAGUACUAUAGGAAUUUUUCUUAUAAUAUCUUCUCUAUUUCCUUCUACUAAGUAAAAGGAAAUUAUUUGAGAGUCAAUCUCAUCCGAUCCCAACACUUUCUCUUUUCUAGCUCUUUGGCUUUUCCAAGGCACAAUGGGUUGCUCAACAACCUUUGAAGGUGUCUCCUCUGGAGACUCUCCAACACUAGUAGGUACUUGAGAAUUGCUAUCACUCAACAAAUUCUCAAAGAACUCUACCUCUCUUGAUUCAAUUAUCACAUUAGACUCCAAGUCUAAUAGCCUAUAAGCUUUGCUAUUUGAGGCAUAGCCUACAAAUGCACACUUAACGGCUCUUGGACCCAAUUUUGAUUUAUUUGGAUCCGUUUUCUUGCAAUAAGCAAGACACCCCCACACUUUGAAGUAACCUAUAUUAGGCUUCCUUCCUUUCCAUAACUCAUAUGGAGAUAUCUCUUUUUUCUUCAUAGGAAUUCUAUUCAAAAUAUGGCAAGCAAUCAACAAAGCUUCACCCCACAAAUUGAAAUUCAAUUUAGCAUGCAAUAACAUAGCAUUCACCAUUUCCAAGAAUGUUCUAUUCUUUCUCUCCGCUAUGCCAUUGUGUUGAGGUGUAUAGGGUGCGGUGCACUCAUGUAUUAUGCCAUAUUCUUCACAAAAAGAAUUGAAUUCACUAGAGAAAUAUUCACCACCUGUAUCACUUCUAAGCACCUUAAUAUUUUUUCCUAGUUGAUUUUCAACUUCGGCUUUGUAAACUUUAAAGGCAUUGAAAGUUUCACUUUUGUUUUUCAACAAAAACACAUAGGUAAAUCUAGAACAAUCAUCUAUGAAUGUAAGAAAAUACCUAUUUCCACCUCUUGUUAACAUGCCAUUAAGUUCACAAAGAUCACUAUGUACUAAAUCAAGCAAAUUAGAUGAUCUCUCAACACUAUGAAAAGGCUUUUUAAUCAUCUUUGAUUUAACACAUAUUUCACAUUUUUCAAAUUUCUUGGUAUCACAAGCAAUCAAACCACAUUUCACAAUCCUUUUAAUAGUGCUUAAACCAACAUGUGCAAGCCUAUUAUGCCACAAAAAUAAAGAAUUUGAAUCACACAUAUAAGCGGAAGUAGAAGCCAUUUUAAUGAUAUUGUCAUUGGUACAAAGUUUGAUCAUCCCAUCACAAGAAUACCCCUUUCCCACAAAGUUCCCCGAUUUGGAUAAAAUUAGUUUACCGGAUUCAAACACUGCUUUGAUACCCGGUUUGCCAAGCAAAUCCCCACUAACCAAAUUUUUAUUCAUAUCGGGGACAUACAAUACAUUUAUAAGGGUAACCCUUUUUCCGGAGGUAAAAGCAACUUCAAUAGUGCCCUUGCCAAGCACUUUGGAUCUUCCUUCAUUGCCCAUUUGAACCUCUUGAUCUCCCUUUGCAUCUUCAAAGGUCUUGAAAAGAGAUUUGUCAUAGGUAACAUGAACUGUGGCACAAGUAUCAUACCACCAUCCUUGCACCUUUCCUUGGACAACGCACACAUCGCUUAGUGUUGUAAUGAUCUCCUCAUCAAUUGCAUUCACCACAGCCCCUUUUUGGUCAUUUCGGUACCUACACUCCCUAGCAUAAUGCCUGGGUUUUCCACACACAAAACAAGGACCUUUCUUGCCCUUAAAUUGCUCUUGAUUUUUCUUGGGGCUCAUAUAAUUUCCGGAAUUCCUUUUGUUAUUUUUACCUCUAGGAUGAUUGGCCUUUGAAACCGCAUUGGUUUUGUUAGUCCCACCAUUGGACUCUUCCACCAUUUUGUCUCUUGAUCUCGAUUCUUCCUCAAUGCGAAGAUGUUUUUGAAUCUCUUCCAAGGAGUAAUCUUCACUCUUGUGGAGAAUCCUCUUCCGGUAACCUUUCCAACUUGAUGGUAAUUUAGCCACAAUAGAACCAACUUGGAAGGCCUCCGGAAGUUCAAUUUUGAGAACUUUCAACUUAUUCACAAUACUUGCAACUCAUGAAUUUGUGGUAGAGAGGCUUUUCAUCAAAAAAUUNNNNNNNNNNNNNNNNNNNNNNNNNNNNNNNNNNNNNNNNNNNNNNNNNNNNNNNNNNNNNNNNNNNNNNNNNNNNNNNNNNNNNNNNNNNNNNNNNNNNNNNNNNNNNNNNNNNNNNNNNNNNNNNNNNNNNNNNNNNNNNNNNNNNNNNNNNNNNNNNNNNNNNNNNNNNNNNNNNNNNNNNNNNNNNNNNNNNNNNNNNNNNNNNNNNNNNNNNNNNNNNNNNNNNNNNNNNNNNNNNNNNNNNNNNNNNNNNNNNNNNNNNNNNNNNNNNNNNNNNNNNNNNNNUUGAUUGUUGAGAAAAUUUGGAUACAAUGGAGAAAGGAAACACUCUCACACACUCACUUUGAUACAAUAAAACUCUCAAAGAUACAAAAUAAGAACAAGAAGAAGAAGAACACAAGAAAGGCUCAAACAAGUUCUUGGAACUUUGUCUAAAGACUCUAUUUCCUCCCACCUCUAGAAAUCUUUUUGGGAACUAAAAGGAAAUAGUCUUGGGAUUGAUCAAGCCUUUUCACUUUUCUGCAUAAGAUUUCAAAAAGAAGAAAAGUCAUAUAUAUAGUACUCUUAGGGUUGAAAAAAGGUUACAAGGAUGAAAAAAAACCCAUUGUCUUCCUCAAUCUCUUCAUCUUUGUAACAUCAAAAUUAAAUCAUAUGUUUAAUUCACACAUUAAACAUGAUUUAAUCUCAAAUGUGUAACUCUCUUACACUUAACCUCUUAAGUUUAUAAAGUUACAAAGAUGAGAAGACUCAUUGUUUUCCUCAACCUCUUCAUCUUUGUAACAUUCAAAAUUAAGUCAUAUGUUUAAUUCACACAUUAAACAUGAUUUAAUCUCAAAUGUGUAACUCUCUUACACUUAACCUCUUAAGUUUAUAAAGUUACAAAGAUGAGAAGACUCAUUGUCUUCCUCAACCUUUCAAGUUUUGUAACAUUUCAAAACUUAAUCAUGUGUUUAAUUCACACAUUAAAAGUGUAACCCUUCUUACACUUUAUUUUCCAAAAGUUAUUUUCAAAAGUGUAACUCUUCUUACACUUUAUUUUUAACCAACAAUAUAUAUAUAUUUAUAUAAACAUAACAAUACCUGGAUGUUUUCCUCAAGCCAAAAGUUUCCUGGCCACCCGCUCUACUCUCCUCCUUUCCCUCUCCUGCUUCAGCCAAAGAACCCCUCUUUUAGAAAGAAUCCCCUCACCUCCAAAUCUCCCCUGUUUCCCCGUCUUCCUUAGCAAGCCACUACCUGCUCUCAUGUGCACCAUUCCGCCAAUGCGUCAUCCUCACCCACCACCAUGGGCGAGCCGUGCUCUUGGCCACCUGUCCAUGCAGCUUCUUCAUGGCAAAAAAGGCCCCCCCCCCUCUCAUCUCAAAAAAAUGAAUGGAAAAUCCCUCAAAGCAAACAAGUGGCCUAGUAGUCAUACUUGGAUGUUUUCUUCAAGCCAAAAGUUUCUUGGCCACCCGCUCUGCUCUCCUCCCUUCCCUCUCUUGCUUCAACCAAAGAACCCCUCUUUCAGAAAGAAUCCCCUCACCUCCAAAUCUCCCCUGUUUCCCCGUCUUCCUUAGCAAGCCACUACCUGCUCUCAUGUGCACCAUUCCGCCACUGCGUCAUCCUCACCCACGACUUCCGCCACUGCGUCAUCCUCGCCCACCACCAUGGGCAAGCCGUGCUCUUGGCCACCUGUCCAUGCAGCUUCUUCAUGGCAGAAAAGGGGUCCCCCCUCAUCUCAAAAAAAUGAAUGGAAAAUUCCCCCCCCCCCCCCCCCUCCCCCCGGGUGGUCCCAAACAAAUGACCUUGGUCUUUUAAGGGGUUUACAGUACCAUAGUCAAAUCAAACUCAAAAGAUGUAGUAAUUCUUAAUUAAUCUAAAAAUAUGAAAUUAGAGUUAUUAUAAAUGAUAAAAUUAAUUAAUUUGUAGAAGUUUACAAAAUGAACCAUUGUUUCUUUUAUUUUGUCAAAAUGUUUUUUACCAUCAUCCAUAGAGUUGGCGGAUCAACUUUGACUAUAGCACCCCAUUUUGGACUAUAGAGUUGUAGCUUCAACUAAGAUUAGUUUGAUUAGGUUAGUAAUUAAUAUGAAUUAAAAACUUAAUAUUUGAAUAUUAUGUGUAAGAUGUAAUCCCUUGUUUUUAGUCAUUGAUGGUACUUGUCCUUUUAUUGCAUGAAAACAAAUCUGAAUUGGAAAUGUUAAAGUGGAGUGUAAAUAAAUAGAAAUAUGAUCAUAAUUUAUGUUGUUGAACAUAGAUAACAUGGCGACACCGUUAAGUAGAUAAACUAAAAGAUAACAAUAUAAUAAGAAUUCUAACAUUAUUCGUUAUCAAAUAUUUUUUAUGAUUUUCUAUCCCUUGAUUCUGAAAAUAAAAACGUAGAUAAGGUAAAAAGCAACAAAUAGUAAAAAAAUAUAAAAGCAAGAAAAUGAUAAACAAUGAAAUAAAUAAGUUAAAAAUGACAAACCGUGAAAUAGAUAAGUUAGUUAUUGUAAAAUUCUUUGACAAAUGAUUUAUAAAAUAUGUAUUUUUUUUUUGGGUUAUCGCAUGAAAAAAUUAUUUAAAUUAUAUGUUAUUUUACUGAUAAAAGGUAAUUUCAUUAAAUAUUUACUGUUUCAUCGAAUUCUUUUAUUGAAUUAUUUUGUAUUGGGUUCUUUAAAUGUUGUUUCAUACAUAGAUAUGUGGUUAUUCAUGCCCACGUUGUUUUCUAAAGUGUUUGAUUUUUAAUUAUAAGUGUAUAAUAAUUUUCGUGGAAUAAUCUUUAAAAAUUAAAUAAAAAUAAAAAUAUAUAAUAAAAAAACAUAUUAUUUUAUAUUUUUAAGAAUUAUAGAAACUAUCCUUUAUUUCCUAUUGUUAAAAUUGCUUUCAAACGUAGCCUCACUACCGCAAAUUUCUUACACCACACAACGUUGUAAAUAACAGAGGGAACACAGUUUAGUUUAGUUGGUGUAGACACAUACUUUGUUGCAGCUUAUGAACUUGAAUAUUCUCAAGUUCUAACAAUUGUUAAAUUUAAAAUUAUGUUUUAAUAUAUAUAGAAGUCAACAUUGUGAAAAUAUUAUGAAAGAUAAUACUAUCGUUGUAAAAUUUUUAUUAAAUUUUGAAAAAAUGUAAUGCAAUUUGAAUUUUUUUUUAAAAAAAUUAUAGUUUAAUAAAAAUAUCUAUGCACAUGUAUAAGUAAUCUUGUUAAGGUAAUUUAUGAAUUUUAAAAAAUAUCCUAUUUAAAAACUAAUCUAAUUAUACUAACAGACAAUAGAUGAAUUAUCCAAAAUAAUAAAAAAAUAAAAAAUAAAAACUAACAUUUUGUUUGUUAAUGCAUAAUAAUAAUAAAAAAAGAUAUUAUCAACAAAUAAAUACCUUGAUAUGUUUAAAAUGAGCGGGAAAUUAUUUCUUCAACCAUAAUUGGUCAUCAUUUUUUAUCUCUAAAAUAUGAAAAUAGAAACAUAGAUAAGUUAAAAACCAAUAUAUGAUAAAUAAAAAAAACAAAAAAAAAACUUGAUGAUAAGAAAAUGAUAGAGGGUAAAUUAGAUAAGUUCAUUACCUAAGAUGAAAGGCCAGUUUAGUAUCAAAUUCCAUGGGAGGUUGUUAUAAGAUAUGUACAUAUAUAAUAUCAAAUGACUUAAAGUAGGAGAUAUUUAUUGAGGUUUAAUAUUAAUAUCAUGAAAAUAAAUGAAAGUCAUUAAUUUAAAAUUGAAUCAUUUUUUUAAGGGAAAGUUCUGUUUGCAGGCUGCUAUUAGGAAGAUAUAUGGUUUUGGAAACCCAUGUAAAUGAAAUAUGAAAUGUCCUUGUUAAUGGAGAAAAUAUUAUCUUUCUCAUGCACUCUUUGCUAACUCCAAUUUAUAUUCCUAGGUUGCCCCUCCAUGCCUCCAUAUCAGCAAGAAGCCCUCCAUGCCAAUGAGAGAGUGAAAUUUUUUAAAACAAAAAUCUAAAUUUGAAACCUAUGAAAAAUGACCCGACCUGACAACCAUCUCUAAUUUCCUUAAUCUGAAAUUUUCUUCUCUCUGAUUUGAGAGCAUUUCUCUUUCUCUCCCUCUCUCUCUCUCUCGGCUUCAUCACCCACAUAAUCCCAAGACCCAUGUAAAAUUUCCCAAAAAUUGUCUUAUUUGAGAGAAAAAAACCAUUAAUCCAAAACUCUAACUUGCAUGUUUCUUUCUUGUCCACAUAAAAGUGCAAUGAAAUGGAGCAUUCCAUCCUAAGAAUGUCCAAUUAAAAGACGACUUCAAGAGGCACAUCUGUGAUUGUGAAUCUACUACAGCAGCGCGUACCAAAACGGAAAGGUGGAAUCCAAAAUAUUGGCUCUGUAAACAAGAUAUCUCUUUCUAUCAUUGAGUGACAUUUUGCCCUAACCCUAAACCGAAAUCUGAAGGUAAAUUAUUUUCAUUUAUUGUUCUUUAGUUCAUUUAUUUGAAAUAGAGCACAUCAAUGUUUUGGAGUCGUUUGUGGACAUGAACUUUUGUGUUGGGUUUUGGGAACCAUAUUAUUCCUAAAUAAUCAUAUGACCCACAAGUCAUAUUGAACCAAGAUGGAACUUACAACAUAUAUGGUUGUAAGUCGCAUUGUUAUUUUGCGGAUUGUACCUUAGGUACUACCUUAAUAGCCCUUAGGUACCACCUUAACCUACCUUAGGUACUACCUUAAGCCACCUUAGGCACUACUUUAGUUAAAGUUAGGUUGUACCUAUCCAAAGCAUCGAACCUUCCUUUGUCACCCUUAGAGCAUGCCAUUAUGUGAUUCUUUUAUGUGGUCAAGUGGUUCGCCUUUGGUUUUUUGUGGAUUAUACCUUAGGUGCUACCUUAAUAGUCCUUAGGUACCACCUUAUUCUACCUUAGGUACUACCUUAAGGGACCUUAGGUACUACCUUAGUUAAAGUUGGGUUUUACCUAUUCGAUGCCUUGGACCUUCCUUUGUGACCCUUAGAUCAUGUCAUUAUGUUAUCUUUUGUGUGGGCCAGUGGUUCACCUUUGAUUUUUUAGGGACAGUACCUUAGGUACUACCUUAAUAGCCCUUAGGUACCACCUUAAUCUACCUUAGGUACUACCUUAACCGACCUUAGGUACUACCUUAGUUAAAAUUGGGUUCUACCGAUCCGAAGCCUUUGAUCUUCAUUUGUCACCCUUAGACCAUGCCUUUAUGUGAUUCUUUUGUGUGGUCAAGUGGUUCACCUUUGGUUUUUUGCAGACUGUACCUUAAGUACUACCUUAAUAGCCCUUAGGUACCACUUUAAUCUACCUUAGGUACUACCUUAAGGGACCUUAGGUACUACCUUAGUUAAAGUUGGGUUCUACCUAUCCGAAGUCUUGGACCUUCCUUUGUGACCCUUAAACCAUGCCAUUAUGUAAUUCUUUUGUGUGGGCAAGUGGUUCACCUUUGGUUUUUUGGGUACUGUACCUAAGGUACUACCUUAAUAGCCCUUAAGUACCAUCUUAAUCUACCUUAGGUACUACCUUAUGUUAAAGUUGGGUUCUACCUAUCCAAAGCCUCAGACCUUCCUUUGUGACCCUUAGACCAUGCCAUUAUUUGAUUUUUUUGUGUGGGCAAGUGGUUCACCUUUAGUUUUUUGGGGACUGUACCUUAGGCACUACCUUAAUAGCCCUUAGGUACCACUUUAAUCUACCUUAGGUACUAUCUUCAUAGCCCUUAGGUACCACCUUAAUCUACCUUAGGAACUGCCUUAACCGACCUUAGGUACUACCUUAGUUAAAGUUGGGUACUACCUAUCCGAAGCCUUUGACCUUCCUUUGUGACCCUUAGACCAUGCCAUUAUGUGAUUUUUUUGUGUGGUCAAGUGGUUCACCUUUGGUUUUUUUAGGACUGUACCUUAGGUACUACCUUGAUAGCCCUAAGGUACCACCUUAAUAUACCUUAGGUACUACCUUAACCAACCUUAGGUACUACCUUAGUUAAAGUUUGGUUCUACCUCUCCGUAGCCUCUAACCUUCCUUUGUCACCCUUAGACCAUGCUGUUAUGUGAUUCUUUUGUGUGGUCAAGUGGUUCACCUUUGGUUUUUUGCGGAAUGUACCUCAAGUACUACCUUAAUAGCCCUUAGGUACCACCUUAAUCUAACUUAGGUACUCCCUUAAGGGACCUUAGGUACUACCUUAGUUAAAAUUGGGUUCUACCUAUCUGAAGCCUUUGACCUUCAAUCCCGGACAUUACUUGUUAUAUUUUAAAUUUUCUAGUUUAUCAUGACUAUUAUUAUCCUACAAUGUGGUACACAUGUGUGAAUUAUAUACGUUUCGUACUAUAUUUUUCAAUAGUUAUGAGUUGAUUGAUUAUCAAAAAUUAACCAACAACAAUUAUGUCAUUAGACGACAAACAAGCAAACAUACUAUGUAGUGUUUCUGGGUCGUAGACAUGGAGUGUACGAUUCUUGGGCUGAAUGUUAAAAGAAUGUGCUUCUUUAUAAGGGGAGUGUUUACAAAUCAUAUACUUUUAAAGAGGAAGCUGUUUGAGCUUGGGUGUUCUAUAGACUAAGAUGGAAGAGAAGUGAUGAAUGUUCAUCAACUGGCAAACCAAAGUUUGAACUUGCAAUUGAUGAUCAACAUUUGUUACAAAAUAUUUCAUAUACAUAUGUAAUCACUUUCUUUGCUAGCUUCUUUGUAGCAUGUGUUUUGCUUAUUGUAACAUUUAGUUUAACAUAGGUUGUGGAAAUGUGUUAUGAAUAUCAAUUUCUAGUAAUCUAUUUUUCGUAGUGUUCACAGGUACAUGUGAUUAUUAUUAUCAACUUUGUUAAACUGAAAAUGCUCACUCAAACGUUUGGAGCAUAAGACAAUGUGUUCAUUAAAGGUCACAACAUUAAAGAAAUUGAGAAUUUUUGACACAUCAUAAGAUUUUGAAUAAAUUCUAGUUGAGAUGUAAAGCUAACAACUAUAUCUAUGGAAAUUACAUUUUAGCAUUUUCCAAAUUUAAAUUUAAGCUAAUAUGUACAAAUUUUAGCAUUUUCCAAAUUUACAUUUUGUCACUUAAACAUUUUGCCAUUUUGCACAAACUUAUUUAACCCAUCUUCUUCAUUCUAGUGCCUUGAUUUUCAUUAAUCCUUGGAUCAACUCAUUUGACCAAAAAUAAUUUUGUGAAAAGACAUUUCAAACAAACUUUUAAUUUAAGUAUAUUAUAUAAAUCUUAUUUAAAAUUUUUGAAUGAUUUAAUUUUUCAUUUAAAAAUAUAGUUACAAAUUUUAUUAAAAUUAAUAUUUUCAUUUGUGGGUUUAUGGACAAAAAUUUAAGAUAAUUUUAAUAGCAAGUUAGAUAAAUAUAUGUAUUGACUAAUAAGAAUUUAAGUAUUAUUUGUUUUAUUGUUUAGGGUUGAAUGUAACAUCAGAUAAAAGAAGAAAGGGGACAACUGAUUACUACUCAAAAAGUGCUAUUUUGUAGCUUGUAAUUAACUCUCUUAAACACUCUUGAGUAGUAAUUAUUACUUUUUAACUCAAUUGACAUGUUAAGGACCCUUGCAAUCAUUUCUAAUCAAAUUGUGUUAAGUUUUGGUGUUUUUGAUAGAUUUUUGCUCACCAAAGCAAUUUAAGAAUGAGGGAGAGCUGUAUAUAGUUCAUGGAAAAGCUUUUGGAAGCUCAAAUUCAUGAAGAACCAAGCUUUGAAGCUCCAUAGCCCUUUUCCAAAGUCGUUCAAAGUAUGCAAGGAAAGAACAAUGGAGAAGAGGAAAACAGAGUGAAGAAAACAGAGGACAGCAGCUGCAGUCUUCUUUCACACUUUUGGAGCACUUCCUGAAGUCCAUUUUCUACAUGAUAUAUACCAUUUCAAAUCUCAGGAAGUCAAGAAUCCAACGCUUCAAACCGUGUACGAUUUGGAGCUGAAAUGAGGAAGAUAUGGCCUUCGGAAGACAACUGCAUCAAGCUGAGGGACAAUUUUGCACCUUGCGAAAUUGGAACUCCAACGUGCGAAAUUUGAAGUGCAUGGCAGCUGUGCAUUCGCUGUGAAGCCCAACAUGCGAAAGUGAUUUUGCAACUUAAAAACUUGGAUCUCAACGUGCGAAAGUGGAUUCUAAGUUGCGAAAUCAACUUGCGAAAUUUUCGCAAGUCACCAUGCAACGUGCGAAAUCUACAUGCGAACUGGGAUAUUUGUGCACCGACCCUUUUAGAUCUUUUCUUCAGAUAUUUUUGUAUAAAUUUCCAUUCUUCUCCUUGUAAUCCACCAACCAUAAGAUUUCUUAGCUAGGAAGGUUGGAAAAACUUCUCUAUAUAUAUUCCCUUGCAUCCAUUGUAAUAGAUAUCGAUCAAUAUAUAGAUAUAUGAAUAUAUAGAAUAUACAGAGCCUUGCUCUGUUUUUCCUUCUCUUUUCAUUUUCAUUUUCUUGCUAGCCAAACAUUCUCUGAGACGUUUUCUCAGAGGAUGAGUGGCUAGGCUUUUUGUUUCUUGGGUGAAGGAAGCUAGGUGAAAAGUCCAGAUGCAAAAGUGGAAAACUCUCGUGCGUUAAAUACAGGUAGUUGGAGUUCAUAAAUGGCUUUUAAAUCUAAAGUUUUGCUUUAAAUCCCUUAGAAUCACUUUGAAUGGCCAAUACAUGGUAAGCUUCAGGUCUCUGUGGAUGCUUAUUGCUAGAUCCAUAUCAGUCCAUUAGUUAUCAUGUACGAGCCAUUGGAAAGUGAUUCAAGGUGAAGACCCAUAGUGUCUAAAGCCAUUAAUGGAACUUGACUACCAUUUCUAUUGACAUUUUUAUAGAUUAAAUCUUCAUUGUUAAACCUUUACCGGUUCGGGAAACAACCAUCCUUUAUGUUGUUGUCCCCAAUGCGAGAAGAAAAAUCUGGAAUUUCCCACUUUACAGUUGGCACCUGAUCCUAGUAACCUGAAAUCCUAAGAAACACCUUUCUUUCUAAUUUCUUUCUAGUUAAUUUUAGUUACUUUAUGUUAGGUUAGCUUAAUACCAUCCGUUUUCAUUCAAACUUAUGUCUUCUUUUAAAGCUAACCUUGAAAUGAAAAAGCACCAAUUCAUCUUUGAAUUAAUAUCAUUUGUGAAGUGAAAACCCAUCCCAGUGAACGAUCCUAGAGCCACUAUGCUAUAGUAGCUUCGUCUUUGCUACCCUAGUACAUGGUGUAAUAGGUUAUAAAUUUUGUUGAUUACUCCCUCAAUCAAGGAGCACCAGCUGGACAUGAAUCAGCUGAUACACCAAUUAGGCACGAAUCAAAUGGCGCCGUUACCGGGACAUUGGACUCUGAAUCCAGUAACCCGAGUUCAAGUCUCGGUGGAACCUCCACUCCCCCCAACCGACAUAUUGCUAGUCCCUUAGCAAUGAAGGAGAGAAAAAAUAAAAAUAAAAGUAAUAAAUUUACAAAAUCAUGCUGAUCACUCCAAAAAAUGUUUAAGUGGCAUGACUGAUCAAACUCUCACAUGGAACAUGAAAGAAAUAAAACUCAAACUUCAAUAGGAGCUAUCAAAUAAUUUGCCUAGUCACAAUUCAUAAAGAGUAGGCAUUAUGCAAAUUUAAGCUUCAAAAUAAUUUCCACUCCCAAAGGUCCAAUCCUUACUCUUCCACAAAAAUCUAUGUGUUAUUUAUUAGUUUCCGGAUAUAGUAUGUCAAACUAAUCUCUCCCCUCAACCUAGUUCUUUUCAAAGCUUAGCAAACUAAUCAACCUCCAAUAGGCUAAGAACGCACCUCUUUUCUUUCACAAUUUUUUCUUGUAGGAGUGCAAAGCUUAAAGGCAUUCUUUUCUAAAUUGUCCAUGUAACUGGGGUCCAUCGAUGACUCCCAACCAAUCAAGGUUUAGGGCAUCAAGCUUUAAGGAUUUUUCAACCACUAACUCCUCGGAUUUCACCCCGGACUUUUGAGAAUGAAUUUUUAAUACCCAAGCACCUACAAUAUGUUAAACUCCACCUAUUCACCCUUGUAACGAGCAUUGAGGUCGGUGACUCCCAACCAUUGAAGGCUUAGGGCACCAGGUUUUAAAGAUUUUCACCAUAUACCCUUUAGACCUUGCUCGAGUUUCAAGGCAAGUAAAACAUUUUUCUUUUUCUUUCUUUUUUCAAAGGCUCAUUGGCCUUUUAUCAGGUGUCUCAACACUAUUAAAAUGAGGUCAAAUGUACCAAGUCUAAAUUUUCCUAAGUCAAGGGGGAAAAUAGUUUUUCAUCUUAUAAAUGGAACCUAGUGUGCAUGGUGUGUGAUAAGCUUAAAGUGGAAGAAAUAAGGUUGAAAUCAAUAGGAGUUCAAUAAUUCAUCAACUUUAAUAAACAUAAUACAAACUCUAAGUUUCAAGUAAAAAGACAAAAAUUUAAUUUCUCCCAUUUCAUUUUGAAAUUUUUUUCUUAAUAACCAUGGAGAGUAUUCAAAAAAAACUUUAAAAAAUUUUAAAAAUUAAGCAAAAAGCAACUAAAUUACCAAAAUAACUUAGCAUGAAUAACAAAACUUCCUUCCUCAACUCUCCCCCCAACCAAGCUGAACAUUGUCCUCAAUGUUUCAAGAGCGAUAAAAAAAAAAUAAAGGGAGGAAGUGGUACCUCCUAAGUGGCAUGGAGUCUGAGUCGUAUAGGAGAAACCACAUGUUUAAAAAAAAAACAAAAAAUUCAGUGAGUAGAGGAAAUAGAAAAAUGCCAAGUUUAAACAAAAAUGAUGUCUAUAUAUUAAUCUGAGAAAAUAGAAUAUAAUAUAUGAUCAUGCAAUACAUCCAAUCCCAGAAUAUAAAACAUCAAAACAUGGAAUUAUCUAUACUAAUAUAAUAAGUAAAUACAAAAAUUAAAGAGAUGAUCAAGUAGUGGUAGGGUCCUGUGGAGAUAAUGGCUCUGUGGUGGCCUUCUGAGUGGGUUGGGUCAGGACAUUGACCUAUGCUCUAGUAGUCUCCUUAUGUGGCGUAGUCUUCUCAACUGGAGCUCUCAGCUGGAGCUAUGGGCUGUGAUGGUUUAAGGAGGUGAAAAAUGGAGUGAGAGGCUUGGUGUGUGUGAUCUCAGUGAGAGGGCUCUCUUCUUUAGAUGCAUGGUUGUGAGGCUCUGUUGGCAUUUUUGCAAUUUCCCUUGGCUUUGCAAAAUGUUUUUGCACAUCAUUUUGUAGCUUGGAGGUCAUUUCAUAGCUUGGAGGCCAUGUCUUGCAGCCAAAGGGAAAAGAAAAACAUUUUUGCACCCAUGGAAAAAUAGAAAUAUUUUAGCAGCCCAUUUUGAAGCUUGGAAAUCAUUUUGUAGCCAUUUUGAGGUUUGGAAAAUCAUUUGGCAAUCAAAAGGGGAAUUUCGCAGCCCAUUCUUGAAGCUUGGAGCAUUUUCGCACUUUAAAAAAAAAAAUUUCGCACCUUGGAAAGGAUUUUUCGCACUUUGGAUUUCAAGGUGCGAAAUUCCCGCUCAGCUUUGUGCAGUAUGUCUUCAAAUGGCCAUAACUUCUUCGUUUCAAAUCCAAUUCACACACCGUUUGAAGCUCUAGAUUCCUGACUUCCCAAGCUUCAAAACGACAUAUCGUAUGCAUAAUUUGAGCUCCAGAAAGUGCUUCAAAAACGUGUCUAACAGUAGCGAAAUUUGGUGCGGCUGCAACAUUUCCGUUCAGCUUUGCAUAGUCGUCUUCAAACGGCCAUAACUUCUUCGUUUCAAAUCCAAAUCAUGUACCGUUUGAAGCUCUGGAUUCUUGACUUCCUAAGCUUUAAAAUGAUAUAUGGUAUGUAUAAUUUGAGCUCCAGUAAGUACUUCAAAAAUGUAUCCAAAAGUAGCAAAAUUUUCGCACUUGAAUUCGCACGUUGGAAUGAAUUUCGCACCUUGAAUUGUGGUGUGCGAAAUGCCACUCGUGCGCCAGGGAGGUGUUUCGCACGGUGCGAAAAUUUUCGCACCUUGAAUAGUGGUGUGCGAAACUGAUGUUUAGAGAAUUCGCACCUUGGACUGAGAUUUUCGCACCUUGGAAUGAAUUUCGCACCUUGAAUAGUGGUGUGCGAAAUUUUCGCACCUUGUUUCGCACCGUACAAAAAUUGGCUUGAGGUGUGCGAAAUGGCACUCGUGUGGCUGGAGAGUGUUUCGCACGGUGCGAAAAUUUUCGCACCUUGGAUUGAGGUGUGCGAAAUUCCCGCUCAGCUCGGUGCAGUUUUCUUGCAAUGACCAUAACUUUUUCGUUUCAACUCCGAUUUGGACACCGUUUAAAGAGUUGGACUCCUGACUUCCCGAGCUUCGAAAUGGUAUAUAGUAUGUAUAAAAUGGACUCGAGAAAGUGCUCCAAAUAUGUCCCGAAGUGGAAAUAGAACCAAUGGCCAGAAUUCUCUCUUCUCUUCCUUUUCUUUCAUCAUUUUUGCAAUCCCUCCUGCAAUGAUCAUCCAAAAACUUAUAUUAAAUCAAAACUAAUUAAAAUUAAAGCAUUGAAAUCAAAAUUAAAACAAGUAAUAAAGCAAAAAGAUAUGGACUAGCUAGUCUUUAGAAAGACUAAGUCCAUAAAAAAAAAAUGUUGUCCUGUUUCAGCUUGCCCGGAUCCCAUAUGAAGUUAGCAUCCUUCAUUAGAGAUUUGCAUUGUAUGAUGGCAAUGGAAACAAUUCCCUUUCUCUUUCCUUUAAUUUCCUCCCUCUUCUUUUUCUCUGUUUCAUUCUCUGUUUCAUGCUCUUGUUUGGAUGUGGCCAAAUCAACCUCUUUACCACUCCUUAGAGUGAUCACGACUUUAACGUCUCUCACUUGUGAAGAUUCUCUCUUAUGAGCCUUGAGAUUGAGUAUUGGAGAUUAUCUAUCUUUUGAGAUAGAUCAUUUUGUAUUUCAUCCAUCCUUUUAUUCAAUGAACUCUCUACACUAUCAAUUCUUUGACUGAGCUGAGCAUUGAUGGAUUUCUGAGCUCCAACAAAGUCUACCCCGACCUUGCUAAGAUUCACUAUAGCUUGUUCAAGGUUCGAGGCUUGCUGAGGUGCUUGAACAUGUUGCUUGUACUGAGGUGGCUGUGGUUUCCAUGAGAAAUUUGGAUGGUUCCUCCAAUUGGAAUUGUAGGUGUUGCAAUCACCAAACAUUUCCCUCACGGCUAGAAUGGUAGGACACUCUUCCACCAAGUGCUCAUAAGAUAGACAAAUGGCACAAGGCAUAGGUUGCAAUGGUGUCUGAGAGAUGGCUUGCACUUCUUGCAUCUUCUUCAUUUCUAACUCUUCCAAUCUCCUUGCCAUAGUUGCAAUCUUUGCCUUCAUGUCUAUGCCAUCAUUCGAAAUAUACAUCUCACCCUUAGCAUUAGGUUGAGACUUCAUUAUCCCCAUAUCUCUAGCAUUUGGUUCAUCCCAUCCUCUUGAAACUACAGCCACAUAACUCAUGAAGUUCAUGGCUUCCUCUACUAUCUCGUAUUCAAUAUGGCAUGCACAACUAGCAAUUUGUGAAUUAAAAACAGAGAAAACAAAAGAAAAACAAUUCUAAAAAAAAAAAAAUUAAGACUAAGUAAAACUAGCUGAAAGGUAAACUAAAACAAAAAUAAAGAAAAAGAACAAUUAAAAAGAGUUAGUAAAAGAAAAGAAAAAUCACCAAACUUGUGAUGAAGAUCACAAGUGUUCUCAAAAGAUCAUAUCACUGCAAAGUGGCACCAUCCCCGGCAACGGCGCCAUUUGAUUCGUGCCUAAUUGGUGUAUCAGCUGAUUCAUGUCCAGCUGGUGCUCCUUGAUUGAGGGAGUAAUCAACAAAAUUUAUAACCUAUUACACCAUGUACUAGGGUAGCAAAGACGAAGCUACUAUAGCAUAGUGGCUCUAGGAUCAUUCACUGGAAUGGGUUUUCACUUCACAAAUGAUAUUAAUUCAAAGAUGAAUUGGUGCUUUUUCAUUUCAAGGUUAGCUUUAAAAGAAGACAUAAGUUUGAAUGAAAACGGAUGGUAUUAAGCUAACCUAACAUAAAGUAACUAAAAUUAACUAGAAAGAAAUUAGAAAGAAAGGUGUUUCUUAGGAUUUCAGGUUACUAGGAUCAGGUGCCAACUGUAAAGUGGGAAAUUUCGGAUUUUUCUUCUCGCAUUGGGGACAACAACAUAAAGGAUGGUUGUUUCCCAAACCGGUAUAGGUUUAACAAUGAAGAUUUAAUCCAUAAAAAGUCAAUAGAAAUGGUAGUCAAGUUCCAUUAAUGGCUUUAGACACUAUGGGUCUUCACCUUAGAAUCACUUUGAAUGGCCAAUACAUGGUAAGCUUCCGGUCUCUGUGGAUGCAUAUUGCUACAUCCAUAUCAAUCCAUUAGUUAUCAUGUACUAGCCAUUGGAAAGUGAUUCAAGGUGAAGACCCAUAGUGUCUAAAGCCAUUAAUGGAACUUGACUACCAUUUCUAUUGACUUUUUAUGGAUUAAAUCUUCAUUGUUAAACCUAUACCGGUUCGGGAAACAACCAUCCUUUAUGUUGUUGUCCCCAAUGCAAGAAGAAAAAUCCGGAAUUUCCCACUUUACAGUUGGCACCUGAUCCUAGUAACCUGAAAUCCUAAGAAACACCUUUCUUUCUAAUUUCUUUCUAGUUAAUUUUAGUUACUUUAUGUUAGGUUAGCUUAAUACCAUCCGUUUUUAUUCAAACUUAUGUCUUCUUUUAAAGCUAACCUUGAAAUGAAAAAGCACCAAUUCAUCUUUGAAUUAAUAUCAUUUGUGAAGUGAAAACCCAUCCCAGUGAACGAUCCUAGAGCCACUAUGCUAUAGUAGCUUUGUCUUUGCUACCCUAGUACAUGGUGUAAUAGGUUAUAAAUUUUGUUGAUUAAUCCUUCAAUCAAGGAGCACCAGCUGGACAUGAAUCAGCUGAUACGCCAAUUAGGCACGAAUCAACAACAUAUCAUAUCCCAUGUUUGGUUAGUGAUAGAAGAAGAUAAGUUAACCUCACAACUUGUCAUAUCUUAUAUUCAACCAAACAUGGAAUAGGGUAACUCGAUAUUAUCAAUUGUUUAUAUAUAUAUUACUUAUCUUGCAAAAUAUUUUUUUCGUUAAAAAAGGAAAAUUAAAAAAAUUUAUAAAAUAUAUUAUUAAAUAAUAUUAAUAUAUUUAUUAUUCAAUAUAUACAAAAUAUUUUUAUAUAUUGAAUAUCAUAAUAUAUAUAGUAAAUUUUAAUUUAUAAAGUUUAAAUAUUUUAAUUAUGAAUAUUAUUAAAUGUAAAACAUAAAAAAUAUUGAAAUGUAAUAUAAUUUUUAAUUUAAACAUUGAAAAAUAAUAUAUACUAUAUCUUAUUUUUAUUCAUUUACAAAUUAAAUAUAAACAUAAUAUAAUAGACCCAUUGAAUAUAAUAUUCAAUAACAUCAUAUCUUAUUAAAAAUCAUAUAUUUACAUUUCCUAAUAUACAUAUAUAUUCUAUCCUACUAACCAAACAUAACCUUAAAAUAUUUUCAAACAUUUUCAUAACUUCUAUCAAUUUGCAUUCCACCCAAAUUUUGUUUUCUUUUGUUUCACAUUUUUCAUCCCAUAUUUUUCAUAUUUAUAUAAAUUCAAGUACCAACUUUUAAUACCUUCAUCAUUUUCAACAUUGUUGUAGAGAGUCAUAAAAAACUUAUUUAUUUUUAAUUAAAUGAGAUUCUGUCAACAUAUUUUUAAAAUGAGAAAUUAACACUCAUAUAAUAAUCUUAUUUUUUGUAGUGUGGCAUCUCAAAAUAUUGAAAAUUUUCUAGCAUUCGUUGUAAAAUGACUAAAAUCAUCAAAAAUAUUUUUCUUCACUUACAUAAUUAUUAAAUAAGUUUUUAUCUUUUAUUUUUAAAAGUAAAAAAAAAAAUUUGAAUACCAAAAAUAUUUAGCAUUUAUAGAAAUUAGAAACAACAUUUAUAUUUUCUAUCUAAAAAGAGAAAAAUUAAAAGUCUCAUAUUGACUUACCUACAACAAAAAGGAUCCUAAAAUCAACCUAACAAACUUCAAACAAGCAAUAAUCAGCAUAAACCAAACCCCAUCUCACACUUCAACUUGCACUGCACUUACAAUUAACAAAACAGACCCAUAAGAAAACAAAAGAGCAGGAUGAGUUUUUUCAUAUUCUUGUUUGCCAUAUUCUUGUUUGCCAACUGCGCUUUCAGGUGUUUUCUAAUAACAUAUUUGGUGGGGUGCUCAUGCAAUCUCCUUUUGUACAUGAUUUUGAUCAAAGAGAAAUGUUUUGCUUCUACCUUUUCCCUGGAAGUAACAUCAGUGGGAAGGUUCACUAGCUUUGCUUUAGAACUAGCUUUAUUUUAACUUUUCAUUUAUAAAAUCAUCCCCCAUAUUGGAAGUACUUCAUUUCUAUGCCUUCAAAUGGAUCUACCAAUAUAUGCCAUUUCUUUCAAAUUCAUUCUUUGAUCAUGUUGCAUUCAGGUUGAACAUUAAUAUCCUGUACUGAUGACCUUCUGUAGUGGUGUUGACAUUGAUCUUGACAAUGUCAACAAAUCACUAAAGAGAAGCGCAUGUACAAGUGCAAAAGAUAGGCACAAAUACUUUGCAAGGGCACACAAACACAAUAAUUUACAUGAGAGUUUGAUUUCAUUUGCCUGCAAAAUCAACCCAUUUUUACAGCUAUAGGCUUGCCUUAUACAUGUCCAAAAAGCAUACAAGACCAAUAAUCCGUUGAUUUGGACUUUGUCUAGGAUGACUACGUAUGGAAUAAAUAUGAGGAGUCACAAUACUGUCUGUUCAGACUCAUAAUAUUCAAAUAAUGUCUGUAUUAGACCCUAUUAGCACUUUAAAGAUUUCAAUGACUACGUAUCGGUCAAACUAGUGAACUAUGAAUUAGUAAUUUUUUUUUAUUCAAUGACUGAUCUUAUUCUAAAAACAUUGAUUUAAAAGAUUUCAAAUUAACACUACCUAAAGGCAUUGAUAUAUAUGUAGAGGCUUUGGGUGUCAAUUAAGCCUAAAUAUUUAAUUACAUCUCUUCUAGUAUUUAAGUGUGCACACGUGAUGCAACUUUUUGUUUGAAUGAUAUUACAUGGACAAUUACUUGUUGAAUAUUUAAAUGUUAAAAAUAAUAAUAUUAUUAAAGAAAACUUGGAAAUAAACAUUUAAUGACUCAAAUUUUCUUUAUUUCUAAAAUUAAAUUAUACUUCUCUCUUCUUUAAACAAUUUUUUCAUAAAUGAAUGUGUUCAAACAUUUUUCAAGAUCUAUUUAUCUGGAUAAACAUAACUUUUAGAAUUUUCUUUUAUCUUCUCUUCAUUUAUAUUCAUAAUUGUUUUGAAUUAAUUUUUAUUUAUCUAUUAAAAAUUAGUUGUGGUUUACAUUCUUUGUAUAAUAUUUAUUAUUAUCCUCAUUAUUAUAAUAAUAAAGAAAUGAUUAAAAAUAUUUGCUGAAAAAUAAGGUUAAAAAAUUUUAUAUAAGAAAAAUAAAAUGUGGUAAACUUGUUUUUAGGCAAACCCUUAAAUAUUUUCAUUAAUUAUUAUUAUUAUUAUUUUUUUUUACAAUUUUUUCAAAUUCAUGUGGUAUAAUUUGAGUGAAAAUUUAUUAAAAACUUGAAAAAUAAAUAUUUGAUAUAUUUAAUAAUCUUGUUUUCCAGGCAAUAAAAUCUUCUUGUCUGUUGAAGCCUCGCAUCACCCGGGGUUCUCGCAGUAGCCAGAUGGACGCUCCCUUUCAAUUGAUGAUGAUUCAUGCCUCAAUCAACCUGCAAAAGAUGUCCGGACAGGUUGUCUGGACACACCCUUCGAUGGUUUUGUUAGCCUUCUCUCUGAUAAUCAAUCUUCCCUUUUUACUGAGUAAGAAAGCUUACCUUCUCUCCUCGCAUGAAGGUUCUUUUAUAGUGUCAGAAGUUCUGUCCCCUUUAAUGGUGGGAAGACUUUUUGGCUUGUCAUGAUGGCGCUGAGGUAGUGGCAGAGCCAUCAUUGUCUUGCAGGCGCCUGUCAGAUAUUGUGGAGGGGAUGGCUUACCGUUAUUCCUGUCCUUUUGCUCUACAGACGGCGGAGUGCGGGCUGUGACAGGUUGUCUGAGGUGACUCAGUAUGGUCCUGUCGAAAGUGCUUCUGGCAGUGUAGGCCAGGAUGGCCUACAUUUCACGGGCAAGGCUUUUGAUUAAGUUGCUAACGCUGGGUCCGGACAACAUAUCUAGACAAGAGAAUGAGUCAUCCGGACCGUGGGUUUGAGAGUGUCGUACGCCCCCCGAAGGGAAUCCGGAUAGAGAGUUGAUGUGCCAUGUGUCCCCUGGAGGGGUGCUGUGCGGGGUUGCUACGUGGGCGUUUGGGGGUGGUCCCUACAAUGCCUCCCUUUUAACCUGGCUAUUUUGCCCGAGCAGAAAAGGCGGGUUAAAAAUGAUGCUUUUAAACCCUUCGUUUCUUUUUUGGGGUUUAUGUGCCACGUGGUACUGCAAAAGGGGGGGUAUUUAUGGCGAGCCGCUGUUCUUGGGGGGAUUUCUAGGUGGCAUGUCGUUUCGAUAGUGGUGCAGUUGGGUGCCUAGUAGUUUGGAGGACCAAGGAGUCGCAUCCCUUAAAUAGGGAAUCCAGCCCCCGCGACUGCAUUUUUCAUUCUGCAUUUUUUUCUCAUCUAUAUUUUCCCUUUGCCUCUCUAUUCAUCUUCAUUUGUGACCGAGGGUCACUUUCUAGGGCUUCUGUUAGCGGCAUUCUUGUCACAAGGGCGACUGUAUCGCGGCCUUCGUUCCAGUUGCAAGCUUGCGCCAGGUAUGUUCUGUAUUUCUAUCUCUUCAUCUUAAGCUUCCUGUUUCUUCGGAUUUUGUUGGCUUGUUGGGUAUUUUGUUUGCAAUUGAGGGUCAGAGGUAAUGUUUAGGGUUUUUCAGGGGGUUUUGAUUUUGCUUUGGGCCCAUUGUGGUUUUUGUUGCCCUCCUGUUGCCUUUGCGGAUGACUGAACCGCAUUUGGGGUAGAGUUAGGGGUUAGGCUUGGGGUUUUGGCUAUUUUAGGCCUUCUGGGUCAUUUGUUCUCAGGGUUGUGGGGCGAGGUACCUCUGUUUUGACAGUUGGCAUUUCGCCAUGCAGGUUUUGUCUCAGCCCCACGCUUUAACAUGCCUGCGAAAAAUGAUGUGACUUCGUCUAGUACGGCUGGACCUAGCGGAAAAAGUGUAUUUGGGCAGACCUACUUGGGAAAGCCUACUGACAAGUUGAACGAGAGGGAGUUUUGUGAGCGUUUCUGAAUCCCGAAUGAUGUCUCUGUUUAGCUAGUGGACAGGGAUGCUAUGUCCACUGAGAAAGCUGCCAACCACGCCGUUUACUUUUCCAAGGAGCAAUUCAAUGCAGGGCUCCCGUUUUCUUUUUCGUCUCUCUUCAAAGAGUUCCUCCACUUCACUCAGAUUCCUCUAGCUUAUGUCCAUCCCAAUAUUGUCCUGGUGUUGAUGGGGUGCAGCAUCUUAAAUAUGCUGUUCAAUUUGGAUCUUUCCUUGCUGGAGGUCCUCUUUGUUUACACCAUCAAGAAGGGGAAGACAGACCUCUUCAGCUUGUUUGCUCAUAUCCCAUCCCUUCAAUUGGUGACCAACCUUCCGGAUUCGAACAAGGGGAGAGCCAAAGGGCAUGUACUGGUCAGGGGUCACUGGGCCGGUCUGUCGAAGCCUUCGGAAAGGGAGUUUACCCCCAACCGUUCGUUGACGCUUCCGGGUAGGGUAGCUCUUGGUGUAUGUCCGGUGUUGGUUUUUGACUCUUGAUUCAGUGUUAUCAGAUGACUAACCUCUUUUGUUUUGGGUAACGCAGGUACACACAAGAGGGGUCGCUUGGUCGAGUGGCUGGAGAAGGCCUCUUUUGAUCGUUUGAACAGGCUGUUCGAGAUCAUUUCCAUCGAGAGGCACUAUCAGACACUUCUUUCUACCUGGAACCUGUUGGCGGUCGUCCGGGAACCUCAGCCGUACGUCCUCAAUAUUCUCCCCAGGCGACUACCCAAGGUUGUAGUGUCCGGGGAACACUUUGUGCUGAAGGAUCUGCCUUUUUACGAAAGGGCUAGCGAGGCUAACGCAAAGGCGCGCCAGGAGUGCCUUGACCAGCGGGAGGAGAAGAGGCAGGAGGGGACACUAAGGAAAACACCUGUAAGAGAAAGAGCCUAGCGAGAAGGGACACGACUCUUCUCCCGCGGUCCGUCCUCCGACUACAAAGAAGAAGAAAAAGAAAACCAUUGCGCAGGCUCUCCAGGUAGUGUCUCCGGCUCCUGAUCUUUCAUCUUCAUCCUCCGACUCUGUGUCCAGUCGACCGAAUAACCCUGCCCCGGAGCCUGAGGAUACUUCUAGCUUCCCACAGCUUGAGACUUUCCGUUCGGGGCCUGGCUCUUUCCAGCCUCAAUUGGACUUCGUUGGCCUGAGAGUCGUGCAUGAGCCGGAGGAAGUGAGCGACAUGAACGACCUCAGAACCGGGUUUUUACAAAGGCAUCGUAAGCGGCUGUAUGAUCCCAUAGAUCUUGCACCUCCUCCAGCCAGGAAGGAUUGCCCAGAGAGAGAUGAUGAGGAUCUGACGAUAGAAGUUCCUUUGUCAGCUAUGGCCCAUUCGGAUGAGGCGAGUUCUAGCGCGGCUGCAGCGGUUCAGCCAGACGCUGCAGGAUCUGAUGCAGCGGCAAUGACUCGGCCCGAAGUUCCAGGGCCUAACGCAGUGACCGUUGCUCAACCAGGCGUAACUGCUCACAACAACGCCCCGACUGCCAUGGAGACCCGUGGGACAGAGGGGGUUCUGGAGGCAGCGAUUGACGAGGAGGCUUCGAACAAGAAGAGUAGUCCAGCUGCCAUGGUUCCUCCAAGCUGGGAGGAAAUGAUGGAGAUGCUGAAGGGAGUGUCAUGUUUCACGGAUGUGGAGGCUCAUUCCACAAGGAUGUCUGACUUUUUUUCGCUUACCAAGCGGGUCUCUGUGAAUAUGGGUGGUGAUCCUCCUGCCUUUGUCAAGGCCCGACUUCCUUUUAGCACCCCUGAGUCCGCCGUUUCUUAUAUUCAACAUCUGCAGGAGUGGACGAUCCCUGAUACUGCAGAAGUGGUAAUCAUUUCUUUGCUACUUUUUCCUUCUUCCUUAGCAACUGUUACUCCUUUGCACGACAUUAGCUUUUAUUUUGUUGUUGUUCUGCACAGGUCGUGGCUGGCAUCCACUACAUGAUGCAUAUCUGCGAACAACUCUUCAAGCGGCUGGAAGUGGUGGAGGCUAUGCGCGCCUUCAUCUCUCACCAUCUGGGCGGCGUUGAGGAGAUGCGCUCACGGUUAGAGAAGGUGGAGGCUGAGUUGGCCACUGCUCAAAAGGCCGUAGCGGAUGGGGCGGAGAAGUUGAGCCAGGCUGAGGAGGAGAAGGGGACUGUCCGGGCUAAGGUGAACUUGCUGAAAAGGGAAAAAGGGGCCUUGGAGGGUCAAAUCAAAGGGGUGGAGCAAGAGAAUUCUCAACUUAAGAAGGAGGUGGACGAACUUCAGGCUAGCCUCGCAGCUCAAAAGGAGACAGAGAGGUUGCAGGCAAGCCUAGUUGCUCAGAGGGAGGAGAUGGAGGCCGGGUUUGUCGCUCAGAAGAAGGAGUUGGAGACGGAGUAUCAAAGGCAGGUAGAGGAGAUGUACUUGUUCGACUACCGUUGUUGCAUGAAGAAGAAUGACAUUAUGCAUGAUGUUCUAUCUCUUCCUUGUGACGAUGAGGAUGCGAUACCCGGAGGCCCUUCUUGCUGAGAUUUCUUUGUGUGCAGUACUCCUUAUACUUUUUCUCUUUGUUUUGCUGCUUUUGGGGUGGCGGAUUUUGUAAAGACAAUUUUUCAGUCCUUUAUAAAUGCUUUAGACUUCUUUGUUUUUCUCUACCUUUAGCUUCUCUUUAUUGGUAAUAUUGCUUAAGGUUAGAUACAUUCCAUGGACAGAGCAAGUCUAACUUUUGUAGGUGAUAGGCUCCGCUUUCACUUGUCUUAGUUACAAUAUAAGGACCUUCCCAAUUCGCUUGGAAUUUCUCGGCUCCUCUUUCAGCGGUGUUUUCGAAAACCUUUCUAAGGACCAGCGUUCCAAUCUUGAAGACCCGGGGUCGUGCCUUGUGGUUAUAGUGAGUGGCCGCUCUUUGCUGGUAGUCAGCCAUCCGAAUGGACGCGUUUUCUCUCACUUCAUCCUCCCAGUCUAGGUUCCUUCCUAGUUCCACUUUCAUCACUUUGUCCUCGUGCAUCAGUCCGAAUAAUGGGCAAGCCUAUUUCUGUGGGGAUGAUUGCAUCCAUGCCGUAUGCAAGGGCGAAGGGAGUGUUUCCCGUGGGUCGGCCGGGCGUGGUUCGGUAGGCCCAUAGGACGCAGGGCAGUUCCUCUACCCACUUUCCUUUGGCCUGCUCGAGCCUCUUCUUUAAGGCAGUCACCAAGGUUUUAUUUGUCGCUUCUGCCUGCCCAUUGCUUUGAGGGUAAGGCGGUGUGGAGUACAAAUUCUGGAUUUUGAGCUCCGAGCAGAAAUUCCGGAAGGCGAUGCUGUCAAACUGUGGACCAUUAUCGGCUAUGAUUGCUUGAGGGAUCCCAAAGCGGCAAAUGAUGUUCUUCUACACAAAUUUGGUGACAUCCUUGUCCUUGAUGCUGGCAUAUGCCUCUACUUCUACCCAUUUGCUGAAGUAGUCUUUGGCAACGAGUAGAAAUUUCUUCUGGGCAGCCACGGUUGGUAAAGGUCCUAAUAUGUCCAUCCCCCAUUGUGCAAAAGGCCAAGGGUUGGAAAUUGGCUUCAACGUUUCAGAAGGCGCAUGCGGUAUGGGGCAUGCCUUUGGCAUUUGUCACACUUCUUGACAUAAGUCGUCACGUCUCUCUUAAUAGUGGGCCAAUAGUAGCCCUGCGAGUGUGCUCGAUGCGCCAAAGAUCGUCCUCCGAGGUGAUUGUCGCAUACACCCUCAUGUAACUCAGCUAAUAUGUAUUGAGCCUCUAAGCAGUCUAGGCACCUGAGGUAGGGGCCUGUAAAAGAUCGUUUGUAAAGGUGCUCCCCGAUCAGAGCGAAACGGGCAGCUUGUACCCGGAUCUUGUGCGUUUGCUUGGGUUCAUCAGGUAGAGAUCCUGUUCGGAGGUAUCCUGCUAUGACUUCCGUCCACUCCUGGCCCUCUUCCUGGCUCUCCUCAAUAGUAUUGCAAGUGGAUGCUUUUGUGAUGGAAGGAUCAGUCUACACAUAUAUAGGCAAUAAUAUGGCCUCUUUGAUGGGCAGGGAAGCAGCUAUUCUUGCCAGGGCGUCAACACGUACGUUAUCAGCUCGUGGGAUUUUUUCUAUGGUCCAUUCGCCCAACCGUUGCAGGGUGUUAGAUAUCGUGCCAUAUCAAGGACGACCCCUGCAAUUCCGGGAUAUACCGAUUCUAGAUCAGGCCUAGAGUUCGCCCCCUGGCCUCUUGGGCAUUGGUCAUGAGGAGGCCUCGAGGACGAAACUUGGAUGUGUAACACCGCGUUUUCUUCUCUUAGUCUCGUCAUUUCUCGGAGAAGAGCUUGCAUUUGUCGUUCGCUCUCCAACUGUCACCUUUCCAUGGUCUCGCGCCAUUCGAAAUAGCCUUCAUCUCCUCUGGCUGACGAACGACUCUUGGAAGGUGUGGGCAUCUUUGUCGUUGAUUGAGCAACUUCCCACAGACGACGCCAAUGUUGAAGCCUCGCGUCACCCGGGGUCCUCACAGUAGCCAGAUGAACAUUCCCUUUCAACUGAAGAUGAUUCCUGCCUCAAUCAACCUGCAAAAGACAUCCGGACAGGUUUUCCGGACACACCCUCCGAUGGUUUUGUUAGCCUUCUCUCUGAUAAUCAAUCUUCCUUUUUUAUUGAGUAAGAAAGCUUACCUUCUCUCCUCGCAUGAAGGCUCUUUUAUAGUGUCAGAAGUUCAUCCCCUUUAAUGGUGGGAAGACUUUUUGGCUUGUCAUGAUGGCGCUGAGGUAGUGGCAAAGUCAUCAUUGUCCUGUAGGCGGCUGUCAGAUAUUGUGGAGGGGAUGGCUUGCCGUCAUUCUUGUCCUUUCACUCUGUAGGCGGUGGAAUGCGGGCUGUGACAGGUUGUCUAAGAUGACUCAGUAUGGUCCCGUCGAAAGUGCUUCUGGCAGUGUAGGCCAGGAUGGCCCGCGUUUCACGGCCAAGGCUUUUGAUUAAGUUGCUAAUGCUAGGUCCGGACAACAUAUUCAGACAAGAGAGGGGGUCAUCCAGACCGUGGGUUUGAGAGUGUCGUACGCCCCUCAGAGGGAAUCUGCAUAGAGAGUUGAUGUGCCACGUGUCUCCUGGAGGGGUGUUGUGCGGGGUUGCCACAUGGGCGUUUGGGGGUGGUCCCUACAUUGUCCAACUCACGUUAAUGUAUUAAAUUAAUAAUCUCACUAAAUAUAUAAGAUAAUAGUUAUUUAGAAAUUCUUCAGAGUCUAAUAAAAUAUAAAUUAAUAACUAAUGAAAUAUGUGGAAAAAAAACAAAAGAAUUCAUAAUACAAACUUUCUCAAAAUAUACAUUGAAAUUUAUUUAUUUUCUUUGCACCUAAACUAACUCAAUUUUAUCUUUAUUUUUUUGUAAUAUAUAUACACUAAAUUAAUAAAUUAUUGAUUUAUUGAUAAAUUAAUAAUUCCUUUUGAUUCAAGAAUAAUAUUUUAUUUUAUAGGGUGUUUUCCUAUAGCUAGGAGUGGCGCAAAGGAGAUAGCAAAUAAUUAUCCAUCAAUGAGUUACUGGCUUACUGCUGCUUCCGGGUUAUGUACGCCGCUUUAGUCAAGAUCUUCAUUGCAACCUAUAACAAGCUAAGCUCUAAGUCAAGUCAAUUGGUCCCCCAUCGUAAUUACCCAAAUGAGAUUGUAUAGAAUCACACUUUCAUCUUUGAGUGAAAGAAGAAGCCUUCCUUGACUGAUUCACUCCUUCAGCAAAUGAAUUGCAUGGAAACGAGAUAAAUGUCUUUGAUGCAAAGUAAGGUAAAAAAAAUAGAGGUAGAGUUAGGUGGAGUUUGUUUUUUUUGACUUUUUAUUAAAAGUAAUUUAUUUUUAAAAUUUAGGUAGUUUAUUUAUUUUUUUUUUAUCACUUAUUAUACAUUUUUUAUUGAAUAGAAAAAAUUAAAAUAUUUAAUUUUUUUAAAUAGAAAAAAUAAUAUAUUGAUUUUUUAUUACUUUUUAAUAUUUAAUAGAAAUAAAAUAUUAUUAAAAAAGCAACCUAAUAUUUAAUACUAUUAAGUAUUAAGUUUCUAUUUAGAAUUAAGCAAAAAAAACAAACACCGUCUUAGAAUUUUAAGUGUCUGCUAAAAAAGCAAUGAAAUCCCAAUUUUAGCGAAAAAUAAGAAAUGUGAAUCCCAGGUUUUGAACUUCAAAACUGAAGAAAAGAAUGUACAAUUUAUUCAAAACUUUUAGGCCCCACUUAAAAACAUGGAAAAUUUGACAAAAAUAAAUAGAAUAGACGGUCAGCAAGCGGUUAAGUUGAGGCCGCCCACCAUAAUUGACAAAAUGAAACCGUAUGGAAAACGGAGACUUUUGGGCCAAAAUGGCCCAUUUUUGAAACUUAACAUUGAAAGUGGUCUCAUUUCCAAACUAUUGUUCAAAAUGGCCCCUUGAAGCCAUAUCAACCCAUAAAUCAAUAUUUUAUAUUGUUUUUACUUUACCAUUUCCAUCCCCGUGCUCUGUUAUCUUCCAUGCUGCUGUUCUCUCUUCUGUGUGAUUUUUUUUCUAAACCCUAGCCCCACCAGUAGGCCACUAAAAAAGACGGUGGAGCUACAAAGCAUAAAGUUUAAGGUGAGUCAUAAUCUUCUUUUUGGCUUAUAUAAGUUUUUGGCACUUUCCAAUUUUUUUUCCCAUCUCAAAAUCUCGAUUUUUAGAAUUUUUUUUUUUUCCCAUUGUUGUGAAUGAUUGGUUAGGGAGUGUGGUUAUGGUGAAUUAAUGGCUGUUAGUAUCAGAUUUUGGGGCAAUCGUUGGGGAGGAUUAGGCUUGCGGUGUCGGCAUUGAGGAGCUACUCAGUCUACGGAAAAACAGGUGAGAUGGGUUGUAUUGAUUGUGUUUUGUUGCUCUGUUUGGUUGGUGAGAAUUGACUAUAAGGAGAGUAAAUUAUUGUCACAAAAAACCAAGGCCCUCCCAUUGCAGCUGUUGGGCUUAAUUAAAAUGAGUUUUUAAUGUUCUAAAAAACAGAACAAGAAAAGGAAAUGAGCAUGAAAAAGAUGGUUGUUGCUUAAAAAAAUGGAGGUUUUGGGUUUGUUUUUUUUUUUUUUUUUGUAUUUAAGUCCAUGUUUGCAAUAACCUUUUGUUUCAAUAAGCAGCUGACCACAAAAAAAUUAUCCAAUUUCCAUUUCAAUAAUUUAAAAUUUGUAUUAUAUUUUAAAUAUUUUUUUAGGUAUCCCAGGAUUAAUAUUUGUGUGUGCAUGAGUCAUGACUCUCAAUCAAAUUAAUUUUAUGUAAUAUUUGAAUAGUAAUAGGAUUUAUGAUAAUAUUAUUUAUAUACUAAAUCCAUCUCCAUAAUUUUUCAAAGAUGAAAGAAAAAAAUAGGGUUAAUUAUGUAAAUUUGUAGUGUGAAACGGUUGCUUGAAACGGAUUAGGAGAGGUUCAAAUUGGUUUGGACUUUGGGUAGAAAAUGCAUUACACAUAAAGAUUAUAAUGCAUUUUUAAUUUAAAUUUGAAAAUAACAAAAAUAUAAUAUUCUAUAAUAUUUAAAUAAUAAAAGGAUUUAUGAGGAUAUUAUCAUAUAUAUGAAAUUAACUUAUAAGAUUUUGUAGUUAAGGGGAAAAAAAUUAGGAUUAAUUGAAAAGAAUUUUUUGAAAUUAUUAUGGGGCAUUAAUUAAUAAUAUUAAUAGCCAUAGAUAAAGAUUUAAAAAAAAUGAAAGUUGUAAAUAAUGAUAAAUAUAUUUGAAUGGAAUGAUUUUUAAUUCUUUUUUCUUUUUUUAGAAUUUGAGUGGAAUAGGGAAUGUGUUUGCUAAGAAUUUCGACCGACUCAAUAGAUAAUGUGAGUCUCCAAGCCAUGUUUCAGAAAUCUGGCGAUAUUCUGUUUUGUAAAGUGGUUGUGACCUUGGCUGAACCGAUGAUAUGUUGGAUUGAAUCUGUUCUUAAAGAUGUCUCCAAUUUCUACUUGUUCUGAAUGUGAGACAACACAUUGUCAUUAAUAUGAUUGAAUUUAGGAUGUUUUAUUUCUGUGUCAGUCUACCCAUGCAUUCACUUACACUCAUUCCUUGUCUUUGAAGGAGGAAAUGCCUCAACAUUCAAAAUAUUUUAUUUUUCCCAAACUGAAGUGAAGUAUUUGAUAGAAGUUCUACUAUUAUGGAAGUAUUGUUAUGAAUUGCUCAUCUAUUUGAGGUUAUAAUAUAAAAUACUAGCUUUUUAAAAGUAACGAAUUAAGGUAUGGGAAACGUGUUCUGUUAACUGUAGAAAUAUUUUUAUAUAUUUUAUGGUUAUUUAAAUAUAUUUUUUGGUUAUCUAAAUUUAAUGUUUCUAUCAUAAACUGGAUGUAUCUUGCAUGAAUAUAUAUAUAUAUAUAUAUAUAUAUAUGUAUAUAACAUGUUUGCUAGGAAAAAAAUGAUUUUGGAUAUAAACAAUUUCAAAGUAAAAAAUGAAUAAAUAAUUUUUUUCUGAUCAAGAGAUCUUGAAUAAUUUUGUCUCAACAGCUCUUAAAUAUAAAAUACUCAUCUAGAAUUUUUUUGCCUUGAUAUCAAGAAAACUUCUCAAAUAUGAGUAAACACUUUUUUUUUUUUAAAAAAAAAAAAGCCAGAUUCUUAAAGUACAGAUAUUUUCUCUUUAAAAAGACUUUUGUAUUUGGUUAUAUCCAAAAAUUUAAUUUUUAUUUAAUUAUAUUUUUUAAAGAUAUCAAAAUUACCCAUACUUUUAAUAAAAAUAUUAUUAAAACAAAAUAGUAAAAGUAUAAAAUGAAUGGUCCAACUCUAAAAAAACCUAUUAUAAAAUAGACCAUAUACCUCAUGUUUGAUGACUCCACUUAGACUACUAGAUUGUGGAUGUGAUGGGAGUGGAAGAGGAUGAAAGGGAGGCCAAAAGUGAACCCAUCUGGAAAAACUUUGAUUAUGGGUUGGAGAAAUUGAAUGUGGGUAGGGAUCAUAUUGUUUAUGUGAUCCUUUGUCAAUUGGGUUGUACUUCAUUUUCGUGAGUGCACACUAGACAGUAUUACAAAUGGUGUGGCCCUUGGACACGUCUAGAUGUUCAAGUAGGGUGUGAUGCCAGGGAAUAUAAAAAAAAAUUGUUAAGAAAGCAUUUUUAUUAUUAUACUAGAAUUUAGAAUCACAAUCUACAUGCUAUCUACAUUUUGCAAUGCAAGCAUAAUAGCAAGGAAGGUUAUCAAAUAUGAUUUUCAAGAUCUAAUUUUUAAAAUAAUUCUAAAUAGAAGAUCAAACUUUUUAAUUUUAUGUUCCAUAUAUAAAACAAUAUAAUAACCUUAGGAUAUGGUUUUUAUUUAUGAGAUAUUGAAAAUUAUUUUUUUUACAAGGUUCUUUAGAAAAUCUCAUUUUUUAUUUAAAAUAACAUAUUUAUUUUUAAAAAUAUAUUUAACAGAUAAUUUUGAGUUGUAAAAGAAUUAACAUAAUUAACACAUAUUUAUUUUAAAAUUUAAUUUUUAAUAUAAAAAUAUUAAUUUCAUUUUAUCAAAAAAAUAUUAAAAGUUAAUCUCAUCCUAAUUAUGAAAUUAGAAAAAUAAACUAAACGUGUUUGUAACCCAAACACAUGUAAAACAUUUUAUUGGACCACAAAAAUAAUAUUAAUUCAUAAUAUCAUCCUACUCUUUACUUAUACACUUAUUUGCUUAUACAUUGCUUUCAUUUGAGUUGAACUUGGUAUUUAGACAUGAAGCUUUGUUACAUUCCAAUAUUUAUUAGGUUUAUUAUUGUAUUUUAUGAAUCAUUGACCAUAAAGUAUUAUUUUUUACUUGAAUAAAUAUUAUUUUUUUUAUGUAAUAACCUUUUGUUAUUAUUUAUGUGAAGGCAAUUAUGACUGACUCCACAGUAGAAGUGCUAUGUCAUUGGAAUGGAAUAAUUUUGAGGACAGAAAUGGAUUUGAGAUAUAUUGGAAAUAAUGUAGAGAUUGAGCCUAUAGAUGUGCCAAUUCAUAUGACCUUUGUGGUGUUGUUGAAAAUGAUAUAUGAUAUCAUUGGUGUUGAUAGAGACUAUCAGUUAGUCUUGAAAUGUCGUCAUCCAACUGAAAUGAACAAAUUUCAACCAUUAGUGGUGAGAAAUGAUCGGAUAGUUGCACGUAUGCUACUGGUGCCAUCGAAGUAUGGAAUGUCUUCAGUUCAAUUUUCAUAGAGCAAACUCCCAACCAUUAUCAUUUGAGUAAUGAAAUGGGUCAUUUGACACGAUUAUCAACAAGUGAUACUGAUGUUGAUGACGAAAAUGAGAGAGAUGAGGAAGAUGAUGCAAUCGACACAGAUGAGAUUCAUUUACCUAAUGAUGAUGAAAAUUGUUGUCAAACAGAAAAUAUUGAUUUGGUGAUGGUCCAACAAGUUGUGGAAUGUGAAAGCAUAAGAUUUGUGAACCUUGAAGUUGGUGAUAGGUCUAAUAAUCCUGAGGUUGAGUUUGAGGUUGAAAACAUAUCAUUAGUUGCCUCCUCACAUGUACAUAAUUUAAUAUCUCUAAUGACAACCUAGAGGAAACAUUUGUACCCUUUUCAUACCAUAUGCCACCUACACCACAAUUUUUAAAUAUGGACAAGGCAAUUAAUUGUGUUGUAAGUGAUUGGACUCCAUGGAAAAAGCCAACUUUAGGAAAUGUUGAUGGAGAAUUAUCAAUUGGCCAAAUAUUUUCCUCAAAAUCAGAUUUGCAACAUGCUGUGAAGAUGUUUUCCAUAAAGGCGCACCAAGAGUUUACUGUUUAUAGAUCAAAUGCAAGUGUGUUAGUUCUUCAAUGUAAAAAAGCACCAGAGUGCCAAUGGCGACUAAGGGCAAUGAUAGUGAAAGAUACGGGUAUGUUUAGAAUCACAAAGUACAAAGUUCCUCAUACAUGUGUCAAUCCAUGUAUUAAGCAAGAUCAUUCACAGUUGGAUUCUAGCUUUGUAUCUAAGUAUAUUGAAACAUUGGUGAAGGCAGAAAUGACCAUUACAGUUGCUGCAAUUCAAGCUGUUGUUGCGGAACAAUUUGGUUACCAAAUUUCUUAUCAAAAAGCAAUGAAGGCAAAAAGGAAAGCAAUGACUCGAUUAUUUGGUGAUUGGUACAAGUCUUAUGUAGAGUUGCCUCGUUUCUUCCUUGCCUUGGAGCAAUCAAAUCCUGGAUGCAUUAUGUAUUCCAAAAUGGUUCCUGGAAACAAUCCGAAUGAAGAAAUUUUUCAGCGUGUUUUUUAGGCAUUCGCUCCAUCUAUUAAAGGGUUUGCACACUAUCGACCAGUUCUCAGUAUUGAUGGGACACAUUUGUAUGGAAAAUAUAAAGGGACUUUGCUGAUUGCUAUGGGAUGUGAUGGUAAUAACCAAUUGUUUCCACUUGCAUUUUCCAUUACAGAAGAAGAAAAUACAGAUAGUUGAAGUUGGUUUUUGGCAUGUAUCAGAGUUGGAGUACCACAAAGGAAAGGGUUGUGUCUGAUUUCUGAUCGUCAUCCUGGCAUUAUAGCUGUUGUCAAUGAAACAUAUUCGGGAUGGACUCAGCCAGAUGCUUGUCAUAGAUUUUGCAUGCGUCAUUUAGCAAGUAAUUUCAACACAAAGUUCAAAGAUAAGACUUUAAAGGAUCUCAUGUGUAGGGCUGCUAUGGAGAGUAAAGUUAAAAAAUUUAUUUCUCACAUGGAUACAAUUGGCCAGAUAAAUGUCGAGGCUAGAAAUUGGUUGGAGCAAAUUCCUUUUGAAAAAUGGGCACUCUCAUAUGAUGGUGAGCGGAGAUAUGGGAUUAUGACAACUAACAUGUCUGAAGUUUUUAAUGGUGUCCUUAAGGGUGCUCGUAACUUACCAAUAACAGCUUUAGUCCAGUUAACUUUCUAUCGGGUUAACAGUUACUUCACAGUCAGGCGGGAGCAUGGUGCCAGUGAUUCGUCCCUAGCAGCUGAAGUGGCAAUGGCACCAUUUGAUUCGGGGUUCGAUUCCCGGCAACGACGCCAUUUGAUUCGUGCCCAAUUGGUGUCUCAGCUGAUUCGUGUCCAGCUGGUGCUCCUUGAUUGAGGGAGUAAUCAACAAAAUUUAUAACCUAUUACACCAUAUACUAGGGUAGCAAAGACAAAGCUACUAUAGUAUAGUGGCUCUAAGAUCGUUCACUGGGAUGGGUUUUCACUUCACAAUUGAUAUCAAUUCAAAGCUGAAUUGGUGUCUUUUCAUUUCAAGGUUAGCUUUAAAAGAAAACAUAAAGAUGUUUGAAUGAAAAAGGUUGGUUUUAAGCUAACCAAAAAUAGAAACUGAUUUUACUUAUAAAGAAAAGAUGUUUCUUGGAGUUCAGAUCACUAGGCUCAGAUUCCUCAUACAAAAAGGGAGUUCCGGUCACUUGUUUCUUUUCCUCGCAUUAGAGAAUUAACAUAUAGUUCCUUCUCCAACCGGUGUUGUACAGAUGCUUUCCAUUAAUGGGUUCAAACACUAAAUCCCUCUCACUGAUGCACCUUGCAAUGGCUCAUACCUCUCACGAGCACUUACCAUUCAAGAUGAUCUCUAACCUUGGACUUCCCUUCAAAAGCUCGCAAGAGAUAACUAAUGGAUGUCUCCUUGGAGUCCAAAAGCUUACCAAGUGUUGGCUAUUCUAGAAAAUCCUACCUUCAAGUCACCUCCCAAAGGCUCGCAAGGGGUAAACUAGUGCAUCUCCAUGGACGGAAAUCACUUGCCUUACCAAGUGUUGGCCCAGGUGAUUUAAAGGCGUUUUAAGUUAACUAAAAAGAUAAAAACCAUUAACGGGUCACACUUUCUCUUCAUUAAAAACUAAAACAACAAAACUUCCAAAUUAUGCAUGUGGAAACUUACCCGGCUUUCCUUACUCCAAGAGACAAAAAGCUUAGCCUCUCAUCUUCUAAGGAAAAAUCCUCAGAGUUUGGUUGGCUAGAAAUAAAAAGAAAUGAAAAAUGAAAGAGAAGGAAAAACAGAGCAAGGCUCUGUAUAUUCUAUAUAUUGAUCGAUCUGAUUACAUAUAUGAUCUAUGAUGAUUUUACAGUGGAUGCAAGGGAAUAUAUAUAGAGACGUUUUUCCAACUUUCCUCACUAAGAAAUCUUAUGGUUGGUGGCUUACAAGGAGAAGAAUGGAAAUUUAUACAAAAAUAUCUGAAGAAAAGAUCUAAAAGAGUCGGUGCACAAAUAUCAGGAAGCACUAAGGACAUUUCGCAGGUGAAAACGAGGUCUGCGAGAUUUCGCAAACACUCAAGAAGGCUGCGAAAUAUUUUCGCAACAACAAGUUAAACUCGCAGGGCUGCGAAGUUGGCUUCCAACUUGAGGUUCUCAGCGUUCCAGCUUGCGGCAUGUAUCGGGUAGCUUCAGGAGGAAUUCCAUAGCACUGUACAAAAAGGCUGCGAAAUUCUCGCAACAAAAGGCUGAUUUCGCAACACUUUGGAGUGAUCUGCUUGCAAUGGCUAUAACUCCUUCGUUUCAACUUCGAAUUGCACACCGUUUGAAGCAUUGGAUUUUUGACUUCCUGAGCUUUGAAAUGGUAUAUAGAAUGUAGAAAAUGGACUUCAGGAAGUGUUCCAAAAGUGCAAAAGAAGACUGUAGCUAGCUUUCCUCUGUUUUCUUCACUCUAUUUUUCCUCUCUCCAGUACUCUUUCCUUGCAUACUUUGAACGACUUUGGCAAAGGGCUAUGGAGCUCCAAAGCUUGGUUCUUCAUGAAUUUGAGCUUCCAAAAGCUUUGCCAUGAACUAUAUACAAUUCUCCCUCAUUCUUGGAUUGUUUUGGUGAUCAAAUUACUAACAAAAACACCAAAACUUACACAAUUUGAUUAGAAAUGAUUGCAAGGGUCCUUAACAUGUUAAUUGGGUUAAAAGGCAAUAACUACUACUCAAAAGUGUUUAAAAGAGUUAAUUACAAGCUAUCAAAUAGCACUUUUUAAGUAGUAAUCAGCCAGUCGACUCGCUUCAGGUGAAGAAUUCACUCCACAUAUUGACGCCAAGAUAAAGGCUAAAGUUGUUAAGGUGGGUGCACAUGAGGUUCUUUUGUAUCAUCAUGUGGAGGGACGUUUUCAUGUUAAAACUAGACACUCUGUUGGAAGCAGUAAUAGGAAACCUUGCACAUAUCAUGUUACCCUUCAAACGGGGUCUUGCACAUGUAACAAAACACUUUUGUUAGGAUUCCCAUGUUCGCACAUUCUUACUGCUUGUCAUUGGCGAGCAAUUGAUUUUCGACAAUUUGUACAAGGUUAUUACACCACACGUGCUUACCUAUCAACAUGGGCUCCCUUGUUUUAUCCCAUAUUUGAUGAGUUGGAGUGGCCUCAAUAUAAUGGACCGAUAAUUGUGCCUUCAGACUCAAUGAAACGGCUAACUUCUGGUCGACCAAAAUCAAGUCGUUUGCAUAAUGAGAUUGAUGCAGGAGAAACUAGGACUCCACAAACAUGUGGACUUUGCAAGCAAUCAGGUCACAAUCGAUGUUCUUGUCCUAAUAGAGAAACCAAUGAUAGGAGGAGUUGAUGUACUUCAUGAGCAUCUUAUUGUACUGUUUUUUUUUUUUUUAAUUUACUAGUAUUGACCUUAAUCGUUUUAAGAUAUAUGUAGAAACUAUCUUAUUGAACAUCUUAUUGACGUUUGUUUGUUUGAAAUUAUUAUUUUUUGUCAAUUCAUUCUUAUUUUGCUUAUAUCAGGUUACAUGAAAAAAAUAUUAAUCUCUAUUAUUUAGGGGAGAUGUUGUUCAAAUUUUUAAAAUUUUAAUAAUGAAAUUCAUGUUGUUAGAAAUUGUUGUUUUUUUGUCAAUUCAUUCAUAUUUUACUUAUAUCAGGUUACAUUGAAAAAUUUUGAAUCUCUACUGUUUAGGGGAAAUGUUGUUCAAAUUUUUACAAUUUUAAUAAUGAAAUUCAUGUUGUUAGAAAUUGUUGUUUUUUUGUCAAUUCAUUCAUAUUUUACUUAUAUCAGGUUACAUUGAAAAAAUUUGAAUCUCUAUUGUUUAGGGGAAAUGCUGUUCAAAUUUUUACAAUUUUAAUAAUGAAAUUCAUGUUGUUAGAAAUUGUUGUUUUUUUGUCAAUUCAUUCAUAUUGUACUUAUAUCAGGUUACAUUGAAAAAUUUUGAAUCUCUACUAUUUAGGAGAAAUGCUGUUCAAAUUUUUACAAUUUUAAUAAUGAAAUUCAUGUUGUUAGAUAUUAUUGUUUCUUGUCAAUUCAUUCAUAUUUUGUUUAUAUCAUGUAUUGAUGUACAUGCAGACAUGGAUACUCCGUUGUUUCGUGCUCGUCUUGACCCUGAGGAUACAUCUGUGCUUACUCUUCAGCAUUAACAUCGAUCAUCCACCAUUCGUGUUGAUCCAGAUAUGGGUAGUGUUUUGACUUGUCGACACAGGAUGCUUCGAGAGUGGGUUUUGGAUGAUCGUGUUCGGCCAUACAUUAUACAGUCAAGAUUUUAUGUCUUUCAUCGAGUGGGCCAUGUUAAGGUUGAUUGGCCUUUGAUUACUGCACUGGUAGAGAGAUGGCGCCCAGAGACGCACACAUUCCACAUGCCAGUUGGUGAGAUGACCAUCACAUUGCAGGACGUAGCCAUCUUAUUUGGAUUACGUGUACAUGGCCAUCCUGUCACUGGUUCUACAAAUAUUGAUUGGCAUGCACUUUGUGAGGAGUUAUUGGGUGUUCGACUGACAGAGACUGAUAUUCAUGGAGCAUCUCUUAUAGUUCGUUUUAUUACUACCCAUUUCUCCCACUUACCACCAGGGGUUGUAGAUGAGGUUACGUUACAACGCCAUGCUAGAGCUUAUCUUUUAUUGUUAGUUAGUGGUUCAUUAUUUACAGAUAAGAAGGGGGUUUACAUCCAAUUAGCAAUUCUACCCAUGUUAAGAGAUUUUGGUGAGACUGCACAGUAUAGUUGGGGGAGUGCGACACUAGCACAUCUUUAUCGAGAGUUAUGUCGAGCUAGCUUAGAUAGUGCAGAAUCUAUUGCAGGACCAUUACAUUUUUUGCAGGUAUAACUACUAGUCUUAUUAAUUAUGUAAUUUUUUCAUAAUUAUGUGCAUUUAAACAUAAUUUUAUUUCAUUUUUAGCUAUGGUCAUGGGAGCGAUUACAUGUGGGUCUUCCUAGUAAAUCACUUCCCCAUGCACCAGUGCCUGUAGAUGAGAGAUUCCCACCAGAUGCACUAGGGAGUAGGUGGAGAGUUCCCUUAUCUCAUACAGACACUCCUCAUCAUGUGUUGGUCACAUACAGAGAUGAGUUUGAUAGACAGUGAUCUGAUCAGGUUUGGGCUAAAUAUUAGUAUUCUUUAACAUGAACAUCUUAAUAUUAAUAAUAUAAUUUAUACUUUAUUAAAUACAUACUCAUCUAUGAAUAUAUCAGGUAUUAUGGCAGCCUUACACAGAUGAUAUACUAGCGUUGCUUCCAGACAUUUGUUUAGCUGAUCAGGAUAUUUGGCAGACGAUGUCACCACUUUUUUUUUUUUUAUAUUGUUGAGUGGCAUCGUCCUGAGCGUGUGUUGCGACAGUUUGGACUCAUAUAGGGUAUUCCUUCGACACCCCCUAUAGAUUCUGACCUUCACUCCAUAGAUCGACGUGGUCAACCUCAGUUUGAUUGGAGGUUGUAUCAUGAGCACUACGUGGCAUUAUGGGAGGCUAGAGGGGACCACAUUGUCACUAUGGAGCCUAUAGGGCCUCAUAUGGACUACCAUGCUCCGUACAUGACAUGGUAUCGUCAUAUUACACGUCAUUUUAUUACACCUAUGAAUGAUUUUGGACCUAUGCGGUACCAGGCUACUGCUUUAUUUGCCCACUUAUUGGUUUGUAUCACUUUAAUAUUAUGUACAUAUUCUGUAUAAUAUUUAUUCCAACAAAUAAUUAUAUAUCAUUUUAUGUGACAGAUUGAGACUAUGACAUCAAUCAUAUCUCGAGGAGGUCAUGCAUUGGAGGACUCUGAUACUGAUGCUUGCCGCACUGGUAUUGUUGAUAUUAUUCGUAUGGCCACUGAUGUUAUGUGCAUUAUUCGGGAGGAUUAUCGUCUCCCACAUGUAAAGCAUGGAGGAGAUAGGUCACUAGCUCAGUCAACAGUUGCUCGACCACCACUUGUUCGAGGUCGGUCGACAUCUCGAGGGAGAGGUAGAUAUAGUAGUUGUCAGCCCAUCACAUCGUCAGUAUCAGCAUCAUUACAGCCCCCUACCUUUUUAUCGUCACGAUUAGUACAGUCACCCAUCUCUUCAGACGUACCAUCAGUGCAGCACCCUACUUCUUCAGACCCACUAUCAGCCCAACCCCUUACUUCUUCAGACCCACCAUCAGUACAACCCCCUACCUCUUUAGACCUACCUCCAUUACAACCUCUUAUCUCUUCAGACCCACCAUUAGUGCAGAUUGACACAUCUACUCAGCUAGAUUUACCACCAGCCAUUCCGAGGGGUAGGUAGGGCCUACGUCGACCUAGAUUGCUACCUCCACCACCACCUCUAUUUCCAGCUCUAGCCCCAUAACAGACAGAUGUUCUUCAUGUGUCACAUGCAAUACCUGCUACAGUUAGAGAGGAGCGUCCAAAAAGGAAGAGAGUACCAGUUACACAUAGGUUCUCUCCUUGUGGAGGCAUGUGAGAUUAUAUAUGUUUUUUAUUUUCCACUAUAUUAAUGUUUAGUGGAUAUUUUUUGUGACUUUAAUUAAACUAUUAAAAAUUACAUUUUGUAGUAGACUUUUUGUAAUUAAUUUCAUUAACUAAUUUUGUAAAAAAAUCUAUAUAUGACAACUACGGCCUUAGAGUAUGUUAUUAUUUUGUUAAAGAUAAAUUUAUCAUAAUACAAAUAAAUUAAUAUCUUAAAAAUUAACAAAUUAAAUAUCUUAAAUUAAUAAAUUAUACAAUUUUAUAUAUUAUUUAUAUGUUAUAUAAAUUUAUUAUUUUAAGAUUAUUAAUUUAUUAAUAAAUAAAACACUCAUUUAUAAUAUCUUCUAUUUAUUAAUUUAUGUUUGUUGAAGUAAUACUAGAUUUUUAAGUUUAAAUAUAAAUAAUUUAUUAUUUAAGUAUAUUUUUUAAAUUUCAAUCAUAAAUUGUGAUUUAAUAGUUUUUAAUUAAAUUUGAAAGUAAAAAAAAAAUAUUAUAAUUGAAAUCUUAGUUAUCAACUACUAUACUAUUAUUUCGAUAAAGAUAAAUUUAUCAUAAUAUAAAUAAAUUAAUAUCUUAAAAAUUAACAAAUUAAAUAUCUUAAAUUAAUAAAAUAUACAAUUUUAUAUAUUAUUUAUAUGUUAUAUAAGUUUAUUAUUUUAAGAUUAUUAAUUUAUUAAUAAAUCAAAUAUUAAUUUAUAAUAUCUUCUAUUUAUCAAUUUAUGUUUGUUGAAAUAAUACUAGAUUUUUAAGUUUAAAUAUAAAUAAUUUUUUAUUUAAGUAUAUUUUUAAAAUUACAAUCAUAAAUUGUAAUUUAAUAGUUUUUAAUUAAAUUUGAAAGUAAAAAAAAAUAAUAUUAUAAUUGAAAUCUCAGUUAUCAACUACUAUACUAUUAUUUCGAUAAAGAUAAAUUUAUCAUAAUACAAAUAAAUUAAUAUCUUAAAAAUUAACAAAUUAAAUAUCUUAAAUUAAUAAAUUAUACAAUUUUAUAUAUUAUUUAUAUGUUAUAUAAGUUUAUUAUUUUAAGAUUAUUAAUUUAUAAUAUCUUCUAUUUAUCAAUUUAUGUUUGUUGAAAUAAUACUAGAUUCUUAAGUUUAAAUAUAAAUAAUUUAUUAUUUAAUUAUAUAUUUUUAAUUUUAAUAAUAAAUUGUAAUUUAAUAGUUUUUAAUUAAAUUUGAAAGUAAAAAAAAAUAUAUUUGAAAUCUCAGUUACCAACUGCGACUUAAAAGUAUACUAUUAUUUCGAUAAAAAUAAAUUUAUCAUAAUAUAAAUAAAUUAAUAUCUUAAAAAACAACAAAUUAAAUAUCUUAAAUUAAUAAAUUAUACAAUUUUAUAUAUUAUUUAUAUGUUAUAUAAGUUUAUUAUUUUAAGAUUAUUAAUUUAUUAAUAAAUAAAACGUUCAUUUAUAAUAUCUUCUAUUUAUUAAUUUAUGUUUGUUGAAGUAAUACUAGAUUUUUAAGUUUAAAUAUAAAUAAUUUAUUAUUUAAGUAUAUUUUUAAAUUUCAAUCAUAAAUUGUAAUUUAAUAGUUUUUAAUUAAAUUUGAAAGUAAAAAAAAAAUAUAUAUUAUAAUUGAAAUCUCAGUUAUCAACUGCUAUACUAUUAUUUCGAUAAAGAUAAAUUUAUCAUAAUACAAAUAAAUUAAUAUUUUAAAAAUUAAAAAAUUAAAUAUCUUAAAUUAAUAAAUUAUUUAUAUGUUAUAUAAGUUUAUUAUUUUAAGAUUAUUAAUUUAUUAAUAAAUAAAUUAUUCAUUUAUAAUAUCUUCUAUUUAUCAAUUUAUGUUUGUUGAAGUAAUACUAGAAUUUUAAAUUUAAAUAUAAAUAAUUUAUUAUUUAAGUAUAUAAAUUAUAAUUUAAUAAUUUUUUAAUUAAAUUUUAGAUUUAAAUAAAAAUUAACUAAAGUCAUAGUUGCCAACCGCGGCUUUAGUUAAAAAAUGAAGCCGCGUUUAGCAACUGCGACUGUAGUACAAAAAUGAAGCCGCGUUUGCCAACUGUGACUUUAGUACAAAAAUGAAGCCGCGUUUGCCAACUGCGACUUUCACUAUAAUGACGAAAAAAAAAAAAUUUAAUGACAUGGCGCCUACGUGGCAUCAAAGAGGUCAAUUUGAACAGAAGUUUAAAAAAGUGGUUAGAUGUUAUAAUUUUUUUCAAAAAUGGGUCAUUUUGACCCAAAACUCGAAAACGGAGGUAAGUCAGGUCAAGUGGGCCCACCUGACCUACCACAUUAAAUUGUUUGGAAAGUGGAAAUUCAAACUAAAAUUGCCUAGAAAGUGAUUUCCCAUUUGCCUGGAAAUUGCCUUGAAACUGGGAACUCAGCUAGAUUUAAAAGCAACAAACCUGGCUGUUGCUUUUUGAUUUUACACCAAAAACUUUCUCAAUAACCCCAUUUUUUUAAAAGAAAAUUUGAUGGAAACAUUAUAUAUAUAUAUAUAUAUAUAUAUAUAUAUAUAUUAAUUAAUAAAAAUAAAAUUAUAAUUCAAAUAAUUUUUAUUUCCUUUAUUUAUUUACCCUUUUUACCCCAUAAGGGUGAAAAAAAAAAGAAAAAAAAAACUAAAUUGCAAAUAAAAUGAGAAUAGAAAUUUAACAAACAUUUCUUACUUUUUAUUGCUGAAUAUAGGAAUUUACAAGUUGAAGAUACAACUGAUUGUAUUUCUCUUGAUCUCUCUAUUGAUUGCUUUUUGAUCGCUCGCUUGCUUGCUCUAUCAGUUUACAACAAAAAUAUUUACAAAGUUUUCAAAUGUUUAGUUAACAAUAAAUGUAAAGAAGGUAAGAUUUGACUUUUCUUUCUUCUUUACCAUCCGUCUAGUGGCUUCUUCCUUAUCUCUUUCUUCUUUUUUAUCACAUGCAGUAUACAUGGCUUUAUUGAUUAUGGACUUCUAAUGUUGUAUUAAAUUCUUGUAGUUGAAGACAUAUUUCGUGCUUCAAUGUCGUCAUUGCUAACAUCAACGUUCCAUUGCAUUUUGUAGAUUAAAAUAACUUUCGUCGUUAAGGUUUUCCCAAAAUGAUGCAUCAUCGCUGAGGUAAGAAGAUGGUUCUGGUAAUUCUACAUCGAGUUCGAUUAUAAAAUCUUGUUCUUCAGAAGUAAUGAAAGGUUUCAGAACAAUAAUGUGUUCUAAAGGUUUGUUUCUCCAUAUAGACAUUUCUACAAUGAGAUGAAAUAAUUUAUUUCAGGUUGGUUUAAGAUCAUAAAUUUGAAAGGCUCUAAAGUGAGUAAAAAAUUCUGAAAAUUCAUUCGAAUUGGUCAUUUCCCAUUCUGGUUCUUGUUGAGGGAUGAGUGAUUCUUUAUUGUGUUUUAUAUAAACAUGGUGAUAGAUUAGCACUAUUGAUCAAUUGGUUUGAAAUAAAGGUGGAAUGGUUUCAAAAGAAAUGUCGAUUUGUUUUUUGGUUUUUAAAAUUAGUUGUUUAGCUAAACUGUUAACUUUAGUUGAAAGUAUUUAAUUUUAAGAAUAAAAUUUAGAAAAAGUAUAAAUCUAAAAUAAUCCUAUAAAAUUAGGAUUGGAUAGAUAAAUUCUAAACAUAAAACAUCAUUGCAUGAAAUAUUAUACAUAAAAUGUGAAAUACAUAUCAUGAAUUUUAUUUUAUAUUUAUAAUAUUAAAAAUAAAAUAGAAUUAACAAAAAUAAGUUAAAAUUAUUUUAUUAAUAUAUAUUGACAAAUAAAAGAUAAAAAUUAUAAUAUAUAUAUUUAGAAAAGUUAAAAUGAAAAAAGAGAGACAAUUGUCACACAAUGGUCUCCCUUUGUCACACAAUGGAGAGACCUUGUCAAUCGGGAAUGAAGUUACACUUUUAAAAAUUACUAGUAGAAAGCACGUGCGAGGCACAUGAAGAUGUACGUAGGUAUAUGAUUGUGAAUGUGCAGAUAAAUGGAAUGAAAGAUAUAAUGUUUGAAAAGGUAAUUAGUAAGUGAAUUAUCUUUUAAUAUAGAUAUAAUAAUUUAAAUUUCUUUACUUUUAAUAAUCUAUAAAUAAUUUUAAAUUGAUUAACAUAAUAUAUAAAAUGACGUAAUAUACCUAUAAUUUAAUUAAUCCAUAAAUAAUAAUUAUAAAUAGAAAUAUCAAAAUAUUAUCAUAUUUGAUUAUAGUAAUAGAUACUAUAUAUAAAUAUAUUAUUAUAAUAUAAGAUGAUAUUUUACCUUUCUUUAAAUUCUUUAUAUUUUUAUAAUUUAGUAAUUAAGUUAGUUAUUAAACUUAUCUUAAAGAUCAUAUAUUUGUUUUUUAAAUUUUAGUUUCUUGUUCAUCAAUAUUUCAAAUAAAUUAUUUAAAUUAAAAUUUAUUAUUGUAACUCAAGGAUGUACUUAAAGAAAAAUAGAUAGAACAUAAAAAAAUAUGUUAUUAUAGUCACGAUUUAGGUAAAAUCACAACCAAACAAAUAUGUGUCAUAAUUUACAAGUUUUGUAAUCCACCAUUGUUGUAAUGUACUCUUUUAACAAAUUUACUUAGUUGGUUUCUUCCAUAAGUUUGAAGCAAUACCUGUUUAUCUUUGUAAUUGCCUGAGUUAAAUUCAUUUCUUUUCUCUCUUGCAAAAAAGUUAUAUAUAUUUUAAAAGGUAUUAGGUGAAACAGAAAAAUGAUGCUUUAACCAUCGGUCAAACUAGUGAACCAUGAAUUAGUAAUUUUUUUUUAUUCAAUGACUGAUUUUAUUCUAAAAACAUUGAUUUAAAAGAUUUCAAAUUAACACUACCUAAAGGCAUUGAUAUAUAUGUAGAGGCUUUGGGUGUCAAUUAAGCCUAAAUAUUUAAUUGCAUCUCUUCUAGUAUUUAGGCAUGCACACAUGAUACAACUUUUUGUUUGAAUUAUAUUACAUACUAAUAAUAUUAUUAAAGAAAACUUAGAAAUAAACAUUUAAUGACUCAAAUUUUCUUUAUUUCUGAAAUUAAAUUAUACUUCUCUUCUUUAAACAAUUUUUUCAUAAAUGAAUGUGUUCAGACAUUUUUCAAGAUCUAUUUAUCUCGAUAAACAUAACUUUCAAAAUUUUCUUUUAACUUCUCUUCAUUUAUAUUCAUAUUUGUUUUGAAUUAAUUUUGAUUUAUCUAUUAAAAAUUAGUUGUAGUUUACAUUCUUUGUAUAAUAUUUAUUAUCAUCAUCAUUAUAAUAACAAAUAAAUGAUUAAAAAUAUUUGUUCAAAAAUGAGGUUAAAAAAUUUUAUAUAAGAAAAAUAAAAUGUGGUAAACUUGUUUUUAGGCAAACCCUUAAAUAUUUUCAUUAAUUAAUAAUUAUUUUAUUUUAUUUUUUUUUACAAAUUUUCCAAAUUCAUGUGAUAUAAUUUGAGUGAAAAUUUAUUAAAAACUCGAAAGAAAAAUAAAUAUUUGAUAUAUUAAUAAUUUAUACUUCUAGGUAAUAAAAUCUUCUUGUCCAACUCACGUAUUCAAUUAAUAAUCCUAAAUAUAUAAGAUAAUAAUUUUUUUAGAAAUUCUUAAGAGUCCAAUAAAAUAUAAAUUAAUAACUAAUGAAAUAUGUAAAGAAAAAAAAAUCAUAAUGCAAACUUUCUCAAAAUAUACAUUGAAAUUUUAAGUGUCUGCUCAUAAAAAAACAAUGAAAUCCCAAAUCCCAAUUUUAGCGAAGAAGAAGAAAUGUGAAUCCCAGGCUUUCAACUUCAAAACCGGAGAAAAGAAUGUACAAUUUAUUCAAAACUUUUAGGCCCCACUUAAAAACAUGGAAAAUUUGACAAUAAUGAAACCGCAUGGAAAACGGAGGUAAGUCAUGUCAAGUGGGCCCACCUGACCUACUGCAUUAAAUUGUUUGGAAAGUGGGAAUUCAAACUGAAAUUGCCUGGAAGUGAUUUCCCAUUUGCCCGGAAAUUGCCUUGAAACUGGGAACUUAGCUGGAUUUAAAAUCAGCAAACCUGGUUGUCAGUUGAUCAGCAACAACUGUGAAAACAAGUAAUGGCUGAAAGUAUUGUCACCGUUUUUCUAGAGAAGUUAACUGACCUGCUUUCCCAGGAAGCAUUUCUACUCAGCAGAGUGGAAGAGCAGGUGAAUCUGUUGAGUAUUGACCUCGAAUGGAUGCGCCAUUUUCUCAAAGACGCGGAUGCGAAGCGCAGAUAUGAUCCAAGAAUCAAGCUCUGGGUGAGUCAGAUCAGGGACGUAACCUAUGACGCCGAAGAUGUCAUCGACAGGUUCAUGUUCGAGAUGAAUCACCAACAGCAAGGAAGUCUCAAAUGCCUCAAGUUCCUUAAGUUACGAUUGGUUCACAAGCUCGAGUCUCGAAUCAGAGAGAUCAAUACCAAGAUUGAGAAGAUCAAGGCUGCCAAAUCAACGUUCGUUGUCGAAACCUUACCAGCUGCAAGCUCGCCCAACGAAGUUGUGCCACAUAGAGAGAGGAGGGCUCCGAUUGUGGAAGAAGUCAACGUGGUGGGAAUUCAAGAGGAUGCAAAAAGCGUCAAGCAAAAGCUGCUUAAUGGAGAGAUGCGGAGAGCUGUGGUGUCCAUCGUGGGCAUGGGUGGCUUGGGAAAGACUACCCUGGCUAAGAAAGUCUACAAUGAUAAUGAUGUCCAGCAAUGCUUUGAUUGUCAUGCUUGGAUUUAUGUCUCUCAAGAGUAUACAAUCAGGGAGCUUUUGCUGGGCAUUGCUGUUCGUGUUGGGAUUCUCUCCGAAGAGGAAAGGAGUAAAAUGAACGAGAGCGAUUUGGGGAAUAGUCUUCGUGAUUACCUGACUACCAAGAAGUACUUGAUAGUUAUGGAUGAUAUGUGGAGAAAUGAAGCUUGGGAUAGGUUGGGCUUGUAUUUUCCUGACUCGGUGAAUGGCAGCAGAGUAUUGAUCACCUCACGCAAUAAAGAGAUUGGUCUUUAUGCUGAUCCACAAACCAUUCCCCAUGAACUUUCUUUUCUGACUGAAGAAGAGAGUUGGGAGCUCUUUCUCAAGAAAAUUUUUCUGGCUGGGAGUGCAAAUGCUGUUUGCCCCAGAGAACUGGAAGAGUUGGGAAAGAAAAUUGUAGCAAAUUGUGGGGGUUUGCCCCUUGCAAUUGUGGUCUUGGGAGGCCUUCUAUCAAGAAAAGAAAAGACACCGCUCUCCUGGCAAAAAGUAUUGGACAGCCUAACUUGGCACCUAAAUCAAGGUCCAGACUCAUGUUUGGGGGUCCUUGCUUUAAGCUACAAUGAUAUGCCGUAUUACUUGAAGUCCUGUUUCCUUUACUGUGGUCUUUUCCCAGAAGACUCAGAAAUCAGGACAGAUAAGUUGAUCCGCUUGUGGGUUGCAGAAGGGUUUAUACAGAGAAGAGGAGAAGAAAUAGGGGAAGAUGUCGCGGAAGAUCACUUACAGGAAUUGGUACAUAGAAGCAUGAUUCAAGUGGCUGCCAGGAGUUUCGAUGGAAGAGUGAUGUCCUGUCGCAUGCACGAUCUGCUUCGAGACCUUGCCACUUCUGAGGCCAAAGAUACAAAAUUUUUUGAGGGAUAUGGAAGCAUGGAUUCUACAUCCCCUGUUAGUGUUCGUCGACUAACCAUUCAUCAAGGUAAGAAGACUAAUUCUAAACACUUGCAUACUUCACGUAGUCUCCGAUCUUUCAUUUGUUUUUCUGUAUGCUUCCAAGAAAACAUUUUGAGAUCUUUACACAGGCGUGUCAAAUUGCUCACUGUACUGGACCUAGAACGCAUGCCUAUCAAUACCAUCCCAGAAGGCAUAGGAGAACUUAUACACCUUAAGUACCUGUGCUUAAAGUAUGAUAGCCCUUUAGUUCUUUAGAAUAAUAUAAAAGAAAGUAUACCCACUAAAAGACUACGAUCCUCUUUUAAGUUCUCUAUAACUAGAUGUAAUUGAGAAUAGUGAGUUUUUCAUUAAUAACCACCAAUAUUUUAUAAUCGGAUUGGAAUUGUUCCCCUAAAGUGAAUGCAACCGAUUAGGAAUACGAUCAUAGAAUAGGAUAUGAUCUAAAUCUAGUAUACAAUAAUUUCUUAAUCCAUGAGGGUCAUUGUUUUCCCAAGAAGAAAUUUAGACCAUACCACCAGAAGUGGUGAAAUGAAAUGAAAAAAAAGGGUUAGGUUUGUAGUAUAAGCCUACCAAAGCUGAACAAAAAAUCAUUGUUGAUGCAUGCUAGUCAUAUGAUCAAGCAUUUCAUUGAAUUUUACCAAAAUUAAAAGCAAAAAAAUUAGUAAAUAGAAGGUUAACAUAUCUAGAUUAUUAUAACUUUCCUUAGAAAUCCUAAUGAUAAAAUUUACUAAUUGAUUGGUGAUGGAAAAAAUGUUUAUUCUCAUGUAGGAUCUUUACUUUCUUAUGUUGUGUCUUUUUAUCUAAUAUAGUACACAUCAUAUUUGCUAAUAAAUGUUUAUGUUUUAUUUACAUAUAGUAUUGAUUGCUUAAUAAGUAUAUUCUAAGUUGUCUAUCUCAUUAAUUGUACAAAAUGUAAUAAUUGAUGUCAUUACCAUAUCAAUUUAUGGAAACUUGAUUGAAAGCUCUUGAAGAGCUUAUAUUAUGUCACUAGUUGAUCGAUGUCAUUACUACAUAUAUGAAUUUAUAAAAAUCCGAUUAAAGGCUCUAGACGAGCUCAUACUAUGUUACUAAUGGCACACGAAUCCAUAUGAAUGAUACUUGACAUUCUAUCAAAUCUAGAAGAAUUUGAGAUGACCAACUUGGUCCCCCAGGGUGAACAAUGAUGCAUCAACUCCUUGAAAUAUGAAAUGGGGAUUCAUUAAAGAACUAGAAGUUUCUUCAACUAGUGACUAGUAUAUUUGAACCUUUGAAGGAUAUUAUUACGUGUCAUGUAAAUUUCUAGUUUAAAGAGACAAUUUCCCACCAUUAGGGGGAGGCAAGUCAUUUCUAGAAGAAUGGCGAGACAUUACAUGGUCUGUACCCUCUUUGUCUCAUCUGCAUCCCCGUACAAGGUAGUUUGAACUAGAAGUUCAAAGGAUUAUUCAUUUGUAAGGACUUGCAAAUUAGUUACCUAAUGUUUUCACAAAUAUAAAAAAGUAACAAAGUCACACGUGUCGGCUGUGAAUACCCUGACACAUAUUGAUGUCCCUAAAAGACAAUUGAAAAAUGCCAUAGCAAGUGAAUCUAAUACACACUUAAAGCAUGGUAGACCUGUUGGAUCAAAUGAUUCAGUUCCUAAAAAAAAAAAAAAAAAGGAACAACAUAUUAAAAGUUUGGUACUCUUGAAGAGCUUACAAAUAUGAAAGGGUCAAAUGAUGAAAACCAACUUGUUAAACAGUUAGCCCCUGAAGAGAUCCAAAUUGAUCAAAUACCGGUAUCUAGAAUUGAAGAGAUCUCAAUGAGUCACACAAGAGAAACAAGGAACCACAAUGACAUCAUCAUAGACAAUAUAUUUGCAUUCCGAGUAGCUAUAGAUCUCAUGAGAAAUGAUGAAGAUCAAAAACCACAAAUUGUGGGUGAAUGUCAAAAAAGGAAUGAAUGACCAAAAUGGAAAGAAACAAUCAAAAUAGAGCUAAACUCGUUAGCAAAACGAGAGGAAUUUGGACCUGUAGUUCAAACACCUAGAAGCAUAAAGCUGAGAUCAAGUACCAGAUCUUAGCGCAAUCAGUGUAAAAUGUACCUUAUAAAUUGUACUAGACUAGGCAUAACAUUUUCUGUUAACUUGCUUGCAAGAUACAGUUUUGCCCCAACUAGAAGGCAUUGGAACGAGAUUAAACAUAUAUUGCGAUACCUUUGUGGAACAAAUGAUCAUGGCUUAUAUUAUUCAAAAGAAUUAAAAUCGCAAUUGAUUGAGUAUGCUAAUGUAGGAUAUAUUUCAGAUCCCCAUAAAGCUCAAUCCCAAAUGGGAUAUGUCUUUACUUAUGGUAGUACAAAAAUAUAUUGAAGAUCAAUCAAGCAAACAAUGGUAGUCAUCUCUUCAAAUCAUUCAGAAAUUCUUGCAAUUCAUGAAGCAAGUCAUGAAUGUAUAUGACUAAGGUCAAUGAUUCAACAUAUUCAAGAAACAUGUGGACUACCUUCCAUAAGAGGCAAUACAACCAAAUUACAUGAAGAUAUUGUUGCUUGUAUUGUGCAAAUUAAAUGAGGAUUCAUAAAAGGUGACAAAAUGAAGCAUAUCUCCCCUAAAUUCUUCUACACCCAAGAGCUCUAGGAGAAAGGUGAGAUUGAUGGUCAGGAGAUUCGGUCAUGUAAUAAUCUAGUAGAUCUAUUCACAAAGGCGUUACCUUCAACCAUUAUGAAAAGGUUAAGGUAUGAUAUUGAACUGAAAAGAUUAAGAGAUCUACCAAUUGAAGAGUUGAAGAAAUCAUAAUCAUAUGUACAAAAGGGGUAGAAAGUUAAGAUGUAUAUAUUGCACUCUUUUUUCCUUUGUCCACGUUUUUUCCCACAGGGUUUUACUAGUAAGGUUUAUGAUGAGGCAGUUACCAUAUCCUUAUGAUCAUCCAAGGAGGAGUGUUUUAAAAUAUGAGAUUUUGUACCACUAUGGUAACUUGUGGAUGAUCAUCCAUAAAUAUUUUUUGUAACUCCCUAUAAAAUGGAGGAACCCUUAAUGAAAUUCUAUAGAGUUUUCCUGUACAUUUUAUCAUCUUUUUCUGUUUUCUUCUUCCUCCACUUUUACAACAUUAUCUUAUACAUUUAUUUUAAUUAUUUUAUAUUUUUUAUACAUUUUCUUAUAAAUGAGAUUUAUUUUAUAAUUCAUAUAUUUGUUUUUUUUAUUUAAUUUAGGACUUUUAUUUAUUACUUCAAAUAAAUUUAUAAAAAUUAUUGUAAUUCUAAUCAUAAUAAUUUAAUGUUUGAAAAUUAAUAUUAGGAAUUCUCAAAAAUUAUUUUUAGUUUUUAAUAAUUAAUAAUGAUUAUCAAGAUUUAUGAAUUAUUUUUAUCGUAUUUGAUGAGACAUUUAAAUGAAAAUUCAAGAGUUAUAUAUAUAUAUAUGUUUCUUUCAUAAUCAAUUUUAGAUAUUUUAAAAAUUAAUUAAAAUAAUAUAUAAAGAUGUCAUAUGCAAUUUAUCUUUCCAAGUUCUUCUUCUUUCAUAUUGUUGUUUUUGAAAUCACUCUUUUAAUCUACAAUAAAAAAAUAUUAAAAUAUUAAAAUAAAUCAUCCAAAAAAACCAUGUCAUUAAUUUGAUUUUUAAUUUAUUCUUACUCUUGUCAAUAAUAAAAAAAUUAAAUAAGAAUAAAAAUAACUGCUAAUAAAUAUUUUAAAAUAAAUUUAAAAUUUAUUUAUUUACAAAAUAAUAUGAAUUAUAGACAAAAUUAAUAUAAUGGAUAUACUACAAUUUUGAAUCCCUCAAAAAAAUCAAUCCUACAAAAUAAUGUUCAUUUGUUUAAUCGAAAUUGAAUGCUUCAUAAGAAUGAUGAAAGAAACGAGAGACACAAUGCUGGAGAAUGUUGAAGAAGGACAUGAAACACAAAUCUGUUAGUGAGGCACAACACUGAUGAAUGUUGAAGAAAGACACGAAACACAAAUGAUAAUGGAGUAAGUGUCAAGAUUACUCUUAGGGUUGUAGUAUCUACAAAAAUAAAAUAGCACCAAACAUCAAACUCUUUACUAACUUAUGUCAUUUUGUGAGUAAAUAGUAUCGCAGAAAGACAAAGAGAGACAAAAAAUAAAAAUAAAAACUCAUAAUGGAAUCAAAUAAUAAGAAAGCAAGAGAAAGAAAGAGAAAUUUCACACCCUACAGGUUGAGAACAUGGGUUCCACGACCUUCGGGUUGAAAACAUGAGUCUUAUAAAUAAGAGAUAAAAUUAAAAGACAUUAAACAUGAAGUUGAAAGGAAAUUGAAUUCUUAGGGUUGACAUUGAAAAGACAUCAAAUAUAAAGGGGGAUAUGAAUUGAAAAGAUACCCACAUUUAUUGUCUUUUAACAUUUAUUGAUUUAGUGAGAGAAAAGACUGAUUUUUUAAAUCUCAUACUUUCAUGGAGGUGUUUUUUUUUUCCACAACUAGUUGUAUUUUUUAAUAAAAUUUUAUAAAAGAAAUAGUUAUCUAUUUAAAGAAAUAAAAUAAUAUUCAAAAUCAUAAUUUAAAAAUACAAUUUUAUUAUAAAUUUAUAAAUUAUAGUGUACACCCUCCAUUUUGUCCCCUAACACAUAUUUUCUCAUUUUAUUUUCUUUCACACCAUGCUUAUUUUUAGUAUGUGUUUAAGAUCCUUAUUACUUGAUCAUUCAUUGUCCCUUAUUGGUUUACAUUUAUUUGAUUCAUUGUUUAUUUUUUAGCCACAUUUUGGAGGCCAUUUAGGGGGUAAUUUCGGGUCCUUCCAACUUGAGUUUUAGAGACCCCUUAAGCUUAGAUUUUUUUUUUUUUUUUGUUUAAUCUCAGUCUUAGGAGAGUUUCUAAGGUUUUUUUAGUUUUUAGAGAGGCCUAGUAGCUGGCUUAGGAUGAGGACAUGUGUUCUCAUCUUGACUGCUUCACUUUUAAAACACCCAUUUUUUUUUUCCUUCUCUUUUUGCCAUAUUUGGGGGAGACCGUCUAGAAACCUCUCAGGAGAGGAGCUUUUCAACAUGUUUUUUUUUUUCUUUUUUUCUUUUAUUUUAGGUGAGUUGUCAAGAUGAAGGAGGAGAGUGAGUUGUUAGUAGUGCUUUUCUGCAGGGGGGAAUAUUCUCUGCAUAAGGGUGGUUAUAAGAGAGAAAAAGACAUUUUUUUUUUUGUGAACUUCAAGAGACGUUUUGAGCAUCAGAGGAUAUUGGGAUUAUCAUGAGGAUUUAGGGAGGUGGGAGUGAGAGUUUGAGGAGAAAGAAAACAAGAGGAAGGGAAUGAAACAAAAAAAAUGAGCUAAUGAAUUUUGUUUGUUUGUUUGAUUUUUUUUUUUCUGGUUUUUAGGAGAGAACGCAACUAGCUUGAAGCCAAAUAGAUUUCUAUUUGAGAAAAUGAUCAUAACAUAAGGUUAAUAUGAGUUUCAGUUCUCUAUUUUCUCCAUUGUUUUAUUCUUCACUUUGUUGGUUCCUUUGCAUUGCCCGGUUUGAGUGUGGAUAUCAGGCUACACAUUUAGUUUCUUUUACUAAUCUUUAAAAUGAUUAUAGAUUUGUUGUUAUAUUGUUUAUCUACUAUUCCUCUUGGUAUUGCUAGAAGGUAAUCUCACUCUGUUUUAAUUCUACUAUGAAAGGUUUGAGAAUCAUGUCCACAUUCAUAUUUGACAUGGUCUCUCCUACCUACUUUGCAAGCUUACUGAUAAUGAAGUGAAACUUUAUUUAAGGGUCUAGUGGCUUGGUUUAUUUAUUUAUUUUUUAUUCUUUGUUUUUAUGGUUGUUUUCUUCUUGUUGUUUUCCUCUGUUCUUGUUGUUCAUCUUUGUCCUCUACUAGUGGUUUGUCUAGAGUUUUGUCCAGAGGUUUAGUUAUCAGUAGUCACGAUUGAUAGAAGAAACAAAUAGGUUGUGUGAAGAAUGCAAUCACGAUUGAUAGGAGAAACAAAUAAGCUAUGUGAAGCAUGGGUUCCAUAAUCCCUUAUUUCUCCUCUUACAAAAGAAAUGCAUUGUCAACCUUCAGUAUUGGAAAGUGUCUUAGGGCCACAUACAAUAAUCAAUGGCAAACAUGAAAACCAAUUUCAUGGCUUUACGGGAUGGUUUUACCAUUAACUAAAAUGCUAGGGUGAUGGUCCUUGUGUUAGACAAGAUAUUUUAGAAGAACAAAAUUAGUUUUAGGUUAGUUUUAGAGUUAGCUGAAAAAUAGAAUUAAUUAGUCUUCAAAAAUUGCUUUGUAAACUCUCUUACAUCUUCUUUGUUCUACUCUGUUUUUGCUUUCACCACAUUUUAUCUCUCAUCUAAACUCCUUAACAUGGUAUCAAAGCCAUAAUAUCCAACUCAGUCACCCAUUAACAACUGAUGAAUCCUUCUUCACCAUUCUCCAACUUUUUUAACUAUACUCUGUCAAUAAAACUAGAUCAAGAAAAGUACUUGAUCUAGAAAUCUCAAAUUACACCAACAAUUCAAGUACAUGAUAUGCUUGGUUCAUUGAUGGAAUGAGUAAAUGUCCUCUAGAAUUCAUUAACGAAGAUCCAAGAGCCUUUGAUUCUUGCAUAGUCACUAACCAAGAUUAUGUGUUAUGUCAUUGACAAGAUCAAAUUUUGUUAAGUUGGUUAUUAUCAUCUAUUUCUGAAGAGGUGUUGGCCCAGGGAAUUAGUUGUUCCAUGUCUUUUGAAUUAUGGUUUAUGCUGGAAAUUUUUUUUGCUUCUUAGUUGAAGGCAAAAGUAUUACAAUUGUGCAUCCAACUCCAAUCAAUCAAGAAAAAUUCAUUGACAAUGGUUGAAUAGUUUGCAAAGAUAAAAAGAGUUACUAAGAAUCUUGCAGUUGUUGGGCAACCAGUCUCCAAUGAUGAUAUGAUAAUGUACCUUCUUCCUGGGCUUGGAUCUAACUAUGAUCCAAUUUUAGUAAGUGUUACCUCCAAACUUGAUUCAUUUUCUCUUCAAAGAAUAUAGGCUAUACUACUCAAUCAAAAAGCACGCUUAGAACAACUACAUUUAGAAAACUCACUUGAGUUUCAACAAACUGUUGUCAACAUUGCUUCACAUACUUCUUUCAAAGGUAAUGAUCCAAAAGUUUCAGUAGGUGGUCAUACCACCAUUCCUCAAAAUAUGCACUACAAGGAAAAAGUUAUAUGGUGACAUUUAUAACGAGUCACCAUAAACAUAAGGUGUCACUACAACAUAGCAUCACCUUCUCCACUGACACCAUAGAGGGUACCAAUUCGUGACGUAUUUGGAAGUGACACCAAAGUAGAUAAAUGGUGACCCAUUCAGAAGUGACACCAUAUAUUUCUAGUGAUGAUAGGGUGUCACAUUAAAUACAUCAUCUUUGAGUUAUGAUGUCACAUUAAAUGCAUCACCUUUGAGUUAUGGUAUCACAUCAUUGUAAAUUAUUGUGGAAUAUAUGAUUGGUUUUAGUUGUUGAUUUUUGUAAUGCUUAUGAAUUAAUAAGAUUAACCUGUUUAUAUUUUGUCCAUAAAUAUAACAAUCAUAUUAUAUUUAACUCAUUUUUCUGUAAUGUUUUGGGAAUAACUCAUAUACAUUGAUCAUCUANNNNNNNNNNNNNNNNNNNNNNNNNNNNNNNNNNNNNNNNNNNAAAACAUGAUUUAGAAAUGUUAAGAUCCAAGAUUCAUGUAUACUCCAUUCAUAAGCAUAAAACGGCUAACUAUAAAAUGACAUAGAAGUCCCAUUUAAAAAUCUAAAUUUCUCAGUUGCAAUUAAAGUAACGUUUAUGUCCUACAACGUAUGACAUAAGAGUUGCAUUUAAAAACCCAAAAUCUUAUUGCCUUCUUCUUUCUUUUUAUUCUCCAUUUCACCCUCCCAAGAGUGUAUACCUGCAUUUCAAAAUUUAAUGAGUUUUAGAGAUUUUUAUUGAAGAAAAUAAACAUGGAUCUAUGUUAUCAUAAAUGAACAAAUCUAAGAAUUAAUUUUUUUUUCAAAUAGAAACAUUAUUCAAAGAAUAAGCAUUACUAUACAAUACCUAUGGAAAAAUUCAUGUAGUAGCUAAGGGACUCACCAUGCAUGGUGAUCAUGAUGCAUCAACAUGAUUCAUGAUUAGUUGUAGCACAAAAGUAGCCCAUUCUCCUCUAAUUUCAUCGAAUUCUACUUGAGAAUAUGUUUUUUUAAUUACCAAACUGAAAUCAAAUAAGAAAAUAACAUUAAAAUGCAUAACAUUUGGAAGCCUAAAACUAUAUACAAUUCAUUAAAUAAGUAAUACCUUUGAAGCAAUAAUUGUAGGAUAAAAAAUUAUCUCUUUAAUGAAUCUCAUAACAAAGUAGCCACAUUUGAACCCUCCUUCUUGUCUUGGACACUAAUCGAUCAAUUAUAAAAUAACAUUAGUACUCACAUAUAUAAAUGGUGCAAAUGCAUAAGCUAUGUGUAAAGAAAAAUUUUUGGAUGUCACCUGCACUAGUUGCUAAGAUGGCUCCCUCUUAGAUGUUUUCUUUGCAGAUAUUCGAAGAGCCCUAUGUAAAUAAGUUCAGUGGGUACAUUUUUAAAAUAGGUAAAUGUUAUAUGUUUUAAUAUAUAUAAAUAAUAAAAAAAAUGUGUUUGAGGUGAAUGUAUUUUUUUUAUUUAAAAAUAAGACUAUGAAAAAUAAUAGGAAGAACUUACAUGUUUACGAUAUCCUUUAAGUCCUCACAUGGUUUGUGAUGCAUAGGGUCAAGAUAGUGGACUAUCAUUUUCCUUGGCUCAAGCACUACCUAAAUAUAAACCCUUUAAGUCCUCAUAUCUAUUUCUAUUAACAAAAUAUAAAAACUUUCCAAAACUCAAUACUUAAAUAUAAAAACAAAAUCAAAUAAAAUAUNNNNNNNNNNNNNNNNNNNNNNNNNNNNNNNNNNNNNNNNNNNNNNNNNNNNNNNNNNNNNNNNNNNNNNNNNNNNNNNNNNNNNNNNNNNNNNNNNNNNNNNNNNNNNNNNNNNNNNNNNNNNNNNNNNNNNNNNNNNNNNNNNNNNNNNNNNNNNNNNNNNNNNNNNNNNNNNNNNNNNNNNNNNNNNNNNNNNNNNNNNNNNNNNNNNNNNNNNNNNNNNNNNNNNNNNNNNNNNNNNNNNNNNNNNNNNNNNNNNNNNNNNNNNNNNNNNNNNNNNNNNNNNNNNNNNNNNNNNNNNNNNNNNNNNNNNNNNNNNNNNNNNNNNNNNNNNNNNNNNNNNNNNNNNNNNNNNNNNNNNNNNNNNNNNNNNNNNNNNNNNNNNNNNNNNNNNNNNNNNNNNNNNNNNNNNNNNNNNNNNNNNNNNNNNNNNNNNNNNNNNNNNNNNNNNNNNNNNNNNNNNNNNNNNNNNNNNNNNNNNNNNNNNNNNNNNNNNNNNNNNNNNNNNNNNNNNNNNNNNNNNNNNNNNNNNNNNNNNNNNNNNNNNNNNNNNNNNNNNNNNNNNNNNNNNNNNNNNNNNNNNNNNNNNNNNNNNNNNNNNNNNNNNNNNNNNNNNNNNNNNNNNNNNNNNNNNNNNNNNNNNNNNNNNNNNNNNNNNNNNNNNNNNNNNNNNNNNNNNNNNNNNNNNNNNNNNNNNNNNNNNNNNNNNNNNNNNNNNNNNNNNNNNNNNNNNNNNNNNNNNNNNNNNNNNNNNNNNNNNNNNNNNNNNNNNNNNNNNNNNNNNNNNNNNNNNNNNNNNNNNNNNNNNNNNNNNNNNNNNNNNNNNNNNNNNNNNNNNNNNNNNNNNNNNNNNNNNNNNNNNNNNNNNNNNNNNNNNNNNNNNNNNNNNNNNNNNNNNNNNNNNNNNNNNNNNNNNNNNNNNNNNNNNNNNNNNNNNNNNNNNNNNNNNNNNNNNNNNNNNNNNNNNNNNNNNNNNNNNNNNNNNNNNNNNNNNNNNNNNNNNNNNNNNNNNNNNNNNNNNNNNNNNNNNNNNNNNNNNNNNNNNNNNNNNNNNNNNNNNNNNNNNNNNNNNNNNNNNNNNNNNNNNNNNNNNNNNNNNNNNNNNNNNNNNNNNNNNNNNNNNNNNNNNNNNNNNNNNNNNNNNNNNNNNNNACCAUAAUACAAAGAUGCUGUAACAAUUAAUAUAAUGGCAUUAAUAAAAGAAAAAAAAAUCAUAGAUCCAAGAGAUUUUGGGUUACCUGGGAGUCCACAAAGUGAAGAAUGUCGGUUUUGAGCGUGUUGACUAUGGAUGGGUGAGAGAAAAGGUUGAAGAAGAUCAUGAUUUUAUAUAUAGGAUUUAUAUAUUGAGAUUUUUUGGAUUGUGGGUGAGAUAUGGAAACAAUGGGAUUUUUAUAUAGUAUCCAUCAUUAUUAAUUCUAAAAGUGGGCUCAUUAAGUUAUAAUACUUAAAAAAAAUUUAUUUUAUAUGAUGUCACUUCCCAAAAAAUGACACUAUAAAUAUAAAAUUAAUAUAAUCUAACUACCUCAAUUGACGAUUUUUUAUAUGAUGUGUCACCUUUAUUAAUUAUAAACCCUAUGGUGUCAUUAUUUUAAAAGUGACACCGUAAAUAGUGACACCAUAAACUAUUUUUGUAGUAGUGAUGAGAGGGUUUCAAAGGUGGUCAAAUCAAGGAGAUCGAGGCAAUAGAUACAACUUCUCACAACUAAUUUGUCAAGUUUGUGGCAAACUAAGUUGUAUUGCCCUCACAUGCUACUAUUGAUUUGAUCACAAUUAUCAAUCUCAAAACUCUCAGAUUGUUAUCUUAAUUACUUCACUAGAAAUACUGGUUGAUCUUGCCUGGUACAUUGAUAAUGAGGCAAAAAAUCAUGUAACAGAUGAGCUAGGAUGUGUGCAAGCUUCUACUAAAUAUCUUGGAAAUAAGAAGUUGACUAUAGACAAUGGCCAAGGUUUGGCCAUUAAACAUAUUGGUCAUUUCUUUUUAUCUACUUCAGAUAAAACUAUUCUUCUUAAAAAUAUAUUGCAUGUUCCAAGCAUUAUUAAAAAUCUUUUAAGUAUCUCAAAAAUUGUUUGUAAUAAUGAUGUUGCUGGGAUUGAGCCCCUAAAAACAAAAAUAAUGUUAGAAAGCUACACCUAACUAUCCCCUUGCUAUCAUUUUGGUGUAUUGACAUUAAUUUGAGCAUUCAACCCAUGUCUCUUACAUUGUACAUGACUUAGGUGCACUAGGAGUUGCAUAGAAGAUACAAGUCAUGGGUUCCUUAUAAGUAGAUAAGUUGUCCAUAGUUAGUUCAUGGAUUUGGGCAAUCUAGUAGAAACUGUAGUGCACCACCUCCUGAUUGGAGGGAUGACUUUCCCAUGGUGAGUGCAUAGGACCUAAGAUGAAUCAUGAUGCAAGGUUAUCAAUUGUCAUGAUUCACAUAACUAUUAUAAUGAAUGAACUUUCAACUUUGAGAGGAUAUUGAGUCUAUGUCAAAAUCAACAGGAGGCUUUGACCUAUGGGUGAGACCCUAAAAUGAUCAUAUAUCUCUAUGGAUUCACUACUACAAAAAUAGUUUAUGGUGUCACUAUUUACGAUGUCACUUUUAAAAUAAUGACACCAUAGGGUUUAUAAUUAAUAAAGGUGACACAUCAUAUAAAAAAUCUUCAAUUGAGGUAGUUAGAUAUUAAUUUUAUAUUUAUAGUGUCAUUUUUUGGGAAGUGACAUCAUAUAAAAUAAAUUUUUUAAGUAUUAUAACUUAAUGAGCCCACUUUUAGAAUUAAUAAUGAUGGAUACUAUAUAAAAAUCCCAUUGUUUCCAUAUCUCACCCACAAUCCAAAAAAUCUCAAUAUAUAAAUCCUAUAUAUAAAAUCAUGAUCUUCUUCAACCUUUUCUCUCACCCAUCCAUAGUCAACACGCUCAAAACCGACAUUCUUCACUUUGUGGACUCCCAGGUAACCCAAANNNNNNNNNNNNNNNNNNNNNNNNNNNNNNNNNNNNNNNNNNNNNNNNNNNNNNNNNNNNNNNNNNNNNNNNNNNNNNNNNNNNNNNNNNNNNNNNNNNNNNNNNNNNNNNNNNNNNNNNNNNNNNNNNNNNNNNNNNNNNNNNNNNNNNNNGGAUCUAUCAUUUUUUUUCUUAUUAAUGUUAUAUAUAAUUGUUUCAACAUCUUUGUAUUAUGGUUUUUGUGAAUUGUGUUUUCUUGAGUUGUAGGGAAGAAAAAUUUAGGUUUAAUCUUCUAGCAUGGAAGAAAAAACUAUAGAUUAAUUGAUUUUUUUAAUCUAAACCAAACACAUGAUCAAGUCCUUAAAAAAAAGUGAAAAACAGGAAAAAAAAAAAAGAAUGAUUUUUAAUAUGUAUUUGUGUGAGAAUGACAGGUACAGAAUUUUUUUAAGAUAUACUAUCACAUAAUCUUCAUCCUUUUUAAAAAAUGAGAGUGGAAAAAAAAAGAAUGAUUUUUCUAUUUGUAUCUAAGUGGGAAUGAGAUAUAGAAUUUCGUUGAGAGUAUCCAACCCCAAAAAGACCAAUCCGGGAAGGCAUGUGUCGUAUUGACGGGAGAUGAUAAGAUGGAAAUCAUAACCAUAGCCAUGUUCUCUCUGUGUCUUUCUAUCCUCUUCAAUUAAUUCAUGGGCAUAGAUAUUUUAUAUAGUUUAUUUAUAGUUUAUUUAGUUUCUAAAAUCCAAUUAGCUAGAUAUUUUAUUUGAUUUUAUUUUUAUAUUUAAGUAGUUGAGUUUUGGAAAGUUUUUAUAUUUUGUUAAUAGAAAUAGAAAUUUUAUAUUUUUUAUUAUUAGGAAUUUCUAUUUUGUUAAAUUGUAAGUAUCUAUCUCAAUAAGAGAUUAUUAAUAUUCAAAUGAAAGUGUUGAAAGAGAGUAAAUAUUUUAAUGCUCAAUUAUAUUUUAAUGUUAUUUUUUUUUACAUAAGGGUUUAUUUAUGUUUUCAAUUUUGAAGUUCCCUUUCCAAGUCCAGCAACAAAAGUAGUGUCCAACCUUAAAAUGGGCAUGUGUGGUAUUGACAGGAAAUGAUAAGAUGGAAAUCAUAACCAUAGCCAUGUUCUCUCUGUGUCUUUCUAUCCUCUUCAAUUAAUUCAUGGGCAUAAAUAUUUUAUUUAGUUUUUAUAUUUAGUUUAUUUAGUUUCUAAAAUCCAAUUAGCUAGAUAUUUUAUUUGAUUUUGUUUUUAUAUUUAAGUAGUUGAGUUUUGGAAAGUUUUUAUAUUUUGUUAAUAGAAAUAGAUAUGAGGACUUAAAGGGUUUAUAUUUAGGUAGUGCUUGAGCCAAGGAAAAUGAUAGUCCACUAUCUUGACCCUAUGCAUCACAAACUAUGCGAGGACUUAAAGGAUAUCGUAAACAUGUAAGUUCUUCCUAUUAAUUUUCAUAGUAUUAUUUUUAAAUAAAAAAAAUACAUUCACCUCAAACACAUUUUUUUUAUUAUUUAUAUAUAUUAAAACAUAUAACAUUUACCUAUUUUAAAAAUGUACCCAUUGAACUUAUUUACAUAGGGCUCUUCAAAUAUCUGCAAAGAAAACAUCUAAGAGGGAGCCAUCUUAGCAACUAGUGCAGGUGACAUCCAAAAAUUUUUCUUUACACAUUAGCUUAUGCAUUUGCACCAUUUAUAUAUGUGAGUACUAAUGUUAUUUUAUAAUUGAUCGAUUAGUGUCCAAGACAAGAAGGAGGGUUCGAAUGUGGCUACUUUGUUAUGAGAUUCAUUAAAGAGAUAAUUUUUUAUCCUACAAUUAUUGCUUCAAAGGUAUUACUUAUUUAAUGAAUUGUACAUAGUUUUAGGCUUCCAAAUGUUAUGCAUUUUAAUGUUAUUUUCUUAUUUGAUUUCAGUUUGGUAAUAUAAAAAAACAUAUUCUCAAGUAGAAUUCGAUGAAAUUAGAGGAGAAUGGGCUACUUUUGUGCUACAACUAAUCAUGAAUCAUGUUGAUGCAUCAUGAUCACCAUGCAUGGUGAGUCCCUUAGCUACUACAUGAAUUUUUCCAUAGGUAUUGUAUAGUAAUGCUUAUUCUUUGAAUAAUGUUUCUAUUUGAAAAAAAAAAUUAAUUCUUAGAUUUGUUCAUCUAUGAUAACCUAGAUCCAUGUUUAUUUUCUUCAAUAAAAAUCUCUAAAACUCAUUAAAUUUUGAAAUGCAGGUAUACACUCUUGGGAGGGUGAAAUGGAGAAUAAAAAGAAAGAAGAAGGCAACAAGAUUUUGGGUUUUUAAAUGCAACUCUUAUGUCAUACGUUGUAGGACAUAAACGUUACUUUAAUUGCAACUGAGAAAUUUAGAUUUUUAGAUGGGACUUCUAUGUCAUUUUAUGGUUAGCCAGUUUUAUGCUUAUGAAAUGGAGGUAUACAUGAAUCUUGGGAUCUUUAACAUUUCUAAAUCAUGUUUUGGUAUGUAUUCACUCUUCUUUUUUAGUUUUGAUGAGUUUGAUAUGUUGGACGUACUAUCCUUUUGUGAACAUUUGAUAUACAAAUAUUAUUAGAUGAUCAAUGUAUUAUGAGUUAUUCCAAAAACAUUACAGAAAAAUGAGUUAAAUAUAAUAUGAUUGUUAUAUUUAUAGACAAAAUAUAAACAGGUUAAUCUUAUUAAUUCAUAAGCAUUAUAAAAAUCAACAACUAAAACCAAUCAUAUAUUCCACAAUAAUUUACAAUGAUGUGAUACCAUAACUCAAAGGUGAUGCAUUUAAUGUGACAUCAUAACUCAAAGAUGAUGUAUUUAAUGUGACACCCUAUCAUCACUAGAAAUAUAUGGUGUCACUUUUGAAUGGGUCACUAUUUAUCUACUUUGGUGUCACUUCCAAAUACGUCACCAAUUGGUACCCUCUAUGGUGUCAGUGGAGAAGGUGACGCUAUGUUGUAGUGACACCUUAUGUUUAUGGUGACUCGUUAUAAAUGUCACCAUAUACCUUUUUCCUUUUAGUGAUUGGGUCACUAUUAAUGGAGGCUGGUGGCAACAAGUAUUCUUAAUAUAAACACCAUCACAUCUCUUGGGAUUGAGACUGUGUAUUCCCUUGGGUGAUCCAAAUGACAUGUGAUCAUGAAAUUUGUGGUCAUAGUAAUUCCUUUAACAGAAUUUGACAUAUGGUCCUUAGAGUUAGAGUUUGUUAGUUGAUUACUUAAUAAGUGAGAUUCGUAACUCAAGGAUUUGAGAGGUAAUCUUGAUAGGUGAUAUCACUACCUUGUUAGAUUAUGAACACCAGUUCAUGGGGAGUCUGGAUGUAUUAGAUAGUAAGUGACAAACCUGAGCACUUAGUGUCUUAUUGUUAUUUACCUAAGAUACUAGAGUUUAGUUAAUUCUUUAUAGUGGGAUGUUGAAUCAACUUCAGAAUUGGAUUCCGAGGGAUCCAAUACUCUUAUGGGUCCCAUUGGUCCUUGCUUUAAGCUCAUAUAUCUUGUUGUCAUAGAUUAUGAGGGUCGGAUUGACUUUACGUACACUUUUGUGCACAAGGGCGUUUUGAUAAUUAUAUAAGGUUGCACAGAGGUAAGUGAACAAGAUCUUGAGAUUGGGCUAAUUGAUUAAUUAGUAGGCGUGAUUGGGUUAAUUAAUCAAUUAUGACCCAUUUUAGGCUAGAUUAAGUAACCUAAGCCUAUAUGAGCUCAAGUCACUUAAGCCCGAUUAAGAUCCCUAUAAUUACCCCUUAGGGAUUAGGGUUUUUAUAACUUUGGUCUUCCACUAUCUAAAGAGAAAGAGAGUCAUAGCCUCCACCCUUCUUUCCUCCUCCACCGAAAGUGUGCCAAGAACAAGGUUGAGUCAUCAAACAGAAGAUCAUGGGUUUACGAGACUUCCAACAACUUUAAAGUUGUCUUCAAUACUUUAAAUUUAAGGCUUGGGAACAUCCAAACCUAAAGGUUAGUACUUUAAACCUAAAAGAUCAUUUUUUAAAAGAUUGGUAUUGCUUUGAUUCCUUACAUCUAAGAUGCCAAUGGAUGUGUUUUUUGAAUUUCAUGCCAUUCGGUGCUUAGUCAAUGACAAAAUCAUGAGGAAAAUUCUACUUCAAGGGAGAAUCAAGAAUGGACUAUAUCAACUUCAAGGACCUAACUUUAUUACUGCAAAAGAAGUUGAAAAAAAAAUUCAUAUGGAAUAAAUAGUGCUACUCAAAUAAGGAGGAAAACAAACUCCCCUCUAGAUCAAUUGAAUUCAUCUUUCAACAAUCUAUUACAUAAUGACCCAAAUUGGUUUUCAAAUGUCAAUGUUCCUCAUAUAACUAUAUUGCAUUGAAUGUUCAAUAUGAAGACUUAAGUACUUGGCAUAAUAUAUUUGGGCAUCCUUCUCAUUGUGUUCUUCAUCAAAUACUCAAGAGAUGUAAUAAAUCACAUAUUAGUGAGAAAGCCGCUAGUAAAUUUUGCUUUGCUUGCCAAUAUAGAAAAUGUCAUGACUUGAAUUUUCAUUCAUCACCUACAAAGACUAGUGAACCUUUAGAACUUAUUCACUCAAAUGUUUAGGGACCAUCACCUCUUCUCUUUACCGAAGGAUAUAAAUAUUAUGUUAGUUUCAUUGAUGAUUUCACCUAAUAUACGUGGAUUUUCCUCCUUAAAAACAAAUCUGCAAUACCUACUACAUUUCUACAGUCCAAGAAGUUUGUUAAGAAUCUACUUGAAGAAAAUAUCAAAGCUUGUAAAUAGAUAUGGGUGGUGAAUACAAACCAUUGACACAUUUCUCAAUGACAAUGAUAUAAUGUUGCAACAAUUGUGUCCUUCUAUGCAUCAACAAAAUGGUUGUGCGGAAUGAACACACAGGAAUAUUAUUGAACUCGACUUAACAUUGUUGUCCCAAGCCUUCAUGCCACUUAGUUUUUGGUGGGAUGCUUUCAACAUUGUAGUUUACUUAAUCAAUAGGUUACCUACAUUGAUAUUGAAUAAUCAAUCUCCCAUGAGAAAAUUAUUCCAUCAAGAACCUAACUACUUUUUUCUCUACUACUUUAGAUGUGCUUGUUUUCCACACAUCAGACCAUAUAAUAAAAACAAGUUUGAUUUUCAUAUACUCAAAUGCUUGUUUCUGGGUUAUAGUAAUCUACACAAAGGAUACAAGUGCUAAGUCCCUCCAAGAAAAUUUAUAUAGCACACAAUGUGGUAUUUGAUGAACAAACAUUUCAUUUUUUCAUGGGAUUUUCAAUUAUCCCGACUUUUGGAUCUUAUAAAAAAUCUAUGAGUACAACCCAAACUCCAAAUCUUACUGUGAUAUUACCUCAACUCAACAAACCAAGACCAUCUAUUGUUAAAAAAAGCAACCUAAAUAUUGAAAAAAAUUCUACAACUACUACUUGCAAAAAUCAAUUUACAUCUUGCACUACCAAUGGAAACUCAAGUGAACCAACUCAGACUCUUACAAUUGAUGCUUCAAAAAAUUAGUCUACAUUUCAUCCAAUUCCUCAUUGUGACUUGUAUACAGAUUUGUCUAUUCCUACCUUGAAUACACAUCCAGUGACUACAAGGUCAAAGGUAGGAAUAUUUAAACCAAAGCUAUUCACAGUUGAAAGCACAACAAAACAACUUGAAAGUGAACUCAAUAGUGUUACAAAAGCAUUGCAAUCUAACAAGUGGAAAAAAGUUAUGGAACCAAAGUUCAGGCAUUAAAUCAAAAUCAAACAUGCUACCUAAUAUCUUGUCUUCCACACUAUAAUGUCUUUGGCAACAAAUGGGUGUAUAAAUUAAAAUAUAACCCAAAUAGAUCAAUUCAACAUCUCAAGGCAUGACUUGUGCCAAAGGGAUUUCAUCAAACACUAGGAGUUGAUUUUUCAAAAACAUUCAGCCUUGUCAUAAAGCCAAUUACUGUAUGCAUCAUCUUAGCUAUAGUAGUUACAAUGGAUUGGAAGAUUCAACUUUAUGUUAAUAAUGUGUUUUUAAACAGAAGCUGCAAGAAAUUGUUUUCAUGUCUCAACUUGAAGGAUUUAGAAUUCCUAAGAAGCCCGAAUAUGUAUGCGAACUACAUAAAGCAUUGUAUGAACUUAAACAAGCACCACAUGCUUGGUUUGAAAAAUUACGUAGUACUCUCUUCAAUUGGGGUUUUAAAGAGUUAGAGGUUGACACAUCAUUGUUUAUAUAUCGUGAAGUUUGCAACUCUAUUUUUUUUUCCUUGUGUAUGUGGAUGAUAUUCUCAUUAUUGGGAAUAACUCCCAACUUAGUCGUAAGACUUAUUCAUGACCUCAACUUCUAAUUUUCACUCAAGGACUUAGGGGAUUUUACAUGGGAUUCUAUAGGACCUUAUCUAACUCAAUCCAAAUCUAUCCUUGACUUGUUAAAAUGAACUAACAUGAAAUAAGUUAAAAGUUGCCCUACACCAACAAGUAUGGGACUACAACUAUCCAAUUCAAAAGAACAUAAAUUGAAUAAUGAGAAGUUGUAUCGCAAUACUAUUGAAGCAUCACAAUAUCUCACUAUCACUAAGUGAUAAAUAUCUUACAUUGUAAACAAUUUGAGUAAGAUUUUACAUUGUCCUAUCGGUAUGCAUUGGAAAGCUUGUAAACAGGUUUAGAGAUACUUGCGUGGGAGUAUUGAUCAUGAUUUGCAUAUUCAAACUAUUGAGAUUGAGUACCUAAAAGCAAGACAUGAUGUAAAAAAGUUAAGCUUGACUAUCCCCUUGCUAUCCUUAUGGUGUAUUGACAUUGAUUUGAACAUUUAGUCUAUAACUCUUACAUUGUACAUGACUUGGGUGCAGAAGGAGUUGCAUAAAAGAUACAAGUCAUGGGUUCCUUAUAAGUAGAUAAUUUGUUUAUAAUUGGUUCAUGGAUUUGGGUAAUCCAGUAGAGACUAUAGUGCACCACAUCCUAAGUAGCUAGUGGCUUUGAAAAGCCACUACUUUUAGGUUAUUAUGAUGGUGGUUGCAGACUUGCAGAUUUAGGCCUUGUGUUAUUGGAGGAUGCCCAUUGCAAGAAAGACAAGUCACAUUGUUUUGGGACUUUAGUGGCCCAAUGAAGAUGGUUAAAGACUCCAACCCCUUGAUCCAUGACUUUUAUGGAUUGGGCCAGACUCAUUUCACUAAUCCAAGGGGUUUAAAUUGCAGAUUAAGGGAUGUGGGUGAGCCUUAACUGGUAGUGAGGGCUUUCAUAGCCUUGUACCCUUGGAGAGAGAUCAAUCUAAAGGUUGUGAGAAGGGAUUUUGGUUAAACAUUCUGGCAUCCCAAGAGAGGAGAGUUUGUCACAACAUUGCAUAGGCAGGAACCUCUAGAUGCUAUGGAUCAAGAGCUAGCUGUCUUUAGUUGAUCUUGAUGGCCUGAGGAUGGUUUGUGACGAAGUAGCUCUCUCUUUGCUUGUUCGCUCCUCUUAGAGCCUAGAGGAGGGAGCACCAUUUGUAGAUGCCAGCCUCUUGUUUGGAGUAGAAGGUUUUGCAGGUAAGUUAUCAUCUCCAGUUUGUUGGAUGGGGGAUGGGUCUUCUUCUGCAUCUUCUAUUUCUAAAGAUGAGGGUCCAGCCAAAAGCUUGGUUUUGUGGAGGGAGCAGGACAAGGGGCGGCUUGUAGUAGAAUGCAAGGGUGAUGGUUAUGGGAUGUUAUGUAUGACUUCCAGCAAGGGUUUGGUUGUGGACUUUCCAAAGAAUCACCUUAGAGAUGCCUAGAGUGUGAGCCUAGAUGUGGGGAGUGAGGAGGUGGUGGCUUUGGAGAAUGGGGGUUCUAGGAGGGACUCGAUGGGAGAUGAGAGCCUCUACGAUUUGUCUUUUGGGAAAUUCGUCUCCUUUAGCAAGUUUUUGGAUUUGCUAGUGGAAGGUUAUGAGAAGGAAAUUGUGUCCUUAUUGAGAAAGUCGGAAGCUAAAAAGGGUUAUAGAGUAGUGGCUUUGAGUAUAAAAAGGAGGCCUUCCUCUAUGUCCGACUUUGAUAGAGAGCUUUGCAAAUUGGAGUGCUUGGUCAAUUACAACAAAUCAAGUGGAAAAGGGGGGAGCCAGAAGUGGGGGUGGGAUAUGGUUUGUGAGUGAUCAUGAAGUUCGAGAUUUUUCUUAAUUCCUAAUUCAAUAUAUUACAUUGUUGUUUCUCAAAAAAAGAAAAAAAAAAAAAAGAAAGAAGUUUUGAGAUUUUUUGAUCGUCAUUAGUAGGUUUAGAGGCUGGGUGUUUGGCUCUCCUUAGAAAUUGGAAGGAUAUGUGAAAAGGAGAGGGGCCAGAAUUGUAUCACUCAAUCUCAAGGUAAGGGAUUUAGAAAAGUGGGCUGGAAUUGUAAUUUCUAAGGGAGCAGAGGGUAGUCAUUUCAGGCAGUGGCAAGGGAGAGUGGAAUUAUUAACAAUGGGUAGAUGAAGUUUGAAUUUAUCCAAGGAUUCAGUAGGAUUGCAGAAAGUGGAUUUGGUUUGCAAGCAUGAAAGGUCAUGUAGGUCUUUAUGUCUUUCUAGGCCUUUAGGGUGAUGUUUUUGUAUCAGGUUAUGGUUUGUUGUUUCUAUUUUCCUUUUGCUUGCCUUCUGGCACUGUUUGUAUUCUCUGUGUAGUUUGUGCAACUUUACAAAGUGUUUUUAAUAUCUUAUCAGUUUACCUAAAAAAGAAAAGAAAAAGAGAGAGAGAGAGAGAUAUGGAUGGGAGGAAAUAAAAUAUAUCAAUCAGGAAGGCCAAAUUAUACUACUAUGCACCUCUUAUGACUGAUUGAUGGGUUUGUGCAAAUUAUAGGAACAAUACCAACAGUAUUGUCCUUUUGACUUGAGCCUCCAAAUUGCUUGGUUAUCUGAAGAUAGUUUUCAUUGAUGAAUACCUCUUGACCUUAUGAUCCAGAUUUUGGCAUAUGAAGUUAAGCAAGCUAUAACUAAAUAGACUGAUACUGUGAAUUUCUUGGAUUUUGAUAAAAGAGUGAAACCUAAAACUGUUAAUUCAGAUUAGUUUUGAAUGAACAUAAAAUGGUGCCUCUACUGUAAUGCCUGAAAUAUUUGAUAUCCAUUCAAUAGCUUCCCAAUGCUCUUCUUUUCAUAAAGCUAUUGAUGGCUCCCAUUGCUUGAGCUUUUUACCCAAUCUUGUAUGCACCAUGACAUACAUGAAAUUAGAAUUGCAAUUUGAGCCGAUUGAACCCAAUCUAACCUGAAAAUGCAAUUUCUGAUUAAGAAAUCUCUAUCAGACUUCAACCCUAUCCGUAUUUAACUAAUUCUAAGUUGAACAUUUGUCUGAUAAGGUGCCUGUGUCGAAACAAUUUUGUAGGGGAAAAUGGGUGAUCGCUUACCACGAAUGCUUGAGUGCAUGUUUGAGGACAAUUAUUGUUACUGAGUUGUGUGCAGGCUGCCAUUAUAUUGUAGUCAGCAAUUGUUAUAAGAUGAAUGAUCAUGUUUUGUUUAUGCAUGUGAUGGUCUUCAAAAAUGCAGGAUAAGCAUUCCCGGAAGGGUCUUCAAGCGAUGGUCCAGAGGAGAAAGAAGUUAUUGAAGUAUCUCCGUAGAACUGACUGGGAUUCCUACUGCCUUGCUCUUUCUAAGCUUGGUCUCCGAGACAAUCCGAAUUACAAAAACUAGAUGAAAUGUAUUCAUCUCUGUUUUGACAUGCUAAUGAUGCUUUAUUUAGUGAUAUACCAGGUUUUUUGUUUUGUAUCUGGUACUCAAUUUUUCAACUAGAUGUCACUUCUGAUUCUCCCUUAAUUUAAAGUCAUAAUAAUAACAGCUCCUUGGUACUAUUUGCUACAUCUAGGUGUGCUCUAUAUCUUCCUUUUUUUUCUUUUUUUUUAAAUAAAUAAAGAAGGAAAGACAAUCUGUCUGUUUCUUAGUUGAAUGGGGCACAACACAGGACCUUUGUUACAUAGUCCUGAUAACUGAUGGAUCCGAUUUAACCUUUUGUGGAAUUACGACCCUGACAGAGGGGAACUGUGAACUGUGCUGUUGCACCUUAUUUGUGUUCCUUCUACUUCCAGGUGUUGUCAUGAAAUGGAAUCAGAAGUUGGAAUUCAAGAGGACUUGGUUAAAUGGUCAAAAAAACAGGCUGCUGUUGAGCAUUGUGCUUGAAGCUUGGAGAAUAGAGGAACCUUCUCUUGCUCUUCCAUCUCCUACUUCACACAUUUAUUCCAAGAAUAUAUCAUCUGCUGCUUGCCAAUCUUAACCAGGAAAAAACGAAAGAUUUUUAUCCUUAUGUUUUGAUAUUGAUGUCACUACAUUAUUCUUCUUCAUAUCUUUGUUGAAAAUUUUUUGCUCAAAAGCCCUUCUUUUUUAAAUUCAAACCUUUUUAAUGCUUAGGCAACAUCGUUAAAUACUUUUAUAAAACAAGUUUGAGAGGUUUUUGCCUAAGGUUUUGGAUUAGAACUUGAAUUAAGAAAAUAUAAUCUUUAGAGUUCAAAAUAAGUAUGAUUAAAUGAUGCAUGAAUAGAUUUAAAGACCUUUGAUCCUUUGAUGAUGCACCCAAGUAUUUACCUUACAUAAUGUUCCUAAGCUUAAAAGGUCUUCAUGCUCACUGUUGGGUUUCCCUCCUUUGUGGGGCUCUUAAAUUUACUAAAUAUGAUUUUGCUAUUUUUGGCCAACACCUUGGUUAGCACAUGACUCUUGGCAUAUUCAAGAUUGGUUUGAAGUCUUCAAGAAAAAAAAAAAAAAACUACAAGUCUUUUGUCUUUUCCUUUGGUUCAUUAGCUUGGUCGGCAAGAAGACUUUUGGGAUACCUUUUUGGUUCAAACAAAAAAAAAUCAGCCUUCUUCUUCUCCAUAUUUUGGUGCUACACAAUCAGCAAGUUUGUUCUUCAAGUGGGUAACGUUCCUUCACUUGAUAUUUGGGGUUUCUUGCGGUUUGUUCUUGGAGAUUUGGUUUACUUUUGUGAGGUAUUUUCCUCUUGUAAUUUACACCUUGGUGUGUUUGUAAGGCUUAUGCCUUUUGGCCACUUUGUAAACUCUUUUGGUGAUAGUGGAAGAAACUGACCUACUGGUCGUCGUGGACGUACCUCAAGUUAUUUGAGGGAACCACGUAAAUCUUGUGUGCUCAUUUAUUUUCUGUUAUUCUAUUUAUAUUGCUUCCAUUGAUUUACACUUGUGGGAAAGCCUAUUUUUUUUCAACAUCUGGUAUCAGAGCUGUUGGUUAAUUCGAUUCCGAUUCAUUAUAUUUGUGUGUGUGAAUUAUGGACGGCAACGUUGGGCGUAUGGUUAGUUUCAAUGGCACAAAUUGGGUGACUUGGAAAACUAAAAUGGAAGACCUUUUGUUUUGUAAAGAUUUGAAUGGACCCAUAGAGGGUGAUAGUGGCAAACUGGAAGGGAUGAAAGAUGACGAGUGGAAAAAGCUAGACCGAAAAGCUGUCGGUUUUAUUCGGCAAUGGAUUGAUGAUAGUGUCUUUCAUCAUGUCUCUACAGAAAAUUCAGCACAUGGUCUUUGGACCAAAUUGGAGAGUCUUUAUGAUAGAAAGGCGGCCGUGAAUAAAGCUUUUUUAUUUCGAAAGCUUGUGAAUUCUAAAUAUAAGGAGGGUACUCCUAUUGCAGAGCAUUUGAAUGAGAUUAAGAGCAUUGUGAAUCAGUUGGCCGCCAUGAAAAUUACUUUUGAUGAUGAGUUGCAAGCUUUGUUACUUCUUAGUUCACUUCCUGAAAGCUGGGAAACUUUGGUGGUCACAGUUAGUAACUCCACACCUGAUGGAGUGGUAACAAUGAGUCAAGUUACUAGCAGCCUGUUGAAUGAAGAGACAAGAAGAAAAUCAUCAGGUUCUUCUCACUCCGAGGCACUUGUGAUAGAAAACCAGGGGAGAGGCAAGAGUAAGAGUAAGGCUUCGCACAACCGUGAUAAAUCUAGAGGUCGUUCAAGCUCGAUUUCAAAGAAAGAUGUUGAGUGCUAUUAUUGUCACAAGAAAGGGCACAUGAAGCGGGAGUGCAGAAAACUCAAGUUCAAGGAGCAGAACAAAGAGAAAAGUUCAGAGAAAAAGCAAAAUGAUACAGCUGUAGUUACCGAUGGUGAACUCAUGAUUAUUCGUGAUGAUGUUAGCAUUAAUCUGAUUGGCCAAGAGACGGAUUGGGUAAUUGAUUCUGGAGCUUCAUUUCAUGUUACUUCGCGGGCUGAUUUCUUUACUUCUUACCCGCAAGGUGAUUUUGGGAAUGUUCGUAUGGGAAAUGAAAAUGUGUCAAAAAUUGUCGGCAUGGGUGACAUUUGCUUGGAAACAAAUACUGGAUGCAAAUUGUUGCUUAGAGAUGUGAGGCAUGUACCGGAUAUUCGGCUCAAUUUAAUCUCUGCUGGAAAGUUAGAUGAUGAGGGCUACAACAACAAUUUCAGUGAUGGAAAAUGGAAGCUCUCUAAAGGUUCUCUAGUGGUAGCAAAAGGAAAUAAGACUUGUUCUCUUUACACUGUGCAAGCAAAAAUCUGCAAGGGUGUUGUGAAUACCUUAGAGAAUGACUCAUCCACUGAUUUAUGGCAUAGAAGGCUUGGACAUAUGAGUGAGAAAGGAUUGCAAGUUUUAUCCAAGAAAGAGCUUCUAGCAGGGAUAAAAGGUACGCCUUUGAAAACAUGUGUUCAUUGUUUCCAUGGUAAACAAAAUAGAAUAUCAUUCCGUAGAAACAUUGCAUCUAGAAAAUCUCAUGUUCUAGAUUUGAUACAUUCUGAUGUAUGUGGUCCUUUGAAAGUUAGGACACUUGGUGGUGCUCUAUACUUUGUCACUUUUAUUGAUGAUCACUCUAGAAAAGUUUGGGCUUAUACACUAAAAACUAAAGAUCAAGUUCUAGAUGUGUUUAAGCAUUUUCAGGCCAAGGUUGAAAGAGAAACUGGUAGACAGUUGAAAUGUGUCCGCUCGGAUAAUGGUGGUGAAUAUAUUGGACCAUUUGAUCAGUAUUGCACUAAUCAUGGCAUCAGACAUGAAAAGACAGUAAAAAAGACACCUCAACAGAACGGGGUUGCAGAGAGAAUGAAUCGCACCAUUCUUGAGAGAGUCAGAUGUUUGCUCUCACAUUCUAAAUUGCCAAGAUCUUUUUGGGGUGAGGCAAUGAGGACAGCAGUUGAUCUUAUCAAUUUGUCUCCUUCAGUUCCGUUGAAUGGUGAUGUGCCAGAGAAAGUUUGGACAGGGAAGGAAGUCUCCUAUGAUCACUUGAGGGUAUUCGGCUGCAGAGCUUUUGUUCAUAUUCCAAAAGAUGAGAGGUCCAAGCUUGAUCCAAAAGCAAAGCAGUGCAUAUUUAUUGGCUAUGGGCAUGAAGAAUUUGGCUACAGGUUGUAUGAUCCAGUUGAUAAGAAAGUUGUUAGAAGCCGAGAUGUUGUUUUCUUGGAAGAUCAGACUAUUGAAGAUAUUGACAAGCUUGAGUCAGCUGAGUCUAGUACUAAUGAUCUUGUUGAUUUAGAUCCUCUUAAUCCACCUGUUGUUCAUGAUAUUGAUGAGGAAGUGUAGACACCUCAUGAUGAUGCAGCGGAAGAUGAUGUUGAGCCAGAGAUUGAGGGGGAACAGUCACUCCAAGAGCCACUACCACAGACACCGUUGAGGAGAUCUACCAGAGAAAAACAGCCAUCUAGAAAAUAUUCUUCAAAUGAGUAUGUGAUGAUAUCAGAUCAGGGGGAGCCAAAGACUUAUCAAGAAGUCUUGAAGCAUGAGAACAAAACUGAAUGGCUCAAGGCAAUGAAAGAGGAAAUGAAGUCUUUGCAUGAGAAUCACACCUAUGAUUUGGUGAAGCCGCCUAAAGGGAAGAAAAUUUUGAAAAAUAAAUGGGUCUUCAGACGAAAGAAUGAUGGGAACAGUUCUCAACCGAGAUUCAAGGCACGACUUGUUGUGAAAGGUUUUGAUCAGAGGAAGGGAGUUGAUUUUGAUGAGAUCUUCUCACCAGUUGUGAAGAUGUCCUCCAUUCGAACUGUGCUUGGUAUAGCUGCGAGUAUGAAUUUAGAAGUUGAGCAGCUUGAUGUGAAGACCGCAUUUUUGCAUGGUGACUUAGAAGAGGAAAUUUAUAUGGAGCAACCUGAGGGCUUCAUAGAUAAGGGUAAUGAUCAGUUAGUUUGCAAAUUGAAGAAGAGUUUGUAUGGAUUGAAGCAAGCGCCGAGGCAGUGGUACAGAAAAUUUGAUUCUUUCAUGACUGAGCAUGGGUAUUCAAGAACCACUUCAGACCAUUGUGUGUUUGUGAAGAAAUAUCCAGAUGGUAAUUUUAUUAUUCUCUUGCUUUACGUUGAUGAUAUGCUUAUUGUGGGCCAAGACACGAGCAAGAUUAGCAAGUUGAAGUCAGAGUUGAGCAAGUCCUUUGCCAUGAAGGAUUUGGGUCCAGCAAAGCAAAUUCUUGGGAUAAGAAUUGUUCGCGACAGAUCACAUGGGUUGAUUUGGUUAUCUCAAGAGAAUUAUGUUAAAAAGGUUCUUGAGAGGUUCAAUAUGGACAAAGCAAAGCCUGUUAAUUGUCCACUUGCAGGCCACUUCAAACUUAGCUCAAGUCAAUGUCCUACAAGUGAUGAAGAGAAAAAUGAGAUGCAGAAAAUUCCCUAUGCUUCAGCAAUUGGUUCUUUGAUGUAUGCCAUGGUUUGUACUCGACCGGAUAUUGCUCACGCAGUUGGGGUUGUUAGUCGAUUUCUGUCUAAUCCGGGGAAAAAACACUGGGCAGCAGUGAAAUGGAUUCUGAGGUAUCUUCAGGGCACUUCAAAGAUGAGUUUGUGUUUUGGUAAAGGCGAGCCUAUUCUUGAUGGGUUCACAGAUUCUGAUAUGGCUGGUGAUGUUGAUAGUCGAAAAUCUACUUCUGGUUAUUUGAUUACUUUUGCAAGGGGAGCAGUGACAUGGCAAUCAAGAUUACAGAAAUGUGUUGCUCUCUCCACCACAGAAGCUGAGUUCAUUGCCAUUACAGAAGCUUGCAAAGAAUUAUUGUGGUUGAAGAAAUUCUUACAAGAGUUGGGUUUGAAACAAGAAAGGUAUGUCCUUCAUUGUGAUAGUCAGAGUGCAAUCCACUUGAGUAAGAAUUCUUCAUUUCAUUCGAGGUCGAAACACAUUGAUGUUAGAUAUCAUUGGAUUCAUGAUGUCUUGAAUGAUAAGUUGUUGAAACUUGAAAAAGUUCACACUGAUGAUAACACUUCGGAUAUGUUGACUAAGGCAUUGACUAAGGACAAGCAUGAGAAGUGUCGACUAUUGGCGGGAAUGGUCGAAUCCUCCACAUAAGUCGGGAGGGGGAGAAUUGUUGGGUUUCCCUCCUUUGUGGGGCUCUUAAAUUUACUAAAUAUGGUUUUGCUAUUUUUGGCCAACACCUUGGUUAGCACAUGACUCUUGGCAUAUUCAAGAUUGGUUUGAAGUCUUCAAGAAAAAAAAAAAAAAACUACAAGUCUUUUGUCUUUUCCUUUGGUUCAUUAGCUUGGUCGGCAAGAAGACUUUUGGGAUACCUUUUUGGUUCAAACAAAAAAAAAUCAGCCUUCUUCUUCUCCAUAUUUUGGUGCUACACAAUCAGCAAGUUUGUUCUUCAAGUGGGUAACGUUCCUUCACUUGAUAUUUGGGGUUUCUUGCGGUUUGUUCUUGGAGAUUUGGUUUACUUUUGUGAGGUAUUUUCCUCUUGUAAUUUACACCUUGGUGUGUUUGUAAGGCUCAUGCCUUUUGGCCACUUUGUAAACUCUUUUGGUGAUAGUGGAAGAAACUGACCUACUGGUCGUCGUGGACGUACCUCAAGUUAUUUGAGGGAACCACGUAAAUCUUGUGUGCUCAUUUAUUUUCUGUUAUUCUAUUUAUAUUGCUUCCAUUGAUUUACACUUGUGGGAAAGCCUUUUUUUUUUCAACACUCACUUGAUCUGACACACCUUUGAUCCUUUGAUGAAUAACUUGAUUUUCCAAUUGAAUUUUGCAAAUACUACUUGAAGCUCAUCUUAAUUUUAAACUCAACCGUGAAAAAUAUGAUUUGUUAUCAUCAAAACUCAUUUAGGAGACCCUUGGGCUAACAUCAAUUAAUAGUGAAAUAAAUUUAUCUAGUGAUAAAGAUGAGGAAUGAAUAUAAUUAAUUCAUACUUGAAUUGGAAACCGUGAGUGAACUCAUGUUAAGAAUGAGUCAAAAUAAGUAUGAUCAAAUAUGAGAGGGAUUAUUUUUACAAAUUUAAGGUUUUUUCAUCCCUUUUAAUCAAAUCAUCCUUUAAUAAAUAUGACUCCAAGAAUAAAAAACAAAGGAAACUGGCAAACCCCAAAUUAUUGGAAAGACAAUUGCACCCAAUUGGGCAUAAAAGGUAAAUAAUUUAACUCAAGAAAAAGUGAAAGUGAAAAUGAGGGACAUGAAGGCAAAAAAGAAUCGUUGAUUAAUAAGAUAUUUUAUUUAAUUUUAUAACCUUUUACAACUUGUUUUUAUGAUGUAUAAUUAAUAUUUUAUAGCAUGCUCUUGUUUGUAUGUCUUAAACUCAACCUACUCAAAUCUUAAGCCUUCACCCCAAACCAAAAACCACAUUUCAUCUUCCUUCUUGUUACAUUUUUGUAAAAGUAUAUAGGCUGAAAAUUUCAUUUGAGGCAUACCAAGCAGAUAUUUCAAGCAUGAUGCUUUGAACAUCAAUUCUAUUUAACUACUUUAUACUUUCAACUGCUAUGGGCUUAGAUAAGUAUGCAACCUUUCAUUAAUUUUAUGACAGAACUAGGAACAAUGGUUAGGAGGGGCUAUGGUUCAAUAUGUACUAAAAAAUCAAAUAAUUUUUUUUUAAAAUUUUACUAAUAAAUUCCAAAGAAUAUUUCAAAAGAAUUAAAAAUUAGCGCGAAAUCUGAGUAAGGAAAUUUUCAAUAAUUUAGUAGUUUUUGCAAUUAAAAAAUCACAAAAAGUAAAGACUUUAAUAAUUUCUCUAAUAAAUUUUGGAUUUUAAAAAAAAUAAUAACUAUAAAAUUAAUUAAAAAUGAUGAGAUUUUUUACUUAAAAAUUAUCCAUUAUAUAGUAACAUGAGGAUCACAUGUUUACUAAAACUAUAACUCUAAAGCUAGAUAUAAACUCCCUUAAUUUGACUAAUUAAAUAGUAUAAUAUAACAUAAUUAUAUAGUUUAGUUAUAAAUAAGUUAUUAUUUAAUUAAAUCUCAAAUUCAACGUGAUUAUAACACAUAUUAAAAAAAAUGUUUAAUAAAAUUUUAAAUAAAAAAUUGAAAAUUGACAAAAAUUUAAUUUAUUAGAAAAAUUAUAAUGAAAUGAAAAUUUUUACAUACACAAAAAGAAUGAAAAAUAAAUUAAGAUAAUAUAUCUGUGAAGAAAAAAAAUGAUGAAGCUAAAAUAAAAAAGGAAAAAAAAAAAGUAGGAGUUUUAAGUAGGCUUUAUAAAAUAUUAUAUAUAUACUUUAAAAUUUAUUUAAAAUUUUUUAAAAAACUUAAAUCCUUGAGGGUUAGUAUUAAUUUUUUUUUUCAAUAACAUUGAAAUGAAAUUAUUUUUUAUUUUUGAAAUUAACAAUUAAAUUCAUAUUUUUUAGAAGGGGAAAGUUACAAAUUUCUUUUCAUUAUUUUCUAAACCUUAAUUUUAUAAGGUAGGCCUUUUUUUUUUUUUUUUUGAGGGGGAAGGGGGUUUUGAGACAAGUUGCAGACUAUUGAGAGUAAAUAAUAAAUAUAGUAAUUGUUGCAUAAUAUAAACAUAAUUACAAUUGAAUCUUUCAAUAGGAAACUUGAAAAGAGAUUUCUAGUACAUCAAGUUUAAAGUAUUAUUAUACUAAACCUAAGAACAAUUUAUAAAUUAAAGUUUCAAUUAUAUUUCACUUCCUUGUGGGUAACUCAUUUUCUUAUCCAAGAUGGAAGUGCAAAUAUAACAUUUGGAAACUAUAAAACCAUAAAUAUAGAGGUAGAGUCAGAUAGUGAGAUAGAAUCUGUAAAUGUUAUACAAGAAGAUAUUUUAUUAAACAUCGAAAUAGUAGAAAACCUAUACAAAAAUUUAGAACUAGUUAAUAUAAUGUUAGAAGAAUUUAGUAACCCAACGUUACUAGAAUAAUAGGUAGAUCAAGAAAACUUUUAUUGACAUAAUUUGUAAAACCUAUACAGACGAACAAAUGAUUGAACUUUAUAAAACCAAUUUGAUAAAAAAAACUUAUAGAUAUAGAAACAAUAAAUCAAUUUAAUUCAACCAAAAGCUAAAUAAAAUUUAAAAAUAGUUUCAAAUGAGUUAGUAAAUAUAAUAAAUGUAGAAAAGGAAUUAGUAAAUGUAAAAAUUGAAAUAGUAAGGUAUAGUAAGAUGUACAGUAAGUCAAAAGGACCUCAAUGGAAAACCAAAACAAAACCUUCUAGUUCUUUACAACCAAUAUAUGAAUAUGGAAUAAUAUUAGAUAUAAAUAGUACACAAGAACUUAAGAAAACCAUAGAAAAUUAGGAAAAAAAUCUUAAAUUAAUUUAGCUGAUGUAGUAGUAUCCUUUGAAAAUCAACAAGAAAUUUAUGAAUUUUGUAAAAGCACCCUUAGAGGAACCGUAUUACAAUUCUUUAGAAACAUGGAACAAGAAAACAAUAGUUAUUUUCAAGAAGUUAGAAAUAAUUUUAGCAUAUCUGUAUUUAUAAAUUUAAUAAAACUAUAUUUUUUAGGAAUAAUUCAAGAAGAUAUAAAGGAACCUGCAAUAUAUCUCCAUAAGUUAGAACAAUUGAAAUUAUGUAACCUCUCUUAUAUAAAAGAAUAUGAACAAAAAUUUAGAAAAUAUGCAAUUCUUGCUAGAGUAGAUAGAACCCCUGAAUAUUUAAAUAAAUAUCUAUUAAAAAUACAAGGACCUAUAGGACUUAGAUUAUGGAAUGAAUUUUCAACCUUUGAAUAUAAAAAUUCUCCUUAUAUAGGUGCUACAAUAGAAUUUGUAAAAAAUUGAUUAGGAAGAGAAUGUGUAAGUGUAGGAGAAAGAAGCCAAACAAAGAAACAAGAUAUAAAUCAACAACUUUGUAGAAAAUUACAUAUAGGAGAAAAUCUAGACAUAGGAUGUAGAGAAUAUAAGUUCAAAAAACCUAAGAACUACAAUAAAUUUUUAAGAAGAAAGUCAAAAACCUUUUCUAAAAAUGACUUUAUCAAACAAGAUAUAAAAAACUUGGAAAGUUCUGGAUAAAAAGAAAAAGAACUAAGGAAAGAAAAAGAUAGUGUAAAUGUUAUUUGUGUGGUUAGGAAGACCAUAUAAGACCUGAAUAUCCUAAACUUAAAAAACCAUCAAAUGAAUGAAGUAGAAAAACCCAAGCAAAAAUUAACCUAAUAAAUGAGUAUCAAUUAGAUAGUGAAGAAGAACAACUCAUUAGUGAAUUAGAUUUUGAAAGUAAAAAUUCAAAUGUAUAUAGUAUAGAUGAUAGUGAAACCGAAAGAGAAGAAAUUUGUAUGAUUAUUGAAAAAGAGGAAAAUCAACCUAAGAAAACUUCUUUAAAUUUAGAAAAACUUGUACAACCUUUAGAAAGUAAAAUAAAACCUUAUAAUAUGUGGAAAGACUUACAAAUAAUAAUUAAAGGAAAAAUCUCGAAAGAAGAGGAAAACAAUUCAAACUCUAAAGAAAUAAAAGAACUAAUAAGUCCUGUAAAAACAACUAUACAAACAAUAGAACAAGUAAAUAUGGCAAAUAAAGUUAAAUCUAUCAUUUUCCCAACAACAAUUAAAUUAAAAACCAUAGAAUUAAAAGUAAAUGCAAUGUUAGAUAAUGGAGUCAGUAAAAACCUUUUAUUUGAAACUUUAGUAUCUCAAGAAGACUAGUAAAUACUAGUUCAAUCAAUAGAACUAGUCCAAUAUAAUCAACAAAAGCUAAUGUUAACCACGUAUAUUUCAAAUGUACCAAUCAUAAUUAACAACAUAACCUUAGUGUUACCUCAAACUUAUCUUGUACUUACUAUAAGUUUAUAUCAUUUUAUUUUAAGUUUAAAUUUUUUACAUUCUUUACAAUGAGGGAUAACAACACAAAAUAACCAAGUAAGUUUUCAUCAUAAAACCACAACAAUUGUUUAUACAAACAUAGACAAUGCAUCAAAUAAAAAUCAUAAUGUAACCUCUCAUCAAAUUAACAAGAUAGAAGCACAAAAGGAUAGUAUAAUUAAUGAUUAUUUAGAAUAAUUAAGGAAUCCAAAUAAGUUAAAAAACCUUAUAUUAGAAGCAGAAAAAAUAGGAAUUAUAGGAGAAGACCCACAAAAAUAUUGGAAUAAAAAUAAAACAACUUGUAAAAUACCAAUUAAAAACCCAGAUUUAACAAUAAAAAUAUAAAAUAUAGCAUUUAAACUUAUGGAUACAAGGGAAUUCAAAAUUCAAAUAGAAGAGCUAUUGAAAAAUAACCUCAUUAAACCAAGUUUUAGUUCCCAUAGAUCUUCAGCCUUUUUAGUAAGAAACCAUAAUGAAGAAAAAAUAGGAAAAACUAGGAUGGUUAUUAAUUAUAAAAGAUUAAAUGAUAAUAUAUAUGAUGAUGACUAUAAAAUUCCAAAUAAAGAUUCUUUAAUUAAUUCUAUUCAAGGAUGUAAAUACUUUUCUCAGCUAGAUUGUAAAAGUGAAUUUUGGUAAAUUAUAUUAGAAGAAGAUAACAAAUCAUGGACAACAUUUUCAUGUCCUUGUGAAUUAUAUGAAUGGAAUGUUAUGCCAUUUGGACUAAAAAAAUGCUCCUCAGAUAUUUCAACGAAUGAUGGAUAAUAUUUUUGGUAAAUAUUCUUUUGUUCUUGUAUAUAUUGAUGAUAUUCUUGUUUUUUCGUAUACUUUUCAGGAACAUAUAAAGCAUUUAAAAUUUAUUUUUGAAAAACUAAUUAGUCAUUAAUUAAUAGUAAGUAAAAAGAAACUGAAAUUAUUUAAAACCCAAAUAGAAUUUUUAGGAUUAGAAUUGAAUGAUAGACAAAUAAAACUGCAAAAUCAUAUAGUACAAUAAAUAAAUAUUUUUUUAGAUAAAUUCGAAGACUUAAAAACCCUUCAAAGUUUUUUAGGAUUAUUAAUCUAUGCUAGACCAUAUAUUAAAAACCUUAGUAGAUUAGCUGGAGCCCUUUAUAGUAAAACAAAAAAUACAGGAUAGAGAUAUUUUAACCAAGAAGAUAUUAAACUUGUACAUAAAAUAAAUGAACUUGUAAAACAUCUCCCAACUUUACAUUUACCCUUAGAGAGUAAAUACAAAAUAAUUCAAAUUGAUGCUAGCCAAACAUGAUGGGGAGGUAUACUUUUAGUAGUCACUGACAUUGGAGAAGAAAAACUUUGUAGAUACUGUAGUUGAACUUUUAAUGAUUAUCAAAAGAACCUUAGUUCUACAGACUUAGAAAUUGAAGCAAUAAUCUUAGUCUUAGAAAAAUUUCAAUGAUUUUUAAACCAAGAACAAUUUACUUUAAGAACCAAUUGUGAGAAUAUUAAAAAACUCUUUGAAAAUAAAAAUUCUUCAAAAUUGUCCACCAAAAGAUGGAUAAAGUUUCAAAACUCUUUAAUUGGUUUCAAACCUAAAUUUGAACAUAUUAAAGGAAAAGAUAAUAUAUUAGCAGAUUCGCUAAGUGGACAAAUAAUUAUUAAUAAUGUUGAUAAUGCUAAUGAUUGAUUUUAUUCUAGAGGAACAUGGUUCAAAGAAAACCCACUAAAGCUAGAACCUUUCAAUUUGGAACCAUAUUUUUGAACGAAGUGUUAAAUCCAAAUUUGAGGUUUAACUCUCUAUAUUCUUAAAAUAUUUUUGAAGAGCAUAAGGUUAUUGUAGAUAAUUUUUGGUCUCUAAAACCAUAGAGUUUUCCAAACCAAAAUCUAGAAUAUGCUUAUGGAAAAACCGUGUCAACUUUAACCCAACAUUUACAAAACCUUCAGAAUCAACUUAUUGCUUUAGAACCCAAAAAUUUCAAAACCUCAAAAUCUAAGAAAAUUAAGAACUUUUGUACAAACAUUUUAUAACCAAAAAUGUCGGGAAAAAAAUAGGGUAUAUGGCAUAUCAUGACCCUGAAUUUUUCUUUGUUAUAUAUUUAGCUUAUGUGAAUAUGUUUACUGUAAAUAAAGAAAUUUUUGAUCUAGUAUCCUAGUUUAUGGAUUAGUGAAUUUCUUAAAAUGUUUUCAUAAACCAUGUAUCUCAAAUCCUUGAAAAAUUUCCAGAAAAAUUAAAAGAUAUUUUAACCUAUCUUUUCAAAACCAAAAAACAAAUCAACAUUUCUUUUGAAACUAUUCCACCUUUAUUUCAAACCAAUGGAUCAAUAGUGCUAGCCUAUCACCAUAUUUAUAUAAAACAUAAUAAGAACCACUCAUCCCACAACAAGAACCAGAAUGAGAAAUGACCCGUUCAAAUGAAUUUUCAGAAUUUUUUACUCUCUUUAGAGCCUUUCAAAUUUAUGAUCUUAGACCAACCCGAAAUAAAUUAUUUCAUCUCAUUGGAGAAACAAAAACUAUGUUUAUAUGGAGAAACAAACCUUUAGAACACAUUAUUGUUCCAAAACCUUUCAUUACUCUUGAAGAACAGGAUUUUAUAACCGAACUCAGUGUAGAGUUACUAGAACCAUAUUUUUGCCUCAAGCGAUGACGCAUCAUUUUGGGAAAACCUUGACGAUGAAAGUUAUUAUAAUCUUUAAAAUGCAAUGGAACAUUGAUGUCAGUAAUGACGACAUUGAAGUAGUAAAUGCAUCUUCAACUACAAGAAUUUAAUACAAUAGUAGAAGUCUAGAAUCAAUAAAGCCACAUACUGCAUGUGAUAAAAAAGAAGAAAGAGACAAGGAAGAAGCCACUAGACAGAUGGUAAAGAAGAAAGAAAAGUCAAAUCUUACCAUCUUUACAUUUAUUCUAAACCAAACCUCUGAAGACUUUGUAAAACUUUGUAAAUAUUUAUGUUUGCCAUCUACCGAUUGCCAACAAGCCCAAUUAAAUUUAGUUUGUCGUAUUGUAAAAGUUUUGUCUAUAAAUGAGUUGUAAACUGAGAGAGAAAGUAAGCGAGCAAUUAGAGAGCAAUCAAGAGAAAUACAGUCAGUUGUAUCUUCAGCUUGUAAAUUUCUAUAUUUAGUAAUAAAAAGUAAGAAAUUUUUGUCCUCAUUUUAUUUGUAAUUUAAUUUAUUUUUGUCUUUUUUCCUCACCCUUAUGGGGUAAAAGGGGUAAACAGAUAGGGAAAUGAAAAUUACUUGAAUUAUAGUUCUAUUUUUACUAAUUGAUAUUUGCAAUAUACAUAGAUCCUUUAUAUAUAUAUAUAUAUAUAUAUAUUAUGUUUCUGUCAUUUUUUUUUUUUAAAUUGGGUUAUUGAGAAAGUUUUUGGUGUAAAAUAAAUUUUUUUAAAACUACAACCUUUAGUCUUAACCCUUGACCUGUAACCUAUUUAGCUAGAAAAUUGGUGUGUUAGGGAGACUUUGUCUAGUUAGAAAGGGGUAUUACCUUGACACAAAGUGAUGUUUUAAAAAUCUGAGUUUAUUAAAAAAUCUUUGAGAUAUCCGUUCUUCAAAAAACAUCUUUACUAAUUAAUAAAAGCUUUCACAUUGUAAAUUGAAAGGUUUUACUUUAAAUAAAUGUUAUAAUAAUAUGUAAUAAAUGCUUUCACAUUGUAUAUUGGAAGUUUUUGUUUUAAAAUAAUUGUAUAAUAAAUGCGUUCACACAGGUUUUGGUUUUAAAAUUUAAUUCUCAUCGUUUACGCCUUGAUUUUGCACGAGAAAUUUCAAAGUUUUUGCCAUUUGCCUUGACUGUGAAAAGUUGAUGGAGAAAGUUGGUAUCAGAGCUUUAUGUAUAUUGUUAGCAUAUUAAUUAGGAAAAGUAUUUCUUGAUUCGAAUUAAUUUUCAGAGUAUUGAACUUUAUCUUACCCCAUUAAAAGUCUAAUUAUGUUUACUUGAUCUGUUCAUUUAGUCUGUUGAUUUCAUAUGAAUUAAUGUCUUUUAUUCCUUAUCCUCUUAGUAUAAUUUAGAUUAUGAUCCUAUAAAAGAACUUAGUAAUAGAUUAUAUGUUCAAUGUAAAGAAUUUAGAGAAACAUGUGAUAAAUUGCAUACUUUAAGGACUAUUGUAAAAGAUUUAACCACAGAUAUCAAAAACCUAAUCUCUCUUAAAUAUUUAAAUGAAUACAAAAUAACUAUACAAGAAUCCUUUGAAGAACUUUUUGCUACGGAAACCCUAAUUAAAAGAGAAAUUAUAAAAUAUUGUAUUGAUAAUUUAUAUGCUAGUUCAUCUAACUAGAAAACAUUAAAAAUUCAUGAACCCUCAUCUACUAACCUAAGAGGUAAAACAAUUAAAAAAAAAGAUCGGGUUAUUGAGAAAGUUUUUUUGUGUAAAAUUAGAAUUUUUAAAACUAGAGUCUUUAGUCUUAACCCUUGACCUGUAACCCAUUUUGCCGAAAAUUGGCGUGUUAGAGAGACUUUGUUUGGUCAGAAGGGGGACAUUACCUUGACACGAAAUGAUGUUUUAAAAUUUUGAGUUUAUUAAAAAAUCUUUGAGAUAUCUGUUCUUCAAAAAACAUCUUUACUAUGUAAAAAAUGCUUUCACAUUGUAAAUUGAAAGGUUUUACUUUAACUAAAGGUUAUAAUAAUAUGUCAUAAAUUAUUUCACAUUGUAUAUUGAAAGUUUUUAUUUUAAAAUAAUUGUAUAAUAAAUGUGUUCACACUGGUUUUGGUUUUAAACUUUGAUCUCGUUGUUUACACCUUGAUUUUGCACGAGAAAUUUCAAAGUUUCUGCCAUUUGCCUUGACUAUGAAAAGUUGAUGGAAAAAUUAAAAGAUAUUUUAUAAUUUCUCUUUUAAUUAGGGUUUCUAUAGCAAAAACUUCAUCAAAGGAUUCUUGUAUAGCUAUUUAGUAUUCGUUCAAAUAUUUAAGAGAGGAUAGGUUUUUUAUAUUUGUGGUUAAAUCUUUUACAGUAGUCCUUAAAGUAUGCAGUUUAUCAUAGGUUUCUCUAAAUUCUUUAUGUUGAACAUAUAAUCUAUUAUUAAGUUCUUUCACAUGAUCAUAAUCUAAAUUAUAUCUACUAGGAGGAUAAGGUAAAAGACAUUAAUUCAUAUGAAAUCAACAAACUAAAUGAAUAGAUCAAAAAAAUAUAAUCAGACUUUUAAUGGGGUAAGAUAAAGUUCAAUACUCUGAAAAUUAAUUUGAAUUAAGAGUUACUUUUCCUAAUUAAUAUACUAACAAUGUACAUAGAGCUCUGAUACCAACUUUUUCCAUCAACUUUUCAUAGUCAAGGCAAAUGGCAGAAACUUUGAAAUUUCUCGUGCAAAAUCAGGGUGUAAAUGAUGAGAAUCAAAGUUUAAAACCAAAACCAAUGUUUUUAACGCAUUUAUUAUACUAUUAUUUUAAAAUAAAAACUUUCAAUAUACAAUGUGAAAACAUUUAUUACAUAGUAUUAUAACAUUUAUUUAAAGUAAAACCUUUCAAUUUACAAUGUGAAAGCAUUUAUUACAUAGUAUAGAUGUUUUUUGAAGAACGAAUAUCUCAAAGAUUUUUUAAUAAACUCAGAAUUUUAAAACAUCACUUUGUGUCAAGGUAAUACCCCAUUUUCUGACAAGAUAAAGUCUCCCUAACAUGCCAAUUUUAUGGCAAAAUGAGUUACAGGUCAAAGGUUAAAACUAAAGAUUCUAGUUUUAAAAUUUUUGAUUUUACACCAAAAACUUUCUCAAUAACCUAUUUUUUUUUAAUUUGAGGGAAAUAUUAUAUAUAUAUAUAUAUAUAUAUAUAGAGAGAGAGAGAGAGAGAGAGAGAUAGAUGAUCUAUGCAUAUUGUAGAUAUUAAUUAGUAAAAAUAGAACUAUAAUUCAAAUAAUUUUCAUUUCCCUACUUUAUCUGUUUACCCCUUUUAUCCUGUAAGGGUGAGAAAAAGACAAAAAUAAAUUAAAUUGCAAAUAAAAUGAGAAUAGAAAUUUCUUACUUUUUAUUGUUGAAUAUAGAAAUUUACAAAUUGAAGAUACAAUUGACUGUAUUUCUCUUGAUCUCUCUAUUGAUUUCUUUCUGAUCGCUCGCUUGCUUUCUCUCCCAGUUUACAACUCAUUUAUAGACAAAACUUUUACAAUAGGACAAACUAAAUUUAAUUGGGGUUGUUGGCAGUUGGUAGAUGGCAGACAAAAAUAUUUACAAAGUUUUACAAAGUCUUUAGAGGUUUGGUUAACAAUAAACGUAAAGAUGGUAAGAUUUCACUUUUCUUUAUUCGUUACCAUCCAUCUAAUGACUUCUUCCUUAUCUCUUUCUUCUUUUUUAUCACGUGUAGUAUAUGUGGCUUUAUUGAUUCUGGACUUCUAUUGUUGUAUUAAAUUCUUGUAGUUAGAGACACAUUUACUUCUUCAAUGUUGUUAUUAUUGGCAUCAAUGUUCCAUUGCAUUUUGCAUAUUAUAAUAACUUUCAUCGUCAAGGUUUUCCCAAAAUGAUGCGUCAUCACUGAGGUAAGAAGAUGGUUCUAGUAACUCUACACUAAGUUCGGUUAUAAAAUCUUGUUCUUCAGGAGUAAUGAAAGGUUUUGGAGCAAUAAUGUGAUCUAACAGUUUGUUUCUCCAAUGAGAUGAAAUAAUUUAUUUUGGGUUGGUCUAAGAUCAUAAAUUUGAAAGGCUCUAAAGCAAGUAAAAAAUUUUGGAAAUUCAUUUGAACAUGUCAUUUCCUAUUCUAGUUCUUAUUGAGGGAUGAGUGGUUCUUUACUCUGUUUUAUAUAAACAUGGUGAUAGGUUGACACUAUUGAUCCAUUGGUUUGAAAUAAAGGUGGAAUGGUUUCAAAAGAAAUGUCGAUUUGUUUUUAAGUUUUUAAAAUUAGUUGUUUAGCCAAAUUGUUAACUUUAGUUGGAAAGUAUUUAGUUUUAAGUUAAUAAUUUUAAGAAUAAAAUUUAGAAAAACUAUAAAUCUAAAAUAAUCCAAUAAAAUUAGGAUUGGAUAGAUAAAUUCUAAACAUAAAACAUCAUUGCAUGAAAUAUCAUACAUAAAAUGUGAAAUACAUAUCAUGAAUUUUAUUUUAUAUUUAUAAUAUUAAAAAUAAAAAUAGAAUUAAUAAAAAUAAGUUAAAAUUAUUUUAUUAAUAUUUAUUAAUAGAUAAAAUAUAAAAAUGAUAAUAUAUAUCAGAAAAGUUAAAAUGAAAAAAAAGAGACAUUUGUCACACAAUGGUCUCUCUUUUGUCACACAAUGGAGAGAUCUUGUCAGUUGGGGAUGAAGUUACACUUCUAAAAAUUACGAGGCACAUGAAGAUGUACGUAGGUAUGUGAUUGUGAAUGUGCAGAUAAAUGGAAUGAAAGAUAUAAUGUUUGAAAAGGUAAGUAGGAAGUGAAUUAUCUUUUAAUAUAGAUAUAAUAAUUUAAAUUUCUUUACUUUUAAUAAUCUAUAAAUAAUUUUAAAUUGAUUAACAUAAUAUAUAAAAUGACAUAAUAUACCUAUAAUUUAAUUAAUCCAUAGAUAAUAAUUAUAAAUAGAAAUAUUAAAAUAUUAUCAUAUUUGAUUAUAGUAAUAGAUACUAUAUAGUAAUAUAUUAUUAUAAUAUAAGAUGAUAUUUACCUUUCUUUAAAUUCUUUAUAUUUUUAUAAUUUAGUAAUUAAGUUAGUUAUUAAACUUAUCUUAAAGAUCAUAUAUUUGUUUUUUAAAUUUUAGUUUCUUGUUCAUCACUAUUUCAAAUAAAUUAUUUAAAUUAAAAUUUAUUAUUGUAACUCAAGGAUGUACUUAUAGAAAAAUAGAUAGAACAUAAAAAAUAUGUUAUUAUUGUCAUGAUUUAGGUAAAAUUACAACCAAACAAAUUUGUGUCAUAAUUUACAAGUUUUGUAAUCCACCAUUGUUGUAAUGUACUCUUUUAACAAAUUUACUUAGUUGGCUUCUUCCAGAAGUUUGAAGCAAUCAUCAUUAUAAUGAUCAUUAACUACUUUGUUUAACUUUUUAGUUGUUUGAGUUAGAUUCCUUCUUUUUCUCUAUUGCAAAAAAGUUACAUAUAUUUUAAAAGCUAUUAGGUGAAAUAGAAAAAUGAUGUUUUAAAAUAUAUCUUAGCAAAAUUUUCAUUACAUAAGUUAAGGAUACAUUACCUUAUAUUGUUUUUUCAAUAUUUUUUUGAUCUUUCCAUUUUUCUCCUAAUACUUAAAAAAUUGCAUAAUUUGCAUUGAAAAAGCAAGUUUAUUUUCUAAAGUUCAUUAAUAUUGAUACCAACAUAUAUUUAUCUCACUAAUAUAAAAUUCUUCUUUUUCAUGUUUCUUUUUCUUGAAAUGAGUUGGUUAUAAGACAAGUUUUCUUUAUAACAACUAAUUUAUAUGUCAUUUUAUGAAUAUUGUUAUAUUAUCGAUAAAUAAAUACAUAUUAUAGUCAAAUCAGAUUUAAAAAAUGUAGCAAUUGUAUUCAUGAUUAAUGUAAAAGUAUCAAAUCAGAGUUAUCAUUAAUGACAUCAUGAUAAAAGUUAAUACGUUUUUAUAAGUUAAGAAAAUAAACCAUUGUUUCUUUUGUUUUGUCAAAAAUGUUUUUGACCAUUAUCUAUAGAGUUGGUCUGUCAACUUUGACUAUAGCACCUAAAUUCUUAACCAUAUAGUUGUAUUUUCAACUAAGAUUAGUUUAGUUAGUAAUUGUAGUACAAAUUUAAAACUUAAUAUUGUGAAUAUUACAUUUAAGAUAUAAUACCUUAUUACAUGAUAACCAAUCUAAAAGUUGAAAAUGUUGAAGUGAAAUAUAAACAUAUAGAAAGAUGAUAAUAAUUUAUUAUCUUUAAAAUAGCUGAGACGGUGAAAUAAAGUGAUUUUCUAAACAUUGUUUAUUAUUAAAAAUACUACGAAAAAAAGACAAAAGUUCAGACCAUGAUUGUUUCCAAUAUCAACAUUAUUGCAAAAUGAAACUAAUUAUGUAAAUUAUAUUGACUAUCAAUAUAGUUGUUUGUUCAUUAGCUUGUAUAGUUGUCCUAGCCUAUGUUUGGUUCUAAAAAAGUACUAAGGAAAAAAAUUGUAAAAGAAAAGUAAUUUUCUUAUAUUUGGUUGCAAAAUGGAAAAUAUAGAAGAAAAUUAAAUAUAAUUAAAAUUAGUUACAACGGGUAAUGUGUCUCAUACAUAUAGGUUUAUUAGUUUAUUGCACAAAUUAUAUGACCUAAUGUCACACUCAAAAUAUUCCCUUGGAAGCCUAUCCGAUGUUAUGGGCUGUUUGGUGUACAAUAAGUAGAAAUUGCACGAUUAGAUUGGAUCUUAUGUUUGGGAAUUUUAUUUAAAAAAUAAUGAAGGAAUAGAUAUUGGGAAAAAAUAAAUACCUUGAUAUGCCUAAAAUAAGUAAAUUACACAUUCUUCAAUGAGAAUAUCAGAUUAUUUCCCUUCAAUUGGAUUGAAUAAAUUCUAUAAAUAUUAUACAUAAAAAAAUUUAUAUAAGGUAAGAACUAAAAUAUGAUGAAUGUAUAAGCAACAUAAAAAAUGUUGGAUAGACAAAAAUUAGAAAUAGUGUAGGAAAAUAAUUAAUUACCUAAUAUGAAAAGGCGGUUCAUCAUAAAAUUUCAUGGAAAGUUGUAGUUUCAAAUAUAUAUAUAUAUAUAUAUAUAUAUAUAUAUAUAGUCUUAGAUAAGUUAAAGUAAAAGAUAGGGGAGCAAGUAAAACGAUUAUGACAUUUAUUUAGAUUCAUUUAGUGAGACAAAAAGAAUAUUUUGAUGUUUCAAGUUUUUGACUUUCAUGGGUUAAUUUUCCUUAAUUUUAAGAAAACCUUAUUUUUUAAAAUAACAAUAUAUAUAUAUAUAUAUAUAUACCAUAGACACCUAGGACGAGGUUAUAUGCAAUGAAAACAUAAAUUAUGCCAAAACUCAAAAUCAAAUGAGAGAAAUAAAAAAUACACAAAGAUAUUUAAUAAAGAAAUUUAAAGAAAAGGAACAUUAAACUUUAUAUUACAUAACUUGAAAAUUACAUAACUUGGAAAACAUACUUAUAAUAAGGAGAAACAGGGAAAUAGAAUAUCUUACAAUGGAAGGGAAAGGAAAGCUUUGAAGAAAGCUUUAGCUUGAAGGCUUACAUGGUGAAAGAGAAAGAAGAGAGAAAAGAGAAAUUAAGCGUAAAAUGGAGUGUGAAAUUCAGUGUGCUUACAACUGAGGAUCGGGCCUCAUUAAAUAGCUAAAAAAGGAAUCUUAAACAGUACAAAGCAGUAGACAAAGUACUGUAUGCUUUUUGACUUUUGGCUAUGAAUAGUAACUUCUUAUGAAUGAAUAGUGAGCCCGUGGAUGAAUAGUGAAUAGUAAAAGUGAACAGUAAAUGACUUUUUAUUGUAGUACUUUAGACUUUUCAGCACAGAAUCUUACUUUCAGCUGAGUAAUGAUGGCUGACAGGCUGCUUUUUGAACUGUGGACUCACAUGCUUAUAUGCUUUUGGUGCUGAAAUGGCUUAAAGCUUUGUCGGUGGAGAAUAUUCUUGUUGGUCGAGUCAUGAGAAGGCUUAAGGAAGAACAUAAUCCCUACGAUGCUCUUCAAGUAACUUGACAUAUUCAGUUGCAGACUUGGUUGGUAGAGGAUCAAUUCUAUUGUUGUAGAAAAUUUGGUGAAAAGGGUUUGCAGCAAUGAGAUAACCCAUGUUCUUUGGAUAGGCUUCAAAGUCUCUACUGAUAAUCCUAGCUCUCCAAUGUUUGAUUUGAUUAAUAAGGGGCUCAUCACAAAUAUCAAUAAAUUCCAAAGGGUAAGACAAUAGUGUUGGUCUUCUAUUUUGAUAGUGAAAAGAAAUAUUGUGUUGUGUAGGUAGAAGACUACCAUCAGAUACCCACUCAGGAGCUUUGCUGAUGAUGAUGGCGUCAACAAAUUUCUUGUUCAUCUUAAAACCUUGAACUAGUCCCAAAGCUAUUUUCCUUCCAAAAUUAACUGCUUGAUUUGGUUUUGAGCAAUUGAUUUGAUGAAUUAAAGCAUAGUCCAAAAGUAAUUCUAGAGUUAGGAUUAAUUCCUUAUUCUUAAAAGAGAGGUUGAUUGACAGAUACUACUGUAAGUGAAGGCAAACCCGACUGAUUGUAAAAUUCCUAUUGUACUUGCAUAAAAUUUGCUUAAUUCCUUGCUGGUAAAGAAAAGGAUCUUUGAUAGUUCUAUAAAAUUUAGAAUCGUCAAAUUCUCUAUCUUUGACCAACUUUAAGCUUGGGACCCAAAGACCAAGAGUGGUUGAGAGAUAAAUGUGAAGGUCCUGGAGACAAGCUGAAAUAAAAACUUGCUUUUCUUCAGCUAAGGUCUUGGCCUUUUCAUAGAUUAGGAAACGAACAUCCUGUUUAAGGGAAUACAUCAUCUCCUUCUUUUGAAAAUACAUUCUUAAUUUAAAGUUAUUCCACUCUUCCUCACUUAAUUUUACUUCAUCCACCAGUGGGGUGGAUUGCUUAUUCUCACCAUUUUCCAGUGGGGAAAAAGGGGCUUGAACCUUAAGCAUAUCCUACCAACCUUUGAGAAAGUCAACUACCUCUAGUUUCAUUUCCAAAGUCCUACACCUUUCCUACAAAUUACAAAGACUUUUGAGAUAACCAGAUAAGGGGUUAGUAUCCUUAGAGAAUGAAUUUGUGGGAAAGGAAUCCUCCACAGAAGGUAGAGAACUCAAACUUGUUCCUUUAUCCCUAUUAGGGGAUGAGGGAUGCUUAGGGAUUUUUGAAGGAAUAGGAUCUUUGGAGAAGCUGCAGAAACCUGCAACUUCAAAAUGCUCAUAGUAUAGUGGCAUGAAUUUCUCAGAAAAAAUUGAAUGAGAUUUCUUAGAGUCUAGGGAUUUCUCAAUAGGCUUAAGAGGUUGUUUUUUUUUUUUUGGGAGCCAUGAUCUUAUGAAUCCUACAAAAAUUCAUGAGUUAAGAAAUCAGAGAUUGAGUUAUUUUCUCCUUUAAUGUACUCAAUUUGAAAAUCAAAAUUACUUAAAAUAGCUUGCCAUUUAGCAAAAAUAUGCUUAGAAGCUAUAUUCUUAACAUCUUUUUUUAAAACUGAUUUUUACAGAUUUGCAAUCAACUUUAAAAAUUCUUAGUUCAAAAAAUCAUCUUGAAAUUUUGAAAUGCAUAAAAAAAUGCUUAAAAUAUCUUUUUUUUAAUGGUACUAUAGUUGAGUUGGGCAUUAUUCCAGGUUCCUGAAGUAUACCUAACCAACUUUUCUUGGUUACCAUCUUUUUGCUUAAGAAUCCCACCAUAACCUAUGUUUGAGGCAUUAGUCUCAACAAUCUUAAAGGCUUCUGGAUUGGCUAAAGCUAAACAUGGUAGGGUCUUGACUCUGGUCUUGAUAGUUUUGACAAUCUUGGUGUGUUCCUCAUUCCAAGGUAGUGGGAUUUUUCUUAAGUCUUUGUCUUAAAGGGGCACAAAGCUGGCUUAAAUCUUGAAUAAAGUCUGACACAUAAUUAAGGCUUCUUAACAAACAUUGCAAUUGUUUCUUAUUCUUAAUCUCAUCAGGAAACUUAUUAGCAAACUCUAUUGACCUUUGAAUUGGGGUAAUGGUUCCUUGGUAGAUAUGAUGACCUAGAAAUCUAAUAUUAGUCUGAAACAGGUUAAUUUUAGUGGCUGACAAGCUUAGACCAUUAUUCUUAACAGUCUGAACAAACUUAUUGAGAUGCUUCCAAUGUUCCUUUACAGAUAUAGAGUAUACUAAAACAUCAUCAAUAUAGACAAUGAUGAAAUCUGAAAACUAGUUAAAGAUUUCAUUCAUUAUGUUCUGAAAUUCUGAAAGUGCAUUCUUAAGACCAAAGGACAUAACGUUCCAUUCAUAAUGUCCAAAGGGUACCACAAAGGCUAUCUUAUAUCUAUAUUUUUCUGCAAUCUAGAUUUGCCAAAAUCCUGAUUUCAUAUCAAACUUAGAAAAAACUUUAGAAUUAACUAACCUUUGAAGGAGGUCUUUCUUAUUUGGAAUAGGAUACCUAAUCCAUCUUAUUGCAUCAUUAAGAGGCUUGUAGUUGAUGACUAGUCUAGGUGUUCCUCUUUUUAAUUCAACUUGUUUCUGAACAUAGAAGGCUGAACAACUCCAAGGGGACUUAGACUUCCUUAUUAACUUCUUGUCAAGAAGAUCUUGGAUCUUUUUUUCACAAUAACUUAACAAAUCCUUAUUCAUCUAGAUAGGUCUGGCUUUAGUGAGAAUAUUCUUCUCACUAAAGUCUGGCUCAUAGGGUAACUCUACCUCAUGCUGCUUCCUGUGCCAAAACACAUUAGGAAUGUUAGAGCAAACUUCUCCAACAAUCUUAUUUUUAAACUUUUCUAUCGCAUCUUGAGUUUUCUUGACUUUUAGUUGUUCUUCCAUUCUAACAAGAUUAAUCUCCUACUUUAAGAGAUUAACUUGGUUUUCCUUCGCUUGAAUCACCUGAUCCCUUAAAGUGUUUAUACUCCUUUCAUUAGGUGGGUUAGCAAAUUCAAAUAGAAUUUCCUUAUCUAAGAGCUUUGUUCUUAUACCUUGGUCAUCAACCUGAAUAGGAUAGAUAGAGUUCAAAAAAUGAACUCCAAGGAGGGCCUUUUCCUUUAGGUCUUUAACAAGGAUAAAGGUUUGCUUAAUGCAAAUGCCCUCGUUACAGACGUGAGCAUUUGACAACUUAUACUUAAUGGCAAGUCUUUUACCAUUGGCUCCUGAAAGAGUUUGUCUAGUUUUCUCAUAAAACUGGGUAGGUACUAGACUUUCUUGUAGGUAAUUCAAAGCUGCUCCUGAAUCAAUCAAAGCAACAAUAUCAAGGACAAAUUUAUCCUUGACUACUAUAGUAAGGGAGACUUCCCAUAUUUGGAAAAUAACCCUACUAACAGUAUUCAAGUAUGCAUCUGCUUAUUCAUCAUUAGCUUGUGAAGAUACUGGAACCUCUUCAAGGGUUUUCUGGUUAUCAACAAGAUUUCCUACAAUAAUCCUAUUGAUUUGUUCUUGGAGGUUUGAAAAACCUAAGCUUGUGAAUUGUCUUAAAUAUUUAAUUUCCUUCUUAUACUAUCUUACUUCUUCUUGAAGAUCCUUAAUGGUUAUGUAUUUGGUAGACUGUUGGUUAAAUCUUGUUAAGAUUUCAUUUAAGUUAUAAGGAUUAACUAUCCACUUAACUUCUUGCUUACCAAUAGAUUUCUUAAAGACUUCAUAAAGUUAUUGCUUAACUUUUUCAUCUUCAACUUUUCUUAAAACAUUUAGAACUAGUUCUUAAUCCUGACUUAUGACAUUUAUAGUCUUAGGUUGGCAAUCACAAUUACCCUUAAUGCAUUCUUCUUGGUUACUAGAAGUUUGGCUCGAAAUCUCAUCACCACUAUCUAGUUGAUUAAUAUCAUCUUCAUUAUCUAAAUCAAUCAUCGAUUCAGAUUUUGAGGAGUUUAACAUUACUUCAUAAAGCAUGUCUUUUAAGUCUUCUAAGACAUUCAAGUUAUUAAUUUUCUGUCUAACCCUACAAUCUUUCUUAUAGUGGCCUACCUUACCACACUUAAAACAAACUGGCUUAGAUUGUGAAGGGGCUUCUAGCUUUUUUUGGGCUUCAUUGUUCAUCUUUCUUUGAAUGUGCCUUGAUCUCUUGGUUUCAUUCAUCCUAUGGUUUCCAUGAGUAUCUCUCUUGUCGUGAUAAAACUUUUCCUUACUAGGCUUUCUUCCUUAUUUGUUUUUUCUUAAGUUGCUUAGAAGGAGGCUUAGUUUCCUUUUGACUGAAUCCAAACUUGCUACAGAAUGAACCAAACUCAUUCUUGUAGAUCCUUUGUUCAUUUUUCAUUUGUUGCUUAAGCUUAACUUCAUUGCACAACUUAAUUUCUUCUGAUGUGACAAUGCUUAUGAUUUCUCCAUAAGUUAGCUUAUCAUAAGGGAUUUGUCCAUUAAACUGUUCCCUUAUCUUAAUUCUAAUUCUCUAAGAGAAAAGUCUAGGUAGUCUUGAGAUGAAUUUUUCUUUCCAAAAAGACUGAUUAUAGUCUGAUCUUAGCAUGACUUUGGUUAAGAAAACUUCUCUAUACCAUCUAAAGUCAUGAAGCUUGGGACACUUAAGGUUGGUUAAGAGAUCUAUAGUCUUGUCCUUAAUCUUUGCAGGAUCUCCAAUGAAGUGCUUUGAUAUUGAAAAGAUUAGAGUAGCCACUGCAUCCUCUAUAUCUUAUUCUUCUUCGUCCUUAACUGAUUCAUGCCCAAUUGGUGUCUCAGCUGAUUCGUGUCCAGUUGGUGCUCCUUGAUUGAGGGAUUAAUCAACAAAAUUUAUAACCUAUUACACCAUAUACUAGGGUAGCAAAGACAAAGCUACUAUAGCAUAGCGGCUCUAGGAUCGUUCACUGGGAUGGGUUUUCACUUUGCAAAUGAUAUUAAUUCAAAGCUGAAUUGGUGUCUUUUCAUUUCAAGGUUAGCUUUAAAAGAAAACAUAAAGAUGUUUGAAUGAAAAAGGUUCGGUUUUAAACUAACCAAAAAUAGUAACUGAUUUUACUUACAAAGAAAAGUGUUUCUUGGAGUUUCAGAUCACUAGGCUCAGAUUCCUCAUACAAAAAGGGAGAGUUCCAGUCACUUGUUUCUUUUCCUCGCAUUAGAGAAUUAACAUAUAGUUCUUUCUCCAACCGGUGUUGUACAGAUGCUUUCCAUUAAUGGGUUCAAACACUAAAUCCCUCUCACUGAUGCACCUUGCAAUGGCUCAUGCCUCUCACCUAGCACUUACCAUUCAAGCUGAUCUUUAACCUUGGAUUACCUGUCAAAAGCUCUCAAGAGAUAACUAAUGGAUGUCUCCUUGGAGUCCAAAAGCUUACCAAGUGUUGGCUAUUCUAGAAAAUCCUACCUUCAAACCACCUCCCAAAAGCUCGCAAGAGAUAAACUAGUGAAUCUCCAUGGACGGAGAUCACUUGCCUUACCAAGUGUUGGCUCAGGUGAAUUGAAGGCGUUUUAAGUUAACUAAAAAGAUAAAAACCAUUAACGGGUCACACUUUCUCUUCAUUAAAAACUAAAACAACAAAACUUCCAAAUUAUGCAUGUGGAAACUUACCCGGAUUUCCUCACUCCAAGAGACAAAGAGCCUAGCCUCUCAUCCUCUGAGGAAAAAUCCUUAGAGAAUGUUUGGCUAGCAAGAAAACUAACGAGAAAACAAGAAUAUAUAAGAAAAAUAGAGCAAUUGCUCUGUUCGUUGAUUCUAUAUAUGAUAUAUCUAUCUAUUUCUAUCUUACAUGAUCUCCCGAGAACAAGCUCCCGAGAGCUAUAUAUAAAGAAAAUUACAUAACAAAAUAUCUGAGGUUAUUCACCCCUUUUCCAAACUUAAUAACUAAGGAAUCUUAUGGUUGGUGGAUUACAAGGAGAAGAAUGGAAAUUUAUACAAAAAUAUCUGAAGAAAAAUAUCCCAAAGUGUCGGUCGCAAAUAUUGGGAAGCACUAAGGACCAUUUCGCAGGUGAAAACGAGGUCUGCGAGAUUUCGCAGACGCACAAAAAGGGCUGCGAAAUCACUUCGCAGCAAAAGGUUAUUCUCGCAGGGCUGCGAAGUUGGCUUUCAUCUUGAGGUGCUCAGCUUCCAAUUUGCGGCAUAUAUCGGGUAACUUCAGGAGGGAAUCCACAACACUGUACAAAAAGGCUACGAAAUCAUUUCGCAACAAAAGGGUGAUUCCGCAACACUUUUGCAAAAUGCUUUCUUCAGCUUAGAGUGAUUGACUUGCAGUGGCUGUAACUUCUUCGUUUCAACUCCAAAUUGUGCACCAUUUAAAGAAUUGGAUUGUUGACUUCCUGAGCUUUAAAAUGGUAUAUAGAAUGUACAAAAUGGACUUCGGAAAGUGCUCCAAAAGUGCGCAAGAAGACUGUAGCUGCUAUCCUCUAUUUUCUUCACUCUGUUUUUCCUCUCUCCAUUGUUCUUUCCUUGCAUACUUUGAACGACUUUGGCAAAGGGCGAUGGAGCUCCAAAGCUUUGUUAUUCAUGAAUUUGAGCUUCCAAAAGCUUUGCCAUGAACUAUAUACAGCUCUCCCUCAUUCUUGGAUUGCUUUGGUGAUCAAAAAGCUAUCAAAACACCAAAACUUAACACAAUUUGAUUAGAAUUGAUUGCAAGGAUCCUUAACAUGUUAAUUGGGUUAAAAGGCAAUAACUACUACUCAAAAGUGUUUAAAAGAGUUAAUUACAAGCUAUCAAAUAGAACUUUUUGAGUAGUAAUCAUUAACCACUUCAUUUUCUUCAUUAAUCCUAUAGGCUUUUAGGAUACCAUUCCUAUCAUCAAAAGUGAGAUAGUUAUCACACCAUCCUUUUAGCUAAAGAAAAAUAUAUUAUAUAAAGUAUUAAAAUUAUAUUAUUUUGAACGUAAUUUAGUGCUAAAAUCAGUUAGCAAUACUUAAUCUUAAAAAGAAAAAAUCAAUUAUAAAUUGUAUUUUAUUAAAAUCAAUGUAUUGUAAAUUUUUUUUCAGCUUUCACUUACAAGGAAAAGUAUAACAAUUAGAGUUAGAUAAUAAAAAGAUGAAAUUUAAUAUUAAAAGUUACAAUAUGUAAAUUGAAUAUAUAGUUUAACAAAUAAGUAAUGAAUAGAUAAAAUAUAUGAAAAAGUAAUUUAUUUUAUAAGAUAGUUGUAUUGUUUGACUAUGGGAGAGAAUAUUGGCAAAGAUUUUCCUUCCAACAAAUAAUAAAUAUAACAGAAAUAAAUAUGUUAAUAAUAAUAUUGAAAAUAAAAAUUAUUUAAUACUCAAUUUACUAACCGUUAAAAUAAUAGACAAAUUUAAAAGUCAAUGAUAGGGGUGUAACCGGGAUGGAUUAACCCGACUCAACCCAAACCCAACUCGAAGUUUGAGUGGGCUUGGACAAUCAUUUUCAAUACUUUGGUUGGGUUUUGGUUAGGUUUUCUCAACCCGAGCUCAAUUUGGGUUGGACUCAAGCUAAGGUUCAAACUUGAUUUAAUGUUUUUAUAAUAUUUAUAAUGCAUAUUAUCUUAUAUAAUAAUAUUUAUUUUCUUUUUCUAUUUUUAAGAAAAAUAUCAAAUUAUAUUAUAUUAUAUACUUUUCAUUGUUUUAGAAAAAUAUAUAAAUUUAUGUUUAUUUAUUUGUUACUAUUUUGAAAUUUUGUUCUAUUUACAUUUAAAUUUUCAUAUAAAUACAUUAUUUUAAAAAAAAUAUUAUAGAUGAAUUUUGAAUUGUGUAACCCCACCAACAUGAACUUAUCCCAACAAACCCGACUAACCCGAGUCUAACUUGAGCAACCCGAACUCAACCUAAGCUUAAAAAAGUGAGGUUGGGUCGGGCUUAGAUUGAAUACCUCGGGUUAGAGUUUAGGUUGAGUAUUUCUUAAUUCAGAUUGAGUUUAGGUUAGUAAUCAACCUAACCACCCAUAAUUUCUCAAGAACUAAACAACUUUAAUAUUUAAAAAAUAAAAAAGGAAAAAAGAAUAAAAGAAAUAAACAACUUCAAAUAUAAAUAUGCCAAAAAAAUAGACACCAAAAUAAAAAAAAUUUGAAAAAAAUUAACCACAAAUUUUAAAAUAAUAAUGGGACAGACUCAUUAAAAAAAACAAAAGGUAAAAAAACUAAGGGCCUGUUUGGUUUUUUUUUUAAACUUUCCUAAAAAACAAUUUUUAGGAAUGAUUUUUAAGAACAGUUUUUGGUGUUUUUAGAAAAAAAAAAUUGUGUUUGGAAACUAAAUUCUAGAAAACAACUUUUGUUCUCAAAAACCAAAAAAAAAUAUGUUUGGUUGAUUUAAUAUAUAUAUAUAUAUAUAUUUAAAAUAAGUAAAAAACAAGUUUGAAAGUUUUUUUUUCUUCAGAAAAACACUCCAUUUUCUCGAUUUUCCCUCCAUCCAAUAUUUUUUUUUUCUCAUCCCAUUUAAUCAAAUAUUUCUUUUUUUUCUUCUUCUUUCUUCUCUUCCGUUCCAAUCCAUAUUUAUUGUUAACGCCCCUCACCGUCCGGCAAUGUUGUUAUUGCCGCCAUCUUAAGAAACCACAAUAUUUUCCUUCAUUUUCCAUACCUACAGCCCACCACACCAUUUUACCUUCUUCUCUUUCCUCUACAUUUUCCCCAUUUUUCCUCAAUCCAAACAUUCUUUUCUUUUUCUCAUAUGAUUUAAUCAAAUAUAUAUAUAUAUAUAUAUUUCUUUCUCUACCAUUCUAGUCCACAAUUACUUCUGACACCCCUCGCCAUCCAAUAGUGCCAUCAUUGUUGCCAUCUCCAAAAACCACGACAUUUUCCUUCUUCUUCCAUACCCAACCUGUCACACCAUUUUUCCCCAUUUCCUCUAUAUUUUCCCUAUUUUCCCUCCAUCCAAACAUCAUUUUCUUUUUUCUCAUCCCAUUUAAUCAAUUUUUUUUUUCUUUUUUCUUCUUUCCCUUUCUAGUCCAUAGCUAUUGCCAAUGCCCCUUGUUGUUCAGCAGCACUAUCAUUGCUACCAUCUUCAGAAACACAAAAAAUAGGGAAAAAAAACACGGAGAGCAAUUGUUCUCUUAAUAGUGAAAAAAGCAACCAAAACAUUUUUUCUCGUUCUCUAAAAAGAGGCCCUCUGAGAACACGAGAAAUACAAAAAAAAAAUCACCCACUUUCCUAAACACAUUUUCAAUGUUUUUUGUUUUCAAGAACAAAAAACAGUUCUUGAAAAUAGCAACCAAAUAGGCCCUAAGUAAUUGCAUGGUUUUAUCAUCUAUGCCACAUUUUAAAUAUGUAAGAUCCUCUCACAUGUGUAAGAUCACUCCACCUCGAGUGAAAACAUCCUUCCUAAUUUAAAAAUCCGAAAACAAAAAUUAAUAAUAUCACAUUGAGAAGUUUUUUAUACACUUAACAAGGGGAGAUUUGAAUUAGGUCUUGUCUCUUUUACAAAAUUUUAGCAAUUUAUGAUACAAAUGAUAAGAAUUAAAGAAAUUGGAGAUAAAGUAAAGAGGGACAAGGAUAAAAAGAUGCAAACAACAUGUUUAUAGUGGUUCAAUAAUUAUCUACAUCUACUUUUUUUUUUAUUUUAUUCAACUCAAGUUUGAGGUUCCUCUAUCUUUCCAAUUUCCUCAAAUGAUCCCUCACACUUGAAAGACAAAUCUCACACUCUACAAGUCCAAACUCUCAAAUAGUAAGCUUCCUAGUUUACAAAUUUGGACUCAAUCUAAUGAAAAAACUACGAUUAAGGUACAAUAAAUGGGAUUAGUAAACGAAAAAAUGGUGCACUCAAGAAAAAUUUUAAAGCUCUUUAAUGAAUUUUUAUAGUGAUUGUUUAAGAUGAGUAAAACUUGAAAUACAAUUUUUUUUUUUUUCUUUUUUGUGAAACUAGUUGUUAAACACAAUUUUAGGUCAACCAGACAAUCGACCAAAGAACUAGCCAUUAAAGAAAAAUUAUAAUUACAAGGGAUUUUUAGGUUGUAAAAACAUCUAUAAGUUGAAGAUCGAUCAACUGAUAAAAAUAAAACCUUAAUCGGACCAAGACCCUUAGCUAUUGUGUAGAAGGAUUACACAAAAUAGCUUAACCAAUUGAAGUUUCCCCAGCCUAUGUAAAACUGAUUAAGGUUGCUCCUACCACUAACAUUAUAUUGGUCAAUCGCCAAAUCAAUCAAUGCUCCUAUGUACUUCCCUAUUUUGAAAAUUUUCAUCUUUUAGGCUUAAUAUGACUUAGGGAAACUGACUAGCAAGACUUCUUUAGAUUUCAAAAAGCCCUUUUAAAUGAUAAAAGAUUGACCUUAGUUUUCUCAUUAUUAAAUUUUGAGAUAAUUUAAUUCAAUUUUAAAAUGGAUUGAAUAAGUUUUUCAAAUGUUAGGAGCCUAUAAAAAUGUUUUCAUGCAAUCCUAGUUAGCUCACAUCAAUUUUUUGAUAUAUUGAUCCUAAGAAAAUAGUCUUAUUUUGGUGGAUUGGUCAUGGUGACUCAUCUUGAUCUCUUUCACUCAAAUUGACCUUUUGAUGGUUCGACAACUUUAAACCUAAAUGAAAACAUUUAAAACACCAUUAAAUCAUCAUAUUUUAUUUUAUAAUCAUUAAAAUUUAUGAUAGAAAAAUUCGAGCUAGCAAAUAACUAUCAAAAUGUGUGAGAUUAUGUGAGAGUCACUUUCUUUUAGUUUUACUAAACAAAUUAAUUAGUGAAAAAAACAACAUAUGAAACAUAAUUUUAGGGGUGUAAAUCCAAUUACAAACAAGGUCUUCAUAGAGCAAAAGUUUAUUUAAUGGUUGCAAAGAUAUAUUCUCAUAGAAUGUUCAUAAAUUAUAUUACUAUGAUCAUAUUUGGAAGAAUAUGUAACUUUUGAGAAAAUCUAAAUAUAGCCUAAAAUAUGAAUCUAACUUUCCCCAACGUAAUUUAUUUAUGUUUUAAAAAAUAAAAUACAAUAAUUAUUAAUUAAUUUUUUUUUAAAAAAAUUAAAUUAUAAUUUUCAAAUAUAAAAUUAGUCCAACAACAAUAGUAACUGAGAAAAUAAAUGCUAAUCUUAAAUGAGAAAAACACUCAAGAGGGGGGUGAAUUGGGUUUUUUUUUUUUAAAUUCCUUUUUAAACACAACAAAUUUAAGUACAAGAAAGAAAAAGAUAGAGUUAGAGAGAUCAAACUAAUAUUUUAUAGUGGUUCGACACUUCCUUGCCUACGUCCACUCUCCUAAAGCUCCUAACCAAGUGAAGGUUCCACUAACUUGAAGCUUCAACCAAGCUUCUAACCUCCUUUACAUUUGGAUUCUGGCUCCAAUAGGCUCUUACACAAUCUCAUCAAGUUUCAACUCACUUGAAGGCUUUAACACUCAAUGAAUAAAUCUCUUAACCUAGCUCAGUAAUAGCUCAAAUACAACUUAAGGCUAGGAUGAAUCACAAAGGUUCACUAAAGGAUAUGCAAGUGAAGAUUUAAUGCACCAAGAAAGAAAUGAGAGCUUUUAAGGCAAGAACAAGUGGGUAGACAAAUAAAUGCAGGGGUUCUCUUGCAUAAAUGAAGUGGAGCUCUCUAUUUAUAGGUUUCUAACCUCAAGAGACAAGGAAAACAAAAAGAAGCCUUAACCGGUCGAGUUGGGGGUCGAUUGAUUCACUAUCCGUUGGAGCAUUCAAUGAUUUGGCAAGCUACUGUUGCUUCGACCGGACUUCAACCCGACCUCGAACGGAGGUCGAUCGGGAAGGAAGAUACCUCAAUAGGGAAGAAAAGGCUACUGGAAGAGAAAAGUAUUUUUUGCACUCCUUAACCGGACCUUGACCAAGGAGGGCUAACUGGUUGACCAAUACCCUGGCCGGUUGGCCAGUGCCUUGACCGGUUCAACAUUUUUUUCUCGAAAACCUAUAUUUUUUUAAUAUUUUCUUUUCUAACACUUAGGCAAGGUCUUUAGGUAAAUUAAUAUGCCAAUUUUGAAGUUAUAUGCCUAAGGUUCAUUUAAUAAAACUUGGGUUUUGAUGAAACUGUAACUUUAAAGAAUAAAUCGAGUUUUUGAAAGAUGCAUGAAAUGGUAUGUAAAACCUAAGUGCACCCAUGCAUUCAUCUUACAUUUGUUUCCUAUGAUUAAAGGUCUUCCAAACGUCUUGAUCUUGCAUCCAUUAGGUCCUUUGAUGAAUUUCCAAAUUAAUACAUGAGAUUCUUUACAAUUCAAACCAAUUAGUAACUUAACCAUGGUUUGUUAUCAUCAAAACCUAAUUAGGAGAACCCUUGGGCUAACAGUAACUUCUAUCAUUACCUUUCUUUUACUAUUUAAAGAAAUGUUUUAAAAAUCGGAUUGGACUGGCUAGCGACCUUUUCGGUCCAAUCUACACUUUUGAGUCAACAACCUAUUGAACUGGCUUCAAACCAUCAUAACUGAUGAUCGAACCGAUGAAUCGAGUGAACUGACCAAUUUGUAGUGAACUAAACAAUUUAUGACAUGUUUUUUUUCUCCAUAAGAGAAAUAAAUAGUGAGAUGGUGGGGACGGGACAACUGCUGGUCGGUGACCAGCCAACGACUAGUAGCUGUGGGAGCUGCUACCAACGACAAGGUGAUUGAUAGUUAGGGUAGGCAUGGGUAGGCUCAGGUAUAGUGAGAGAGAUAGGGAAAGAAAGAAAGAACAGGGAGUAGAGGUAGGCUCGGGUAUGGUGAGAGAGAUAGGGAAAGAAAGAAAAUAAAAAAUAGAAAAAAUGGAGAAGAAGAAAAAACAGAAAUGGAGAAGAAGAGAAAGGGGAAAAUGGUGAGGUGAGGAAGAAGAAGAAGAGAAAGAGGGAAAAAUGGAGGUGAUGAAGAAGAAGGAAGUAGAAAUGAAGAAGAAAAAAGAAAAUGAAAGAAAGGGAAGUAAGACUAGUGAUGGGAAGAAAUGGAUUUUAAGGUUUAUUUUUGAAUGAAUGGUGGAGAUUAAGUGUGAAAAUGAAGGGUUUAAAUGGGUUUUCUAAAAAAGGGGUAUAAAUGGGCCUAAAAAUUAGGUUUUCUCAAAAUACGUAUUUAUCUUUAUCAUUUAAUUUAAUAUAUCAAAUAUAAAAAUGAAAUGUUAUUAAAUUUAUUAUAUAUAUAUAUAUAUAUAUACGCACACACACACACACACACACACACACACACACACACACAUAUAUAUAUAUAUAUAUAUAUAUAUAUAUGACGUCACCAAUUUGAUUGCGGUUCAACCAUUGAUCAAACCAAUGAACCAUGAAUUAGUAUUUUUUUUUAUUCAAUGACUGAUCUUAUUCUAAAAACAUUGAUUUAAAAGAUUUCAAAUUAACACUACCUAAAGGCAUUGAUAUAUAUGUAGAGGCUUUGGGUGUCAAUUAUGCCUAAAUAUUUAAUUAGGCAUGCACACAUGAUACAACUUUUUGUUUGAAUUAUAUUACAUGGACAAUUACUUGUUGAAUAUUUAAAUGUUAACAAUAAUAUUAUUAUUAAAGAAAACUUAGAAAUAAACAUUUAAUGACUCAAAUUUUCUUUAUUUCUAAAAUUAAAUUAUACUUCUUUAUUCUUUAAACAAUUUUUUCAUAAAUGAAUGUGUUCAGACAUUUUUCAAGAUCCACUUAUCUCGAUAAACAUAACUUUCAAAAUUUUCUUUUAACUUCUAUUCAUUUAUAUUCAUAAUUGUUUUGAAUUAAUUUUGAUUUAUCUAUUAAAAAAUAGUUGUGGUUUACAUUCUUUGUAUAAUAUUUAUUAUCAUCAUCAUUAUUAUAAUAACAAAGAAAUGUUUAAAAAUAUUUGCUAAAAAAUAAGGUUAAAAAAUUUUAUAUAAGAAAAAUAAAAUGUGGUAAGCUUGUUUUUAGGCAAACCCUUAAAUAUUUUCAUUAAUAUAUAUAUAUAUACAUAAAUUUAAAACCAUCCAUGAUAUGAGGUAUAAUUAAAACAUAAAACAAAGUUUAUUACAUAGCUUAAAAACCAUCCAUCAUAGGAGGAGGUAUAACAUAAAACAUAGUUAUAUAUAAGGAGAUGAAUAUCUUACAAUGGGAGAAGAGAGGAAAACUUUGGGCUGGAGAGAUUACAUGAUGAGAGAGAAAGAAGAGAGAAGAGAGAGCAUAAGCUAGAAGUGAGAAAUUGAACGUGCUUAGAAAUGAGGAUCAAGCCUCCUUAAAUAGCCAAAAAGAGAAUAUUAAAUAGUACCCAUCAGGAGACAAAACACUAUUUGCUUUUUGACCAAUUGCUGUGAAUAGUUAACUUGUGCAUGAAUAGUAAAAGUGAACUAUAGCACUUUUAGACUUUUCAGUAGGGAAUCUUACUUUCGGCGCAAAUAGCGGCUGAUAGGUUGCUUUGGACUAUGGAGUCACAUGCUUAAUGCUUUUGGUGUUGAUACUGCUUAGCUGGAUAAUAUUCUUGCCUUAUGAAUUCUCUAAGGAAUUCUAGAAAAAUCCCCAAGUGAACCAAGCCUUUGUUGAUAGAAUUAACCAAAAAAUUAAGGAUAAUCUUGUUGUCCCGCUAACAGUUGAGCCUCAUAAGAGAAUCAAUAUAGUUAAGGGUGAUAUUAGUUCAGAAGAAGAGAUUGAUGAACUAAUCAAAAUGUUUGACGAACCCCAUAAUCAAACUGUUUCAAAAAGUAUCAACAAUUUGGAAGCCUUUAAGACUAGGAAUUAUUACCCUAGACCUACCUUUCCUAACAUGCAAUUUGAGGAAAGAAAUUAGUAUACUCAAGCUUCAUACACCAGUGGUACUAUCUAUGAAUGGAACAUAGAUGGUAUGACCGAGUAUAACAUACUCACUAAGCUUCAAUAAAUGACCAUGGUUAGUACAACCUAUAAGUUAAACAAUAGACUACCCGACCAUGCUGUAGCUCAAACAAUUGUUGCUAGGUUUACAGGACAACUUAAGGGAUGGUGGGAUAACUAUCUCACUUUUGAUGAUAUAAAUAGUAUCCUAAAAGCUUAUAGGAUCAAUGAGAAUCAUGAAGUUGUUAAGGACGAAGAUGGUCAAGAUAUGGAGGAUGCAGCGGCUACUUUAAUCUAUUCAAUAUCCAAGCACUUCAUUGGAGAUCCUGCAAAAAUUAAGGAUAAGACUGAAGAUCUCUUAACCAACCUUAAGUGUCCCAAGCUUCAUGACUUUAGAUGGUAUAAGGAAGUUUUCCUAACCAAAGUCAUGCUAAGAUCAUAUUGUAAUCGGUCUUUUUGGAAAGAAAAAUUCAUCUCAGGUCUACCUAAACUUUUCUCUGAGAGAAUUAGGAUUAAGAUAAGGGAUCAUUAUAAUGGUCAAAUUCCUUAUGAUAAGCUAACCUAUGGUGAGAUUAUAAGCAUCAUCACAACUGAAGGUAUUAAGUUGUGCAAUGACUUUAAGCUUAAGCAACAAAUGAAGAAUGAACAAAGGAUCUACAAUAAUGAAUUUAGGUCAUUCUGUAGCCAAUUUGGUUUUAGCCAAAAAGAAACUAAGCCUCCCUCUAAGCACGAACAAACAGGAAACCUAGCAAAGAUAAGUUUUAUCAUAGCAAGAGAGGAAUUUAUGAAAAUUAUAGGAUGAAUGAAACCAAGCAUUCAAGACACGUCCAAAAAAGGAUAAAUAAAGAAGCCUAGAAAAAGGUAGAAACCCCUUUAGAUUCCAAGCCAAUUAUUUGUUUUAAGUGUGGCAAGAUUGGCCACUAUAAGAAAGAUUGUAAGGUUAGACAAAAGAUUAAUAAUUUUAAUGUCUCAGAAGAUUUAAAAAAAUAUGCUUUACGAAGUUUUGUUAAAAACCUUAGAAUCUGAGUCAAGGACCGAUUCAGAUAAUGAAGAUGAUAUUAAUUAACUAGACAGUAGAGGUGAAGUUUCUAGCCAAAAUUCUAGUAACUAAGAAGAAUGCGUUAAGGGUAAUUUUAAUUGCCUUCCUAAGACCAUAAAUGUCAUAAGCCAAGAUUAAGAACUGGUCUUCGAUAUUUUAAGGAAAAUUGAAGAUGAAAAGACUAAGCAAGAUAUUUAUGAAGUAUUUAAGAAAUCUGUUGUUAAGCCAGAAGCUAAGAAGACUGUAAAUCCUUAUAACCUUAAUGAAAUCUUAAAUAGGUUUGACCAACAGUCUCCCAAAGAAGUAAGCAUUAAAGAUCUCCAUGAAGAAGUAAGGCAGUAUAGAAAGGAAAUUAAGGAGUUAAGACAUUUCACAAGUUUAGGUUUCUCUAACCUCCAAGGACAAAUCAAUAGAAUUGUUAAUAACCAUGAUAACCUUGUGGAUGUUCCAGAAUCUUCACAAGUUAAUGAUGAUGAGACAGAUGCUUUUUGGAAUAUUGUUAGUAGGAUUAUCUUCCAAAGGUUGGAAGUCUCCCUUACUAUAGUAGUCAAAGAUAAAUUUGUCUUUGACAUUAUUGCUUUAAUUGAUUCAGGUGCAGUUGAGAAUUGCCUUCAAGAAGGUCUUGUAAAUAUUCAAUUAUGUGAAGAGACUAGUCAGUCUCUAUUUGGAGCCAAUGGCAAAAGGCUUGACAUUAAGUAUAAAUUAACAGAUGUUCAUAUCCAUAACCAUGACAUCUGUAUUAAGCAAACCUUCAUUCUUGUUAAGGACCUUAAGGAGAAAGCCCUCCUAGGAAUCCCCUUCUUAAGCUCUAUUUAUCCCAUGUGGGUAGAUAACCAAGGUAUAAGAACAAAGCUGCUUGAUAAGGAAAUUCUUUUUGAAUUUGCUAAUCCUGUUGUAAACAUCACUCCUUGUGAUCAAGAAAUUAAUCUUAUUGGAGUAGAUGUUCCACCUAAGCUAAUAGGUACCCAACUCAUUCAUAAUCUCUUUGAAAAAAUUAUUUUAAGCAUUCAUUUAUGCAUUUCGAAAUUUCAAAUUGAUAUUUUGAACCAACGAUUUUUAUUAAGAGUCAUUUUCACAUAUGCGAAAACUAUUAAGUAUACAAUUUUUAAGUAUGAUUUAACUAAUUGGAUUAUUUUAAACCCUAAUUUUCAAAUUAAGUUUAUUAAAGGAGAAAAUUCCUUUCUUGAUUACUCAUCUCAUGAAAUUUGCAGGGUUCACGAGACCAUGGCCCCUAAAAAGAAUACCCAAGCUCCUAACCCAUAGAAAUCCCAAUCCAGUCAAGCUCAUUCUCCCCACAAAAUGCUUUGGAGUCAACAAGUUGAACUUGAAGAAGCAAGACUUCAUUCUUCUAACCUUAUGCCCAACAAGAUGAUGACCUUGUACUAUGAUCCUUCGGACCCAUCUAAUACAGUCAAGGCUACCCAAUGCCCAACUAUUUCAGGGUCUCAGACCUUUAAGCAGGUUACUAAAUCUAAUCCCUCUCAAAAGGAAUUAGCAUCAAGCUCUUCUUUUUCAAAUAAGCAAAUUGUGGCGGCUGCCAACCCCACACCUCUUUCAGCAAAAUCUCAUCACUAGCUAAAACUUGUGUGGGAUGCUUGAGGAAAUAUUGCUUAAUUGCUUCUAGGGAUGCAUCAUUUUUCAAAGUGUCCCAUCAUUUAGUUUUAAAAGUCCUUCCAAGAGUUGGAAAGGUUGCUGAUUCAUCUGCAAUAAUAAUGUAGUCCCAUUGGACUAUCCAAGCAAGGCCAAAUUUGCUAAAAAAGAAUAAUAAAGGGGAAAAAGCUAAAAGUUCUCUGGGGAUAACAAAAGAACUGUUGAAUAGCUCAAAGCCAUCCAAGAUAAGCUUAAGAAGAAUCUUAAUGGAUGAACCAAAAUAAGUCCACCAAUUGUGAAACCAAAAUGGGAAGGAUGAAAACUGAUUCUUAGAUGGAAAAUAGAACAUCCAUGAAUGAUGGAAGUCCCUAUUUUGGAUCAGAAAAGCAUUGAACCAUACAAUCCCAAUAGUUAAAAAAUCUUGGUUUUGAAGGUUCAGAGAAUUCCCUUGAGAAAUUAGGAUUCCCUCCCCAUUUCUUAAUAGUAACAAUCUUAUAGAUAUGGCAGGUGGAAAAUGCCAAAUCCAGAUUGCUGAAUUUGUUAGCGUUAUGCUUAAUUUUAACAGAACCAGUUUCUACGAGGUUUGCCUCAUAAAAUUCUCUUGUUUUUAAAAGGUCACCAAAGAGAUAAUGAAAAUUUUCAUGAAAAGCUUUUGCUACAAUCUCUCUGGGGUUUUAAGAGAAAAACUCUCUUUCGAUAACCAAAAGAGGUUGAUUUAAAUCUUUUUGCCAAUAUCUUGAUUUUGCUGAAAAAGGUGUGGGGUUGGCAGCACCACAAUUUUCUUAUUUGAAAAAGAAGAGAUUGAUACUAAUUCCUUUUGAGAGGGGUUAGUUUUAGUAACCUACUUAAAGGUUUGAGACCUUGAAAUAGUUGGGUAUUGGGUAGCCUUAACUGGAUUAGAUGGAUCUAAAGGAUCAUAAUACAAGGUCAUCAUCUUGUUAGGUAUAGGGUUAGAAGAAUGAAGCCUUGCUUCUUCUUCAAGUUCAACUUUUUGACUCCAAAGCAUUUUAUAAGGAGAAGGAGCUUGACUGGAUUGGGAUUUUUGUGGGUUAGGAGCUUGGGUAUUCUUUUUAGGGGCCAUGGUCUCGUGAACCCUGCAAAUUUCACGAGAUGAGUAACCAGGAAAGGAAUUUUCUCCUUUAAUAAACUUAAUUUGAAAAUUAGGGUUUAAAAUAAUCCAAUUAGUUAAAUCAUACUUAAAAACUAUAUACUUAAUAGUUUUCGCAGAUGUGAAAACGACUCUUAAUAAAAAUCCUUGGUUCAAAAUAUCAAUUUGAAAUUUCGAAAUGCAUAAAUGAAUGCUUAAAAUAAUUUUUUCAAAGAGAUUAUGAAUGAGUUGGGUACUUAUUAUCUUAUGUGGAACAUCUAUUCCAAUAAGAUUAAUUUCUUGAUCACAAGGAGUGAUGUUUACAACAGGAUUAGCAAAUUCAAAAAGAAUUUCCUUAUCAAGGAGCUUUGCUCUUAUACCUUGGUUAUCUACCCACAUGGGAUACAUAGAGCUUAAGAAGGGGAUUCCUAGGAGGGCUUUCUCUUUAAGGUCCUUAACAAGAAUGAAGGUUUGCUUAAUACAGAUGUCAUAGUUAUGGAUAUGAACAUCUGUUAAUUUAUACUUAAUGGCAAGCCUUUUGUCAUUGGCUCCAAAUAAAGACUGACUAGUCUCUUCACAUAAUUGAAUAGGUACAAGACCUUCUUAAAGGCAAUUCUCAACUGCACCUGAAUCAAUCAAAGCAAUAAUGUCAAAGACAAAUUUAUCUUUGACUACUAUAGUAAGGGAGACUUCCCACAUUUGGAAGAUAAUCCUACUAACGGUAUUCAAAAAAGCAUCUGUCUCAUCAUCAUUAACUUGUGAAGAUUUUGGAACAUCUACAAGGUUAUCCUGGUUAUUAACAAUUCUAUUGAUUUGUCCUUGGAGGUCAGAGAAACCUAAACUUGUGAAUUGUCUUAACUCCUUAAUUUACUUUCUAUACUGUCUUACUUCUUCAUGGAGAUCUUUAAUGCUUACUUCUUUGGGAGACUACUGGUCAAACCUAUUUAAUAUUUCAUUAAGGUUAUAAGGAUUUACAGUCUUAUUAGCUUCUGGAUUAACAACAGAUUUCUUAAAUACUUUAUAAAGAUCUUGCUUAGUCUUUUCAUAUUCAAUUUUGCUUAAAAUAUCUAGGACAAGUUCUUGAUCUUGGCUUAUGACAUUUAUGGUCUUAGGACGGAAAUUACAAUUACCCUUAACGCAUUCUUUUUGGUCACUAGAAGUUUGGCUAGAAACUUCACCACUACUGUCUAGUUGAUUAAUAUCAUUUUCAUUAUCUGAAUCAGUCAUUGACUCAGAUUCUAAGGUUUUUAACAAAACUUCGCAGAGCAUAUUUUUUAAAUCUUCUAAGACAUUAAGAUUAUUAAUCUUUUGUCUAACCUUACAAUCUUUCUUAUAGUGGCCAAUUUUGCCACACUUAAAACAAAUAAUUGGCUUGGAAUCUAAAGGGGUUUCUACAUUUUUCUGGGCUUCUUUGUUUAUCCUUCUUUGGACGUGUCUUGAAUGCUUGGUUUCAUUCAUCCUAUAAUUUCCAUAAGUUCCUCUCUUGCUAUGAUAAAACUUAUCUUUGCUAGGUUUCCUGUUUGUUCGUUGCUUAGAGAGAGGCUUAGUUUCUUUUUGGCUGAAACCAAAUUGGCUAUAAAAUGACCAAAAUUCUUUCUUGUAGAUCCUUUGUUCAUUCUUCAUUUGUUGCUUAAGCUUAAAGUCAUUGCACAACUUAAUACCUUCAGCUAUGACGAUGCUUAUAAUCUCACCAUAGGUUAGCUUAUCAUAAGGGUUUUGACCAUUAUAAUGAUCCCUUAUCUUAAUCCUAAUUCUCUCAAAGAAAAGUUUAGGUAGACCUGAGAUGAAUUUUUCUUUCCAAAAAGAUUGAUUACAGUCUGAUCUUAGCAUGACUUUGGUUAGGAAAAAUUCCUUAUACCAUCUAAAGUCUUGAAGCUUGGGACACUUAAGGUUGGUUAAGAGAUCUGCAGUCUUAUCCUUAAUUUUUGUAGAAUCUCCAAUGAAAUGCUUGGAUAUUGAAUAGAUUAGAGUAGCCACUGCAUCCUUUAUAUCUUGACCAUCUUCAUUCUUAACAACUUCAUUAUUCUCAUUAAUCUUGUAGGCUUUUAGGAUACUAUUUUUGUCAUCAAAAGUGAGAUAAUUAUCCCACCAUCCCUUAAGCUGUCCUGUAAACCUAGCAACAAUUGUCUAAGCUAUAGUAUGGCCGGGCAGUCUAUUGUUUAUAUAGGCUGUACUAACCAUGGUCAUUUCUUGAAGCUUAGUGAGUAUGUUAUACUUGGUCAUACCAUCUAUGUUCCAUUCAUAGAUUAUACCACUAGUGUAUGAAGCUUGAGUAUACUGAUUUCUUUCCUCAAACUGCAUGUCAGGAAAGGUAGGUCUAGGGUAAUAAUUCCUAGUCUUAAAGGCUUCUAGAUUGUUGAUACUUUUUGAAACGGUUUGAUUAUGAGGUUCCUUAAACAUCUUGAUUAGUUCAUCAACUUCUUCUUCUGAAUUGAUGUCACCCUUAACCAUAUUGAUUCUCUUAUGAGGCUGAAUUGUUAAUGGGGCAACAAGAUUAUCCUUAAUCUUUUGGUUAAUUCUAUCAACAAAAGCUUGGUUAACUUAGGGAUUUUCCUAGUAUUCCUUUGAGAAUUCAUAAGGCUUAAUCUUAUCAAUGUUAUCAUUGGUGACCCAAAUCUUAGUAUUAUUAAUACGCUUGGAGGGAUAGUCUGGAUAUUCCUCUUAUUUGAAGAGUUCAAACCAGAUCCAAAACUUAAUGUUUUUCUUUUCUUGUCUUAAGUACGCAUAGAAUUCUUCUUGGUAGAGGGUUCUAAUGUCUUUAGGGACAGUGCUAAAGAACCAAUCUUUUCUUUGCUUAUUGACUUCAGAAUAUAAGUCCUUUCUUAAGAUAUCUUUGUUAAUCUUAAAGUCUUCAUCACUUAGGCUUAUAGUAUUAAUCAUCUGGGAAUAUGUAGGAGACAUAACAGGGGACUCAUCCUGUUGUGAUUCCUGUGUAGACUCAUUUUCCUCAGUGUAAAAUGGUCUGGCCAUGUUGGUGUGACUUCUAACACCUGUUAGCUUAAUAUUCUUAGGAUUUGCUGAAUUGGAACCUUCUUCUUUCCUAGUGGUUCUUACCGGGAUAGAAGAACUUGAAGCUUUAGAGGGUUCAUAAACUGAAACUCUAGGGUUACUAGAAUGACAGAAAGAGUUGGAGAAAAUCAGAUCUCCUUCUCCAUUAGGAUAUUGAACAAUCUGUUCAAUCUUUUCAGAUCUCUGUUCUAUGGCUGGAACGACAUUAGCAAAAUGCCAAUUUUCAGGAAACUCAACCUCACUCCACAUGAUCAUUUUAGGGAUUAUGAAGUUUGACUUAUCUAGCAUAUCUGAGUGGAAAAGAGUAGUUUCCCCCUUAGGCCUGGUGCACAGUGCUCUAGAUCUAACACUUGUGGUCAUACUCUUAUAGGCAAACCUGGUUAUGAUGGAAACAGGAAUGUUUCCUUGCUUGAACUUAAAACCAUGGGUCUUAACAUGAAGGACAACCGAAUCUAAGAUAUCAACAUCUCUUAGUCUAACUGUGAAGUUAGGGAAACACUGAAAAUAAACAGGGUCAUUAUUCAGUCUAGCUUGGACUACACCUAUAAUAGAAUCUCAAUAGUCGAGAUGUCUAUUAUCUCUUAGACACAUGAUAAUAAAGGUGUUUAAACCUAAUCUUGUCAAAGGCUUAGCUGUAACUUGAAUCAUACCAAAGUGUAUGAAGUUGUAGUGGUCUUUCUUAUGCUUCUCCACUGACUUACUAUCCAAGAGUCUUAUGACUUGAUUGUCUUGUUCUAAACUUACUAACAUUUUAGAGGUUCUAAUGGUGUAGUCUGUAAAAAACUUAAAGGUUCAUUUCUUAUAAAUUUCUUGAUUACACACCUUGGGUAACUUCCAAUCAUCUGAAUCAUUUUAGAUCUUAGGAUAAUUGAUCUUUUCACUGUUUACAAUAGUAUCUUGAGAAUCAGUGGAUCUCAUAAACAUGGUUCUGAAAAUUGAACUCAUUUUAGGGUUUUAAUCUAGAGCCUAAUAGCAUAUUGAUAGACCUAAUGAGACGUCUCCCCAGCCCCUUACAGCCCUAACAAACGCCUAUCCACGGCUAACAACGGGCUAAACCUGACAGGGAUUGCACUCCUCGGCACAUUGCUACCUAUCCUAGGAUAGCUCAAAACACCUAAAACAAACCCGACUUCCCUUCCCGUGGCUCUGAUACCAUAGACACAUGACAAUAGAGGUAUUUAAACCUAAUCUUGUCAAAGGCUUAGCUGCAACCUAAAUCAUACCAAAGUGUAUGAAGUUGUAGUGAUCUUUUUUAUGCUACUUAACUGACUUACUAUCCAAGAGUCUUAUGACUUGAUCGUCUUGUUCUAAACUUACUAAGAUUUCAGAGGUUCUAAUUGUGUAGUCUGUAAAGAACUUAAAGGUUCAUUUCUUAUAAAUUUCUUGAUUAGAUACCUUGGGAAACUUCCAAUCAUCUAAAUCAUUUUGGAUCUUAGGAUAAUUGAUCUAUUCACUGUUUACAACAGUAUCUUUAGAAUCAGUGGAUCUCCUAGACAUGGUUCUGAAAAUCGAACUCAUUUUAGGGUUUUAAUCUAAAGCCUAAUAUAUAUAUAUAUAUCUGUGUGUGUGGACCUUGCAUUUUGACUCGAUGUGUUCCCACUCAAAGGUGAAACUCGUUUUUUUACUUAUUUGGUGAAAAUUUUAUUUUUUUUAGGAAAGACUUGGAGUCACCACUUGUUUUUGUUUUAUUUUUAAAGGGAAAACAAAAUAAGAAAGAAAACCCUAAGUGUGACUCCUUAUUUGGAAAAGAUGGUUUGCGAAAAACCAAAUCUGGGCUUGGGGGUCAGGUUACUUAUUGGGAAGGUACGAUAAAGACCGUAGCACCCCUCUAAGUCCCUAAAAAUGGGUCUUUACUAAUGAGAUGAAGCAAGCAUGAUAAUUGGUAAGGAAAUCAAUGGAUACCAAAAUGAAAUAAUCAAAUAAUAAAGCGAAUCAUGCAUAAAAAUAAGCGAAGUGGGAAUGAGAUCGUACCUUAGCAACAAUUAAUAGUGCGUUAUCAUGGAAAUAGGGUUAGCUCAAGUAUAAAAUCAUCACAUGCAUAUCAAAGAGCAAGGCAAAAAUCAACAAUACUCAUUAACCAUAACAACUGACAAUCAGAAGAGAAAACUCAUAUGUAGGGCCCCCACCAAAACCUAAUUGAUUUCGCAUGAAUUAAUCUCAUGGAUUCCAUUGUUUCUGGAGUUACAAAAAUUCAUUCAUGCUUAUUAAAAACCAAUGAAAACGAAAAAUUAUUUUAAAAUUAAAGAAAAUUAGAGAAAAGUGCUUACCUAAAAGGAAAUGUAGCAAGUUUAUUUAAAAACGAGAUUUUUAGCGACUUAAAACCCUAAUGAAUAAUGAAAAGUGGUAGAAUUAAAAAAUAUUUGAAAACUAGAGUGAAAUUAAAAUUAUUUGAAAGAAAACUAGAGUUUUGAAAUUUAUUUGAAAAUUGAGAUCUCAAAAAAUAUUUGAAAAUUGGAGUUUUGAAAAUUAAAUUAUGAAUUGGAGUCUUGGAAAUUAAAUUUGAAGAAAUUGGAGUUUUGAAAAUUAAUCGAGAAUUGAAGUUUUGAAAAUUAAAUUAUGAAAAUUGAAAUCUUGGAAAUUAUUUCAAGAUGGAAUUUUAAAAUAAAUAAAAUAAUAAUAAUAAUAAUAAUAAUAAUAAUAAUAAUAAUAAACAAAUGUGAAAAUUGGAAUUUUGGAAAUGGGAAAUGAAAUUCAGAAAUUGGAAUUUUGAAAAUCAUUUGAGAAUUGGAGUUUUGAAAAUUAAAUUAUGAAUUGGAGUUUUGGAAAUUAAAUUUGAAAGAAAUUGGAGUUUUGAAAAUUAAAUUAUGAAAAUUGGGAUCUUGGAAAUUAUUUGAAGAUGAAAUUUUCAAAAUAAAUAAAUAAGUAAAGUAAUGAUAAUAAUAAUAAUAAUAAUAAUAAAAUGUGAAAAUUGGAAUUUUGGGAAUUGGAAAUUAAAUUCAAAAAUUCGAAUUUUGAAAAUCAUUUGAGAAUUGGAGUUUUGAAAAUUAAAUUAUGAAUUGGAGGAUUGGAAAUUUCUUCUUUUUCAUUUUCACUAUCUUCGUGUCAUGGAAAAAAAGAGUUAAAUCAGAGCCCCUCUCUAUGUAUUGCAGUAUAUUAAAUAGGAAAGGAGACUGUUGAUUCAAAUUAAUUUUUAGAGUACCGAACUUUAUCUUACCCCAUUUAAAAUCUGAUUAAUUUUGCUUAAUUUAUUCUGAAUCUUUAUUUACUUUGCUUAUUUGAUAUGAAUUAAUGUCUUUUAUUCCUUAUCCUCCUAGUAUAUAUAAUAUAGAUUAUGAUCGUGUAAAAGAACUUAAUAAUAGGUUGUAUGCUUAAUGUAAAGAAUUUAAAGAAACUUGUGAUGAAUUACAUAAUUUAAGAACUAUUGUAAAAGAUUUAACCACAGAUAUUAAAAACCUAACUUCUCUUAAAUAUUUGAAUGAAUAUGAAAUAGCUAUACAAGAAGCUUUUGACGAACUUUUUGCUACAGAAUCCUUAAUUAAAAGAGAAAUUAUAAAAUAUUAUAUUGAUAAUUUAUAUGCUAGCUCAUCUAAUUAAAACAUAUUAAAGAUAAUGAACCCUCAUCUACAAACCCAAGAGGUAAAGUAGUUAAAAUUUUUAGUGGAAACACAAUUAAAAAUAACAAACGAAGUAUUACAAGAACAAAUUCAUAAAGAAAACAAAAAAAAAUAUAGAUAUUUUAAAAGAAAUCCAGAAAAGACAAAUAAAAUCUGUAGAAAAACUAAACACGGUCUUAGGAAUUAGAAAAAAAGCUGGAAGACUUUAAGAACCAUAACUUGCUAAGAAAUAACCUAGAUUAUAUUAAAGAACAAUUAGCUAGAGAAGAAAAAUUUGUUAGAAAAGAAAUAGAACAAAUAAAAUUAGAACAACAAAAUUUAAAAGAAACUUUAGAAAAAAUUAACCAAAAAGUAGAUAAACUUUUAGAACAAAGAAAUAUAGUAUUAUCAGAGGUACAAAAAUUAAAUAACCUUUAAAACAAUUUGAAAACUUUAAUUUAGGAGAAAAACCAAUAAUUAAAAUAGAAAGAAAAAUAAAUCCUUUUGAAACAAAAAAUCUAGCAAUAAAACCAUGGAAAUAGUAGAAGCAAUAAACCCUAGAGAUAAUGUAAAAGAAUUUAUUGAAGAAAAAUUAAAAAAGGCAGUAAAGGAAGUAACACCUUAAAAAAAACAAUUAGUUCAAAAUUAUAAAAUAACUAGAUUUUUAAAUCAACAUACUAUAAGUUCAAUAGGAAAUAUUGUAUAUUUAUAUUUAGUAUCUCCAAAAACAAAACACAAAUUAUUAAAAAAUAAAACCGAUAAAUAUAUGCACUUAGGAAUAAUUUUAAUAGGAAUAAUAUGACUUCAUCGUAAAGAAAUUGGAGCACUUAUAAAUAUUAACCUUUUAGAUACUAGAAACAAUAUAGUAGGACGAGCUCUUUUAGCUAGUGCAAAAGUUAAUAUGAACCAGAAUUACGCAGUUAUUGGCUGUAUACCUCAAUUUUGUAUAGAUCUUAAGGAAUUCACAGAAAAAUAAAAUUAACUGUAAAUACUAAAGCUUAUGAUAUGGAAUUAGGAAGUAAAAACCUUAGCAUAGCUAUAGGAUUUAUAUGAAAAACUACUAAUGCUUUAAGUUUAAAAUGUAUGAUGGAAUUCGAUGAUAUAGUAAAAACCUUUGGAAGUAAGACAGUAAAUAUGAUAGAAGCAAAACCUGUAAAUAUAGACUAUUUACAAGGACGAGAGUGGGAAUUACCUCAAAUAAAUAAACCAAUAAUAAAAUAUCCAACAUUCAGUAGCUUAUAUGAAAACCAAGAUGGAAGUGCAAGUAUAACCUUUGGAAAUUAUAAAACUGUAAAUGUAGAGGUAGAGUCAGAUAGUGAGAUAGAAACUGUAAAUGUUAUACAAGAAGAUAUUUUACUAGAGUUAGUAAAUAUAAUGUUAGAGGAAUUUAGCAAUCCAACAUUACUAGACCAACAAGUGGAUUAAGAAAACUGUGUUAAUAUAAUGGGUAAAAACUAUACAGAUGACCAAAUAAUAGAAUAACUCUAUAAAACCAAUUUAAUAAAAAAACUUAUAGAUAUAGAAAUGAUAAAUCAAUUUACUAUUCAACCAAAAAUUAACAAAAACAUAGAAAUAAUCUCAAACGAAUCAAUAAAUACAAUAAGUGAAGAAAGGGAAUUUGUAAAUGUAAAAAGUGAAAUAGUAAAAUAUAAUAAGCCGUAUAGCAAGCCAAAAGGACCUCAAUGGAAAACUAAAAUAGAACCUUCUAGUUCUUUGCAACCAGUAUAUAAUUCUUUGCAAUCAGUAUAUGAAUAUGGAACAAUAUUAGAUAUAGAUAGUGCACAAGAUCUUAGAAAAACCAUAGAAAAUUGGGAGCAAUCUUUAAAUUCAGCAGGUGUGGUAGUAUCAUUUGAAAACCAACAAGAAAUUUAUGAAUUUUGUAAAAACACCCUUAGAGAAACUGUACUACAAUUUUUUAGAAACAUGGAACAAGAAAACAGCAGUUAUUUUCAAGAAGUUAGAAAUAAUUUUAGUAUAUCUGUAUUUAUAAAUCUAAUAAAACUUUAUUUUUUGGGAACAACACAAGAAGAUGUAAAAGAACCUGCAAUAUACCUUCAUAAGUUAGAACAAUUGAAAUUAUGUAACCUUUCAUAUAUAAGGGAAUAUGAACAAAAAUUUAGGAAAUAUGCAAUCCUUGCUAGAGUAGAUAGAACCCCUAAAUAUUUAAAUAAAUAUAUAUUAAAAAUACAAGGACCCAUAGGACUUAGACUAUGGAAUGAAUUGACAACCUCCGAGUAUAAAAACUCUCCUUAUAUAGGUGCUAGAAUAGAAUUUGUAAAAAAUUGGUUAGAAAGAGAAUGUGUAAGCAUAGGAGAAAGAAGUCAGAUAAAGAAACAAGACAUAAAUCAACAACUUUGUAGAAAAUUAUAUAUAGGAGAAAAUCUAGAUAUGGGAUGCAGAGAAUAUAAGUUUAGAAAACCUAAGAGAUAUAAUAAAUUUUUAAGAAGAAAGUCAAGAACCUUUUAUAAAAAAACGACCAUAUCAGACAAGGUAUAAAAAACCUGGAAAGUUUUGGAUAAAAAGAAAAAGAACCUCAGAGAGAAAAAGACAAUGUAAAUGUUAUUUGUGUUGUCAGGAAGGCCAUAUAAGACCUGAAUGUCCUGAACUUAAAAAACCAUUAAAUGAACGAAAUAGAAAAACCCAAGUAAAAAUAAACCUAAUAAAUGAGUAUCAGCUAGAUAGUGAAGAAGAAAAACUUAUCAGUGAAUUAGACUUUGAAAGUGAAAAUGAAAAAGAAGAAAUUUGUACGAUUAUUGAAAAAGAGGAAAAUCAAGCUAAGAAAACCCCUUUAAUUUUAGAGAACCUUAUACAACCUUUAGAAAGUAAAAUAAAACCUUAUAAUAAAUGGAAAGAUUUACAAAUAAUAAUCAAAGGAAAAAUUUCAAAAGAAGAAGAAAAUAGUUGUUCAAAACCUAAGGACACAGAAGAACCAAAAAGUCCUGUAAAAGAACCAAUGAAUCUUGAAAAAAUAACCAUACAAACAAUAGAACAAGUAAAUAUGGCAAAUAAAGUUAAAUCUAUUAUUUUUCCAACAACAAUUAAAUUAAAAACCAUAGAAUUAAAGGUAGACGCAAUGUUAGAUACUGGAGCCAGUAAAAACCUUUUAUUUGAAACCUUAGUACCUCAAGAAGAUCAGCAAACAUUAGUUCAACCAGUAGAGUUAAUCCAAUAAAAUCAACAAAAACUAAUACUAACCAAGUAUAUUUCAAACGUACCAAUCAUAAUUAAUAACAUAACCUUAGUAUUGCCCCAAACUUAUCUUGUACCUACUAUAAGUUUAUAUCCUUUUAUUUUAGGUUUAAAUUUUGUACAUUCUUUACAAAAAGGGAUAACAAUACAAAAUAACCAAGUUAGUUUUCAUCCUAAAACUACAACAAUUGUUUAUACAAAUAUGGAAAAUGUACUAAAUAGAAAUCAUAAUGUAACAUCUCAUCAAAUUAGCAAAGUGGAGGCAUAAAAGGAUAGCAUAAUUAAUGACUACUUAGAACAAUUAAGAAAUGCAAAUAGAUUAAAAAACCUUAUAUUAGAAGCAGAAAAAAUAGGAAUUAUAGGAGAAGACCCACAAAAACAUUGGAAUAAAAAUAAGACAACCUGUAAAAUACCAAUUAAAAACCCAGAUUUAACAAUAAAAACGGCAGGUAUAGAAUGCAAUCUUAUAGAUACAAAGGAAUUCAAAAUUCAAACAGAAGAACUGUUACAGAAUAACCUCAUAAAACCAAGUUUCAGUCCCCAUAGAUCCUCAGCUUUUUUAGUUAGAAACCAUAAUGAAGAAAAACGAGGAAAAGCUAGGAUGGUUAUUAAUUAUAAAAGAUUGAAUGAUAAUACAUAUGAUGAUGCCUAUAAAAUUUCAAACAAAGAUUCUUUAAUUAAUUCUAUUAAAGGAUGUAAAUAUUUUUCUCAAUUAGACUAUAAAAGUGGAUUUUGGCAAAUUAGAUUAGAAGAGGAUAGUAAACCAUGGACAACGUUUUCAUGUCCUUGUGGAUUAUAUGAAUGGAAUGUAAUGCCAUUUGGACUAAAAAAUGGUCCUCAGAUAUUCCAACGAAUGAUGGAUAAUAUUUUUGGAAAAUAUUCUUUUGUUCUUGUAUAUAUUGAUGAUAUUCUUGUCUUUUCAUAUAGUCUUCAGGAACACAUAAAGCAUUUAGAAUUGAUUUUUGAAAAACCAAUUAGUCAUGGAUUAAUAGUAAGUAAAAAGAAAUUAAAAUUAUUUAAGACUCAAAUAGAAUUUUUAGGAUUAGAAUUAGAGGAUGGACAAAUAAAAUUACAAGAACAUAUAGUACAAAAAAUAAAUAAUUUUCCAGACAAACUUGAAGACUUAAAAACCCUUUAAAGUUGUUUAGGAUUAUUAAAUUAUGCUAGGCCAUAUAUUAAAAACCUUUGUAGAUUAGAUGGACCCCUUUAUAGUAAAACAAAAAACACAGGGCAGAGAUAUUUUAACCAAGAAGAUAUUAAACUUAUAUAGAAAAUAAAAGAACUUGUGAAACAUCUCCCAACCUUAAAUUUACCCUUAGAAAAUGAAUAUAAAAUAGUUCAAACCGAUGCUAGUCAAACAGGAUGGGGAGGUAUACUUUUAGCAGUAACUAAUAUAGGAGAAGAAAAACUUUAUAGAUAUUGUAGUGGAACUUUUAAUGACUAUCAAAAGAACCUUUGUUCUACAGACUUAGAAAUUGAAGCUAUAAUAUUAGUCUUAGAAAAAUUUCAAUUAUUUUUGAACCAAGAACAAUUUACUUUAAGAAUCGAUUGUGAGAAUAUUAAAAAAUUCUUUGAAAACAAAAAUUCUUCAAAACUGUCCACCAAAAGAUGGAUAAAGUUUCAAAACUCUUUAAUUGGUUUCAAACCUAAAUUUGAACAUAUUAAAGGAAAAGAUAAUAUAUUAGCAGACUGGUUAAGUAGACAAAUAAUUAAUAAUGUUGAUAAUACUAAUGAUUGAUUUCAUGAUUAUAGGAACAUGGCUCAAAGAAAACCUACGAAAGCUAGAACCUUUCAAUAUGGAACCAUAUGUCUAAACGAAGUGUUGAAUCCAAAUCUGAAGUUUAACUCUUUAUUUUCUCAAAACCUUUUUGAAGAACAUAAGGUUAUUGUAGAUAAUUUUUGGUAUCUAAAACCACAGAGUUUUCAAAACCAAAAUUUAGAAUACGCUUAUGGAAAAACAAUGUCAGCUUUAGCCCAACAUUUACAAAACCUUCAAAACCAACUAAUUGGGUUUCUAUUGGAGUUUUGAAAAUUAAUUAAGAAUUGGAGUUUGGAAAAUUAAAUCAUGAAAAUUGGAAUCUUGGAAAUUAUUUGAAGAUGGAAAUUUAAAAUAAAUAAAAUAAUAAUAAUAAUAAUAAUAAUAAUAAUAAUAAUAAUAAUAAUAAUAAACAAAUGUGAAAAUUGGAGUUUUGGAAAUUGGAAAUGAAAUUCAGAAAUUAGAAUUUUGAAAAUCAUUUGAGAAUUGGAGUUUUGAAAAUUAAAUUAUGAAUUGGAGUUUUGGAAAUUAAAAUUGAAAGAAAUUGAAGUUUUGAAAAUUAAAUUAUGAAAAUUGGAAUCUUGGAAAUUAUUUGAAGAUGAAAUUUUAAAAAUAAAUAAAUAAGUAAAGUAAUGUUAAUAAUAAUAAUAAUAAUAAUAAUAAUAAUAAUAAUAAUAAUAAUAAUAAAAUGUGAAAAUUGGAAUUUUGGAAAUUGGAAAUUAAAUUAAAAAAUUGGAAUUUUGGAAAUUGGAAAUUAAAUUAAAAAAUUGGAAUUUUGGAAAUUGGAAAUUAAAUUCAAAAAUUGGAAUUUUGAAAAUCAUUUGAGAAUUGGAAUCUUGGAAAUUAUUUGAAGAUAGAAUUUAAAAUAAAUAUAAUAAUAAUAAUAAACAAAUGUGAAAAUUGGAAUUUUGGAAAUUGGAAAUGAAAUUCAGAAAUUGGAAUUUUGAAAAUCAUUUGAGAAUUGGAGUUUUGAAGAUAUUAUGAAUUGAAGUUUUGGAAAUUAAAUUUGAAAGAAAUUGGAGUUUUGAAAAUUAAUUGAGAAUUAGAGUUUUGAAAAUUAAAUUAUGAAAAUUGGAAUCUUGGAAAUUAUUUGAAGAUGGAAUUUUAAAAAUAAACAAAUAAGUAAAGUAAUAAUAAUAAUAAUAAUAAUAAUAAAAUGUGAAAAUUGGAAUUUUGGAAAUUGGAAAUUAAAUUCAAAAAUUGGAAUUUUGAAAAUCAUUUGAGAAUUGGAGUUUUGAAGAUUUUAUGAAUUGGAGUUUUGGAAAUUAAAUUUGAAAGAAAUUGGAGUUUUGAAAAUUAAAUUAUGAAAAUUGGAAUCUUGGAAAUUAUUUGAAGAUGAAAUUUUAAAAAUAAAUAAAUAAACUACUACUAAUAAUAAAAAAAAACAAAUGUGAAAAUUAGAAUUUUGGAAAUUGGAAAUUAAAUUCGGAAAUUGGACUUUUGAAAAUAAUUUGAGAAUUGGAGUAAUAAUAAUAAUAAUAAUAAACAAAUGUGAAAAUUUGAAUUUUGGAAAUUGGAAAUUAAAUUCGGAAAUUGGAAUUUUGAAAAUCAUUUGAGAAUUGGAGUUUUGAAGAUUAAAUUGUGAAUUGGAGUUUUGGAAAUUAAAUUUGAAAGAAAUUGGAUUUUUGAAAAUUAAUUGAGAAUUGGAGUUUUGAAAAUUAAAUUAUGAAAAUUGGAAUCUUGGAAAUUAUUUGAAGAUGGAACUUUAAAAAUAAAUAAAUAAAUAAUAAUCAUAAUAAUAAUAAUAAUAAUAACAAACAAAUGUGAAAAUUGGAAUUUUGGAAAUUGAAAAUUAAAUUAGAAAAUUGGAAUUUUAAAGAAUUAUUUAAAGAUGAAAUUUAAAAAAAAAAAAUAUAAUAAUAAUAAUAAUAAUAAUAAUAAUAAACAAAUGUGAAAAUUGGAAUUUUGGAAAUUGGAAAUUAAAUUCGGAAAUUGGAAUUUUGAAGAAUUAUUUAAUGAUGGAAUUAAAAAAAAAAAAAAAGAGUAAAUAUAUAGAUUAAUAAUAAUAACGAAAAUAUAAUGAUUAAAUAAAUAAAUGUGAAAAUUGGAAAUUGGAAAUUAAAUUUGGAAAUCGGAAUUUUGAAGAAUUAUUUAAAAAACGAAGUUUUAAAAAUUAAAUUGGAAAAUCGGAAUUUCGAAAAAUAGUUUGAGAAUUGAAUUUUUAGUGAUCAUUUGAAAAUUGGAAUAGAAAUGAGAUUAUUCGAGAAACUGGGAUUUUAAGAAUCAUUUAAAAAGAAUUUAUAGAAAUCAAACUUUGACACCUGAAAUAAAAAAUAAUAAAAAAUAAAAAUUUCCACCAUGAGGCCAUAAUUGGAUCCAUGUCACUGCCACUUAUUUAUUUAGAAAACUUGAAAUGCCCCUGCCACUUAUGAGAAUUCCCAUCCCACCAUUGACUUGUCAUCCAUCAUUUAUUUAAACGUUUUCAUGUCAUUAGUGAAUUGCCACUUCUGGAAGAGGAAUAAUGAAGCCCCACUUCUCCACGAAAAGCAUCAACUCGCAGCCCAUGUACACCCGACAACACAUAAGUCUACCAUGCAGGGCUCAAAUGUGGGAGUUCAUCUCGACAUUGAAUUGGAGGUUGGGGAUCACGUGCGGGAGACCGGUGAUGGUGACAUUAGCGCGACGUGUGGCGGCGGCGACAAUGUCGACAAGGCCAAUGUUGGACUUGAGUUCAAGGAUGCGGAGAGGGCAAUGAUCUUAACCAUUGGAUAAGGCGGAGAGGAUGGGAGAGAGUGGGCUGUUGGUGAGGUGAGAAUGGAGCUGAUCGAGGAGUGUGACAAGGGUGGUGGCUGUAGGCCAUAGCUAGAAGGAGAGACCUUGGGAAAGGACCACUCUCAAUAGGUAUGUAAGAUGAGGAUUUGAAGGGUGGUUGGUGAGCGUGGUGAGGUUUCUUGGAAUUAAAACAAUCAUGAUUCCUCCAACUGCUUCUAAUCCAAGAGAGAGAGGAGUGAUAUCUAACAACAACAAGUCUUGAACUUUCUCAUUGUCCUCACUACUCAAAAUGGCAGCUUGUACUUUGAUAAAAAUUUCAGCAGGUAAGACCAAGUUCCAAAUCGUUUUUUCAAAAUAUCUAGCUGCACCAAUACCUUCAUAACCUUGAAAGUGAACAAACAAUCCUUCAUUCGAACCAUGAGUUGAAUAGAUACAUGAUAAAGACCUCAGGAGACGUUUGUCGAUAUUCAAACCAAGAACAAAGUCGUGCAUAGUCUAAUAUUCUCAAGAGAAGCAGGUACCAAAAACAGAGAGUGAACAACAAAAAUCUAGCAAUGAUGGAGGAGAUAAAGUAAAGCUACAAGUCAUUGAAUAAAACCUUGUUUCAUGCUUUGAUCAACAGGCCUGAACAGGUGGUUGAAACCAACUGGACUUUAAACGAAAAUCAAAAGCAUGGCUGGUAAAACUAGAACAAAGCUCAAAUCAAUCUAAAAUAAAUAAAUCGAAUGAAAAUGAAACAUGAACAUUGUAUAGCUUAACCUAAACAAUCCAAAAAUCAAUAAAAUGACAAAAUGCAUGACAUGACACCCAUACCCAAAAUUAACAACAAGUAGAUAGGCCUUUGAUGGCUAUGUCAAAGCAUCUAACAAGCUUCAAUAGUAACAAAUGAAAGAAAUGCAGAAGGAAGUGGAUAUUUUAUAGUGAAGAACUUACCUCCCAGAAGACGCAAGCAAAUGAAUCCCCCUUCAUUACUCUGUGUUUUGGUCUCUUCCUCUCUCCAAAACUCCCUCUUGCUCACCUUUUGAAGAACCCAAAGAAGAAGAAAAAAAUCCUCCUCUCCCGUUCCUCUAUUUUUUCUUUUCAUGCAAGCCUCUACCCACUCCUUGCUCCUACUCAAACCAUCAUUUUCUCUAUCUUGUUUUAGCCAUCCCCUCUCCAGCCACUCCAUUGCUUUAACCACCGCCAUUGCCUGGUCACAUCCAAGGCUACGCAUCUCAUGCAUGAAGCUUCAUGGAAGCCAAUCCCCCACUCGUCCAAGGUGCUGCCAACUCCUCCAGGUGGUCAGAAAAUAUCCCUCUAAUGUUAUUAAUAAAAGUAAUAAAAAAAACUAAUAGCACUUGGUUUGCAAAAGGGGCCUACAAAUAUGCCCCUCUUCGGUAGAGUUCACAAGUGUAAAGAAUGUGAACAUCGCAAUGAAAUGAGAGUGUGAAUGAUGAGUAUAAUGAAGUGAACUCUACCGAAGAAAAAGAAAGACCCCUAAAGGUAUAUAAGUAUAACACAAACUCACCCAAACCAACAGAGGAACAAAGAAGGCUCUAAAAUCCCAAGAGAAGGGUAGCUCUCGGAGUGUCUCUAAAGCUACGCUAUGGAUUCAGACACCCUCUAAAAUGUCUCUGAAAGUGACUCGAAGAUCAAUGUCAAAGAUGAGUAACGGUCGAACCACCUUGGAAUAUAGGAAAGAAUGCGUCCAAAGGGGACUGCCCUAUGUGAACUACAUGAGAACACUAAGUGUAAGGUGCCUAACAACAUGACCAAAAUAUGUGUCAUGAACUCAAAGGACUAUGUCAUUUGCAGAGGAAGGGAAGGUCUAGAAGAGCAUGAUGAACAAGCGAUAAGAACAAAGUAACGAGGUAAGGAAAAUGAGGACGAAUGUAAAAUCGCAAAGGCAAGAUGUGCGAUGCUAGUGAAUAUGAAUGCCAGGAGCUAUGACUCUGAACGAUAAGGCUGGGGAAAAAUGACUCUAAACGUCAAAAUGGAGGAAAUGUGGUGACUCAAAAUGUCGGAAUGAGUAUGCACAAUGGCUCUAAUCGUCAAAACUAAAGAAAGAUGUUGACACUGAAUACCAAGUUGAACAAUAGCUCUGAAUGCUAAAUUGAAGACAUGACUCUGAACGCCAAAAGGGAGGAAAGAUGGUGACUCAAAAUGUCGGAAUGAGUAUGCACAAUGACUUUGAACGUUAAAACUAAAGAAAUAUGUUGACAUUGAAUACCUAGCUGAAUAAUGGCUCUGAAUCCUAAAAUAAAGAUGUGGUUCUAAACACCAAACUGAAAGAGAUAUGAUGACUCUGAAUGUCGAACUAAAGGCAUGGCUCUGAACGCCGAACUAAAAAAACUGAUGACAUUGAAUACUAAAGACGAAGCUUUGAAUGCCCAAAUUGAAUUGAUAGCUCUGAAUGUUAGGAAUGUAGCUCUGAACGCCGAAAAUGUGGAAAUGAAUGCCCGAUUAUGAUAGAAUGGUGGCUCUAAACACCAAACUGAAGAAAUACAUGAUGGCUCUAUAUGCCAAACUAGAGAUACGACUCUGAACGCCAAACUGAAAACAUGGCUUUGAAAGCCAAGCUGAGAAGAUAUGGCGGCUUUGAACGCCAAACUAAAAAAGAUGAAGGGUCUGAACACCAUAACUGAGGACUGACAUCUUUGAAUGUCAAACUGAGAAAGACGACUCUGAACGUCGUAAUUAAGAAGCGAUGAUGGCUCUAAAUGUCGAGCUAUAAGGAGAUGGUGGCUCUGAACGCCAUAACUAAUAACUGACAUCUCUCAAUGUCAAACUGAGAAAGACGACUCUGAACGUCGUAACUGAGAAGCGAUGAUGGCUCUGAACGCCAAACUGUGAAGGGAUAGUGACUCUGAACACCAAACUGGAGAUGCGACUCUAAAUGCCAACCUAAAAAUACAGCUCUAAAUGUCAAAUUGAAACAAACAACAACUCUGAACGCCAAAAUGAAAAUGCGGCUCUAAAUGCCGAACUGAAAGAGAUAUGGUGGAUAUGAACGUCUAACUAAAAAAAGACAUGAUGACUUUGAAUGUCGAACUAAAGAUGUGGCUUUGAAUGUUGAGCUAAAAAAAACUGAUAACACUGAAUACUAAAGACGAAGCUCUGAAUGCUAAACUAAAAACACGACUCUAAAUGUCAAACUGAAACAAACAACGGCUCUGAACGCCAAACUGAAAAUGUAGCUCUGAAUGCCAAACUGAAAAGACAUGGUGGCUCUAAACGCCAAAAAGUUGGCGAUGAAUGCCCGAUCGUGAUAGGAUGAUGGUUUUGAAUGCCAAAUUGUGAAAUGAUAGUGACUUUGAACGCCAAACUGGAGAUGCGGCUUUGAACACCAAACUGAGAAGAUAUGGCAGCUCUGAGCGCCAAACUGAGAACUGACAUCCCUGAAUGUCAAAUUGAGAAGGACGACUCUGAACGUUGUAACUGAGAAACGAUGAUGGCCCUGAAUGCCGAGCUGUAAGGAGAUGGUGGCUCUAAAUGCCAAAACUAAGAACUGACAUCUCUGAAUGUCAAACAGAGAAGGACGACUCUGAAUGUUGUAACUGAAAAGUGAUGAUGGCUUUGAACGCCGAGUUGUAAGGAGAUGGUGGCUCUAAACGCCAAAAUUGAGAACUGACAUCUCUGAAUGUCAAACUGAGAAGGACGACUCCGAAUGUCGUAAUUGGGAAGAUAUGUUGAUUCUGAACGCCGUAACUAAGAAGGGAUGGUGGCUUUAAACGCCAAACUGAAAAGAGAUGGUGGCUUUGAACGCCGAAACUGAGAAGAGAUAGUGGCUCUGAAAGCCAAACUGUGAAGGACGACUUUGAACGUCGUAACUGAGAAGAUAUGGCGACUUUAAAUGCCAUAACUAAUAAGGGAUGGUGGCUCUGAACCCUAAACUGAAAAGAGAUGGUGGCUUUGAACGCCGAAUCUGAGAAGAGAUAGUGGCUCUUAACGCCAAACUGUGAAGGACGACUCUGAAUGUCGUAACUGAGAAGAUAUGACAGCUCUGAACGCUAUAACUAAGAAGGGAUGGUGGCUCUGAAUGUCAAAUUGUGAAUGAAGACUCUGAACGCCAAACUGUAGAUGAUGACUUUGAAUGCAAACUGUGAAUGAUGACUCUGAAUGCUAAACUAUAAGGAAAUGAUGAGGGGAAAUAUGCCUCAGUGUAGCAUGCCGCCACAAUUCUCAAUCCGCUGAAAUGGUCUAAAAGAGACUCCAUGAGUCUUAAAAGAUGCUCCGCUAGCGAGUCGGACUGGUCAAAUCAACUAUAAGUACGACAUCACAAUCCAUCUGACUAAAUCACGAGACCUGAUGAUGUGUCACAAUAAGACAGACGCCUCUAACUCAAAAUGCUCUACCAAAGGAGUCCAUCGUCAUCUCAAAUGAAUGAUCCAUUGGGGAGUCUCAAGAGAAUAGUUCACUAGGGCAAAUACCGCGACCAUAACACAACAAUCUACUGAGGGGUCAUAGAUAAUGGGAUGGUCAAAACCUGAAUAUCGUGCUCCACUGAAGGCUCAUCUCGGUAAAAAUCACCGAAAUAGUGACUAGUAAUGCAAAUAAAUAUCCCUCGCCCGAGUAAUGAAGAACGUAACAAGUUUGUGAGAAAACAAUCAUCUUCACAGCUAGAAGAGGGCAAUAUGUUCCCGUAUAGCAACUAGGGCAUCUAGUCUGUCCUGAUGACUCAAGAAUAGCUCCAUGGGAUGUAUAAGAGAUUUGACAUGUACUCUACUGAAAUGAUGAAAUGGGAGUAUAUGCACCUGGGAUAACUCCAUCACAAAAUCACGACAAUAUCAAAAAGUAUGAGUUUGACUGAAUGACUUAAAAAAGGCUCCACUAGGGAAUCAUCGUAAAAUAAAAAUAAAUCAUCAACUCAACAUGUAUCUCGUGAAUAUGGAUGAUAAUGCAAAUCAAUGGAGAUCUACAAAUCUCAACCAAAAUGGAAAUAUGCCCUAGUAUGGCAUCAGAUGUGUGGUAGGUCAGAAAAUCAGAUGGCACCAAAUCAUCCAUCGCCAAGUGUGUAAUUCCAACCAUCCAUAUCCGUAGUUGAAUCCAAUCAACAGAUCAAAGAAGUGUCUUUUAAAAGAAGAAAUGUGAUGAUAUCUCAAUGUCAAAAAGUGUGAGCCUGACUGGAUGGCCUAAGAGAGGCUCCCUUAAGAGAUCAAGAUAAGAUAACAAACAAGUCAUCAUCCAUCAGAUGUGUGGUAGGUAAAAAAAAUUAAAUAGUACCAAAUCAUCCAUCACCAAGUGUGUAAUCCCAGCCAUCCAUGUCCGCAGCUGAAUCGGAUCAACAAAUCAAAGAAGUGUCUCCUAGAAGAAGAAAUGUGAUGAUAUCUAAAUGCCGAAAAGUGUGAGCCUAAUUGGAUGACCCAAGAAAGGCUCUCCUGAGAGAUCAUGAUAAGAUAACAAACAGGUUAUCGUCUUAGCGUGUAUCUCGUGAGUGAUGAGGAUCAUGUGACUCCAUGAAGAUAUACAAAUCUCAACUGAAAGGGAAAUAUGCCCCAGUAUGGCAUCAGAUGUAUGGUAGAUUGAAAAUCGAACCACCUCAAAUCAUCCGUCAUCAAAUACGUGAUCCCAGUCAUCUAAAUCCAUAGCUGAAUUGAACCUUUAUAUCAAAAGGCGUCUCUCAAAAGAAGAAGCAUGAGACAUCUAAAUAUCAAAAGUGUGGGCCUAAUUGAAUGGCCCAAGAGAGGCUCUACUAGGGGAUCAUGAUAAGAUAACAAAUAGGUCAUCGUCUUGGUGUGUAUCUCGUAAGUGGAGAUGAUCAUGCAACUCCAUGAAAAUCUAUAAAUCUCAUUCGAAAAGGAAAUAUGCCCCAAUAUGGCAUUAGAUAUAUGGUAGAUCAAAAAAUUAAACAAUAACAGAUCAUCCAUCGUCAAAUGUGUAAUCCUAAUCAUCCAUAUCCACAAUUGAAUCUGGUCCAACAGAUCAAGGAGACGUAUCCUAGAAGGAAAAGCAUGAUAAGAUCCAAAUGCUGAAAAAUGCGGGUCUGACUAAAUGGCUCAAGAGAGGCUCUCUUAGGAGAUCAUGAUAAGAUAACAAACAGGUCAUCAUCUCAGCAUGUAUCUCGUAAGUGGGAAUGAUCAUGUAAAUCAAUGGAAGUCUAUAAAUCUCAACCAAAACAAAAAUAUGCCCCAGUAUGACAUCGGAUGUAUGGUAGAUAAAAAAAUCGGACAACAUCGGAUCAUCCAUCAUCAAAUGUGCAAUCCCAGUCAUCCAUAUCCACAACUAAAUCGAGUCCAAACAUAAAAAAUGUGUCUCCCAUAAGAAGAAGCAUGAUGAUAUCUAAAUAUCAACUAAAUCUCAAAUACAUGUCCAAGUAGGGGCUAUCGAAGAUGACAUUUGAUCCCAUGGCCUUAGGGUAGUCUUAAGACAUGGGACGUAAUGUAGGCUAGAGUGAUAAGAUAAUAGAAAUGAAAGGAAACUAGGCCCAAAUACCCAAUGAUCAAAAACCCAUGCCCUCAUGUAAAAAAAUGCAACAUGUAUAGAAAAACCUGUGAGCCAUGGACCUGAAGGUGCCCAAUGUGAAUAUAAUAUCAAUAAAGAGACAAUGAUGCAAAUCAACCUGAUAAUGAGAUAUGCAGGAAUGAUGAAAGGGAAAUAUCAAAUCUGGAAUAGGUCAACAUAAGAAAAGAACAAGGGGGUGAAGCGAAUGAGAUGAAUCACAAACAAUGACGAGGAUGAUAGCGAAACAAUGAAUAUAUAAAGAAAAGUGAUGAUCAACUCAAAUCAAACAUGGAGUGAAGUCACAUUAAUAAUGAAUGUAAUGAUGGAAAGGAAAAUGACCUAGAGUCCCUAGGAGAAUGUCACUCAUCUCACUCUCAAAGAGAUAUAACAAAGUGAAUACAAAGAAAAGAGGAUCCCAGAAAGCUCACAUACGAACUCUCAAUAACAAACAUACUCGAUAAAAUGACCCUCAGAUAUCAAUAUACACACUCAAUGAUGAAGAAUACUAUGCACAUGCACACAUGUGUUUAUUUUUCUUUUCUUUUCAUUUUCAUUUUUUUUUUACAUAUAUACAAAUACACAUACCCUGAACAUAAAAAAAUGAACCCCAAAGAUGAUAUCAAUAAUGGAUAGACACACUCCCAAGUGCUAAGGUAACAAAAACUUUCUUUGACGAGAUGACCUUCUCAAACUAAGGAUCUCUGAAUUAGUGUCCGUGGGAUAGAUAAUGGAAAUGAUGUGACUAUCCUCCAUGUAAUUAACUGAGGAGGAUCACCACUCAAGGUGGAGAGAAUAUGAAGCAAAACAAGCAUUAUAUAAGUUAAAAGAAGAAGAGAUGAAUAACAUAACCAAUGAGAUGUGAUGAAAUGUAGUAGUGUGGAAAAAUAAUGAGAGAAUGAUAUGCUCGUAGGUCCAAGGCUCAUGAAACUCCUUAAUGAAGCAUGCAUACACUAAAGGGCCCUUAUCCUAGUGUAGAAGUGUAAGCAAGGUGAUAAGAAAGAAAGACUCUGAUGCACAUGCAAGGCUCAAUGGGCUAGCAACGGUCUGUAUAUCAAAAAGGAAUAACAAGGUAUAUGGCUAACUGAAAUGAUGGUCACCCAUCCUACGACCAUGGUCUCAAACAUAAUACUUCUUCAGCUAAUCUGCAUUAAUUGGCUCCAACAAUUAGUUUUCAUCUAGAUCCAUCAACCAUGCAGCGCCCUCUAGGGUCAGCUCCCUAAUGAAAUAAGGUUCGCUCCAAUUGGGUCUGAACUUCUCUCUAGGAUCUUUGAUCAAUCCCCUGAUGACCUUCAGAUCCAAGUCACCUCUUUAUAGCAGUCUAGCCUUAACCCGCUUUUUGAAUGCACGGGCCAUCUUCCUCUGAUAAGCACGAACAUGGUCUGCUGCCCUCAAUCUCCUCUUAUCUAGGAGAUUAAGCUGGUCUAAUCGAGCCUGGGCCCAAUCUUCCUCCAAAAUCUGCUACUCCAAUGCUACCCUUAACGAACCCAUCUCUAUCUCAACUGGUAGUACUGCUUCCAUACUAUACACCAAGGAGUAAGGUGUAGCUCCUAUAGAGGUGCGAAAAGAAGUCUGAUAAGCCCACAAUGCAAAUGGAAGCUUCUCCGACCAAUCCCGAAAAGUCUCAAUCAUCCUAUGUAAGAUCCUCUUAAUAUUCUUAUUCACAGUUUCUACCGCUUCGCUAGUCUACGGCCUAUACGCAGACGAUCUAUGAUGCUGGAUACCGUGUCUCUAUAAUAAAGUGUCAACAUCUGCUUUGAAAUAUACUCCUUUGUCCUAAAUCAGCUCAUGAGGGACUCCAUAGCGACAAAUAAUGUGUGAUCUAAUGAAACUAGCAACCCCAGAUGAUGUCAAUCUUGCAUAUGAAGCAACCUCCACCUACUUGGUUAAGUAAUCAAUGGCAACCAGGAUGAACUCAUGACCAUUGGAAGACUUUGGAAAAAUCUUCCCAAUAAUGUCUAUACCUCAUAUUGAAAAUGGUCAUGGCGAAGUCAGUGCAUGUAACUCUGAAGACGACACGUGAAUGAGGUCUCCACGUAUCUGGCCCUCUAGACAUCUCUUAACAAACUGGCAACAAUCUGUUUCUAUGGUCAACCAAAAAUAGUCAGUCCUCACGAUCUUACAAGCUAACAUAUGCCUUCCCAUAUGUGGUCCACAGACACCCACAUGAACCUCUCUCAUCACUCGAUCGGCAGAGGGGCCGUCUAAGCACAAUAACAACAUCCCAUCAGUUGAUCGUCUGUACAAUGUCUCUCCACAAAUCACAAAUCGAGCGGCACACUGUCUCAAUGCUCUCUUAUCCUUGGUCGUGGCAAUCUUAGGAUAUGCACCAAGUCUUAGAAACUGGUAUAUGUCAUGGUACCAAGGCAAACCAUCAUCCAACUUUACCUCAUCAAUCAAGCAACAAUAGGCAAGAACUGAUCUUGACUCAAUCAAUAAAAGGCGAAUGACGAUAUCAGUAGGAAUAUCAAUCAUGGAAGCUAAAGUAGCUAAGGCAUCAACAAACUGGUUAUGCGCUCUAGGCCUCAUCAAACCUCCCAACCAAUAGCUCUAAGUAUGCAUGGUGAUUACUACCCAAAAAGUGCUAUUUUACACCUUUAAUUCAUUAUGUUUUAAGCACUUUUGUGUAGUAGUUCUCCAUCUUUAGUCCAAUUGGCAUAUUAAGGACCUAGCAAUGACUUCUAACAUAUUUGUGGAUAGUUUUAGUGUUUUGACAGCCUUUUGGAUCAUUAAGACAAGCCAAGUAAAGGAGAGAAGCAAAGAGAAGCAAAGAGGAAAAGCAAGCAAAGUGAAGAGAAGCAAAGAGGACAGCAACUGCAGUCUUCUUUCGCACUUUUGGAGCACUUCCCGAAGUCCAUUUUCUACAUGCUAUAUAUACCAUUUCAAAUCUUAGGAAGUCAAGAAUCCAACGCUUCAAACCGUGUACGAUUUGGAGCUGAAAUGAGGAAGAUCUGGCUUUCGGAAGACAACUGCUCCAGGCUUGUGUGAAAAUUUCGCACGACACCUUGUGUUGUGCGAAAUUUGCACAACACCUUCAAAAUUCGCAUAGCCCAUGCGUGGUGCGAAUUUUGCUCUGUUUUUGCCGACUCCACUUUAGAUAUUUUCUUAUGUAUUUUUUGAUGUAAUUUCCUUUCUUAUCCUUGUAACUAACCAAUCACAAGCUUUUACUUUUGUAAAGACUAUAUAAAGGGUGGAAAUCACCUCUUGGAAGAAAGAGGUGUUACGUUUUACACUUAGAUAUAUAUAAAGCUCUGUUUUGCUCUCUUCUCCUGUUCUUCCCCAUUUCUAUUUUCUUAGUAGCCAAACAGCCUCUGAGGGCUUUUCCUUAGAGGAUGAUUGGCUAAAACUUUUAGUUUCUCAAAGUAUGGAUGUUAUGUGAUGACUUGGAUGCAAUCCCAUGGAAAUUUCUCGCACCUGGAAGGUAAGGUAGUCGUUUUUCAUUAAAGGUUCAUUAAUGCAAAGUUUGGUUUUUAUUUCCUUUGGACAACUUCCAACGGCCAAUACUUGAUAAGCUUUUGGAUUUCUAUCCAUUAGUUAUCUCCUACAAGCUAUUGGAAGGUGAGGUUUUCAAUUCCAAGUUUCGCAUUAAUCCGUUAGAACCAAUUUCAAUGGCCAUUGAAAGGUGAGUUUAUCACCUGGAAUGACUUUGAGUUGCCAAUAUUUGGUAAGCUUUUGGCUUUAGACCAUUAGUUAUCUCUUACGAGCCACUCAAAGGAAGUCUAAGGUGAAUAACCAUUGAUGAAAUUCACUACCAUCUGUUUUGCCAUUUUAAAGGAUUAAAACUUGAUUUGCUAAAUCCAUACCGGUUCGGGAAGCAAGCAUCACCAUAGUUGCAACCCCAACGCGAGGAGCCUAUCCUGAGAUUUCCAAUUUGCAUAAGAGCCAGAGCAUAGCUAUCCUAUCUUUGAGAAACUUGUUUUUACACCCUUUCAUUUUAAUCUUUAAUGUUAGCUUAGAUUAGUUUAAAUCUUUCUAAAACAUUUACAUCUUCUUUUAAAGCUAACAUCCAUAAGAAAAUCACCUAUUUUCCUAAUUUAAAUAUCACUUGUGUUUGCGAAAACCCUUCCCAGUGAACGAUCCUAGAACCACUAUGCUAUAGUAGCUUGGCUACUUUAGUAAUAGUAUUUAAGGUAUAAAUUUUGUUGAUACGCCUUUAAAGCUAAGCUACCAUGAGUCGCGUCACAUGGUAAGGCCUAAGUUUCACAUCUCUAGUCUUCGAUUCGCCCUGAAUCUAUCUCAAUACCAUAUUGGAGUCAUCAAACACCUCCAUCUGUCUAAUCUUGAGCUCAAGAGCUAUUUCUAAUCCCAAGCUACAAGCCUCAUACUCAAUAAUAUUGUUUUUAGAAGGAUAUCGAUCCAAGAAUGCCAAACGAACAGAUAUAGGAAUGUGGUCACCAUGAGGGGAUAUCAACAAGAUACCUAUCUCAUAUCCAAAAUGGUUGGCCACACCAUCAAAGUACAUACGCCAACCUGACAGACUAGUCACAGUAGCAACAUCCUCAUCUGGGAAAUCAUCAUCAAUAGCUCUACCAUCAGAAAUCGGUAAUGAGGCUAAGUGAUCUGCAACGAUGCUUCCUCUGAUAGACUUCUAAGUGACAUAAUGAAUGUCAAACUCAGUCAGAAGUACCAACCAUCUCAUGAGGUGAUUGACCAAAGCAGGCCUUUCAAACAAAUAUCUCAAAGGAUCUAGACGAGAUAUCAAGUGCAUUGAAUACUCGGUCAUGUAAUGUCUUAGUCUUUGAGUAGCCCAAACCAAUGCCAAACAGAAGCGCUCAAUCAUGACAUAUCUCAUCUCAUAAUCUAGCAUCCUCUUACUCAAAUAGUAAAUAGCUCGCUCUUUUCUCGAAUAAUCGAGUUGAACUAAUAUGCAUCCCAAUGCUACAUCUAAGACUAAUAAGUAUAGUAGUAAGGGACGACUUGGUGUAGAAGGCACCAAGACUAGAGGUGACAACAAGUACUCUCUGAUCCUAUCAAAUGCGUGUUGGCACUGAUCAUCCCAAACAAUCUAUUGAUGCAUUGAAGUCUACCCAAGAAGCCUCUAAUCUCUCUCUCGAUCCUCGACGCAGACAUGUCAAUGAUGGCUCUAAUCUUAUCUGGAUCCACCUCUAUGCCUCUCUCACUGACCAUGUAUCCCAACAGCUUCCCAGAAGUCACUCCAAAAGUCAACUUCUUGGGAUUCAGUCUCAAUCUAAAUUGUUUGAUCCUCUCAAAGAAUCUCUCCAAAGCUACUAAGUGAUCUGCAAUAUCUUGGGAUUUCACUAUCAUGUCGUCUACAUAAACCUCGACAUCCCGAUGCAUCAUGUCAUGGAAGAGGGUGGUUGCUGCUCUCUAAUAAGUAGCUCCUGCAUUCUUCAACCUGAAUGACAUGACUAUAUAGCAAUAAGUAUCUCACUCGGUAAAGAAUGAUGUCUUCUCCAUGUCCUCUGGAGCCAUCAUAAUAUGAUUGUACCCUAAAAAUCCAUCCAUAAAGGACAACAUCGAGUGACCUGCCGUACUAUCAACUAGCAUGUCAAUGUGUGGGAGAGGAAAAUCAUCCUUAGGGCUAGCCUUGUUGAGAUCUCAAAAAUCANNNNNNNNNNNNNNNNNNNNNNNNNNNNNNNNNNNNNNNNNNNNNNNNNNNNNNNNNNNNNNNNNNNNNNNNNNNNNNNNNNNNNNNNNNNNNNNNNNNNAAAAUCAACAUAGACUCUCACUUUGUCGUCCUUUUUGGGAACAAAGACGACAUUGGCCAACCACUCGGGAUACUCGACCACUGAUAAAAAUCCUACACUGAGCUGCUUCUGAAUCUCCUCCUUCACCUGCAAGCUCCAACGAGAGUGCAAUCAUCUCAACUUCUGCUUAACUGGUCUGACAUGAGGCAAAAGUGGUAAGCGAUGCUGGACUAUAGAUGGACCGAGGCCUAGCAUGUCCUCAAAAGACCAUGCGAAAACGUCCAAAUAUGAUAUGAACAAUUGGGCGAGACUAUCUCUCUCAUCUAUAGAUAAGUCCAAUCCAACCCCAACUCCCUAGGCUAAUCUGUUGUGCCGAAAUCAACAAUCUCUGCGUCUUCUAUAGCAGGUGAAACUCUCUGAUCAAUGGGGCCCGAAUUAGAAGUAGAAGAUGAAUCAUCAUCUGAAUCAUGUUGUAUAAUCUCAUCAGCUAUAUCGAAUAUCUGUGAUGUGGGUGAAAAUGGUGCAGAUAAAGUGAUAUCAUAAGAGAUAGAGAGAUACUAAAAAAUUCUCAAAUCCAUAAAUGAAGAGUCAUGAACAUCAUCAGAACGGAAGACAAAUCCCAAUAAAACAUCAAAUGAAAGAGGUGGGUCCACAAAGUCAUACGCUCCCUCAACUGGGUUAACUGGGCCAUCAAACAAAUCAUCAACAACUAUAACAUCAUUUGGAAACUCUGAAGUUAAAGCAGUUUGGAUCUCCUCAGCAACCUCGAUGGCGGACACCCUGAAGAGAUUGAAUGGUGAAGCAAGCUCAGGCCAAACUAUCUCAUCGAUUUGACUCAUACUCAUCGCGAGCAUCCCAUCAAUGUACUCAUCGUGCGGAACAGCUCCAUCCACUAUGUCUUCGAUCUCGGCAAAUGUCCCAUGCUCAUUGAUCUCAUCCAGGAAAUAAAGAGUCAUAAGGCUCAUACGAUUUAGAGAUGAUGGGACGACCAAUGCAGACGUCGAAGUACUAGGAGCUCUAUCACUCAACUGUAAUUGAUGGACAAGACGCUAAAGCUCAGCCUCCUAAGUAGUGUUGAAUGCCCCAAUGAUCCCAUCCAAAUGUGUUUGUAGCUUCGACGCCCUCACAAAGUAGUCUGCCAAGCUCAUGGUGUAUGGGCGAACAGGAUAGUCAAAGGGGGUGUGAGUCAAUCGAGCCCUCACCCUAUCCUUGUGCAAUUGCGCCAUAUAUCGAUAAUCGGCCUAAGUAGGGAUGAAAUUGAGCCCAAAAGGAGUAUCAUGAUCAACUGUGACAAUGAACUCUCCAGAGCCAUGUUGAGGAUGUCCUAGACCCAAGCCAAGUAAGAAAGACAUAGACCUCAUCAUGUCCAAAACCACUAUACUACCAUGUGAUCUUUACAAAACUGCUCAACUUCCACAGUCUGUAUCUCAUCAAAGGUGAAGCCAGUCAGAAUUAGGUCGUCCCUGCCAUGACUAAUCUCCAAUACUAGCUCGGAAGUAGAAUAAGAGUCUCUAAUAGACUGUAUAGUAAUGACUCUGUCCUCAUGUAUGAACUUCACCUUCUGAUGAAGGGAAGAUGGUAUAACUCCAACUCUAUGAAUCCAAGGCCGACCCAAUAACAGGUUAAAAGACAUGAGAAUCAUUAAAACUUGAAAUAAAGUAGAAAAUGUGAUUGGGCUUAUCUACAAGUUGAUUACUACUCAAAAAGUGUUAUUUGAUAGCUUGUAAUUAACUUUUUUAAAAACUUUUUGAGUAGUAGUUAUUACCUUUUAACCCAAUUAACAUAUUAAGGACCUUUGCAAUCAUUUCUAAUCAAAUUGUGUAAGUUUUGGUGUUUUUGUUAGUAAUUUGAUCACCAAAGCAAUCCAAGAUUGAGGAGAGUUCUUUGGAAUCCAUGGCAAAGUAAUGGGAAGCUCAGAAACAUGAAGAACCAAAGCUUUGAAGCUUUAAAGUCCUUUACCAUAAGCAAAUCAUGAAUGAAAUGAGGGAAAGCAAAGAGAGAAAUCCACCAUGAAGCAUUCUAGAGGACAGCCACUGUCAGCCACUUUUGGAGCACUUCCUGGAGCUCAAUUUAUGCAUACUAUAUGUCGUUUCGAAGCUUGGGAAGUCAGCCAUCCAAUGCUUCAAACGGUGUGCGAUUCGAAGUUGAAAUAAAGGAGUUACAGCCAUUGAAAGCCGAUCACACAAAGCUGAAGACCAAUUUCGCGGGAUGCAAAAUCAGUCUUUGGCUGCGAAAUCACAAGAGGAUGGCUGCGAAAUGGUGUCCUUCAUGCUGCGAAAUUCUCCUAAAGCUUCCCGAUAUUUGCGACCGACAUUUUGAGAUUUUUUGUUUUAGAUAUUUGAUGUCUAAAUCCCCAAACUCUCCUUGUAAUCCACCUAUCAUAGGAUUCCUUAGUCUUUAAGCAAGAACAAAGGGUAAUUAGCCUCAUAUAUAUUAUUUGUAAUUUCCAUUACACAGAGAAGUCGGGAGCUUGUUCUCAGACAUCCUUUGUAUAGUUUUUGAAGGAAGUAAAAUACAGAGUCUUUGCUCUACCUUACCUUCUCGUUUUGAUUGUAUUGUAUAUUAUUUAAUUUUUCUUACUAGCCAAACAAGCUUUGAGGAUGUUUCCUCAGAGAAUGAGUGGCUAGGUUUUUAGUUUCUUGGAGCUAAGGUUGCCGGGUAAGUUCCCAAAUGCAAGAAUUGGUAGUUUUGUUGUUUCAGCCAUUAAUGAAGAGAAAGUGUGACCCAUUAAUGAUUUCUAUGUUUUUAGUUAACUUAAAACACCUUCAAUUCACCUGAGCCAACACUUGGUAAGGCAAGUGAUCUCCGUCCAUGGAGAUGCACUAGUUUAUCUUUUGCGAGCUUUUGGGAGGUGACUUGAAGGUAGGAUUUUCUAGAAUUGCCAACACUUGGUAAGCUUUUGGACUCCAAGAAGACAUUCAUUAGUUAUCUCUUGCGAGCUUGAGAAGGAGAAGGAAUUAGUGUUGAAAUCCAUUAAAGGGAAGCAUAUGUACAACACCGGUUAGAGAAUUAACUAUAUGUGAAUUCUCUAAUGCGAGGAAAAGAACCAAGUGACCAGAGCUCUGUUUUUGCAUGAGGAGCCUUCCCUGUGAACCUAAAACUCCAAGGAAUGUUUUUCUUCAUAAUUAAUUUCCAUUACUUUCGUUUUAGUUAGCUUGAAACAAAACCUUUUUCAACCAAAGUUUAUGUUUUCUUCUUAAGCUGACCUUGAAAUGAAAAAGCACCAAUUUAACUUUGAAUUAGUAUCAAUUGUGAGUUGAAAACCCUUCCCAGUGAACGAUCCUAGAGCCACUAUGCUAUAUUAGCUAAGGUUAUCCUAAUGCAUGGUGAUAUAGGCUAUAAAUUUUGUUGAUUACUCCUUUAUGAGGACCACAAUCAAGGGACACCAGCUGGACACGAAUCAAAUGGCACCAUUAUCAAGGACCAUUGAGAGGACAUGAAUCAGCUGAGACACCAAUUAGGAAUGAAUCACAAGUCCAACGUCAAUGUACCCAAAACCUCUCUGCGUGUACUGUCAUAGACUUGAACUGUCUAAGAAGAUGGCUCAAAGUUUGAAGGUUUGAAGCCGAGAGCGACUGCUGUAGCUAGUGGGCAAAUGUUCAGGGUAGAGCCAUUAUCCAAAAGGACUGAUGAAACUCGAUGCCCAUAACAACCAACAAAAAUGUAGAGAUGUAGAGUAUGGUUAGAACCUCUAUGAGGUAGAUCAUUAGUAGAGAAGAUAAUGCAUGUGGCCCUGUCAACUGUCAAUAUGUGGAUCAAUCCCUUACGAGAGGUAGAUGUCUCAACUCGUAUUUGACUCAAUGCUUUGACCAGUGCCUCCCGAUGGGAGGUAGAUGAUGCCAAAAGACUCCAAAUGGAUAUGCGGUCCUGAGUGCUCUAGAGCUGCCUCAAAAUCUCGUCGUCCUCUUGUCUAGUCUCCUCUCGAGUGGCAUUGCUCUCUACAGGUCUAGAAAAUGUGGGAGGCUGUUGUCGUACCACUCUCCCCCCACGGAUGACAUAUUGAACAUCCUGUGAAACCAUCUCAUCAGAAUCUUGACUCAAUAUAAACAGAGACUGAAUGCUAUAACAUGGGUGAAUCAAUGACCCAACCGUGGUCAACUACAAUGUGGCGUGUUAGGGACCAGUCUAAAUGGUGCAGAUGCCUGUGAGUCUGAGAUCACUCCAUCAACCUCAUAACUCUCAUCCACUACUAUGGGCUCCGACUCAUAAUCAUCCCAACUCAGCAUGUGAAUGCGAUCAUCAAGCUUAGUGAAAUCCAUGGAGUGUAUGCCAUCGGCCAAAAGAGGAACCACGUGUGUAGUAUGAGUCGGUAAUGGGUUAGUGGUUAAACUCAGCUGACCCAAGUGAACCAUGCCUUGAUCAAUCAAAUCCUGGAUGGUGUGCCUCAAAGCAAUACAAAGGUCAGUCUCAUGUCCUAGCCCCUAAUGGUAUGCAUAAUGUAAAUCCAUCCUGAAUUGUGGUGGGACGAGCUGAGGUAAUGGCCUAGGAGCGAGAGCUGUCAAUAACCCAGUCUCUGUGAGUUUCCAAAGAGCCUGGCUCAACGACAUACCCAACUAUGAAAACUGUCUCUGCGUUCUCAAAGCAAAAGGAGCGGAAGUCUAUGGAGCUCUAGGUCUGGGAUAGGAAGUUGGGUGUCUCACUGUAAACUGUGUUGCGUAGCAUGGCUGUACUAGAGUAGGAUAGGAAGUUGAAGGUCUCUCUAUGCCCUGUGCAGCAUAAUAAGGCAGUGCUGGUGGGAAAGAAAAGUAAGCCUGAUCAUGCGGCUGAUGAGGUGCUUGUGGCCUAUACUACACACGAGGUGGUGGUGGGUAGUGGAAUCUAGAAGUUUGCUUAAUUUUCUGAUAGCGUCUAGGAGGCCUCAACCCUGCUAAACUGAUAGCACCCACAUAUUCUGGCCUCUGUCUUCCUAAAGGCCUCGUCCCCUUAGAGUCAGUAGGGGAAGACUCGGAGCAUAAUCCUCUAACUAUGUCCUCCUUUAUGCUGUAUAAGGCUUGUACCAAAGAUCCAAAAUCCGUAUGACGGAAUCCCAUCAAGUGCCUAGCAAAUCGAGACUACAAGCUCCUCAUGAUCAUAUUAAUCUGAUCCCUCUCAGAUGGCCUAUCAAUAACCUGAGAAAUCUUCUCCCUCCAACGGGAGAUAAAUGAGGUGAUUGACUCCUCUGGCCUUUGCCUCAAAGCCUCCAACUCUCUCCUUGAAACAUCAAUGACAGUGUUAAAUUCAAAUUGUCUCAAAAAUUCCUAGGCCAAAUCAUCCCAAGUCUGGUGGCGUGAUACAUCCAAUGAAGCAAACCAACGUUAUGCCACACCACUCAAGGACAUAGGGAAAAAAUAACCAUAUGGGCCUCAUCCAGUCCAUGGCCCUCAUAAUCAUACUAUAAAGCCUCAAAUGGAUGCGAGGACAGCCAAUGGCUCUGUAUCUCUCAAUCUCAAGCAUCCUAAACUUGGCUGGUAAACUGGCCACUAGUGUUCCAUCAAAUUCCACCCAAGUAAUAGAUCCGUCUGAAGUCCUUAAUUACCUCAACCUCUGCUCAAGUCUAUCCAUACGCUCAUGUGGGUCCUCUGAGAUCGAGGUAGACGCUGUGACAGGAGGCGGGGCAACCUCGGUUUGACUAUGCAGAGUGAAAGGUAUAACCUAUGGUGCUGACUGACUGGGUAGUGGUACUAUAGAGUCAUACUGUGUGCCAUCCUGAGGCGAAACUUGUUGGGCAUGUUGUCCAUCUAUUAUUUGGUAGAGGUCAGCUAUAGCCUCCUGAAUCAAAGCCAUGACCGAAGCAAACUGAUUGAUGGUAACCACCUGUGAAUCCAUAUCCCUUUGAUCUGACUGGUUUGAUGCUCUGAUCAAUCUACCCCUAACUCUGAUCCAAGAAGAUGAACCCAAAUCAAGUGUGUCAAUACUCUUACAAUAGUGGAAAUACUAGAUAAGAUACUGUGUAAGGGAAUGUUUAUCAAAUAUGCCGAAAGGUAACCUAGAAGUAAUCAAACUGAUAUCCAAUUUUGAGCAAAUAUACGAGAGACUACUACAAAGGUAACUAAACCUAUCACUAUUGAACCAACUCUGAAGGCCCACAGAUGCACCCAUGUGUUAGGAAAGGAAAUCCCGAUUGAAAGAUCUAAGGCUCAACCUAUAAGGUCAAGGUGGCUUUAAAAAGAAGAGGAGUGGACUUUAAAGGAUCCCUAGCAGAAGUGAUCAUACCCUCCAACAGUACGUAACCCUCUGCACACUUCUAAAGAGACAGGGCGCUUCCAUACAAGGUGGUCAUCACCUCCACACAUACACCACCUCAACAUCUCAAGGGGGUUUCUUAUAGUGAAACCUCUCGUAACUCUCAACACUCAGUAGUAAACUAAAGUGCACAAUGAGUAGUGUGGGUGCAUCCGAAAAUCCUAUGAAGCUAAAAGAGAAAAUGAAACACAUUGGUCACACAAAUAUCCAUGAAACCUAGCUCUUGGCUAUACAGGUCUUCAAAUAUCAGACUCCAAUUAGUGUUAGUAUGUUCAUCUCCUCCAGAAUGCUCCCAAACAUCGAUAUAGCCCGUUGCUAGACCUUACUCCUAACCAAUUAGCUCGGUCAAAGAAACAAGCACUCAUAAGGCCUUACACUUGUUAAUGUAAGAACCGAAAUGAAGGAAAUGACUGAAACCAUAUGAUUGGAGGUAAGGAGAUUGAUAUGCGUCCCACGUGGACAAGCAACAUGCAAACACAUAGGAGAAGAGCAGUCAUGCAACAGGCAGUCAAGUAGAACGUAGGUAUAUCAUCCAUGUCCAUAUAUAAUCUAAAUAAGAAUAUAAAAAUCAAAAUGAAUAGCAACAAAGAUAGCAUGCUCAAAGAUGAUCAAGAUAAUAUCCAAGCAAAUGAGUCAAUCACUAAGACAAACAAGAUAUACAACAAUAUGAACAUACAUGUCAAAGUGGGUAAGAUAAUUAUGGUAAGAGCAAAAUCAAUAUGCUAAGACAAUAAAGAGAAUCAAUCAAUAUCAUCAGCAUGUUAAUGUCCCAAAUGGAUAUAGCGGUCAAGCAUAGAAAAUCACCACAUCAAAAUCCUCAAUGUGCUAUGAUCACUCAAGCAUAGAGAAGCACAGAGAGAAGGUAUCCAUCAAUCGCCUAAUCAAAUGUCACAUUUGCCUCAUCUUAAGUUCAAGUUUGACCCUUUAAAUUUAUCCAGCGGAGUCGCCAUUUUGUGGACCCCGCAUUUUGACUCGAUGGCAAAACUCGCUUUUUUACUUAUUUGGUAUUUUUUUUUUUUUUUAGGACUUGGAGUCGCCACUUAUUUUUGUUUUAUUUUUAAAGGGGAAAAAAAACCCUAAGUGUGACUCCUUAUUUGGAAAAGAUGGUCUGCAAAAAACCAAAUUUGGGCUUGGGGGUCAAGUUACUUAUUGGGAAGGUACGAUAAAGACCGUAACACCCCUCUAAGUCCCUAAAUAUAGGUCUCUACUAAAGAGAUGAAGCAAACAUGGCAAUUGGUAAGGAAAUCAAUGGAUACCAAAAUGAAAUAAUCAAAUAAUAAAGCGAAUCAUGCAUAAGAAUAAGCAAAGUGAGAAUGAGAUCGUACCUUAGCAGCAAUUAAUAGUGCGCUAUCAUGGAAACAGGGUUAGCUCAAGUAUAAAAUCAUCACAUGCAUAUCAAAGAGCAAGGCAAAGAUCAAGCAAUACUCAUUAAGCAUAACAACUAACAAUCAUAAGAGAAAACUCAUAUGUAGUGCCCCCACCAAAACCCAAUUUAUUUCGCAUGAAUUAAUCUCAUGGAUUCCAUUGUUUUUGGAGUUACUAAAAUUCAUUCGUGCUUAUUAAAAAUCAAGGAAAAUGAAAAAUUAUUUUAAAAUUAAAGAAAAUUUGAGAACAGUGUUUACUUGAAAGGAAAUGUAGCAAGUUUAUUUAAAAACAGGAUUUUUAGCGACUUAAAACCCUAAUGAAUGAUGAAAACUGGUAGAAUUAAAAAAUAUUUGAAAACCAGAGUGAAAUUAAAUUAUUUGAAAGAAAACUAGAGUUUUGAAAUUUAUUUGAAAAUUGAGAUCUCGAAAAUUAUUUGAAAAUUGAAGUUUUGAAAAUUAAUUGAGAAUUGGAGUUUUGAAAAUUAAAUUAUGAAAAUUGGAAUCUUGGAAAUGAUUUAAAGAUAGAAUUUUAAAAAUAAAUAAUAAUUAAAAAAAACAAAACAAAUGUGAAAAUUGGAAUUUUGGAAAUUGGAAAUUAAAUUCGGAAAUUCGAAUUUUGAAAACCAUUUGAGAAUUGGAGUUUUGAAAAUUAAAUUAUGAAUUGGAGUUUUGGAAAUUAAAUUUGAAAGAAAUUGGAGUUUUGAAAAUUAAUUGAGAAUUGGAGUGUUGAAAAUUAAAUUAUGAAAAUUGGAAUAUUAUAAUAAUAAUAAUAAUAAUAAUAAUAAUAAUAAACAAAUGUGAAAAUUGGAAUUUUUAAAAAAUAAAUAAAUAAGUAAAUAAAUAGAAUAAUAAUAAUAAUAAUAAAAAUAUAAUGAUUAAAUAAAUAAAUACGAAAAUUGGAAAUUGAAAAUUCGAAAAAUUAUUUGAGAAUGGAAUUUUUAGCGAUCAUUUGAAAAUUGGAAUAGAAAUGAGAUUAUUCGAGAAACUGGGAUUUUAAGAAUCAUUUAAAAAGAAUUUAUAGAAAUCAAACUUUGACACCUGAAAUAAAAAAUAAUAAAAAAUAAAAAUUUCCACCAUGAGGCCAUAAUUGGAUCCAUGUCACUGCCACUUAUUUAUUUAGAAAACUUGAAAUGCCCCUGCCACUUAUGAGAAUUCCCAUCCCACCAUUGACUUGUCAUCCAUCAUUUAUUUAAACGUUUUCAUGUCAUUAGUGAAUUGCCACUUCUGGAAGAGGAAUAAUGAAGCCCCACUUCUCUACGAAAAGCAUCAACUCGCAGCCCAUGUACACCCGGCAACACAUAAGUCACCAUGCAGGGCCUCAAAUGUGGGAGUUCAUCUCGGCAUUGAAUUGGAGGUUGGGGAUCACGUGCAGGAAACCGGUGAUGGUGACAUUAGCUCGGCGUGUGGUGGCGACAACAAUGUCGACAAGGCCAGUGCUGGACCCGAGUUCGAGGAUGCGGAGAGGGCAAUGAUCUUAACCGUUGGAUAAGGCGGAGAGGAUUGGAGAGAGUGGGCUAUUGGUGGGGUGAGAACGGAGCUAAUCGAGGAGUGUGACGAGGGUGGUGGCUGCAGGCCAUAGUUGGAAGGAGAGACCUUGAGAAAGGACCACUCCCAAUAGGUAUGUAAGAUGAGGAUUUGAAGGGUGGUUGGUGAGUGUGGUGAGGUUUAUGGGAAUUAAAACAAUCAUGACUCCUCUAGCUGCUUCUAAUACAAGAGAGAGAUGAGUGAUAUCCAAUAGCAACAAGUCUUGAACUUUCUCAUUGUCCUCAUUACUCAAAAUGGCAUCUUGUACUUCGAUAAAAAUUUCAAUAGGAGCUUAAAUGGGUUCAGUAGGUGGGACCAAGUUCCAAAUCAUUUUUCCAAAAUAUCUAGCUGCACCAAUACCUUCCUAACCUUGAAAGUGAACAAACAAUCCUUCCUUUGAAACCAUGAGUUGAAUAGAUACAUGAUAAAGACCUUAGGAGACGUUUGUUGAUAUUCAAACCAAGAACAAAGUCAUGCAUAGUCUAAUAUUCUGAAGAGAAGUGGGUACCAAAAACAGAGAGUGAACAACAAAAAUCUAGCAAGGAUGGAGGAGAUAAAGUAAAGCUACAAGUCAUUGAAUAAAACCUUGUUUCAUGCUUUGAUCAACAAGCCUGAAUAGGUGGUUGAAACCAACUGGACUUUAAAAGAAAAUCAAAAGCAUGGCUGGUAAAACUAGAACAAAGCUCAAAUCAAUCUAAAAAAAAUCAAAUGAAAAUGAAACAUGAACAUUGUAUAGCUCAACCCAAACAAUCCAAAAAUCAGUAAAAUGACAAAAUGCAUGACAUGACAUACCCAUACCCAAAAUUAACAGCAAGUAGAUAAGCCUUUGAUGGCCAUGUCAAAGCAUCCAACAAGCUUCAACAGUAGCAAAUGAAAGAAAUGCAGAAGGGAGUGGAUAUUUUACAGUGAAGAACUUACCUCCCAAAAGACGCAGGCAAAUGAAUCCCCCUUCAUUACUCUCUAUUUCAACCUCUUCCUCUCUCCAAAACUCCCUCUUGCUCACCUUUUGAAAAACCUAGAGAAGAAGAAAAAAAAAUCCUCCCAUCCCGUUCCUCUACUUUUUCUUUUCAUGCAAGCUUUUACCGACUCCCUGCUCCUACUCAGACCAUCAUUUUCUCUAUCUCGUUUCAACCAUCCCCUCUCUAGCUACUCCUCUGCUCCACUACUUCAACCAUCGCCAUUGCUUGGUCACAUCUAAGGCUACGCGUCUCAUGCAUGAAGCUUCAUGGAAGCCAAUCUCCCACUCGUCUAAGGUGCUGCCAGCUCCUCCAGGUGGUAAAAAAAUAUCCCUCUAAUGCUAUUAAUAAAAGCAAUAAAAAAAAACUAAUAGCACUUGGCUUGCAAAAGGGGUCUACAUAUUUAUAUAUAUUACAAUUUUUCCAAAUUCAUGUGGUAUAAUUUGAGUGAAAAUUUAUUAAAAACUCGAAAAAUAAAUAUUUGAUAUAUUUAAUAAUCUUGUUUUCCAGGCAAUAAAAUCUUCUUGUCCAACUCACGUUAUGUAUUAAAUUAAUAAUCUCACUAAAUAUAUAAGAUAAUAGUUUUUUAGAAAUUCUUAAGAGUCCAAUAAAAUAUAAAUUAAUAACUAAUGAAAUAUGUGAAAAAAAAACAAAAGAAUUCAUAAUACAAACUUUCUCAAAAUAUACAUUGAAAUUUAUUUCUUUUCUUUGCACUUAAACUAACUCAAUUUUAUCUUUAAUUUUUUUGUAAUAUAUAUACACUAAAUUAAUAAAUUAUUGAUUUAUUGAUAAAUUAAUAAUUCCUUUUUAUCCAAGAAUAAUAUUUUAUUUUAUAGGGUUUUUCCUAUAGCUAGGAGUGGCGCAAAGGAGAUAGCAAAUAAUUAUCCAUCAAUGAGUCAGUGCUACCUCCGGGUUAUGUACGCCACUUUAGUCAAGGUCUUCAUUGCAACCUAUAACAGGCUAAGCUAAGCUCUGAGUCAAGUCAAUUGGGUCCCCCAUCGUAAUCACUUUCAUCUUGAGUGAAAGGAGCCUUCUUGACCGAUUCACUCCUUCAGCAAAUCAAUUGCAUGGAAACGAGAUAAAUGUCUUUCAUGCAAAAAAAAUAGAGCUAGACUUAGAAUUUUAGGUGUCUGCUCAGAAAAAAACAAUGAAAUCCCAGGUUUUGAACUUCAAAACUGAAGAAAAGAAAGUACAAUUUAUUCAAGACUUUUAGGCCCCACUUAUAACAUGGAAAAUUUGACAAAAAGAAAUAGGAUAGACGGCAGCAAGAGGCUAAGUUGAGGCCGCCCACCAUAAUCGACAAAAUGAAACCGUAUGGAAAACGGAGGUAAGUCAGGUCAAGUGGGCCCACAUUCAAUUGUAUGGAAAGUGGAUUUCCCAUUUGCCCGGAAACUGCCUUGAAACCUGGAACUUAGCUGGAUUUAAAAGCAACAAACCUGGUUGUCAGUUGAUCAGCAACAACUGUGAAAACAAUUAAUGGCUGAAAGUAUUGUCACGUUUUUUCUAGAGAAGUUGACUGACCUGCUUUCCCAGGAAGCAUUUCUACUCAGCAGAGUGGAAGAGCAAGUGAAGCUGUUGAGUAACGAGCUCGAAUGGAUGCGCCUUUUUCUCAAAGACGCGGAUGCGAAGCGCAGAUAUGAUCCAAGAAUCAAGCUCUGGGUGAGUCAGAUCAGGGACGUAACCUAUGACGCCGAAGAUGUCAUCGACAGGUUCAUGUUCGAGAUGAAUCGCCAACAGCAAGGAAGUCUCAAAUGCCUCAAGUUCCUUAAGUUACGAUUUGUUCACAAGCUCAAGUCUCGAAUCAGAGAGAUCAAUAUCAAGAUUGAGAAGAUCAUGGCUAACAAAUCAAGGUACGGUGUCGAAACCUUACCAGCUGCAAGCUCGUCCAACGAAGUUGUGCCACAUAAAGAGAAGAGGGCUCCGAUUGUUGAAGUCAACGUGGUGGGAAUUCAAGAGGAUGCAAAAAGCGUUAAGCAAAAUCUGCUUAAUGGAGAGAUGCGGAGAGCUGUGGGUGUCCAUCGUGGGCAUGGGUGGCUUGGGAAAGACCACCCUUGCUAAGAAAGUCUAUAAUGAUAAUGAUGUCCAGCAAUGCUUUGAUUGUCAUGCUUGGAUUUAUGUCUCUCAAGAGUAUACAAUCAGGGAGCUUUUGCUAGGCGUUGCUGUUUGUGUUAGGAUUCUCUCCGAAAAGGAAAGGAGUAAAAUGAACGAGAGCGAGUUGGGGAAUAGGCUUCGUGAUUACCUGACUACCAAGAAGUACUUGAUAGUUAUGGACGAUAUGUGGAGAAAUGAAGCUUGGGAUAGGCUGGGCUUGUAUUUUCCUGACUCGGUGAAUGGCAGCAGGGUGUUGAUCACCUCACGCAAUAAAGAGAUUGGUUUUUAUGCUGAUCCACAAGCCAUUCCCCAUGAACUUUCUUUUCUGACUGAAGAAGAGAGCUGGGAGCUCUUUCUCAAGAAAAUUUUCCUGGCUGGGAGUGCAAAUGCUGUUUGCCCCAGAGAAUUGGAAGAGUUGGGAAAGAAAAUUGUAGCAAAUUGUGGGGGUUUGCCCCUUGCAAUUGUGGUCUUGGGAGGCCUUCUAUCAAGAAAAGAAAAGACACCGCUCUCCUGGCAAAAAGUACUGGACAGCCUAACUUGGCACCUAAAUCAAGGUCCAGACUCAUGUUUGGGGGUCCUUGCUUUAAGCUACAAUGAUAUGCCGUAUUACUUGAAGUCCUGUUUCCUUUACUGUGGUCUUUUCCCAGAAGACUCAGAAAUCUGGACAGAAAAGUUGAUCCGCUUGUGGGUUGCAGAAGGGUUUAUACAAAGAAGAGGAGAAGAAAUAGCGGAAGACAUCGCGGAAGAUCACUUACAGGAAUUGGUACAUAGAAGCAUGAUUCAAGUGGCUGACAAGAGUUUCGAUGGAAGAGUGAUGUCCUGUCGCAUGCACGAUCUGCUUCGAGACCUUGCCAUUUCAGAGGCUAAAGAUACAAAAUUUUUUGAGGGAUAUGAAAGCAUUGAUUCUACAUCCCCUGUUAGUGUUCGUCGACUAACCAUUCAUCAAGGUAAGAAGACUAAUUCUAAACACUUGCAUACUUCACGUAGUCUCCGAUCUUUCAUUUGUUUUUCUGUAUGCUUCCAAAAAAACAUUUUGAGAUCUUUACACAGGCGUGUCAAAUUGCUCACUGUACUGGACCUAGAAGGCAUGACUAUCAAUACCAUCCCAGAAGGCAUAGGAGAACUUAUCCACCUUAAGUACCUGUGCUUAAAGAGAACCCGCAUAAAAAGGCUUCCAUCGUCCAUAGGUCGUCUUACAAAUCUACAAACCCUAGACUUUCGAAGCACUUCAAUUGAAAUAAUUCCUUCUACCAUUUGGAAAUUGCACCAUUUGAGAUAUCUACACGGUCAUGGACUGGUUUCAAGCCAGUCAGUGAUAGAUAAGUGCAGGAAUGGCCCUUUGAGUGUUGACCACCUAACAAACCUCCAAUCGUUAGGUUUAAGAGCAGGCAGUUGGUGCUGUGGUGAAGGCUUGGGAAAAUUAACUGAGCUUAGAGAACUGACAGUUGCAUGGACCGAAAUCGCACAAACAAAGAACCAGGGAUUUUCCGAGUCAGUAAAAAAGCUAACUGCUCUUCAAUCCUUGUGUUUGUGUCCUACUGUAGAACGGGUUAACAUGCCGCACCUCAUGCCUUUCUCAGACCACACCUACCUUUACCAUCUAAAUUUAAGAGGAAGGCUCGAAAGGUUCCCUGAUGAAAUUGAAUUCUACCCUCCAAACCUCAUCUCCUUGGAAUUGCAAUGUUGGAAUAUAGAGCAAGACCCAAUGGUGACCCUAGGGAAGCUGCCAA